AAAAAAAAAAAAAAAAAAAGAAUAUAUAAUGUCAAUUAUUCCAGAUAAAACUCGAUAAACAUAACACACUUUCUAAAGUUUAAAUUACAUAUUUUAUACACUUAAUAUGUUCCGCAAAAUUUAGAUUAUAUAUUUUAUACAUUUUGCAUGGACUACGAAAAAUAGAAAUUAUUUAUGAUUUACAAUAUUUUAAAUUUCAAUUUCUACAAUAUUUGAAAUAGAUAUACUAUACUUUAAACUAUGUUAUACGGAAAUUAUAAUAUGUUGUCUUAUCUUCACCUUACGUUCUAAGAAUGUUAAAAACGUUUUCUUAUGUUUUCUCCUAUAUGUUAUAUGAAAAUUAUAAAAUAAAUUAUGUUUAACUUAGAAUUCCUUUUAAAAAAUUGACUCAUAAAAUAAGAAAUUGAAAAAAAACAUAUAUAUAUAUAUAUAUAUAUAUAUAUAUAUAUGUUUGGAUUAUGUCUGCAAAUUUCGAAGAAGAAGAGAUUAAAGCUGAGAUUCGAAGAGGAAGAGGAGAUUGAGUAUGUAAAAUAAACGACAGCAGAAUGAGAGGAAUAAACAAAAUUAAUCGGUAGCGGAAUGAAAGGAAGACUGAGGCUUCGAAUGGUAAAAGUAGUUCAAGCGUUGCAGAUCUUGCAGAAGAUGCAGGACAAGUGCAGAACAUGCAGAACAUGUAGGACAAGUGCAGAUCAUGCAGAUCAGGCAGUUCAAAUAUGAGUUCGAAUGGUGAAAGUUGUUCAACAUGUGCAGAUCAAAUUAUUAAAUAAUAAAUAGUACACAAUAUAACUAAAAAUUUAUUAAGAACUACAUAUUGUUAUAAACUUUAUUAAAAAAAUAAAUAUAUAAAAUACAGUUUUAUUUUUAGUUUAUUUUUUAUUUUAUUUUAUAUAAUGUUAUAAUAUAUUAUGCUAUGUAUAAAUAAAAUCAUAUAAAACUAAAAUAUAUUAAUCUAUUAAAUAAUUUAAAAUAUUAAUCAUAAAAUAUCCAAAUACAACACAUAACGGUGAAAAAAAAGACAACACAUAAGAAAAAACAAAUUAAAUUUAAUGAAAAGUAUUUUGAUUUGCCCAUAACAUAUCUGCAAUAUUUUCUCUUAUAUUUGCCAUAUGAUUUCCAUCAGGUAUACCACCACUCUCCAUGUCAUCUAGAUCAUUCUCAGAAUUUACGUUGUUGAUAUUUGUAUCUCCCAUCACUUCAACAAAAUCUUCGUCAAAAUAAUUCGAAAUUCUGAUAAAAUUAUGUAGUCUCAUUGUAGCCAUUACCACUUUUUUUUUAACAUCAAUAUCAUAUCUGGGAAAAUCACUUAGAAUCCUCCAUUUUUUCUUCCAAACUCCAAAUGUUUUUUCAGUAACAGAACGUAGAGAUGCAUGGCAUCGAUUAAACAACUCUUGUUUAUUUCUUGGAGGAGGACCAUUGUAGAACUGUGACAUGUGAUACCUAACAACCCCGUUCCGCGAAGAUCUAUAAGGUGCCAAAAAGCCUUGUUUAUUUGGAUACCCAGAAUCAACUACAUAAUACUUGUCUCUCGGAGGCAAAGGAAAUUCAGAAUCAUUAUCUUGUGCCAUCGUUAGAACUGCUGUAUCGUGACAUGAUCCAGGUGCUCCGUUCCAAACAUAUGUAAACAACAUAUUUAUAUCACAUAUUGCCAUGAUAUUAAACGAUGUUCUAUCGUGUCGAUUCCAAUACAUUCCUUGUAGUUCCAGGCUUCACCUUAACACAUACAUGAACUCCAUCUAUAGCUCCAACAAAUCCACUAAAAUAUGGCCAAUAUCUUCGAUCCAUUUGCAGUUUUUCAGGAAUUCGACGUAGUUCUUGUCUUGUUGGAGUCUUGAUAUAAUCACAAGUAAGUAACUUUGUUGCUCUAAGGACUUCAAAAAAUUUCCGAUUCACUGUUUCUUGCGUUCGUCCAAAUCGUAACCCAACAUCUCUUUGAACUUCAUUGUGUCCACAUAUACGUAAAAACAUGGCGACACUCUCUUCAAUGCUAACAUUCAAUGUAGGUUGUAAUCCAUAACUUGUUUCCAUUUUGUCACAUAAUGAUCUAAAACAAUCAAGAGACAUUCGUAGUAACUGAAGACAAGCAGCACUAUCUUCUUGUACUCGACGCCAAAUAUUUCUCCAUCCCAACCCGCCAUCUGUUUGAAUUGGUCCUCUUUCAAAGUGUCGAUUGUAGUAACUCAAUGACGGUUGAAUUAUUAACUCUUCAAAUUGCUCAUUUUCCAAAUUCCAUAACUCAAUUCUCUCUUCAUAAUUUAGAUUGUAUACACCUUGUGAUCGCAAUUGGCAUAUACGAAAAGCCUGAAAUUUUUACACAGUAAACAAAAAUAAACUAAUGAAAAAUAACGUAAAUCAACAGUACUAGUACAUUCUGACAUUACAAAAAUAUAAUGCAAAAUAAAACAUAAAGACAACUAAAAAGCGCAAGCGCUAUUGAACUAGUUCUCAGAUGCUGAAUCACUUUGAUGCGUUUCAUUUAAAUUUGGUCCUCCCUCAGAUCCCCAAAUGUUGAAUAAUCCUGCUCGUCUUCGUGGUCGUGAUGUCCUUGUUGUAGAAGAAUAAUUCGUGAAUCCAAAUUCUGGUGAUACUCCCCUAACCACGUUUUCGGCUGAAGGAACUUCUUCUUCAUGUGAAACUCUUUGGUGAAUAUUUGUUGUAGUUUCCUCUUCCGUUCCCAAUGAAAAUCCACGUUGAACAUUUGUUGGAGGGAUAUAUUGUGCAGCAUUUUGUGAUGAACCCCAUUGUGGGACAUUUUGGUGAUGCAUGUCCAUAUUAUAAAAACAUAUCCUUUUAAAAAUCAUUUUUUUUACGUUACUAUAUUUGUAAGUAUAUAUAAAAAUAUUUUUUACUUUUUUUAAGCCACGAAGCUGUAUUUAUUAGAAUAUUGCAAAGUAAAGAUGUAGUAACAAAUUAGAAAGGUAAAUAUAUAUUUGGAAGAAAUUAUAUUGAUAGGUGAAUCUAUAUAUGAUUAAAAAAUGUUUAUUUAUAUUGUUUGGCUAAUAUGUUCACUAAUAUUCUACUUCAUGUAAACACAAUCUUGAUCUCCGUUAUUGCAAGAAAAAUAAGAAAUAUUCUAUCAAUACAUUUGACAUUAACAUCAAAGAAAAUUAUAACAAACAAAAAAAUGUAUACCUGUAGACAAAACUUUAUGUGAUCUUCAACGUCAAUAUUUCCACAUGAACCAGCACACUGCCACAUGAAAAAUAUUUUAUGAGAAAUAGUAUUUUUACCAAUGUAAUUAUUAAUACAUAAAAAAUAAAAAUUAAAAGAAAUUCUAUGAAUUUUUUAAAAAUCUUAAAAAUAUACCAAAAUGACAUACAUAAAACUGAUUUACUAAUUUGUUUAAUCUCUAGAUUAUAAUACUUUAAAAAAAUAGACUAGUAAUAGAAAGUAGACAAUCAUAACAAUUUAUGAGAAAGAUAAUUUUAUACUAUAUCUAAAUAAAUAAAUACCAUAAUAUUUAUUUUUAAUUUUUUGAAAAAGAAAAAAAUAUUUUCUAAAUGAAAAGAGAGAGCAACGUACAAGAGUGAGAAAGCAAUUUUUUUUUUUAUGGUUUGUGGUGUGUGUAUAAGUAAGUACAAAGGAGAUGUGUUAUUUUAUAGAGGAUAAGAAAGACUAUUUAAUUAAAUUUUCGUUCUAAAAAAAAAAAAAAUUAAAACUGCCGUUGGACCACACCAAUUAUCUGGUGGGUGAGAACUGCAUUGAUUCUUCUGUUUUUAUCACUAAAAAACAAAAUUUUAUUACUCUGCAUGCAGUCAACUCUGCUUUUUAUCUUUUUCUGAAUGGCACAUUAAAAGCAGGAGAAACACAUUCAUUGGUCAUCUGCACUUUAUCUGCUACGCCAUUCAAUGCCUGAAUGAGCAAGAAAAAAAAAUGUUGAGAAAUUAAAUUGGUUUAGGAAACUGAGGGUACAAUAGAACUCCAUUAUAUUAAAUCAUAUGUCACCAAUCUUUACCCUAUAAUGCAUAUAUGGAUUAAAAACAAAUAUUUUGAAAACUUCUUUCUCCAAAUUUUUAUUUUUUGUUCAAGUACUUGAAAAUUUUAUCAUGCUACAAAUAAGCAUAUAGAUUCAUUUAACUUUUUCACAUAGAUUUAUAUCGGAUAAAAAAAUAUUUGGGUUUUCUUUUGCUAUUUCGUUCAAAUAAGAAUUUUUUUAGGUGUCUCAUUUUUAGAUUAAAAUUUAAAUUUAAAUCAUAUUAACUAAAAUGUAUUAAUAUUUUGUAUAUAUUUUAUUAAACUUUUAAUAAUUUUCAGACAAAUUUUGGUUAAUUUUGUAUAUUCAGUUUGGUUAAAGAAAUUUUGGUCACGAUUUGGAUAAACGUCGGUUUAUUUAUUAUAAAAAUUUAUAAAUUAUUUAGACAUAGUUUGACCCAUUUAUAGAUCAGUCACAAACCUUGGAUCCUCCUCAAACACCAUGUCAUAUAGAUUUAUCUUCAAAAUCUACAGAUUUCUAAAAAGAAAAUAUGAAUUAAAUAUAGAUAAUCCAGCGUCUCGAUGAAUCACUUCAUAUGCGAAGAAAUCCUAUCUGAUCUCUAAAGAGGCAAAAUAAAACAAAAAAAAAAUUCUGAGAUUGUGGUAUUGGCUGAGGAAAGAAAAAAACUACCUCCACGGGAAACAUUGACAUUCUCUUUUUUGCUGGGAGGCUUCGUAAUUUGAGUAAGAUUUAGCAUCACAAAAUAAAGGUUCUUGAAUGACUAUUAUCUUCAUUGACUUCAAGAAAAUAAAAUGUUACCAAUUUUCAAAAGAGAUGUGAAAAAUCAGGUGGAGAAAGGUUUGGCAUUCGAGAAGCUUACCAAAUCAGUUUAUUUAUUAUAAAAUUAAUAAUUAUUUGGUAUUGGGUUGAUGAAUUUUGGUUUGGUAAAUUUUGGUUUGAAUUUAAUUAUUUCAAAUUUUAGAGAUGGGCCAAAUUAAUGGUGAAACUUUUGGUGUAUCAUUCACUUGUUUUGUGACAUUGUUGGAUAUUGAUCAUUGGAGGCAAGAGGGUAAACAAAGUGUUCAUCACAUAAGAUAUAAUUGUAGUUAUUAAAAACAACGUUGUGAUAUAUUUAAUGAACCUAUGACGCACAAGUUAAAAUAUUGCAGUUAAAACCAGUGACGAAUUUUCUUGGGGUCAAAAUUAUAUAAAACAAAAAAAAAAUACUAAAAUGUAUUUUAUAAACGACUUUUUCUUAAUAAUUAUAAGCCAAGAUUUAUGAGUACAUGGCCCGAAAUGCUGUAUUAUAGAUUUGGGUUCAAUUUAUAAGGAUCAAGUAUAUUUUAGCUAGAAAAAUGUGGGGUUUUGGUCUCUUUUUUAAAUAAAACAUGAGUUUAAAUGAAUAAAUGGUUUAUAGGGGUCAAUGUAUGAUUUUCAAUUGGGUCAACUGUACAGAUUCUAAAAAGAACAUAAAGGGUAAUUAAAGUUUGUUGGGAUCAUCCACUAAACUUGCCUCCGCCACUGGUUAAAACUAGGCCAGUGAUCAUAAACAUAUUAAUGAUGUUCGCGCUUGUUUAUGAGUUCUAGCCAUUUCUAUUGUCAUUUGUGUUAUUUGGAACUUUAGAUAUUGCUUAUGACAUUCUUUAGAUAGCAUCUUCUCUCUUUGAUGGAUGUGUUUUUAUGUUGAGUUUAGAUUAGUAUCUCAAGAUGUUUGUCUUUUUGGAUCUGGAUACCGGAUCCAUAUAUUUUGGAAUGGAUAAAUGAAUUUUUUUGAUUUCACGCAUGAACCAAGUAGUUAGUAGAUUAAUGUAUAGCAACUAGCAAGCGCCCGUAAACACGCAAUUAGAGCAAAUGGUGUUGGUGAACAAAAACAAAAAUGAGUCAUGUACUGUCUCUCGGGAAAUAAGUAUAACGUAUCUACAUGUUUGUUCAUGAUAUAUUUUACGGAGCAUUGAUUGGUUGUUUAUAACAAGUUGUUAUCUUAGGACCUCCCGAACUAUAUUGACGUGAAAUGUUGAUUCCACGAAAUUCACAAUACAAAUCUCAAAUUUUGUUACAAUUCGUUUUAUAGUUUGCUAACUUAAUAUUUUAAAGUGUGCAUUAAUUCAUUUUAUAGUUUAAUUAUAUAUAUAUAUAUAUAUAUAUAUAUAUAUAUUUGGAAAACAAUAAGAAAGAAAGAAAGUAGACAGCAACUCUUGUCUCUCUCUCUCACCAAACAUCCGAGUCAACGUAUUUCACCAACCGGUACAACUAAAAAAUACACACCUACGAAAAUAAUAAAAUCAACUUACCAGAUUGUUACGUACCACACAUCUCUAUAUCCCUUCGCCAACCAACGUUCCCCACGUGCUCCCCCGGUUGGUACUCACGUGACCGGCAGCUUCUCGUUCUUAUUAUCUGUUUUCUUCAAUAACGAUUCAUAAUCUAUUGUGUCUUAUUUAUAAUCUCUUCACAUCACAAAGAUUUGUACCGAACCUACAAUAGCAAAAUAUUUCCCUAAACACAAUUCAUCUUUUUAUAAAGAAAAACAAAAAUGGUUAGUCAGACAGAGACCGUGUGUGUAACGGGCGCUUCGGGAUUCAUCGGUUCAUGGCUAGUGAUGCGAUUACUCGAACGUGGUUACUUUGUUCGUGCCACUGUGCGCGAUCCUGGUACAUCACUAUAUAUUCAUUCAAACUCGUUUCUUCUAAGAUUCUAUAAUUAUAACAUUAAUUUACGGUUUUUUGGGGAUUAUAAAGGGAAUUUGAAGAAAGUGCAACAUCUUCUUGAUUUGCCAAAUGCCAAGACGCAACUCACUUUAUGGAAGGCUGAUUUAUCUGAGGAAGGAAGCUACGAUGACGCCAUAACCGGAUGUGACGGUGUUUUCCACGUGGCAACUCCCAUGGAUUUUGAAUCAAAAGAUCCUGAGGUGAGUUUCUAUAUUAUAUGAACUUCUUUUGGUUUUUUGCAUCAACCUUAAAUUAAAGUUUUGUUUCUUUUUUACGAAUCAGAACGAAGUGAUAAAACCGACAGUGAAUGGAAUGUUGGGGAUUAUGAAAGCAUGUGUUAAGGCAAAGACUGUACGAAGAUUCAUAUUUACUUCAUCUGCUGGAACUGUUAAUGUAGAAGAACAUCAGAAGAGUGUCUACGAUGAAAACGAUUGGAGCGAUCUUGAGUUUAUCAUGUCCAAAAAGAUGACAGGAUGGGUAAGAAUAUACAUAUUAAUUAAACUCAAUUUAGUGUUAAUCUUCUUCCAAGUAAUUUAAAGUUCAUAUAUGUUUGUGGCAGAUGUAUUUUGUGUCGAAAACAUUAGCCGAGAAAGCAGCGUGGGAUUACGCCGAGGAAAAAGGAUUAGAUUUCGUUAGUAUUAUUCCAACAUUGGUGGUCGGUCCAUUUAUAACAACAUCUAUGCCGCCUAGCCUCAUCACCGCGCUCUCUCCUAUCACUCGUAUGUACACCCUUCUUCUUUUGUUGGAAAUGUGAAAAUGUUAAAUCUAAAACGAUGAUAUAUUAUAAUGUUUUAGGGAACGAGGCACAUUACUCGAUUAUAAGACAAGGACAGUAUGUGCAUUUGGACGACUUAUGCAACUCUCAUAUCUUCUUAUACGAACAAGAAGCUGCCAAAGGACGUUAUAUUUGUUCCUCUCACGAUGCUACAAUUCUUACUAUCUCAAAAUUUCUCAGGCAAAAAUACUCCGAAUACAACGUGCCUUCAACGUAAGAUAUAUCCGUUUAAGCCUGAUCUUUUUGUUCAACCAAAAUCUUUCGGUCCAUAUAUAAUAUCUUCGUCCUAAAACAUUCUUUGGAACAGGUUUGAAGGUGUGGAUGAGAAUCUAAAGAGCAUUGAGUUCAGUUCCAAGAAGCUGACUGACAUGGGGUUUAACUUCAAGUAUAGUCUCGAGGAAAUGUUAAUUGAGUCUAUUGAGACAUGUCGUCAAAAGGGUUUUCUCUCGGUUUCUUUACCGUACCAAUCCAUAUCGGAGAACAAAGGUCCGACGAAGGAUGACAAUAUUGAGCUCAAAGCCGGAGAUGGUUUAACCGAUGGUAUGAUGCCAUGUAACAAGAUAGAACCGGGGCUAACCGGCGAGAGAACCGAUGCUCCCAUGCCAGCAGAACAGAUGUGUGCUUAGAAAAUUCAAACGUUAUAUUAUAUUGUCAUAUCGCUUUACUAUUGGAGGUGUCAUUAAUUUGGCUUUGUUUUAUGUUACUAAUCAUAAUUUAUCAUUUGCGAGUGAUAUGAACUGAUUUAUGUUUUAUAGUAUGUGCUAGUAUCGUGUGUGAGUGUAACGGUAUGAAUGAACCUAUAUACUUAUUUAAAGAGUGUUGUCUUUGAAUCGACUGAACUUUACAAGUUAUAUUUGUUACAACAAACCUUAAGAUGAUUUGAUCUUUAUUUUUUUUUGUAUGAAUGUAAAAUUAUAUCCAACAAAAAAACUGUUUUACAAUAAAUGCAUCAUUUUAAAUAGAGAGAUUGAAAAAAUCAAAAACAUCUUAGUUGUUAUCGGGUAUACAGGUAUGGAACCAAAACCGCAAUCCGCCUUCGAACUUAGCAUUGACCAGUUGAAUGGAGCUGAACUGGUUCCUAACAUUUUCAUCAAUGAGUUAGACAAGUUUUGAGGCCGGAGUUGCAGGCUCCCCAUGACGUCUACCGUUGCGCUCUCUCCAUAGACUAUGGAUGGAUGUUAGAAACACAUACCGCAAGGUGAAGACUUCAAGAUGAGACCGAGAAGCAUCAAGUAGGUGCUGAGUGAUUACGCCCCAGCUCGCCGUGUAUCUCUGGUUGAGAAGACCACCGGUUAGAGGAUGCCAAAUCUUGGAAGAGUAGGGACAUGAGAAAAACAAAUAUUCACGUGUCUCCAAUUCUGCGCUGCAAAAAACACAACCAACUCGAGCAUCUCUGUAAAAAAUCCAUGUUAUUGGAAUGGUCUUUGUAAAAAAAUCCAUGUUAUUUAUUUUGACAGUUAAAUAUGCACUAAUCAUUCAACUAAAAGAUGAUGCUAUAUCUGUUGGUCCGACCAACUUGGUCGUAAUUGAGUUUGUAAUGUAUUAAGUCAGUUAUUAAUUAAAAGUCAUGAUGUUUAAGCUAUUUCGUGUUGUCCAAAAGUCACAAGUAGAAGAGAUGCAACUCUUUGUGUCUGUUGUUUGUCUAUUUAAACUUCAUAACUAUGAUGUAAACACACAAAUUUCCUACUCUGUUUUAACAAGAAGUAAACACUUACAGUAUAACCUCUAUAAAUUAAUACCCUACAAAUUAAUAAACACGAUAAAAUAAUAAAUUUUGCUUGUUCCGAGUUGGACCAACCAAAUUCGAUAAGAUAAUAAGAUAAUAAGUUUUUCGAAAUUCUUAUAUAAAAAUAUGGUCACAAUAAUAUCACAAAUUAAUAAUCAUGCAAAUUAUAUAUAAUAUAUAUAUAUAUAUAUAUAUAUAUAUAUAAUUUUUAGUGUUUUUCAUAAUGGGGAAAACGUCAAAAAAAUCAUGAACUUUCAAAUUUGGGACGAUUUAAUCAUGAACUACGAAGAAGACAUAUAAAUUGUAAAGUUUUUCUUGACUUUAAAAUUAAUUAGCAAAGUUUGGUUGACUACCCAUUUUAGACAUAGAGUUAAGUAGGCUAACAGAAAACGAUUACGGUGUUAAACUCCCGUUUGUCUUCUCUGUUAUGUCAAAACGAUAUCAUUUACUGUAGCAACAAAACCUAAAUCCCCAAAUCGUUUUCAUUCCCUAACCCUAGAAUUUCUCUGUCGCUCCCUCUGUUGAAAUUGGCUCCUGGAUUUCUUCCUUUCAAUCUGCUCCAAUGAGUUCAAGCUCUGUCACAUCAGGUGUCGUCGAAGAUCGUGGUGUUCCGUCGAAGUGUGUGUGGUUUAGAUGUCAAGAUCUUCACAUCAAAAACGCAAGAGAACCCAGGAGCGAGAGAGAGAAUGGGGAUUCUAGGGUUAGGGAAUGAAAUCGAUUUGGGGAUUUAGGUUUAUGUUUCCCAAAAUCGUCUAAACGACUUCGUUUUGUAGGUACAGUAAACGAUAUCGUUUUGAAAUAACAGAGAAGACAAACGGUAGUUUAACACCGUAAUUGUUUUCUGUUAGCCUACUUAACGCUAUGUCUAAAAUGGCUAGUCAACCAAACUUUGCUAAUUAAUUUUAAAGUCAACAAAAACUUUACGAUUUAUGUGUCUUUCUCGUAGUUCAUGAUUAAAUCGUCCCAAAUUUGAAAGUUCAUGAUUUUUUUGACAUUUUUCCCUUUUCAUAAUAGCCAAACUUUUCGGUAAGUUUUCAAAUUUUGAAUAUGCAUAAAUUUUUUGUUUUAAUAGUCGAAUAGAUUUCUCAAAUACAACAAUUAAUGUCAUUAUUUAUAAAUUUGAGUUUAUAAAUAUCGUUUAUAUAUGUGAAUUCUAAAAUCUUUGUUAUUCAUUUUCAAAAAUUUGUUUUAUCUUCUAAAUAUUAAAUGUUUAGAUCUAAAACUCUAGAACUUAAAAGUUGAAACUGAAAACUCUAGAAUUUUAAAAAGUCAGAUUAAACAUGAAUAAAGUCGAUCAUUGUAGUUACAUGAUGACAUUCGAUCUAUAAGAAAAUCUUGUUUAUCCUCGAUUCUUUUUUUCUUAAUAUUCUGAAAAUGUUGUCAUUUAUAAGCAUAUGUCACAUUUUUUCUAAUUUUAAGUUUAAGAGAUUCACGACAACCACGUAAAUCACUAUUUUUGUCGUAUAUAGAACACACCCAAAAAAAAAGAUAUUAUAUUGUAUUUAGUGUUCCGCUCUUUGCUAAGUCUCAUUUUUGGGCCGACUGCGUCUUUGGCCCAACUUUUGAUAUAUUUUAAAUUGAAUUGAUGGACUUUUAAUGAGGUUAGUGGGGCGAAUUUCAUGUGAAGAGUCGAGAUCCAACAUUUAUGCUGAAACUAAAAACCGAACCAAAACAUCUAACUGAAACCACGUCGAGGUCUUUUUUUUUUUUUUUUUUUUUUUUUUUUUUUUUGUCAACAACUUUAUUAGAUUAGCUUAUACAAGCUAAUUUUGGGGAAUAUUGAAACCACGUCGAGGUUUGAUCAUUUCGAUUUAAUUUCGAUUAUUACAAUAGAGGUUAUCACUACUAGAAAACAUGGCAUAUUCCAACAAAUGUUUCUAACAAUCGAAUUUUGUUGGAAAUUUCCAAUGAAUAUCCCAUAAAAUUACGUUUAGUAUUAUAUUUGUUAGAAAUCUAUUGUAAAUUUCCAACAAAUUUAAGUUGUGGCAAGUACAUCACAUAAUUUAUAGAAAAAUUGUGGAAAUUUUCCAACAAAUACUAUAUUGUUGGAAAUUCAGUGCAAAUUUGCAACAAAUUAUAAUUGUGACAAUUACAUUGCAUACUUUGUAGGAAAGUCGUUGAAAAUCUCCAAGAAAUAUUAUAUCGUUGGAAAUUCAUUACAAAUUUUAGUUGUGGUAAUUACGUUGUAUAAUUUGUAUGAAUAUUAUUGGAAUUUUCCAACAAAUAUUAUAUAUUGUUGGAUAGAAGCAAUAACUUUUAAGUUGUUGGAAAAUUCUAACAAAAUAUUUGUUUUCUAGUAGUGUAUCUUGACACUCCAAGGCGAGGAAUCCAUCAAGUGUGCCUAAUGCAGUGGCGAUGACAUAGUGUCCACCAAGAGGAAUGAACUCAAGUUCAGAAUUAGAAGGAUUAUAGAGGUUUCCCUAAAAAAAAAAACAAAAAGUUAAAAAUUAGUGGGAUUCUGAGAUCAAGUAUUAAUCCACAAAAACAAAGAUGGGAAAUCAAAUGCUUUAGAAAAUAUAUGAAAGUAAACUAAGAAGCAGAAUUAAAAUACAAUUCCUGACCUGAGUGGUGUAAUAAGAAGGAUACACUUCGAAUUGAAUACUGAGUGGUCCUCCCUCCCUGAGCUGAUACUCCAACUCUUGAUGAAACAUUGAUACACCAUCCUCACCACCAUAGUCCGCUAUGUAAUCAUAGAUAGAAUGAACGUCACAAAUGCUUGGGAUAAUUCUCUCACAUCCCUGUAUCAAGGGAAAACAACAUUAAUUAAAGGUUAAUUUAACAAAGAGAGAAGAGAAUGAAGGAGAGAGAACAUUUUACCUCAGUCGUUGUGCUCUCAUCCAGGAAAAUCUGCUCCUCAGUGAUAGGACAAUCUUCUUCGUAUACUAUUCCACUCUCUCUAAAAUGAUGGGCAAGAGCAUAAACAUUUAAAAUUCCAACUUCAUUAUCUAUAAAAGGACCAACUACACCAUGUUCAUCGUAAUAAUGCCUCGGCGUGGAAUUCAUUAACUCCUGGAUAGACAAGACUUUAGCAAUAUUGAUAGAAGCCUGAGUUCCCAACCAUUUCUUCAUCUUUCGAACCAAUUGUACGUAUUAUGAUAGAAUCGAUAGGCUCAAGUACUAUAAAAUACAUUUGGUUUAUAGCUCAUGUCAUGAUGUCAAAUAAUUGAAAUCAGAAUUCAAAAUUGACAUAAAAAUUAGAAAAGAUUGCAAUAUUCUUUUUUAUUUUGCAACCUAUUAUUUUAUUAAAUUAUAUUUGGUGAUAGUUUACAGAUAAUAAAGAAAUAUCAAUUUCCACAAUUAAAACUACAGAGGCAGGUCUGGUCUAAUGGUUCAAAUCCAGGUGGUUCACACGAUCCUUUAACUCCUACUCCUUUCCACUUGGUAGAACACUCUUGGUUACACUGAUUAAUUUCACAGUGUUCUGCUUGAAUAUAGUCAUGACAUGUUUUGCCUUGCGUCUCCUCCAUCACCAUUCCUAAUAAUACAUUUUAAAACAUAUACUAAUAUCAUUUUAAUUAUUUUUUGUUACAAAAAUAAAAAGUUGAUGAACAGAAAACCAACAAAAAAAAGAGAGAGAAACACAGAAUAUUUAAUAUAUUUUAAGUGUAGAGCAUACCAAUAACUAAGAGAACCAUGAAAAUUGUGAGAGCAGUGUUUUUAGUCAUCUUUGAUGAUACAAUUAAAACAAAAAUGAUGGAUGUAAUUGUAUUGUGAAUGAUGUGUAUAUAUAUAUGAUAAGUUGGAUGCAUGCAUCUAUAUUUACAAAACUAUCAUGAAUUAUAAAAAAUAUAAAGUAAUCAGUUAGUAAUUAAUUAGAUGCUUGAAUUAGUGUUAACCCAAAAAAAAGAGCAAAGAAAUCUGUUAGUAAUUAAUUAGAUGCUUGAAUCGGAAAAAACCAUCAAAAGACAUAUCUAGAAAUUAAUUAAAAGUGAAAACAUAUAAGCAGGUUAUAAAUCAUAAUAGAUGCUGACUUUAAUUAAACUAUGUCAUAAAUGAAUAAAAAUAUGAUAAACUCAACAAAUAUUAAAUAGAUGCUGUUAAAAACAUAUAUAUAUAUAAUAUGAAAUAUAUUUAAUUAUUAUUUUUAUAUGAUAACUAAUAUUGAAGGUUUGCUUAAUCAUGUUUAAGUAAUUUAUUAGUUUAAAUGUAGGGCAUUUGCAAAAAAUACCUUUUUUCCUAAGCCUUUUUCGAAAAUACAUCUUCCUAUUGUCCAUUUUUAUUUUAUAUACACAAUGACUAAAUUACUAUUUUUAAAGUGAGAGCAGAUAAUGAGCCAAAAUUUAUUUUUCCCGCUAAAACAUUUCCGUAGAGGUCAAAAUCUUCCCGCUAUAAAAAUUUCCGCCAAAAUUUUCCAGGCCCAAAUUUUCUUGCCANNNNNNNNNNNNNNNNNNNNNNNNNNNNNNNNNNNNNNNNNNNNNNNNNNNNNNNNNNNNNNNNNNNNNNNNNNNNNNNNNNNNNNNNNNNNNNNNNNNNNNNNNNNNNNNNNNNNNNNNNNNNNNNNNNNNNNNNNNNNNNNNNNNNNNNNNNNNNNNNNNNNNNNNNNNNNNNNNNNNNNNNNNNNNNNNNNNNNNNNNNNNNNNNNNNNNNNNNNNNNNNNNNNNNNNNNNNNNNNNNNNNNNNNNNNNNNNNNNNNNNNNNNNNNNNNNNNNNNNNNNNNNNNNNNNNNNNNNNNNNNNNNNNNNNNNNNNNNNNNNNNNNNNNNNNNNNNNNNNNNNNNNNNNNNNNNNNNNNNNNNNNNNNNNNNNNNNNNNNNNNNNNNNNNNNNNNNNNNNNNNNNNNNNNNNNNNNNNNNNNNNNNNNNNNNNNNNNNNNNNNNNNNNNNNNNNNNNNNNNNNNNNNNNNNNNUUAUUUUUGGCAGGAAAUUCACUUAAAAAGAGGGUAAAAUGGCAAGAAAAUGGGGCAUUUUUGAAAAAAAGGUAUCAAAGAAACGGUAUUUCUAACAAUUUUUCAGAAUAAAUUAGUAAUUAAUUGGAAGCUUAAAUCGGAAAAAACUAUGAAAAAAAAUUGAAAACAUAUCCAUAAAUUAAAUAAAAGUGAAAACGAAUAAGACUGUUAUAAAUCAUAAUUGAUACUACAUCAUAAAUGAAUAAAAAUUUGAUAAAGUCAACAAAUAUUAAAUAGAUGCUAGAAACAAAACCUAAAUAUAUAAAACAUGAAAUAUAAUAUUUAAUAAUCUAAUUUAAAACUUUAAAAUGAUAAUUCAUAUUGAUGGUUUGCUUAAUCAUGGUUCUUGCCUAACACAAGAGAAGAUUUACACUUGAUGGAGUACCAAAAGAAUCGUAGACAAUAGAUGGACAUUAAUUCUACAUCAAAUUCAAGCUUAGAAGGAGCAUAUAAAAAGUAGGCGCUUCCUUAAUUCCUCCUCAACAUUACAUAUAGAAGGCAAGUUUGUUCUACAACGAAACUCCACCAAGAAAUCCUAUCAAAGGUUGGGUUGCGGUUAAGAACUAUUAGAAUCAUAUAGUUAGUCUCAUGUUGAUAAUACUUGUAGAUAAUAGCUUCUGGUUUAACCACCUAAUUAAUCAUCUAAUUAAGGUGAUUUUAUUGGUUUAAUUCUGGUUUAGUUGGUUUGUUUUACUAUACAUUGUUGUAACAAUUAACCUUUCUUGAUCAUUAAUGAGAAUCAGAGAUUUCACCAUGUUUCUCUCUCGAUCCAUGGUUACUAAUAUGGUAUCAGAGCAUUUUUUGCUUGCGUUUCUCUGAAUUUCUUCGAUUUCUCAUCGAUUUCUCAUUGUUUUUCUUCAUCUUCUUCGUUUUUCACCGGCGGAUUGUUGCAUCGAUUCCGGAUCUGUGUCAAAUUUGAGCUUGAACGGAGCAGAAUCACCUUCUGAGCUUCCGAUUUAGCUUCUUAUCGCACAUUUGAGCUUCGAUUCACUCGUCAUGGGGAAACAAAAGAAGAAAACACCAAAUCGGAGCAAAUCUCCGGUCUCGGAGUACUCUCCGAUGAAGACUCGAGCUGGAUCUUCGUAUCCAGUUGCCGAUGACAUCGUUGAUGCUCCUUCUCUUACUUACGCGGCUGCGCGAGGCAAGAUUCAAUCGAUUUCCGCAGAGAUUGAAUCGUUUGAUAAUGCGCAUAGUCCGUUCUUCCUUCACUCUUCCGAUCAUCCAGGUCUGUCUAUUGUCUCACACAUUCUUGAUGGAACGAAUUACAAUAACUGGUCAAUUGCUAUGAAGAUGAGUUUGGAUGCAAAGAAUAAGCUGAGUUUUGUUGAUGGAUCUCUUCCGCGACCUGAAAUUGAUAAUCGUAUGUUCAAGAUAUGGAGUAGGUGUAAUAGCAUGGUUAAAGCAUGGAUGUUGAAUGUAGUGAAUAAGGAAAUAUAUGAUAGUAUUCUAUACUAUGAGGAUGCUGCUGAGAUGUGGAAUGAUCUUUUUCUGAGGUUUCGUGUUAGUAAUCUUCCACGCAAGUAUCAGUUAGAGCAAUCUAUUCAUACCUUGAAGCAAGGUAACUUGGAUUUGUCAACCUAUUACACCAAGAAGAAAACACUCUGGGAACAAUUGGCUAAUACUAGAGUUAUUUCAGUGAAGAAAUGUAACUGUGAUCAUGUUAAAGAAUUGAUUGAAGAAGCUGAAACUAGCAAGAUCAUACAGUUCCUUAUGGGCUUAAAUGAUAGUUUUGCUCAUCAGAGGACAAAUUCUGAAUAUGAAGCCAAGACCAUGUUUGACUGAGAUAUACAACAUGCUUGACCAAGAUGAGAGUCAGCGGAUUGUAGGAGGUUCUCAUACUUCUAUUCUCUCCAGUCCAGCUUCAGCAUUUCAGGUUCAAGUGUCACAAACAUCUGACCAGUCUCAUGUCAACUUGACUCAAGGUUCAUAUCAGAAGCCUAAAUGUUCCUACUGUCACAAGCUUGGUCAUACUGCUGACAAAUGUUACAAACAGCAUGGAUACCCUCCUGGAGCUAAGUGGAAGAAGGCUCAGACUAUUGGGACUACAAAUCUUGCUGCUGUGACACAACUCCCACCAGUGGUUGAUCAAUCUAGUGAAAAGAUAGAUUAUGAAGAGUUGUCAAAUGAUCAGAUACAGACUGUGAUCUCUUAUCUUAGCAACAAGCUUCAUACUACAUCAGUGGAACCUAUACAGACUCAGUCUUGUGCCUCGACUUCAACUUCUGUACAUGUGAUCUCCCAGAUUUCAGGUACCUUUCUGGCUUUAUAUUCUAAUUCUUACUAUGACAUGCUAAUUUCUUCUAUCUCUAAAGAACCGGCUGUGUCUCCUAGAGCUUGGGUAAUAGAUUCAGGGGCUACUCACCAUGUUACACACAAUAGAAGCCUUUAUAUAGAUUUUAGAGCCUUAGACAAUACCUUCGUAAGACUCCAUAAUGAUUGUACUGUUAGAAUAGUGGGCAUAGGAUACAUUAAGCUAUCUGAUGCAAUCUCUCUCCACAAUGUGCUUUAUAUUCCUGAGUUUAAAUUUAACUUGAUCAGUGUUAGUGUUUUAACAAAGACUUUAAAGUCAAAAGUUAGCUUUACAUCUGAUGAAUGUUUUGUUCAGGAACUUACACAGGAGUUAAUGAUUGGAAAAGGUUGUCAAGUUGGCAAUCUAUAUGUCUUGGAUUUCAAUGUGUCUAAUCAUUCUGUUUCUUUAAAAGGUACCAAUACUAUAUGCUCUGAAAAUCCUAUUUGUUCUUCUGUUGUUGUUGAUUCCUAUACAUGGCAUAAGAGAUUAGGUCAUCCUGCUCAUUCAAAAGUUGAUUUGUUAUCUGAUGUUUUGAAUCUCAUAGAUAUAAAGAUAAAUAAAGAUUCUUUACCUGUGUGUCAUGUUUGUCACUUGUCAAAACAGAAACAUUUAUCUUUUAAAUCUAGACAAAACAUGUGUAAAUCUGCAUUUGAUUUAGUUCAUAUAGAUACUUGGGGUCCAUUUUCUGUUCCUACUAUAGAUGGUUUCAAAUACUUCUUAACAAUUGUUGAUGACUAUAGUAGAGCUACUUGGGUCUAUUUGCUAAAGAAUAAAUCAGAUGUUUUGCAUGUUUUUCCUAGUUUUAUUAAUAUGAUUCAAACGCAAUUUCAGAAGAAAGUUAAAUCGGUUAGAUCUGAUAAUGCACAUGAAUUAAAAUUCAAUGAUUUGUUUGCUGAAAAUGGAAUUAUUGCUUAUCAUUCAUGUCCUGAAACUCCAGAACAAAAUUCUGUGGUAGAGAGAAAGCAUCAACAUAUCUUAAAUGUUGCUAGAGCCCUCUUAUUUCAAUCCAAUAUUCCAUUAGAAUUCUGGGGUGAUUGCAUAUUAACAGCUGUGUUCUUAAUAAAUAGACUACCCACACCUAUUUUGGAAAAUAAAUCUCCUUAUGAAAAGCUUACCAAUACGGCUCCUACUUAUGACUCUUUAAAGACUUUUGGGUGUUUAUGUUAUAGUUCAACAUCCCCUAAGCAUAGAAAUAAGUUUGAACCUAGGGCUAGAGCUUGUGUUUUCUUAGGAUAUCCCACAGGUUAUAAAGGGUAUAAGCUAUUAGACAUAGAGACACAUGCCGUUUCUAUUUCAAGACAUGUCAUUUUUCAUGAGGAUAUUUUUCCUUUCUUAUCAUCUACCAUCACUGAUGAUAUGAAAGCUUUCUUUCCUCUAUUACAGUUUCCUGGCCAAACCGAUGAUUUGCCUCUUGUGCAAACAUCAAUUCCUAAUGCACAUCCCCAUCAAGAUGUGUCAUCUUCUAAGGCUUUGAUUCCUUCUGAGUCAAUGUCUACUAGACAAAAGAAACCCCCAAAACACUUGCAGGAUUUUCUUUGUUAUAAUAAUACUACUAGUAUUAAUCCUAAUAUACUCUAUCCAAUCACAAAUUAUGUUUCUUAUUCUUAUCUAGCUGAGCCUUUCCAUGCUUUCAUUAAUACCAUCACAAAUGAUAUAAUCCCACAAAGAUAUUCAGAGGCAAAAGUCUUUGAUGUAUGGUGUACUGCUAUGAAGGAGGAGAUUGGUGCUAUGACAAGAACUCGCACAUGGAGUAUUUGUUGUUUGCCAGCGAAUAAGAAGGCUAUUGGUUGUAAGUGGGUCUUUACAAUCAAGUAUAAUGCAGAUGGAAGUAUAGAAAGAUACAAGGCGCGCUUAGUAGCAAAAGGAUAUACUCAACAAGAGGGUUUGGACUAUGAGGAGACAUUUUCUCCUGUUGCCAAGUUAACUUCAGUGAGAAUGAUGUUAUUGUUGGCUGCUAAGUUGAGAUGGUCAAUUCAUCAACUUGACAUUUCUAAUGUGUUCUUGAAUGGUGAUUUGGAUGAAGAGAUAUAUAUGAAGGUUCCCCCUGGUUAUGCAGAUCUUAUAGGAGAGGCUUUACCUCCUAAUGCUGUGUGUAGAUUGCACAAAUCCAUUUAUGGACUUAAACAAGCCUCGCGACAGUGGUUUCUCAAGCUCUCUGCAACUCUGAAGACCAUGAGAUUUGGAAAAUCUAAUGCUGAUCAUACUUUGUUUACCAAGUAUGUUGAUGGAGUUUUUCUUGGUGUUCUAGUCUACGUGGAUGAUAUCUUGAUUGUCAGUAAUAGUGAUGCUGCAGUAGCAGGUUUUAUAGAAGAACUGAAGAUGUUUUUCAAGUUAAGAGAUCUUGGUACAACAAAGUACUUCCUUGGUUUGGAGAUAGCCAAGACUCAUGAAGGUAUUUCAAUUUGUCAGAGAAAAUACAUUUUGGAAUUGCUUUCUCUUACUGGUUUUAUUGGAAGUAAACCAUCUGCUGCGCCUUUGGAUCCAAGUGUGAAACUAAGGAAAGAUGUUGGAGUUCCUGUAAGUGAUCCAUCUGCAUAUCGAAAGCUGGUGGGGAAAUUGAUGUAUUUGCAGUUAACUAGACCAGAUAUUGCCUUUGCUGUCAAUACUUUAUGCCAAUUCUCACAUGAUCCAAGAGACAUUCAUUUGAAUGUUGUGCAUAAAGUAUUGAGAUAUUUGAAGGGAACAGCAGGGCAGGGUCUGUUUUAUCCUACAGAUGAUACCUUUGAUCUCCGGGGUUAUACUGAUGCUGAUUGGGGAACUUGUAAAAACAAUAGAAGAUCAGUUACUGGCUACUGCAUGUUUAUUGGUAACUCUCUGGUUUCUUGGCGUUCACAAAAGCAAGAUUCAGUUUCUAUGAGUUCUGCAGAGUCAGAGUUUAGAGCAAUGUCUUCUGGUACUAAGGAAAUGAUUUGGCUUUCUAGGCUUCUUAAUGACUUCAAAGUUCCUUUCAAGCCUCCUGCUUAUCUUUAUUGUGACAAUACUGCUGCAAUCCACAUUGCUAAUAAUUCACUAUUUCACGAGAGAACAAAGCAUGUGGAGCUUGACUGUUACAAGACCAGGGAGCAGAUUGAUUCUGGUUUUCUCAAGACUAUGUAUGUGAAGACUGAAGAACAAUUAGCAGAUCCUUUAACCAAAGCAUUGUAUCCGGCACCAUUUCGGGAGCUUAUAGCCAAGAUGGGUGUUUGCGAUAUCUACGCACCACUGCCAUCUUGAGGGAGGCUAUUAGAAUCAUAUAGUUAGUCUCAUGUUGAUAAUACUUGUAGAUAAUAGCUUCUGGUUUAACCACCUAAUUAAUCAUCUAAUUNNNNNNNNNNNNNNNNNNNNNNNNNNNNNNNNNNNNNNNNNNNNNNNNNNNNNNNNNNNNNNNNNNNNNNNNNNNNNNNNNNNNNNNNNNNNNNNNNNNNCAGUUACCAUUCGGACCCUUUAUUCUAACAGCGGCCACUGUAUACCCGCCUUAAUAUUACAUAUACGAGAAAUAAGAGAAAGCGAGAAAAACGGAAAAGAGACACGGAGCAACUCCAACUUGUCUAGCAGAUUGGAGAAUGCGGGCCAUUCUUCAGGAGACUGAACCAUCGAGACUAAGUCAGAACAAUCUGUUUCAAAAGCCUGACAAUCAAUUCUUCUUGAAAGGAUAUUCUUCAUAGCCCAAAUUAAAGCUUCCAACUCCGAGUGAAGGGGGGAGAGACAUCUCCGAAGGCAUUUUGCACCAAGCAGCAAAGUUUGAUCAGUUCCUUGAAAACACCACCAUCCUAUACCCAUAGUUGGGUCCGAAGAUUUCCAAGAGCCAUCAAUCCGACAUUUUAUAGAUUGGAUUGGGCUUUCCAUAAUUUCCGUCAUAGUGUUAUCUUCCAUUGGAUCCAAUUGAGCUUCUUCCCACAUUAAUUUUUCACUCAAAGCGUGAUUUAAAAUAUCUGUGGGUUCAGAUUGUAUUCCUUUGAAAACCUUCUUAUUUCUAUCUUUCCAUAUAAACCACAAAAUCCAAGCAUAACAGUAAGAUUUCUCCGCCCCAUCUACAGGAUGUGGUAUCCUCCAAUAAAGAUAGUCUAGAUUAGAGAAUUCCGACCUUAGAGGAAAACUACCUGAUACCAUAGGUAUUUCGGAUAAUUCCCAGACUUUUUGAGAAUGUGGGCACUCAAAUAAAGCAUGAUUAAUUGUUUCCUCAGCCAUCUCACAUCUUUUACAGGUAAUAUCACACCGAAUCCCUCGAUGAGCUAAUUUUGAAGUUACUGCUAAGGAUCCCGAAGCGAUUUGCCAUAAAAAGUGUUUUAUUUUUGGAGGGGCUUUGGCUUUCCAAGCUUGUGCUUGUAAAAUUUUACAAUUUGGACCCCAUUCAAUCGAUUCAGUCAUCCCUCGGGCAAGCCGAUAGCCUGACUUUACUGUAUAUCUCCCUGAGUUUGUAUGAUGCCAAAUAAGCCUAUCUGGCUUCUGAACUUGACUAAUAGUAAGUCCUCGAAUUAAUUGAAUAUCCACCGGAUCCAUAAAUUCAUGUAGAAUAGGAAGGUGCCAUUCUUUAGUAACCGGAUUAAUUAAAUGGUUUACCAUUAGAUUUGGAUGUAACAAUUUUCCUCUUCCAUUUACGGGACGUGGAAUAACAUCCGGAAGCCAAGGAUCUCUCCAGACCGAUAAGUUGUAACCUGAACCUAGGGACCAUCUUGCUCCCACUUCAACCAAGCUUUUGGUCGAAAAUAUACUCUUCCAUCCAAACGAUGGAGAGUUUGGUUUUUUUGCUUGUAAAGGAUGAAUAUUCCUGAAAUAUCUACCUUUUAGUACUCGAGCUACUAAGGAGUUUGGAAAAUGUAUUAAUCGCCAGUACUGUUUUGCCAACAUGGCAUCAUUAAACGUGUCUAGAGAGUGAAAGCUCAAACCACCUUUAUCUUUAUCCAUACACAAUUUUUCCCAAGCAAUCCAAUGGAUCCCACGGUCUCUCCCAUUGGAACUCCACCAAUAAUUUGAGAUUGCACUUGUUAACUUAGAUAUUAACUCUUGAGGAAGUUUAAAACAAGACAUCACAUAGGUUGGCAGAGCCAACGCAACUGACUUAAUCAUCGUCUCUUUCCCACCUUUUGACAGAUAUUUAGCAGACCAGCCAUUAAUCCGUUCAUUAAAUCUUUCCCGGACGUAGUUGAAAAUUUUACUUUUUGAGCCGCCAAGGCUCUCAGGUAUACCCAAAUAGGUACCCAUUCCACCUUCCUUUGUAAUUCCAAGGAAAUUUUUCAAUUCCUCUUUUUUUUUGGUUUGGUACACGAUGACCAAACACGAUCGAAGAUUUAUUAAAAUUUAUCUCUUGCCCCGAAGCUUUACCAUAAUUUCCAAUAAUAUCCAUCACUGUUUUACAUUGCUCCAUAUCUGCUUUACAGAAAAAUAGACUAUCAUCCGCAAAAAGCAAAUGUGAAAUAGGAGGACUCCUUUUUGCUAUUUUAAUUCCGGUCAACCUCUUCUCUCUUUCCGCUUUUUUUAAUAUUAGCAAUCAGGACCUCUGUACAUAAAAUAAACAAAUAAGGGGAUAGGGGAUCGCCUUGUCGUAAACCUCUGUUGGGAAUUAUAUGUCCUCUAGGUUCCCCAUUUAAUAAAACCUGAUACGAAACUGAACUAACACUCCACAUAAUCCAAGAGAUCCAAUUUGAAUUGAAUCCUAAACGAGACAUAACCGCUUCUAGAAACUCCCAUUCGAUCCUGUCAUACGCUUUGCUCAUAUCUGUUUUAAUUGCCAAGAAAUCCGUUUUACACAUUCUAUUUGUCCGUAAUCCAUGAAACAUUUCCUGAGCAAGCAAAAUAUUAUCUGUAAUAAGUCUACCUGAAACGAAAGCCGAUUAUGUUUCAGAAACUAGCCGUGGUAAAAUCUUUUUAAGCCGCAAACAUAGAAUUUUCGAAAUUUUCGAAAUUGUCCGUAAUCCGUUUUUUUUUUUUUUUUUUAAACGCAAAUCUGUCAGAAAAAAUGUGAUUGGUGAGUACACUGCGGUUUUGUGGGAAAAAUUAGAAAAACGCCUUUUUUGUGUUCCCCAUUCAGAAUGUUAUUCUCAUUUUAAUUUUAAGAGAUUCACGACAAGUAAAUCACUAAUUUUUUGUCGUAUAUAGAACACACCAAAAAAAAAGAGAAAUUCCCCAAAAUAGCACUUAAACAAGUUUUAUGGACAAUAAUAGCACACACUCCAUAAACUUCCAAAAAUAGCACUAGUUGACUUACUACUAAGUUUUUGUUCUAAAAGUAUUAUCACUAGUUUAUUUUUUCAAUAUAACUAUAAUUUUUAUAUAAAAACUAUUCAACCAAAAUAAAUUAUAAAUAAAUUUGAAAUAUUAUAUUCGGGUUCUCUAUUUCCAAUUUAGGGUAUAUAUUUCUACCAUUUAAAAGAGAUUUUGAUUCAUUUUAAUAUUAGUUUAUGGUAUUAUAUUUUAGUUCCCUAUUUCCAAUCUAGGGUAUAUAUUUCCACCAUUUAAAAGAGAUUUUUCAUUUUAAUAUUAGGUUAUGGUGUUAUAUUUGGGUUCCCUAUUUCCAAUCUAGGUUAUAUAUUUGCACUAUUUAAAAGAAAUUUUGAUUCAAUUUAAUAUUAGGUUAGUGUUUGCUUUCAUUUUUAUUUUCUAUCUUAUAUUUUAGUUAAGUUUAAUUGAAGUUUAUGGUGCUAUUUGUGGAAUUUUAGAAAUGUUGUGCUAAUUUUAGAAGAAAAACUUUUUUUGGUGCUAUUUUUGUCAAUUGCCCAAAAAAAAAUAUUUUAUUGUAUUUAAUGUUCCGUUCUUUGCUAAAUCUCAUUCUUGGGCCGACUGCGUCUUUGGCCCAACUUUUGAUAAAUUUUAAAUUGAAUUGGUGGACUUUUAAUGAGGUUAGUGGGGCGAAUUUCAUGUGAGAAUCGAGAUCCAACAUUUAUGCUGAAACUAAAAACCGAACCAAAACUUCUAACUGAAACCACGUCGAGGUUUGAUCAUUUCGAUUAUUACGAUAGGCUCAAGUACUAUAAAAUACAUUUGGUUUAUAGCUCAUGUCAUGAUGUCAAAUAAUUGAAAUCAGAAUUCAAAAUUGACAUAAAAAUUAGAAAAGAUUGCAAUAUUCUUUUUUUUAUUUUGCAACCCAUUAUUUUAUUAAAUUAUAUUUGGUGAUUGUAUAUAUAUAGAUAAUAAAGAAAUAUCAAUUUCCACAAUUAAAACUGCAUAGGCAGGUCUGGUCUAAUGGUUCGAAUCCAGGUGGUUCACACGAUCCUUUAACUCCUACUCCUUUCCACUUGGUAGAACACUCUUGGUUACACUGAUUAAUUUCACAGUGUUCUGCUUGAAUAUAGUCAUGACAUGUUUUGCCUUGCGUCUCCUCCAUCACCAUUCCUAAUAAUACAUUUUAAAACAUAUACUAAUAUCAUUUUAAUUAUUUUUUGUUACAAAAAUAAAAAGUUGAUGAACAGAAAACCAACAAAAAAAAGAGAGAGAAACACAGAAUAUUUAAUAUAUUUUGUGUAGAGCAUACCAAUAACUAAGAGAACCAUGAAAAUUGUGAGAGCAGUGUUUUUAGUCAUCUUUGAUGAUACAAUUAAAACAAAAAUGAUGGAUGUAAUUGUAUUGUGAAUGAUGUGUAUAUAUAUAUGAUAAGUUGGAUGCAUGCAUCUAUAUUUACAAAACUAUCAUGAAUUAUAAAAAAUAUAAAGUAAUCAGUUAGUAAUUAAUUAGAUGCUUGAAUUAGUGUUAACCCAAAAAAAAGAGCAAAGAAAUCUGUUAGUAAUUAAUUAGAUGCUUGAAUCGGAAAAAACCAUCAAAAGACAUAUCUAGAAAUUAAUUAAAAGUGAAAACAUAUAAGCAGGUUAUAAAUCAUAAUAGAUGCUGACUUUAAUUAAACUAUGUCAUAAAUGAAUAAAAAUAUGAUAAACUCAACAAAUAUUAAAUAGAUGCUGUUAAAAACAUAUAUAUAUAUAAUAUGAAAUAUAUUUAAUUAUUAUUUUUAUAUGAUAACUAAUAUUGAAGGUUUGCUUAAUCAUGUUUAAGUAAUUUAUUAGUUUAAAUGUAGGGCAUUUGCAAAAAAUACCUUUUUUCCUAAGCCUUUUUCGAAAAUACAUCUUCCUAUUGUCCAUUUUUAUUUUAUAUACACAAUGACUAAAUUACUAUUUUUAAAGUGAGAGCAGAUAAUGAGCCAAAAUUUAUUUUUCCCGCUAAAACAUUUCCGUAGAGGUCAAAAUCUUCCCGCUAUAAAAAUUUCCGCCAAAAUUUACCAGCCCCAAAUUUUCUUGCCAAAAUUUGAAUUUAGAAAGCUUUAAAAAAAUAUUUAAAAAUAUUUUCUUGUAAAUUUUUUAAAACCCUUAUAAAACUCUUUAAAAACCCUUGUAUAAAUUCUUUAAAAUCUUUGUAAAUCUUUUUAAAAUUCUUAUAAAGUUCUUAUAAAAAACCCCUGUAAAUCCUUUUAUACCUCUGUAAAAUCUUUUAAAACACUUGUAAUUUUUUUUUAAAACACUUAUAAAUCUUUUGAAACCCUUUAAAAACCUUUGUAAAUUUUUAAAAACCCUUGUAAAUUCUUCAAAACGCUUUCAAAACACUUGUAAACCCUUAAAAAUCUUUUAAAGAGCUUUGAAAUUUUAAAAAAACAUUUUUAAAUCCUUUUAAAACCCUUGUCCCCCAAAAAUUUAUGGGAUCACGUUUCCCGCCAAAAACUACGGGAUCAUUUUAUUUUUGGCAGGAAAUUCACUUAAAAAGAGGGUAAAAUGGCAAGAAAAUGGGGCAUUUUUGAAAAAAAGGUAUCAAAGAAACGGUAUUUCUAACAAUUUUUCAGAAUAAAUUAGUAAUUAAUUGGAAGCUUAAAUCGGAAAAAACUAUGAAAAAAAAUUGAAAACAUAUCCAUAAAUUAAAUAAAAGUGAAAACGAAUAAGACUGUUAUAAAUCAUAAUUGAUACUACAUCAUAAAUGAAUAAAAAUUUGAUAAAGUCAACAAAUAUUAAAUAGAUGCUAGAAACAAAACCUAAAUAUAUAAAACAUGAAAUAUAAUAUUUAAUAAUCUAAUUUAAAACUUUAAAAUGAUAAUUCAUAUUGAUGGUUUGCUUAAUCAUGGUUCUUGCCUAACACAAGAGAAGAUUUACACUUGAUGGAGUACCAAAAGAAUCGUAGACAAUAGAUGGACAUUAAUUCUACAUCAAAUUCAAGCUUAGAAGGAGCAUAUAAAAAGUAGGCGCUUCCUUAAUUCCUCCUCAACAUUACAUAUAGAAGGCAAGUUUGUUCUACAACGAAACUCCACCAAGAAAUCCUAUCAAAGGUUGGGUUGCGGUUAAGAACUAUUAGAAUCAUAUAGUUAGUCUCAUGUUGAUAAUACUUGUAGAUAAUAGCUUCUGGUUUAACCACCUAAUUAAUCAUCUAAUUAAGGUGAUUUCAUUGGUUUAAUUCUGGUUUAGUUAGUUUGUUUUACUAUACAUUGUUGUAACAAUUAACCUUUCUUGAUCAUUAAUGAGAAUCAGAGAUUUCACCAUGUUUCUCUCUCGAUCUAUGGUUACUAAUAUGGUAUCAGAGCAUUUUUUGCUUGCGUUUCUCUGAAUUUCUUCGAUUUCUCAUCGAUUUCUCAUUGUUUUUCUUCAUCUUCUUCGUUUUUCACAGGCGGAUUGUUGCAUCGAUUUCGGAUCUGUGUCAAAUUUGAGCUUGAACGGAGCAGAAUCACCUUCUGAGCUUCCGAUUUAGCUUCUUAUCGCACAUUUGAGCUUCGAUUCACUCGUCAUGGGGAAACAAAAGAAGAAAACACCAAAUCGGAGCAAAUCUCCGGUCUCGGAGUACUCUCCGAUGAAGACUCGAGCUGGAUCUUCGUAUCCAGUUGCCGAUGACAUCGUUGAUGCUCCUUCUCUUACUUACGCGGCUGCGCGAGGCAAGAUUCAAUCGAUUUCCGCAGAGAUUGAAUCGUUUGAUAAUGCGCAUAGUCCGUUCUUCCUUCACUCUUCCGAUCAUCCAGGUCUGUCUAUUGUCUCACACAUUCUUGAUGGAACGAAUUACAAUAACUGGUCAAUUGCUAUGAAGAUGAGUUUGGAUGCAAAGAAUAAGCUGAGUUUUGUUGAUGGAUCUCUUCCGCGACCUGAAAUUGAUAAUCGUAUGUUCAAGAUAUGGAGUAGGUGUAAUAGCAUGGUUAAAGCAUGGAUGUUGAAUGUAGUGAAUAAGGAAAUAUAUGAUAGUAUUCUAUACUAUGAGGAUGCUGCUGAGAUGUGGAAUGAUCUUUUUCUGAGGUUUCGUGUUAGUAAUCUUCCACGCAAGUAUCAGUUAGAGCAAUCUAUUCAUACCUUGAAGCAAGGUAACUUGGAUUUGUCAACCUAUUACACCAAGAAGAAAACACUCUGGGAACAAUUGGCUAAUACUAGAGUUAUUUCGGUGAAGAAAUGUAACUGUGAUCAUGUUAAAGAAUUGAUUGAAGAAGCUGAAACUAGCAAGAUCAUACAGUUCCUUAUGGGCUUAAAUGAUAGUUUUGCUCAUCAGAGGACAGAUUCUGAAUAUGAAGCCAAGACCAUGUUUGACUGAGAUAUACAACAUGCUUGACCAAGAUGAGAGUCAGCGGAUUGUAGGAGGUUCUCAUACUUCUAUUCUCUCCAGUCCAGCUUCAGCAUUUCAGGUUCAAGUGUCACAAACAUCUGACCAGUCUCAUGUCAACUUGACUCAAGGUUCAUAUCAGAAGCCUAAAUGUUCCUACUGUCACAAGCUUGGUCAUACUGCUGACAAAUGUUACAAACAGCAUGGAUACCCUCCUGGAGCUAAGUGGAAGAAGGCUCAGACUAUUGGGACUACAAAUCUUGCUGCUGUGACACAACUCCCACCAGUGGUUGAUCAAUCUAGUGAAAAGAUAGAUUAUGAAGAGUUGUCAAAUGAUCAGAUACAGACUGUGAUCUCUUAUCUUAGCAACAAGCUUCAUACUACAUCAGUGGAACCUAUACAGACUCAGUCUUGUGCCUCGACUUCAACUUCUAUACCUGUGAUCUCCCAGAUUUCAGGUACCUUUCUGGCUUUAUAUUCUAAUUCUUACUAUGACAUGCUAAUUUCUUCUAUCUCUAAAGAACCGGCUGUGUCUCCUAGAGCUUGGGUAAUAGAUUCAGGGGCUACUCACCAUGUUACACACAAUAGAAGCCUUUAUAUAGAUUUUAGAGCCUUAGACAAUACCUUCGUAAGACUCCAUAAUGAUUGUACUGUUAGAAUAGUGGGCAUAGGAUACAUUAAGCUAUCUGAUGCAAUCUCUCUCCACAAUGUGCUUUAUAUUCCUGAGUUUAAAUUUAACUUGAUCAGUGUUAGUGUUUUAACAAAGACUUUAAAGUCAAAAGUUAGCUUUACAUCUGAUGAAUGUUUUGUUCAGGAACUUACACAGGAGUUAAUGAUUGGAAAAGGUUGUCAAGUUGGCAAUCUAUAUGUCUUGGAUUUCAAUGAGUCUAAUCAUUCUGUUUCUUUAAAAGGUACCAAUACUAUAUGCUCUGAAAAUCCUAUUUGUUCUGUUGUUGUUGAUUCCUAUACAUGGCAUAAGAGAUUAGGUCAUCCUGCUCAUUCAAAAGUUGAUUUGUUAUCUGAUGUUUUGAAUCUCAAAGAUAUAAAGAUAAAUAAAGAUUCUUUACCUGUGUGUCAUGUUUGUCACUUGUCAAAACAGAAACAUUUAUCUUUUAAAUCUAGACAAAACAUGUGUAAAUCUGCAUUUGAUUUAGUUCAUAUAGAUACUUGGGGUCCAUUUUCUGUUCCUACUAUAGAUGGUUUCAAAUACUUCUUAACAAUUGUUGAUGACUAUAGUAGAGCUACUUGGGUCUAUUUGCUAAAGAAUAAAUCAGAUGUUUUGCAUGUUUUUCCUAGUUUUAUUAAUAUGAUUCAAACGCAAUUUCAGAAGAAAGUUAAAUCGGUUAGAUCUGAUAAUGCACAUGAAUUAAAAUUCAAUGAUUUGUUUGCUGAAAAUGGAAUUAUUGCUUAUCAUUCAUGUCCUGAAACUCUAGAACAAAAUUCUGUGGUAGAGAGAAAGCAUCAACAUAUCUUAAAUGUUGCUAGAGCCCUCUUAUUUCAAUCCAAUAUUCCAUUAGAAUUCUGGGGUGAUAGCAUAUUAACAGCUGUGUUCUUAAUAAAUAGACUACCCACACCUGUUUUGGAAAAUAAAUCUCCUUAUGAAAAGCUUACCAAUACGGCUCCUACUUAUGACUCUUUAAAGACUUUUGGGUGUUUAUGUUAUAGUUCAACAUCCCCUAAGCAUAGAAAUAAGUUUGAACCUAGGGCUAGAGCUUGUGUUUUCUUAGGAUAUCCCACAGGUUAUAAAGGGUAUAAGCUAUUAGACAUAGAGACACAUGCCGUUUCUAUUUCAAGACAUGUCAUUUUUCAUGAGGAGAUUUUUCCUUUCUUAUCAUCUACCAUCACUGAUGAUAUGAAAGCUUUCUUUCCUCUAUUACAGUUUCCUGCCCAAACCGAUGAUUUGCCUCUUGUGCAAACAUCAAUUCCUGAUGCACAUCCCCAUCAAGAUGUGUCAUCUUCUAAGGCUUUGAUUCCUUCUGAGUCAAUGUCUACUAAACAAAAGAAACCCCCAAAACACUUGCAGGAUUUUCUUUGUUAUAAUAAUACUACUAGUAUUAAUCCUAAUAUACUCUAUCCAAUCACAAAUUAUGUUUCUUAUUCUUAUCUAGCUGAGCCUUUCCGUGCUUUCAUUAAUACCAUCACAAAUGAUAUAAUCCCACAAAGAUAUUCAGAGGCAAAAGACUUUGAUGUAUGGUGUACUGCUAUGAAGGAGGAGAUUGGUGCUAUGACAAGAAUUCGCACAUGGAGUAUUUGUUGUUUGCCAGCGAAUAAGAAGGCUAUUGGUUGUAAGUGGGUCUUUACAAUCAAGUAUAAAUGCAGAUGGAAGUAUUAGAAAGAUUACAAGGCGCGCUUAGUAAGCAAAGGAUAUACUCAACAAGAGGGUUUGGACUAUGAGGAGACAUUUUCUCCUGUUGCCAAGUUAACUUCAGUGAGAAUGAUGUCAUUGUUGGCUGCUAAGUUGAGAUGGUCAAUUCAUCAACUUGACAUUUCUAAUGUGUUCUUGAAUGGUGAUUUGGAUGAAGAGAUAUAUAUGAAGGUUCCCCCUGGUUAUGCAGAUCUUAUAGGAGAGGCUUUACCUCCUAAUGCUGUGUGUAGAUUGCACAAAUCCAUUUAUGGACUUAAACAAGCCUCGCGACAGUGGUUUCUCAACCUCUCUGCAACUCUGAAGACCAUGAGAUUUGGGAAAUCUAAUGCUGAUCAUACUUUGUUUACCAAGUAUGUUGAUGGAGUUUUUCUUGGUGUUCUAGUCUACGUGGAUGAUAUCUUGAUUGUCAGUAAUAGUGAUGCUGCAGUAGCAGGUUUUAUAGAAGAACUGAAGAUGUUUUUCAAGUUAAGAGAUCUUGGUACAACAAAGUACUUCCUUGGUUUGGAGAUAGCCAAGACUAAUGAAGGUAUUUCAAUUUGUCAGAGAAAAUACAUUUUGGAAUUGCUUUCUCUUACUGAUUUUCUUGGAAGUAAACCAUCUGCUGCGCCUUUGGAUCCAAGUGUGAAACUAAGGAAAGAUGUUGGAGUUCCUGUAAGUGAUCCAUCCGCAUAUCGAAAGCUGGUGGGGAAAUUGAUGUAUUUGCAGUUAACUAGACCAGAUAUUGCCUUUGCUGUCAAUACUUUAUGCCAAUUCUCACAUGAUCCAAGAGACAUUUCAUUUGAAUGUUGUGCAUAAAGUAUUGAGAUAUUUGAAGGGAACAGCAGGGCAGGGUCUGUUUUAUCAUGCAGAUGAUACCUUUGAUCUCCGGGUUAUACUGAUGCUGAUUGGGGAACUUGUAAAAACAAUAGAAGAUCAGUUAUUGGCUACUGCAUGUUUAUUGGUAACUCUCUGGUUUCUUGGCGUUCACAAAAGCAAGAUUCAGUUUCUAUGAGUUCUGCAGAGUCAGAGUUUAGAGCAAUGUCUUCUGGUACUAAGGAAAUGAUUUGGCUUUCUAGGCUUCUUAAUGACUUCAAAGUUCCUUUCAAGCCUCCUGCUUAUCUUUAUUGUGACAAUACUGCUGCAAUCCACAUUGCUAAUAAUUCACUAUUUCACGAGAGAACAAAGCAUGUGGAGCUUGACUGUUACAAGACCAGGGAGCAGAUUGAUUCUGGUUUUCUCAAGACUAUGUAUGUGAAGACUGAAGAACAAUUAGCAGAUCCUUUAACCAAAGCAUUGUAUCCGGCACCAUUUCGGGAGCUUAUUGCCAAGAUGGGUGUUUGCGAUAUCUACGCACCACUGCCAUCUUGAGGGAGGCUAUUAGAAUCAUAUAGUUAGUCUCAUGUUGAUAAUACUUGUAGAUAAUAGCUUCUGGUUUAACCACCUAAUUAAUCAUCUAAUUAAGGUGAUUUCAUUGGUUUAAUUCUGGUUUAGUUGGUUUGUUUUACUAUACAUUGUUGUAACAACCUUUCUUGAUCAUUAAUGAGAAUCAGAGAUUUCACCAUGUUUCUCUCUCGAUCCAUGGUUACUAAUAAGAACAAAGAACCAAACAGUGAAGGCAUGCUUUGGGAUUCUUGCCUUAUACUAUUCCAAAUAACACAAGAAGAGAAAGAAUUAUGAGGUUACGUAAUUCACUACAGGAAAUGUGGGUAUUGAUAGCACUAAAAGAUAGCGUUUUUUAUGUCUAUGCUAUGUUUGACUUAAUGGAUAGCGUUUUGUGAAUUGUAAACGCUAUAAAUGAUUGAAGCGGGAUAUAUGAAAUUCACGCGGCCAAUUUUCGGGUUACUAAAGUUCAAUUCCCGCUAUUGAAAAUGUUAAGAGGGAAAAAAUUUCUGAUUUUGUCUAAGGCAAAAUAAAUGAAAACAAUAAAAAUCACUUUUGCAUUUUUUUCCCUCACUAACAAAGAUAAAACACUUAGAAAAAAAAAAAGCAAAAAGAACACUAAGCUUUCUCUCGUGUUCCCCUUCUCUCUUUCUAUCUACCUGUACAAAGCUUUGUCGUUGUCGCCGUGAAAUUCCGAGACGACCUUCACCGCCGUUGUCGUCGCUGGCAUCUUAUUCCAAUUUCACAGGUAUAAUUUGAGUUUUAGGUUGAAUCUUUAAGAGUUUAGGUUGGUAUAUAUCGAUUUAGGGUUCUUCAAUGUCGACUGAUAAAUCUCUUCAGUUAAUUGUCUCUUCUUCCAUGUAUCGUUUGGACUUGUGUUAUUUUUGAUUAAUUUGGGUUAAACAACUUCUAAUCCAAUUGAAAACUUCUGAUUUUUGUAGGUAGCUCUCUGGGUCAGAUUUCGUGAAGGUAUGAAUUAGGGAUUUUUAAUUUUUGUUUCAAACUUACGAAUUCGACUUGUUUCUAUGUGUAAUCCCAUAUGAUUUCACAUGAACUGUCGUAUUUUAUAAAAUAUCAAUAAGAUUCAUGUGCUGGUCCCAAUAUAUUUGACAAAAUCUGUAGCGUACUUAUUUGUUGUUCUUGUUAUUUGUGUGAAUGUCUCUUUUUGAUUUGUGAGAUCAUUUGUAUUUUUUUUCUUGACAGAUUCUAAAAAUCCUUUGUCCAAAGAAGACUUGAGCUUAAUCGUAAGAUUGUGAAUCCUUUCUCUCCUUGUUGUUCUAUUUUUGUUCUGCCAUGUUUGUUAAGGAGAUUGAAUAUGUUAGCUAAGUUUAGAGGUCCUGAUGGGUACUGUGCCAAUAUUGCAAAUUGUACUGUUUCUCUUGAUCCUCCUGUUAUUAGUGGUAUGAAGUCACAUGAUCAUCAUGUCCUUAUGCAAAACUUAUUGCCUGUUGCUUUGAGAGGAUUGCUGCCAAAAGGACCAAGAGUUGCUGUGACUCGAUUAUGCAACUACUUCAACAGGUUGUGCCAGAGUGUGAUUGAUCCAGAGAAGCUGAUUUCUAGUGAGUCUGAGUUAGUUGAGACAAUGUGCCAAAUGGAGCGGUUCUUCCCUCCUUCACUAUUCGAUAUUAUGUUCCACCUGCCUAUACACUUAGGAAGAGAGGCACGCUUGGGUGGACCUGUUCACUUUCGUUGGAUGUAUCCGUUUGAGAGGUACUUUUUAUUUUAGUUUUUCUCUCUUUAAUGUGUUUAUUAGGUUGUAGUUUAUUAGACUGUAGUUUAUGUAUUAGUAACAAAUAUGUUUUUGGAUUGAGUUGUAGGUACAUGAAAACUUUGAAAGCAUAUGUUAAAUAUUUUCAGUUGGAGAAAAGAAGCUGACUUUCAGUGAGUUUUUUAAAGACCCAUCUGGCAUGGAGGCUGUGAUCAACGCUAAGGCUUUCCAGAGUUAUCAUUUAGUUGAAGAUACUGAUGAUACUUACAAGUUCUUUCUUUAACCCUCUAGUUCAAUGUUCAUAAGACAAAAUUUUCAUACUUGUCUUGCAUAAAGGUCGUUUGCAUAUGUUUUAGGAUAUGUAUUGCUUUAAUUGUCAUCUGUAGCUUCUUAGUUUGCUCAGUAGCUGCAUAAAUUUUGAUGUCCAAGAACUGUUAAUAGAUAUUCUCAUCAGCUAGGAUUUAUCUUUGCUUGUUCUCUGAUUUGGCUAAAUUGAUGAUUGAUUCACAUAUAUAUUUUUGCGAAUAGUGAUACUGUCUCAAUACGAACCAUGUAGAUGCUUAAGUGUAUGUACAAGAAGUCCCCCUCUUUUGGUUUUAUGCUUUGAUUACUAGAUUUAAUCUGAUAGAUUCAUGUAUGUUCAUGAACAAUACUGUACAACAAAGCUGCAUGAUUAGGAUUCUAGUUUUUGUCUUAAAACAAUAUUGUACAACAAAGCUGCAGGAUUAGGAUUUUUACAAGUUCUGAUGUUACCAUCGUUGUGUUGCUUUAUUUCUGAACCUUGAUUUCUUUUCUAUGCAGCAUUGGCACUGAGCUCACAAGAGAAGACAGAAAGAAACUGUACUCUAACUUUGGUCUCCUGUAAGAAGCAUUCUACUGUCAAAUGAAUGAUCUGAUUGCAAAAAUUCUGAAAAAACAGUUGCAGAGGGCCGAGUGUGUUCAACUGAUCCUGCAGAGACAGUCCAUAACAGACCCUUAGGACCAAAUGCUUGCAAGGUCUGGGUUGAUGCUUCAAUGAUUGAUAAUGCUAAAGUGUGGAGGCCAAAUUCAGAAGUGCAAUUCAUUGCAGAUGCACAAGGCACAACUGUUGCUUGGCCUAAUGACAAAAUAGUCUAUCUCUGAAACUUCUUAAGUACUAAGUUUUUUUCCUUUAUGUUGAACAAUUUGUUGUUUUAAGUGUCGAACACUUUGUGUUUUCUUUUAUUACAUGUACUUGACUUUGUUUUCUCAUGUUACUAAUUAUAUGUUAUCUCUUUGCAAAAAUAUGUUAAACACAUGCUUAAAACAUUUUAAUUGGAAAAAAUUGAAUUAAUUAUUUUAAGGCAUGUACUUUAGGUUUCAAGUUAAAUGAUUUUAAAGAUUUUUAAGAUUUUUAAAUGAUUUUCGAAAUUUUGUAAAAGAAAAAUUAAAAAAAAAAAUGAAAUAUAAACAAAUAUAACCAAAUAUCUCAAAAAGACAUAAAUAUUUAAUUAUAAUAUUAAUAAUUACAAAAAUAAUAACAAAGUUAUAAUUUUAAAGAGUUUAGGGUAUAGAGUUUAGGGUUUAGGGUAUAGGGUAUGAAAUGUAUGGUUUAGGUUUUUGGAUUAUAUUUGUUUGAAAUAGUAAUAAUAUUAAUUAUAACAAAUAAUAACAUAAAUAAAAUUCAUUUUUAAAAAUAGUUUAGGGUUUAGGGUUUAGGGUUUAGGGUUUAGGGUUUAGGGUUUAGGGUUUAGUGUCUUAAAUAGUAGCUAAUAUUAAUGAUAUAAAGUAUUAUAAUAUAAAUGAAUUCUAUCAUUUUAUUAAUUAUAACAUCAUUAAUUUGUUUCAACAAUAUGAUUUACACAAUAAGAAGAUUAGUGUACAUGUAUUCUAAGACAAUCAUAUGUGUUACCUUCAAAUUUCUAAAUACGUUGCAAAAUAUUUUUUUAAAAUUGCGAAAAAAAUAUAUAAUCAUGUAAAUAACUCAUAAACAUAUUAAUUCAUGAAUAUAUAAUUUUUAAAAAAUUAUAUAAAUAGUAAAAACACAUUUUUAUGCCUAUAAACAAAAUAAGCCAAUCAUAAUGUUUCACUCGGAUUGCUGAUGUGGCGAGAUCUCAGCCAUUCAUCGGAUCUAAUUUACUCAAUCCAAUCAAUAAGUAAUACUCAGAUACAUGACGUGGCGAGAUCUCAUCCUUUCAAUAGCUUUGGCGGCUGCAUGUUUAAGGUAAUCUCAUCCGUUCAUCGCCUAACUAAGUCUUUGGCGAGAACAAAAUUAACAUUUUCUCUUCAACCUCUCAUCCGUUCUUCACCAUUCAUUGCCAUCUCCGACUCGAAUCUGAGAGAACCAAAGAAGAAGAUGAAGAAGAAGAAUGGUGCCGUUGUUGAAAUCGAUCGUAGUCUUUUGAUUUGAUUAGAGAUCAUAAGCCCUAAUUUUCCGACAUACGUCUCUUCCGGUGUUUUCCAGCUCAUCUCACGGAAGAUUUAUCUCUCUUUGUGAAUUCCAGGUUCAUUCAAUUGUGAUAUGGUGUUUCUCUUAGGAUUUGGUGCAAAAGGGAGCGAGAAACAUAGCUUUUAGUAAAUCAACUAGCGAGGAUUUAACAAUCUGCAUCUUCUGUUAGAAUCGAUUAGGAUCUGAAGCUCCUUUAUCGUCUCCUCAGGUUUUGCCUCUUUUUCUCUUCAAUUCCAUGCUAAUCUCCGUAAACCCUUGUUUCAAUUUUGUCCCUUUGAUCUCUGUUUCAAUUGGAUUCAAAGAUUGAAGAAACCAAUGAUUCAUUCGUUCUCAGAUGAAGUUUUAUUGGGGGUUUUCUCUUUAUUGCCUUAUCAAAGCUACAAGCUUGUGUUCUGCUUCAUCUCUUGUAGAUUUUGAAGGCUAAGAUUAACAUGAGGGCCUGAGCUAGUUGAUUGCUUCAAGUUUACAGCUUUAGAUGAUCCCUAAUUGAGCAGUUUGUAUUCUUUAAUAACCAUGGGAGAGUGGGUCAUCGGAGCUUUCAUCAACAUUUUUGGAAGCGUAGCUAUUAAUUUCGGCACAAACCUUCUCAAAUUGGGACAUAAUGAGGUCUGCAUUUGCCCCUCAGUCGCUACUGUUUGAUUGCAUUUAAUCUCGUGAAGCUUAUAGAUUUUUGUGUAUUAUAUCUAUCAGAGAGAAAGGUUAGCUUUACAAGAUAAUGGCGGAGGAAAGAUGCCAUUGAAGCCAAUUAUACAUUUUCAGACAUGGAGAGUUGGUAUGCUCUGGUCUUAAACCUUUUUCCCCUUUGAAGUUUAUAUGUAGCUUGUUCUGAGUCCAAUGUUGUUGGAAAUUUACAGGGAUCCUUGUCUUUCUUCUUGGGAAUUGCCUCAAUUUCAUUUCGUUUGGCUAUGCUGCUCAGGUCAAUGUGCAGAGUGAAGUUAACUCAGUCAUGGCGAGACUCGAUCGUCAUGUGAAAGAUGCUGAGGUUUUGAUUACAAGUGGUCUUCUUCAAGAUAACGGAAUCGUCGUUUUUCGAUUCUCGAUUUCGUCUAAGAAAGAAGCUAUUUUUUAUUUAUUUUGAGAAUGUAUUUUAGUUUUGGGAUUAAUUACUGUAUUUUUAUUUUGUAAUAUAAAUUCUUUUUAUCAAUGUUUCAUACAGAUAAUAAUAAAUAUGAUAUUUUUAUUUUAAAUAUAUCAAUUUAUCCCAAAAGAAUUAAUAAAAACAAAUACUAUAUAAAUACAUUUUUGUAUAAAAUACAAAAUAUCUACGUAUUACACAAUAGUAUAUAUAUAUAUAUAUUUUUUUUUCAAAUAAUUAAAUAUAUUAAUAGCAAAUAAUAAUCGCUAUUAUAAACAUUAGCAAUUGCACAGUAGCCAACGCUAUCGUUGUAUACUUAACUAUAGCACAACGCAAAACCGCUAUCAAAAGUGUCCGACUUUCUAUAACGGGCGAUGUCAGAGCGCUUAAGGAAACGCUAUGCUAGAUGAAUAAUUGCGUUUUUCGGCCGCUAUUAAUACUCACAUUUCCUGUAGUGAUUAACCAAAUUGUACGGUCACUAGAAGAGGAAAUAGAAAUGGUACUGAUAAAUACGUAUAGUUUGAUAUGGUUCUCUGACCUUGUUGCAAGGAUAUUCCAGCCAUAAGGAGUAAUCAGCUCAUUGUUAGUCGAGAAGAGAGGAAUCUCAAGAAUAGUUGGCCCAUUUGUGUCAAUCUUAAGCAAUUUCACAUCCGGAAGGUGUGCCAUGAAAUUGUGAACCAAAUUGCUAAGUGCUUUUCAUACCUGGCUAAUGAAAAUUGUUGAUUAGGGUGAUUAGUGGCUUUUUAGACAUUAUUAAUGUUCAUUAACCAUUUGAUUCCCUUGUUGAUGAUUAGUGAAGGAACUUGUAUCAUGGAAGUAAAAUACUCUUGUUUAGUGAUCUAAGGCCUAAGGAUUAGCUUUAUUAAGUUGCAUGAAGUCCACAAGUUAGCAAGUAGUCAUCCUUAUUGUUACGAAUUUGAGUGAAUAUAAUGAAGAAAAGCUUUGAUGAGAGAAAGGUGUUCUUGAGGCGAAUACCCUUUGCCUAGGGUUUAUAUUAUUAAUGUGAUGAUUACUUUACAAACCUUAAGUCUCCUUAUAUAAGCCUCAAAACCCGACACAAUGAAAUAGGAAAUCUUGUGAAUCUUCUAAAACCUAUUGUACCGUACUAGGGGCUGCGCCCCCAAAACCCCCAAAACCCUAACCUUAAACCGCCUUUGAAACCGUCUUGAAAAAAGUCUUGUAAAAUCCUUUUAAGUCAUGUAAGCCUUUUAAAGUCUUGCUACGUCUUGCAAAGUCAUGCACAGUUUUACACAGCCUUGCAGUCUUACAAAGCCUUGCAGUCUUGCACAGUCUUGCAGUCUUGCACAAUCUUGCACUGUCUUGCCAAUAUUUUCUAGAGAUUUCAAGUCACUUUAUAAUAACAAACUCCACCUUGACAACAAAAAUCUCAUUGGCUUCAACUUUGACUCCUUGUUAGCUUUUGGGGGAACCUUCAUCUUUAUUUAGCAAUGAACGACUUGGAGCAAAUCCAAGCAGUGCUUGAACUUCUCCGUGGUGACAGGCUUGGUUAACAUAUCAGCUGCAUUCUCAGACGUGUGCAUCUUCUCUAGUAAAAUCACACCAGAAGCUGACAACUCCCUGAUCUUGUGAAACCUUACCUCAAUGUGCUUCGUCCUAGCACAUGAUACACUUGAUUCUUUGCCAGAUAUAAUGCACUCUGACUAUGACAAUGUAGCUGAACUCCACCUUGCGCAACACCCAACUCCAUUACGAGUCCUCUAACACAUAAUGCUUCCUUAGCUGCCUCUCCCAUUGCCAUGUACUCUGCUUCUGUGGUAGACAUUAUAACAACAGACUACAAAACAUAUUUCCAACUUAUAAGCGCUCCAGCAAGAGUAAAUAUCUACCCUGUAGUAGACCUCAUGUUAUCAAGAUCACUGCAUAAUCUGAAUCAAUGAAACCCACGACUUCCGUCUUGCACUCAUGUCCUCCAAACAUGAGACCACAAUCAGCUAUACCUUAAAGUACUUGAGAAUCCACUUGACAGCAUUCUAGUGGGCUCUUCCAGGAUAGACAUGUACUUGCUAACUUGACUAACUACUUGACCAAGUCUGGUCUUGUGCAAACCAUACCAUACAUUAGACAACCAACUACACUAGAGUAAGGAACUCGUGCCAUAUCCCUGAUCUCCUCAUCAGUCCCAGGGCACUAUCGUGCUCAGAGUUUGAAGUGGUUCGCCAAAGGGGUAGACACAGGUUUUGCAUUCAUCAUGUCAAAUUUGUCUAAUAUCUUUUCUUUGUAGCUUCUUUGAGACAACCACAAUCUCUUAGAACUCCUAUCCCUGCGAAUCUCCAUCCCAAGAAUCUUCUUUGUAGCACAAAGAUCCUUCAUCUCAAAAUCUUCUCCUAGUAACCUUUUUAACUCAACAAUAUCAUCCAUAUUGCUUCUAGGGAUGAGUAUAUCAUUAACAUAGAACAACAGAAAGAUGGGAGAACUAUUACCAAGGUUCUUCACAUAAACGCAACAUUCAUACUCACAUCUCUGGUACUCUAUCUGCAACAUGUAGGUAUCAAAACGUUUGUACUCAUUGUCUAGGAGCCUGCUUCAAGUCGUAUAGAGACUUCUUCAGUCUGCAUACAGAAUCUUCCUCUCCAGUCUUGACAAACCCUUCAGGUUGCACCAUAUAGAUCUCUUUCUUCAAAUUCCCAUGAAGAAAUGUUGUCUUUACAUCCAUCUGCUUAAGUUAUAAGUCCCAACAAGCUACCAGCCCUAGCAUAACUCGAAUAGACGUGUGUCGCACAACAGGGGAUAAAAUUUCGUCAUAAUCAACCCCUUUCCUCUGUGAGUACCCUUGUGCUGCUAGUCUCGCCUUGAAAGUCACGGCUUCCUUCUUAGAGACUCCUGUUUUCUUUUUGAAAACUCACUUGCAACCAAUCGUUUUCUUCCCCUUUGGUAGUGGAGUAAGAUCCCACGUCUGAUUAUUACUUAGGCUUAAUGUCUCCUCCGUCAUGGCACCCAUCCAUCCUUCCAUUUCAGGACCACUAAUGGCUUCACGAUAGUUUGAUGGAUCAUCUGUGCCAACCAUAAGAGCAUAGCUAGCCAUAUCUUCAUACCCAUACUUGACAGGGGGCUUGAUUACAUGUUUUACUUUGGUGGCCACAAGACUCCGUUUUACAUGUAUCUGAUUAAUUUUCUUUCCCACCUUAGGAGACUUCUCCACCUUAGGAGACUGCUCCACCUCAGGAGACUGCCUUACCCCAGGAAACUGCUCCACCUUAGGAGACUACUGAUAACAUGGGAUUUUCGCCCAUAUUUGCUAUUGUUUUCUUAUGUUUUAGGGAGCAUUUGGAGUGAUUUCAGAGCCAAGAAGGUGCUAUUCAUGUAUUUAUAGAGUCAAGAAGGUUUUAAGAGUUUUUGAGCUUUAAAGUCCAAAAGGCGAUCAAAGCCCGUUUCAAGACAGUUAUUGUACGUCAGAAGUAUGGCGUCCGUUCGAAGUCUUUCCGAUUUCAAAAUCAAGAGAUCUCGGUGGCUGUGGAAAACUAGAAGACUCAAGGUUCGCCUCAAAGUGUAAUCAAAGCAUUUCAUCAAGCCAUUCGGAAGUUAUGACCAGAAGAGUGAAGACAUGUCUAGACCGGCCAUAAGCUAUGCAACCGUUCCGGAGCUUCUAGGCCACACCGGUCACGAUGGCCGAGCCCGGGCUGCCUUCUACUCUCCACCCAGGUCACUAAGGCUUCUACUCUAUCUAGGAACUCGAGUUUUAACUUAACCUAAUUCACGGUAAAAGACGCUUUUACCCUUAAACCGACUCCUUGGUCUCCAAGACCUAUAAAUACCUAUGAAAACCCUAAACCUAGGUGUGCCUCUUUAGUGCUUCAUCGUUAUUCAUCCCUGCCCUCGUCGUGAGCUGCAGCCGUCGACCUAGAGGUCUGAAGACACCAAAUCUCUCUCUUUUCUCUUGUUUACUCUAAGAUCUAUUAAGGUGAAGUCUUAUCUCUUGUAUUCUACAUUCAAAGAAGUAAUCUCUAAACACUAUUCAGUUUUUAUUCAUCUUUUUCUUAUGAGUUUAUCAAACCUUACUUUGAUGAUCUCUUUAACCAUACUAGAGUAGAUUUCUAGUUGGGUUUAAAGGGUUAAUCAAAGGGGGGACAUGAUCGAUCGUCAGAGCCGUGCGAACGUUACCAAGUAUCAUGAGCGAAUAAAAAUAAAAUGCCCUUAAUUUUUAAAAAAAAAAACCGUCUACAAAACUAAACCAUCGUCAUUCAUCAUAUAAUAAAAAAACAUUAAAAAAAAAAAAACAAACUAGCAAACAUAAUAUCAGUUCUUAAACAUUUGUUUUCCCUUUUCCUCCCCGAAAUCAUUAACCAACCUUUCAAAAUCAAUGUUUCUAACCAAUUCUCUUUCAAUGGAUAAAAUAUCCAAGUCACUCAAUCUUUCUUGUGACAUAGUCGAACGAAGAUACGAUUUGAUCAACUUCAGCUUUGAAAAACUUCUCUCAGCAGAUGCAACCGAAACUGGAAUCGUCAACAAUAUUCGAUAAGCAAUGCAUGAGUUUGGGUAGCAAUCUUCAACUGUUUUCAGAAAGUCUAAUACCUCAAUAGGUCUUUUAACUUCUUUUGGUAAAGCUUCUCUUAGAACUUUAAGUUCAAAGAAAAGAUCAUGACCAACAACAACUGAUUGCUUUCCAUGGGUUAGAGAAACUUCAAGAUUGACACAAGAAGCCAUCAAACUAUCAUCGCUCCCUGAUUGCAAUUUUCUCAAAUCAAACAAAAAACCAAAUAUUUGUUCGUACCUCUGAAAUUGCUCAAACCUCGUCUCAAGUGAGUAGAGAGCUUGAUCCAUGAUUUGGAUGAAGUAGUCAACCCUAAAGCUCUCCUCAGGUGAUAAUUUCCCUCCAUAUUCUCUGAUUCUUCACCAUAGUGUCUUUUUCUUUUAAUCACCCGCUUUGCUUUUUUGGGAUCUUUUAAUACAGGAUCGAUCUCCAAAGAUUCUGCAAUUUCUUUAGCUUCUGCUUUUGCUUUCUCAAAGCCUGACUCUCUAUAGUUUUGAAAAUAUGAAACCAACCCCUUGAGUUGAGAAAUAGCUACAUCAAUGUUCAUGUCUUCUGACUGCAAACUCUUACUCACGAUGUUAACAACAGAUAGAAGAUUAUACCAAAUAACCAUGGAAACCAAGAACUCAAAACUUCCAAUUCCAUGUGUUUCACUUGUUGCAAGACAUUCAGCGUCGUUGUGUUCUUUCGGAUCAUCACUAUUUUCAGCAAUGUACACUAACGCAUUCAUGAUUUUAGGAGCCUGAAAUCGUAUAGCCUUUACACUUUCAACAUGGCUCUCCCAACGAGUGUGUGAUAAAGGCUUAAGUGUUAGGCCAUCCACAUGAUCCUCAAAUAUUUUCCACCGCAUAAUUGAAGAUGAAAAGAAACAAUAAGUACGCUAAAUAAUCCCAAAAAAUGAGAUUGCCUUUGAAGAAGUGGUUGCCAUAUCACAAAGUGCAAGAUUCAAACUGUGACAACUACAUUGUGUAUAAAACGUCCUGGGAUUUAUCUCAAGAAAUCUUUUCUGCACUCCCUUAUGCUUUCCCUUCAUAUUAGAGCCAUUAUCAUAACCUUGCCCCCUCACAUCGUCAAUUUUUAAAUCAAAAGCAGUCAAAACAUCUUGAAGCUCACGAAAAAGUCCUUCACCUGAUUUAUCAUCAACUUUCAAGAACGUUAAAAAAAUUCUUCGAUCUUCGUUGAAGUUGUUGAAAUAUCUACACACCGAAUGAUGACAGUCAUUUGUUCAUGAUGACUAAUAUCUGGAGUGCAGUCAAGAAUUACGGAGAAGUACUUUGCACCUUGAAUUUCUUGACAAUCAUAGCUUUUACCUCAUUAGCUAACAAAGCUAUUAACUCAUUCUGAAUUCUGUUGCUGAGAUAAUAAGAACGAGAUAUACCUUCUUUAUAUCUUCUAAGAUAUUCUAUCAUCACUGGAUCAAAAUCAGCAAUCAUCUCUAUAAAGCUCAAAAAAUUCCCACAACCUUCUUCUCCAAUUUUCUCUUUGCUUCCACGAAAUGCUAAAUUUUGUUUAGCAAGAGUUUUUACUACAGAAAUAAUCCUAAGCAAAACUUGCCUCCAAUGAAUUUUCUCUUUGCAGAUUUCAUCUUGAGCAUAUUUGUCAAUGGUCAGAUUCUUCUGCAACUUGAGAUCUAGUUCUGCCCACUGUUUCAUACACAAAAUGUGCUCACGACUAGAUUCGUGUUCUUUAAGCCUUUUCAAAAUAUUUCUCCAAUUACUGAACCCCGUAGAUGCCAAUUGACUAUUAUCACUUUGAUUGAACAAUUUACAACAAAAACAAAAGAUCUUGUUCAGUACCUUUGAGUAAACUAGCCAACGCCGAUCUUGUUUUGUUCCAUCAUCCAUCUCUCUGGUAUAAUACAAAUGUGAAAAAUGUCUUUUAACGCUAUCCUUAGGAAAGUUAUAACCAAGUGGCAGCCUUUUUGUUGGACCUUGUACAACCAUGAAAUCCCUCCAUUCAUUCCAUCCUUUUUUGAUAUUUUCCCAAUUUCCAAGAUCAUAUAUAUCAAAAAAUCCAUAAGUCUCCUUCAGAUCAUCACUCUUCUCGCGCUCAUUCAUAUUCACAUCAUCCUUUACAUUCAAUUCUUCUUCAUUCACUGCAUUCACAUUUUCUGGUUCAACAUCGGCUUCUUCUCUUUGACACUCAUUUAUAUUCUCAUCCACUCCAACAUCUCCAGAAGCUUCAUGUUCUUUAUCAUUAUUUUCCACAGAUUCAUCAAAAGUUUCAGAUUUUUUGAAGUACCUGAAUCAAGCAUUCUCUUGAGAUUUUGCUUGUUCGUCUUUUAGUUUUCUCUUUUUUCUAUUAUCACAUCCCGACGGGUGAUCUUUUUUCUUUGAUGACAUUUUUAGAAAAAAAUUGAAUGAAAAGCAUGAUUAAUUUGGAUUAAAUAGACACGAUGUAGUGAAAGAAUGUUUAUAAAAAAUAUUUGUCCUUGUAUUACCUUGAAUCAAAAGCUUGAGUGCUUGUCUGCUGGACCAAAAACAAAAGCUUGACGACGAUGAAAGUGAAAACUAACAAAAAAAAAUUCUAACCCUAAUUGUUAAGUAAUUAAUCGUGUUCAUUCUUUUCAAUUAACUAAUAAUUUUGAAGCCCAUAUUUGAAAUUUGAAGGUAGAAGCCCAUUUUGUUACUAAGUUGUCUUUGUAUUUUGAGUUUCAACAUUAUAUAACACUAGUAUUUAUAUAUUUAACUAAACAUAAACUACAUGGCACUAACAAAUAUAUGCCCCUUAAUUUUUUUUCAAAAUCACAUGCCCCAAGCCAAUGUUUCUUUUCUCCUCACGUUUGCACGGCCUGUCGAUCGUCUAGGUGGCGAUACUUAGAGUUUUGUUUGAUCGUUUACAUUGUAUUUUUUCUAAGUAAAUUUUCUCUUAAUGCAUGUAGUAAGAUUCAUGUCCUAACUCGUGAUCCCAAGUAUUUAAAUUGCUCACAAGGUUGUUUAAUAUGCUAGACUUAGCUUACGAAUGUGUAUCGUGUUAUAAUAAGCACACACCACUUAGUUAUAGGGCUUUAUGGACUAGAAUCGAACUUGACUUAUUGCUUUGAUAUAUGCGUCAUUGCCUGCAUAGGUUGAGUAACGGAGUAUAAGAAUUUUAGCCGACUAAUUCUAUAACAUAGAGUUAGCCGAAUCUUAGUGUUUCGUAUGUCCGAGACUUGGAAAUAAACAAACCUAAUUCUAGUAUUUCUUAGAGUACAAUCAUUGAACCCCCUGCGAUCCCCUUGAUGCCCAACGUUUGUCUCUUAUUGAUUACUUGCUUUCUUUACUCGUUUAUUUAUUUUGCUUUCUUUACUCGCUUUCUUAUUUACUUUACUUGCAACCGUGACACAACCAACAACCCCUCUUUUCUUGUUUUGUCAUAGCUUUACUUUAUUGUAACGGAUUCGUCCGAACUACUUCUCUCUCUAUGGGAUUCGAUCUUUAAAUACUGCAACCAAUUCACUGUGCACUUGUAGUAGUCCUGUGGUCUUUUGAGGUGAAAGAUUGAAGCGAUAAAAUAACACGCGAUCAACUGCUCAACUACAUCCGCUACUGGUCUAGCUUCACUAGACUCCUCUUCAUCCUCAGCUAUCUUAGAACCAAUAUCAGCCUCAAUGGUCACAGGAACUCGUUCUGAACUCAUCUAUUGUAGCAUAAACUGCUCAUCAAACACCACAUCAUGAUUGAUUACUCUUUUCCUAGCCUCAAGAUCCCAUAACUUGAAACCUUUCAUGACUUUCUUAAAUCCAAAAAAAACGUACUUCUUGGACUUAGAAUCCAAAUUUGAUCUUUCGUCGUUUAGAAUCAACACAUAGGCUGGACAACCAAAGAUUCUCUAAUUUGAUAGAUCAAUGUCUACCCCAAUCCACACCUCUUCAGCAACUUUCCUUCUAGAGAAACCCUUGGCAAUCUAUUGAUGAGGUAGACCGCCAUGUUUACUGCCUCUGCCCAGAACUCCUUGGAAAGUCCUGCAUUCAAUCUUAAACACCUUGCUUUUUCUGCAAUAGAACAAUUCAUCCUUUCACUUACACCGUUUUGUUGUAGUGUUUUCCGCACUGUAAAAUGCCUUUGAAUACCUUGCUACUCACACAGCUUCUGGAACUCUCCAUCAAGAUACUAUGUGCCAUUAUCAGACCUUACAUACUUCACCUUCCUCCCUAUUUGGUUUUCUACUUCAGCCUUCCAAAUUUUAAAUUUUCCAAAAACUUUAGAUUUCUAUCUCAUGAAAUAAACCCAAACCUUCUUAGAAAAAUCAUCAAUAAAGAUGACAAAGAAUAAGCUUCCUCCUAAUGACUGUUCUCGUGUUGGCCCCCACACAUUAGAAUACACAUAGUUUAGUAGACCCUUUGUGUUGUGUUGGUCAGCCUUGAAAGAUGCUUUGGACUGCUUCUCCAUCACGCAGAACUUACAAAACUCCAUCUUACAACUCUUCAAACCAUCCAAAAGACCCUCUUAUGGAUUUCAGUCAAGCCAUGCUCUCCUAUAUGCCCCAACCGCAUAUGCCAUAGAGCUGUGAUAUUCGAUUCAGUUACGACGGCUGCAGCUCCACCUACAACCACAUUUCCAAGUAGACGAUAAACAUUUCCUGUUGUGAGCUGACCCUUCAUCAACGUUGAUUGCUCGAGUAAUUACCCGAUACACUUAACCGCAAGGUAGUAUAUACGGGGUCGAUCCACAAGAACCAAUGGUACACUAAAGAUUUCCGAGACUCGUUCUUAGCUAAAGCUAAAAGAUUGUUUUGUUUUGGGUUUUCGGAAUUGUAAAUAAAAAUGCAAUUAAAAUAGACGAUUUAACUUCAAGAUUUAAAGACAUUGGGCGUUAGGGUAUUUCAGAGAUCAACGAAUAAUGGAAACAUGAAACCAGGAAUUCAGUAAUUAAGAACCGUUGUCGAACAUGAACACAUUUAAACCAAUUCUCUUUCAAGACAUUAAUCACUAAAUUUGACUAUUCGAUUACUAAACUUUCGCAUGUAAUUUCCUAGUCAAAUUCGCAUUACCAAACAAGUUCAUUAAGUUCACAAUGCGUCCUAACGUCAACUUUCGUUGGCUAGAAAUACAUUGCUCAAUCCACAUUAUUUCAGGCAUUCUAUCGAACACUUUUGAUGCAUAGAAAAACCUAGAAUCUACAACAGGGUGAUCAAUCAUAUUCUAGCAUUAAAAACAUGUGAAUCAAAGAACCUAGAGAAUGAGAAUUCCUAACACAAUCAAUCCAUUAAUCCAUUGAAUCUCCUAAUUGGAACCCUAAAACCCAAUUGGAGAACUACUCACACAUAGAGAAAGAGAAAAGGCAAAUAGAUAUGAAAGAAAACAUGAUUCAAUAAAAUAGAAAAGGAAUAGGGUUUAGAAAUCUUCUCCAAGUGUCAAGAGGAUGGAUUCCUUUGCCCAAAGUUGUUUACAAACCAAAGAACAAAGUUUAGAACUCAAAAAUAUCAAGGAUACUGUGUAAAUAGUCGAGCAUAGGGUUUUAAAACAAUAGGAAAUGAGCCGGGUCGGAUCUGGAGUGAAUCGGGUCAAUUAUGGGCCAAAAGUACGUCUGGGAAGGGAUCGAUCGAUCCGGUGGGUGGAUCGAUCGAUCCCGAGUCACUGGAAACUGCUUCUCGUCCGUCAACUCCGCAACUGCUGAAGUACUUUUGUAAACUCAAGUUCUGGUCUCCAACUCCGCAACUGCUUCAAAUGCUCGGCAGAAUGACCUGUCUUCACUAAUUCGGGUAUAACUCUUGAAUGCACCGUUAGAUUUCCUUCGAACCAAUUGUAAACUCAAGCUAACAUCUUCAUAUAACUUUUGUCAAAAAUGCAGAAAGAUCUAACGGUGGAAAGUAUUCCAUCUGAGGCAAAACGUCUGACACUUCUAAACGAAACUGCAUCUCCAAAAGUGUGUUUACAUCCCAAAACAGCUCGUUUUCCUCCAAAGCAACCUAAAACCUGUAAAGACUCGAUAAAAGACUAAAAGACUCUAAAAACUCACUUUGACUCUAUAAAACAUAUGAUGUAGGAAAGAAAACAAAGACUCAAAACCGAUAAAAACACAACAUAUCAAACGUCAUGUCUCCUUUCCGCGCAUUCACACAGUUUUCAUCAUCAGUUUCGAACCUGAAUCCGUCCCUGUGAAGUGUGCCAAGAGAUAACAGAUUCCUCUUCAUUGUUGGAAGAUGCCUCACCUUUGUCAAAGUCGUGACAGUGCCAUCAUGCAUCUAAAAUUUGAUUUGCCCAAUACCAACAACGUUGCAACUUCUUUCGUCAGCUAAUCGAAUAAGUACCAAAGUUUCCAGCCUGAUACGUGUCAAACCAAUGCUUGUUUGAAGUCAUAUGGAAUGAACAACUUGUAUCCAAUAUCCAAGAAUCUGUAUGAUUUAUUGUCGUCACAGCAAGCAUAUCAAACUCAACAGUCACUGAAUCUUCUUGUUUAACCACGUUUGUAUAAUUAUUUUCCCCUCCAGAACUGUUCUGCAUCUUGAUCAUUGGGCAAUCUCUCUUAUAAUGUCCUGGUUUCUGACACUUAUAACAGUGCCUUCUUCAUCAUGCCAUCUCCCUGCUUCCUCUUGUUAUUCUUUCCUGCAUUGCCUUGACUAAUAUUUACGUACAAUCCAUCACCUUGAGAGUUGUCACUGCUGCCACCGCCUUGCUGUUGGCGCCGAUUGUGAUGACCAAACAGCGAAUCUGUGGCUGAUUGCAGACUUAUCAUCUCUUUGUCUGCCAAGAGUGCAGUCACCAACGUCUCAUAUGCUGGAGUCAAAGAACAUAACAGCAGCAUGGCUUUAUCCUCGUCCUCAACUGUUACACCCACACGCCCUAGAUCUCUAAUGAUCUGGUUAAAUUGGUUAACAUGCUGAAUCAGGUUUUCACCUUCAUCCAUCUUAAACCAAUACAACCUCUACUUCAAGUACAGCUUGCUAGAUGGGGAUUUCGACAUGUACAUCUUUUCUAGCUUGUCCCAAAUCUCUUUCGAAUAUUUGAGUUCAAGCACUUGAUGCACAACUUCAUCUCCAAGGCACGUACGGAUCGUUGAACUUGGCUUCUCCCUCAUCUCAUUCCAGUCGUCUUGUGAGAUCCCUUCUGGCUUUGUGUCUAACAAAACUUUCUUCAUACCUUGUUGAUUCAGGAUGUCCUUCACUCGAGUCUGCCAGAGGCAAAAGUUUCCUGUUCCAUUGAAUCGUGGAACCUCAAACUUCACAUAACUUGUCAUCAAACUUGGCUCUUUGAUACCACUUGUUACGAAUUUGAGUGACUACAAUGAAAAAAGCUUUGAUGAGACAAGGGUGUUCUUGAGGCGAAUACCCUUUGCCUAGGGUUUACAUUAUUGAUGUGAUGAUUACUUUACAAAUGUUAAAUCUCCUUAUAUAAGCCUCAAAAUCCGAUACAAUAGAAUAACAAAUCUUGUGAAUCUUCUAAACCCUAUUGUACCGUACUAGGGGCUACGCCCCCAAAUCCUAACAUUAAACCGCCUUUGAAAUCAUCUUGAAAAAAGCCUUGUAAAAGCCUUUUAAGUCUUGUAAGACUUUCAAAGUCUUGCAACAUCUAGCAAAGUCAUACACAGUUUUACACAGCGCACAGUUUUACACAGCCUUGUAGUCUUGCAGAGCCUUACAGUCUUGCACAACUUUGCAGUCUUGCACAGUCUUGUAAUUUUGCAUAGCCUUGCAGUCUUGCACAGUCUUGCACUGUCUUGCCAAGAUCUUCUAGAGAUUUCAAGUCACUUUAUAAUAACACUUAUCAAUUAUUUUUUCCCAAGAGUUCGCUUUAUUUUCUUGAUAUAUAACCGUUUUUCUUAUUUUCCGCUUUGUUUCAUUAUAAAUCUUGUUAGUCUCGUGCAUUUAGCUUGUUACAAUUCGUAAUCAUACUUAUUUGCUUAUAUUGAACGGUUGCUAGCAAUCCCAGUGUGUUAUUUUUUUUUUCCUUGAGGAUUGAUAUUAUUAAUCACAAACUUAUGGCACGAGUGAUUAGGAAUUAAAACUUAGUCGUUAUGAGAAGUCUUCCUCAGUAUUAUUCUGCAUUGAUACAUGUUUUUUUAUAGAUAACAUACAAUCCUUGUUCAAAAAAUCGCUAGGCGCUAGUCGGGCGCUCGAGGUGGGCCUAGCGCCUAGCAAGAAAAUCAGAGAUUAAGCGGGGAUUAAUCGGGAUUAGUUUUACGGCUAAUAUAUAUAUUAGAUAUCUUUGACAGAACGUAUAACUCAUGUUAGUCUAGUGGUCAUUAUGGACGCUGGCAAGGCUCACAACCUUGGUUCAACGCCCCAAUUGCCUAAGCAUGUUGUUUUCUUUUAUUUUUCUUUAAUGAAAUGUAAAAUGACGUUUCUAUCCUCGUCUUCAACCUCUCAAUCUUUGGACGCUGGCAAUCUCUGUAACCCUAAUUCGGCUGCCAUCUCAUUUUUUUCGUUAUUUUCGCGUUUUACUAGCUAUUUCAUGUAAGUUUUACUAUAUUACAAUAGAUCUAGGAGAAAACAAGUUUUCUUAGUAAAAACUAACCAAAAAACAAAUAUUUUUUUUGCAACCCCGAUUUUCUUGCCGAUUUGGUGACAUCCCGGCGGCUGUCCUCCGCCCACCGCUGAAUCGGCGAUUACACGGACGCCUAGUCCGCGUUUUUGAACAGGGCAUACAAUCGGAGAUUAAAUUGACUGCAAAUGGUUUUAUAUUUUAUUUAAACCAUUAAAAAUAUAUGUAGAUAUGAGAUGAACUCAUAAUUUUAUUACAAUGUUCUAACACAACAAUACUGCAUAACGAUAUAAGUGUUCGAGCUCUCAACUUAGUUCAUACGGAAAAGGCACAAUCGUUGCCUCGUUAGUCGUGUAUUUCUCUCUCGUGAAGACGAUUUUCAGUUCUCAGAUCUAGGUUUCUUUACUGUUUUGUUCUUCAAUCUUCGGUCGAAUCUUCUCAAAAGCGGUCCAGGAGUGAGCCAGGGCGUUUCUCUGUCAACGGUGGUGUGGCGUUUUCCCUUCGAUGUGGAGGUGACUCGGGUCUGAUUGGAGGAGGUCUACUGCAGCGAUUCUCUCAUGGUUGGGACGUCGUGAGUGGCUCAGUUCCUCCGGCUCAACCGUCAGUCUCAAGUUGCGUUCACGGCGGAAGUUGGGGGGAUUAAGGUGGGUUCGUUGUUUGCUCGGUGUUUAGCUGCAGAUCCAUAGGAUCUUAGAGGGCGGUUGUGGAUUUCGGGUGUACGGGGUUUGGAUUUGAGCCACCAUCCUUUAGAUCCGCCACAAUUUAGCAUCCAUCGAGCCGGAUUAAUUCGUCAAAGCUCUGGGAUCUUGGUUUGUUUUUCCGGUCUGGAAGAGAGGGGUUUCCGUCUAGUGAGUCGGAUUGCUUCUUCAGGAUCUGUUUCCGUCGAUGUGCUUAGUCGGAGUGACUAGCUUUCCGGGAGACUUGGGGUGGGUUGGUUCGUCGGAGGUAUGUAAUUGAUGGCGGAAACCGGUCUCUUUCGCCGAUAUUUCACGCUCUUCGGUUGUAGCCACAAAACUGUGGGUCUUGAGCCCGCCGGAUGUCAGGCUCUGGUUGCUCUGCGGGCAUCUAUCAACAAACGGCGAGCUUUUUUUCUUCCGGUGAAACACCGAUUUGCUAUUUUGUAACUGGUCUAGGCUUUUGUUAUUAGAUGAUUUAUAUAAAUAAAUAAACCACUAUAUAAUUUAAUACAUUUAAAACUACAAAAUAAUUUUCAUGUAACAAUAUUUGUUAUAUUUAAGUUUGAAUAUAGAAUCUAUUAAUCUAUAUAGAAUAAAAUUUAAAAUUAAUUUAAAGUAUACAAUGUAAUAUGUGCCAUGCACCAGUCCUUAGCUAGUGCUUUAUUAUUUAGGGGGGUUUUUACGGUCCCUUACAAUUCAUUGAAGUACAAAUCCUGGUGGAUCGGACUCUAACGAUAUCUGGUAAAGUAAAUCCCAUAUUUUUUGCAAUCCAUAAACGUAGCUCACCACAUUGAUAAGUAGAGGCUUCUCUGUAUACUUGAAUAUCAUAAUAAUGUUCUAUAUUAUAUUUAGAUAUAUACGAUAUAUAACAAUUAUAUUUUUUCUUUUUGUACAUGAUGGAAGGAUCUUGGAAUACAAUGCUAAACUAGAUCAUCACCCGUGCUAUACAGCACGGAUUUUAAUAUUUUGUACGGUUUAACAGUUUAAAAAAUAUUAACCCGCGGUACACCGCGGACCUAUAUUUUUAUUAAAUAUAAAAUUGAUUUUUAAGACCUUUCUUUUACAUAUAUGCUAUUAUUUUGUUUGUUUUAAACGUAUAUAUAUUAUACAUUGUAGGAUUAAUAUGUUUUAGGUUUCAUUUUUGAAAAUAUAGAGAUAUAGAAAAUUAUAUAGUUCAUUACGUACUAAUGUAUAGGGUAUUUAAAUAUGAAUUUAUUUUCUUGUUUACAUAAUAUAUAUAUGUGAAGAAUAUAUGAGAUUAGAAUGGGUUUAUAAAUUUUUAUUGAGCAAAUAAAUAUUUAAAAUUGCAGUGUAUAUAUAUAUAUAUAUGUUGUGCAAAUAAAAUUAAAGUACACUAUGUGUAUAUUUGUUUAUCCAUUAUAAGUAAAAUCGAUAUUGUAUAUGCAUGUUGUUAUAUAUAAGGAAAAAAUGUGUAUUUCGAAUUAACAUAUGAAAAUUUUAAAUUUUAAAUUAUAUAUGUCUUGUGAAAUUUUUUUUUUUUGUUUAGUGUUUAAGAUUAUAUGAUUGUAUUUUAAUUGUUAAUUCUAGGAUUUUUCACCCGUUGUAUACCUUCCCAUUUUAAUGUCGACUCAAAUCCGUCCCACCAUAUAACCUCGUCCCGUAAAAUUAAACAUCAUUUUGUAAUUUUUUUAAUAAUAAUUUUAUUUAAAAUAUAUAAUUCGAGUAAAUUUAAAAGUUUGCUUUAAAUAGUUCUCAUAAGAUAUAAAUUUUUAAUUUGUAUAGAGUUAAAAUAUCAUUAAUAUUAUAAAAAAAGUUAGUUUGAAAAAUGAAAGACAAUCAAUAAGAAGACACAUUACAUAACUAUAUUUGUAUAUAGUAUAAAAAAAGGGUAUAGAUAAUGUUUUUUGCUUUCUUUAUUUUUUUGGUAAAAUGUCAAUCUUUUUUUUCACUUGAAAAAAAGAGUCGAUCCAAUUGUUCAUACAAAAAAUCUUUAUCCCCUCUGAUUAUCUUACUGAUUCAGCACAGAUCUUUUUUUCGAUUACAGCUAUGAAUUGAAGAUUUGAAAAAAACAUGUUCAAUAACACCCUGAUUCAACCCAUGGAUUUCGAUUCAGUAACCUAUCCCACAAUUAAUUAGGAUUAAAUAUUUAGAGACUAAACCAAGCCCAUUUAAUAAGAAACAACUUACAACCACGUGACCUUAACCCAAGGUCCACAAUUCCGGUUUAAUAAUCAAAUUCCAAAACCCAAACAAACAAUCGCACAAACCACCACCACUACACAUGACCAUCAUCACAAGUCAUCUCACGAUUCCAAGUUUUGAUUCUGGAUUUCAAUUACACAAGUCAUCUCUUGGUUUAGCUUGGUUUAGUUUCACGGUUUAAUAAUCGCAACAACACCAAGCAACACAUACACUAAGACAUGGAUUUGCAGAAUAUCUUUCUCGGCAAGUUUUCUCGAUGGUUUGAUCUGACGGUUUGAACGGCAAAGUGGAUCUGCGAUGGUCUAGAUCCAAACCUAAUUUCAAAGAGAUCCGAGUUCUACACCACCAAGCUAAAGCUCUAUUACCCACCGUUGAACCAACAUCUCACCGACGGUCGCCGUCACAGCCACUAAUUCCCUACCCGUACACAGCAUCAGCUAAAGCUCGAUGACAAACCGUUGCAACAAUCUCUCCAUUCGACAUCUAUCUUCACCAUAGACUCAAAAGUAGCAGCCAUGUGAAGAGGAAAAAGGUGUGUUAAAUGUUUUUCUUGCAAAUCGUGACCUUUUUUUGUUUGAUGAUAAAGAUCCACAUUUAGGUGUAGAGUAUUUUAUAGGGUCAAAAUUAGGUCACUAAUCCCUAUCACUUCACGCAAAAAAUAUUCGAAGUAGCAACAAAUUGGAGAAAAAAUCUUUGGAUUCGUUAAUAUUUUGGAAUAUGCCGAGAUUUUAAUAUAUUAGAGUCAUAAUUUUGUUUCUUUAAAUGGAUUUUGUUGAGAUACUGGAGAAAGAAAAUUUCCGAAAAUAAAGGUGGUGAUUAAUUAGUUGAAAGAUUAGUUGGAAUUAGGUAGAAUUGAAAACGUUAAAUCGAGAAUAUACACUCGAAUAUAGCAACAUACUCUGAGAUUUAGUUUGCUUAAUAUCUUUAUUAAUUUUGCAAAUUUAAAUAAUAAAUUCUAAUGGCAUGCCGAUAAAUGUGGGAAUAAAUUAAGGAAAUAGUGUUAAAUGGGUAAUUAAAGAUUAUAAAUAGGAUCCGAACAAAUUAAAACCGGGUCAAAACCCGAUCCAUUUGAAUUAAAAACCAAAAUCCCCUCUAAAAAUGUAUAUGUAGAUAUAAUGUAAUUUCUUACACUUCUCAAACAAAAUAUACAAUUUUCAAUGAUAUAUCACUUUCAUUAACAUUUUCAAUGACAUUUUUGAUAACAUGUUCGAAUAAUGGAUUACUAUAUAACAUUUUCAAUAACAUUUUCGAUCAUAUUUUCGAAUAAUAUAUUAGUAUAUAACAUUUUUACUAAUUGUGUUACAUUUUCGAAUUGAUUAGUAUAUAAUUUUCAAUUGUGUAAUCGUUUGAAGAAUUUUUUUCAGAAUUAUCUGUAUUAUAUAAACAAAAUCUUUUAAUAUCUUUAAACCCGUUGACCCGUUUAUAUAUAUUAGUGACAUGGAAUAAAUUUUAUGAUUAGAAUUAUAUAAUGGCAUAUAUUGUAAUUUCUUACAAAAUCUAAGUUAUGACUCUUAGGAUGUACUUCCCAAAUAUUAGUAUAGAUGGAGUGGUAGCAUUUCUUAAUUGUUGAACUCCCAUAUCAAAGAUUGGGUUCUUGGAACGACAAUGAACUUGGAGAAUGGAACCAGGCGGGAGGUGGUUUCAAAUUUCUACACUAUAUAUUAUAAGUGCAAGUUUCAUUCAUCCGAAAAUACAUAGCAAUGACCAACAUUAAACAUAUGAAGUGAUUUAUUUUUGUUGGAAAAAUAUAAUUUUGGAGUAACAAAAUGAAUCGAUGUGUAAUAUUUCUAUUUUUAGCAUGGAUUUCAGAAAGAUAAUCAAUUAGAUUUUAUUACAUAUAUUUUAUAGAUAAAAACUACGAGAAUGCAUCGUGGACCAUUUAAUAAAUUAAUUUUCUAAUUUUUUUUGUUAUGUUAUAUAUAUAUAUAUAUAUAUAUAUAGUUAAUUGAGUUCUUUUAAUAUAUUAUGUACAAUAAGUUUGGCUAUAUUUUUAACAUUUUGAUUAGUUUCAUCUAUUAAAUAAUCAAUUAUUUUUCAAUUAAUAAUAUGUCAUAAGAUUCAUCACUAUAUUCUUUCAAAUUGAAAAUGUAUGACCUUUCACCUCUCAUAAUAUUUUAGAAAUACCCAAUAAAUUGAUUUUUAAUAUAUCAAUUUUAAAAAUUGAUAAAUAUUUCUAAAACUUUUAAAUAGGAUCAAUCUUUAACAUCGUUUUGUUAGAAAAUUCAAAAUUAUAUGAUUACUAAUAACAAAUUUCGAAUUCUUAUAUUUACAAUAUUAAUUCAUUUGUAUUUAGUUUCAAAGAAUAUACAAAGAUUAUUAUCCUGUAUAUAUAAAUACAUGGGCUGCCUGAAGCAAUCUACUUGUAAUAUAUGCGUUCAACUAGAAUCACCUUCUACUUUCGACAUCUACCCAAUUCACCCUAUACUCUUCUCCUUCUUCCUAAUUCCACCCAAUCUAUUAAAUUAUAUCCAAUUAACCAAAUUCAAUAAAUCUCUGAAAUUUUGAUUUAAAAUUAAUAAUACGCGUUCAUUAUUUCGCGAUUUGAGUAUAUCCAAGUUUAAAAUCUUGACUCGGUUAAGCUUUUCAAUGUGUUGUUGACAUGUUGUUGAGAAUAUUUUAAACUCGGGUGGACUCAAAUCGGGAAAUAGUGAAUGCGAAUUAUUGAUUUUAAAUCGAGAGUUCUGAGAUGAAUUGUAUUUGGUUAAUUGAAUAGAAUUUUAUAGUUUAGGUAGAAUUAUGAAGAAGAAGAAAAAUUCAAAGUGAAUUGGGUAGAGGUCGAAAGUACAGGGUGAUCCUAGUUUAACGCAUAUAUUACCGGUUGAUUGCUACAUCACCCCUAAAAAACAUUUGCCUAAAGUCUGUACAAAACAUAUGCCUAAAAGUCUUAGCCCAAUAAGCUAGCGAGCCAAUACAAAGCCCAAUUUUAAAUCGAAGCCCAUUUAUUCAGUUGUAUCAAAAUAAGAGAGAUCGAGACUCGAGAGCAUCCAUGGCUUGAAGGAAAAGAAAAGUUUUUUUUUUUCUGUGCUUUCGUCUCUAUAAACCCUUUCGACGACGAGUGAAGAAGAAAUCGAGAAGAAGAAGAAGAAGAAGCAAAAAUGUUCAGAAACCAAUACGACACAGAUGUGACCACAUGGAGUCCAACAGGUCGUUUAUUCCAAGUGGAAUACGCCAUGGAAGCAGUGAAGCAAGGAUCUGCAGCAAUUGGACUCAGAUCUCGUUCCCAUGUCGUUCUCGCUUGUGUUAACAAAGCUCAAUCGGAACUUUCUUCUCAUCAGAGGAAGAUCUUUAAAGUUGAUGACCAUAUUGGUGUUGCAAUCGCUGGUCUCACCGCUGAUGGUCGUGUUUUGUCUCGGUAUAUGAGAUCGGAAUCGAUUAAUCACUCGUUUACUUAUGAAUCUCCUCUUCCUGUUGGUCGUCUCGUUGUCCAUCUCGCUGAUAAGGCUCAGGUUUGAAAAUUUGGAAUCGAUUAUGCUUGAUUUUGUGUGAUUCACUGAGUUAAAAGUUCAGCUAUUAGGGUAUUUUUAUUGUUAAUUGAGAUUUGGAAUCAAUUAUGCUUGAUUUUGUGUGUCUCAUUGAGCUAAAAUUUAGCCAUUAGGUUCUUGACUUUGUGCUUAGGGUUUAAAAUGUGUUUUUGUAUGUGGUGAAAUUUGAUGAUUUGGAAUUAAAGCUGAGGUUAAGAGCAAGUGUUAUAGGGAUUUGAUCUGAUUAAGACUUAAGUUGUAGGAUUUAGAUGUUGUUGCAUAAUCUUGUAUACUAAGGUUUACCUUUACCAAGAACAUGUCAAUGUCUAAGCAUUAGGAAUUUAAGAAUGAGUUUUGUUUUUCUUCUGGUACUUUUACUUGUUUUUGCAGUUGUCAUUAAGUGGAUAUAUUUUCGUUUCGUUUGAUAAUUUGAUUUAGGUAUUAGAAAACAUUCACUUUAACAUUAGGAUGCUAGAAGACUGAGUUUUUGUGUUUCUUCGGGUACUUUUAUCGUGUUUGUGUAGUCGUUUUCACUAAGAGAAUCAAUUGUCAUUCGUUUAAGAUUUGGAUUUCGGUCUUCAUUUGUUGCAUCAAGUGUUUCAUUUACUGGCUUUAUUCGCAGUUCGUUAUCACCACCUUUUACUUGUCUUACCACUCAUUACUCCUGUUAUAUGUUGUUCUACAACUUGUUUAUAAUUUUUUGCUACAUCUCUUUUCUGUUUGGCGUCUAACUAAUGGCUUCUUAAGUUAGCUGUUGUAUUCACAACUGCACAAAUGUUUUUCUGCUAUAUCUUACUUCUGUUGAUGUAUGAAACACAUUUGCUGUUAUAUUCCCGUUUUCAAUCGUUUGUUUGGUACAAAGCCACUGGGAAGAGCUCUUAUCUAUCAUCUGUAUUUCUAAGUUGGUUUCGUUGGUUUACUCUUAUAGUAGGAGAGAUUUUGCUAGACAGGGUCCAGUUUAAGUUACAUUAUUAUCAUUUAUUUUUCAUCUUCACCAAGGUUUUUUUCUUGAUUAUUUGUGUGUUUGCUUGUCUUUUGAACAGGUCUGUACCCAACGAUCAUGGAAACGACCCUAUGGUGUUGGUUUACUGGUAGGUGGAUUGGAUGAGUCUGGUGCCCAUCUUUACUACAACUGUCCAAGCGGAAACUACUUCGAGUACCAAGCUUUUGCUAUCGGGUCCCGUUCCCAAGCAGCAAAGACCUAUCUGGAACGCAGGUUUGAGAGCUUUGGGGAUUCUUCAAGAGAAGAUCUGAUCAAAGAUGCUAUUUUGGCUGUUAGGGAGACAUUGCAAGGGGAGACACUGAAGAGUUCUCUCUGCACAGUCGCUAUUCUAGGAGUCGAUGAACCGUUCCACUUCUUGGACCAGGAAGCGAUACAGAAAGUGAUCGACACAUUUGAGAAAGUACCAGAGGAAGAGGAAGGCGAAGGCGAGGCUGGUGAGGGUGAGGCUGUAGCUGCCGCUGCUGCACCAGCAGAACAAGGUGGUGGUGGUGCAGGUGACGUUGCUCCAAUGGAAAUGUAAGGCUUAUGUGUGUAACGCUGGAACUAUUUUAUUUUGAUGUUAGUUGGAUUUACUUUGCAUAUGGCUGCGGGUUUAGAUUAUAUGCUUGAGAACCUCGUGAAGUUGAAAUCAUUUCGUCAUAUAAACUCUGUAGCUGCCAUUAAGACUUUCUCCUAUUUUGGAUCUUUUGGUUUAAAUCUGAAAUCUGUUCACUGACUUCCUAUCUCAUUGGUUCUGCAAUUCCUUUCUAAAACAAAUUUCUAGUCCCAUCUUGUCUAGCAGGCCAAGCCCGCCCUGCCGAGAGCUUUAAACAAAAUUGACCCGCAAAGCCUUAACCCGCGAAACCUGCAUUGUUUCCUCAAUUAUCGAAACUUGUACAUACUCAGAUUUAGGCAGCUCAUCUUCUUCUAAGAAGUCAGAUCUUUUUCCAUACCAUAGUGUAUAUAGAAUCGAUUUUCUAUUCUGAUAGUUAGCGUACCGGGCGGCCGCAGCGAGCAAACUAUCAAUCUCGUAAGGAAAAAAAAAAAACUAUCCCCAUUUUCUAUGCUUUUGUUAGUCAACACCUUACAAAGACUUCUAUCCGAGAACAACUCAAAACACAAGUUUCAUGCUUAGUAGGUUUUUGAUGUUUCCGCUACUUUUAUAUCUUUGUAAACGUCUCUAAAGAACCAGAAAAUUGUGUAAAAACUUAACAUUCAUAGUUUCAUACAAAACUAAAAGUUUCAUGCCUUUAGUAACAGAAAUAAUAAUUUGGUCUAUGUUUUUCUUCGAUCAUAAAUCAUCUUCCUCCAACACGUAAAAUUAGUCUCACACACAUCCGAUACUAAUAAAACAUCUUUUUAACGUCAAAGUUUGUUAAAUAUUAAAACCAAACACUCAUUAAAUUGAUGUUAAUUUCAAAUUAUAAUCUGGUCAGCUCGCAGUUCUAGUAAUUCGGGAUCUUGGAUGUGGAAAUUUUUUUUGAAAUAUAGAGAUAAAGCUAAACCUCUUCACAGAAUGGAGAUUCGGUCAGGUUUGGGAACCUCGUUUUGGCAUGAUACUUGGUGUUCUAUUGGGAGAUUGGUCGAUAAACUUGGUCCCCGUGGUAGUAUUGAUAUGGGUAUUCCUUCAACAAGUACUAUCGCUGCAGCUCUCUCGUCGAAUACGCGCCGUAGACAUCGAACAAAUGUUUUGAACCAGAUUGAGGAUGAAAUGGAUGCCCUCCGUCUUGUUCAUCAAAUACUGGUAAUGACGUCUCACUUUGGAAACGAAUCAAUGGCUCUUUCAAAAGCAAGUUUAACUCUCAGCAAACUUGGCACGUGAUACCGACAACCUAAUCCAAUCUGUGAUUGGUACAAGGGUGUAUUGUUCCCACACUCCACACCCAAGUAUUCAUUUAUAGCUUGGUUAGCCAUUCGUAAUCGCCUUGCUACGGGAGACAGGGUAGUGAAGUGGAAUGGGGCUGCAAAUGGAAGUUGUGUUUUUUGUCAGGCGGAUGUAGAGACAAGGGACCAUAUUUUCUUCUCUUGUCCAUACUCCACUCAAGUUUUUUUUUUUUUUUGAAUCUAAUGUUAAAUUAUAUUCAAAGAAAAAAUAAACGUUUAUACAUAUGAAUGCAAAACUUUUUAAAGAUUCAAGAAGAUUCUAGCUAUCGUGUUGUCUUGAGGCAAACCACGUUUGGAUCCCACUUGUACUCUUCUCCUGACUCAAGUUUGGUCAGCUCUAACCAGAGAAAUGCUAGGCCGACGGUUUUCAACACGCUGGGAGUCUCUAAUCCCUCUAAUCACAUCUUCGAAUUCUCCACACCUCCAUCAUUUCGUGUUGAGGUAUGUCUUUCAGUUCUCUAUACACAGUCUUUGGCGAGAAAGGAAUGGGAGAAGACACGGGGAGUCACCAACUCCUGCUUCCCCGCUCUCAAAACUAAUCGAUAAGAAUAUGAGAAACCGGCUAAGUUCCUUGGUGUUGAAGGGUUCAACCGCUUUCUAAGGCGGGUUGCGCUAUUGGUUUAGCACCCAUACUCGCAACUGAUCUUCUCAUGUUGUAAUCUCUCCAAUUAUUUUCAGAUUUUCGGUUUAAUGUUGCAUUUAUUGUAAAACAGUUUUUUUGGUGAAUAAAUUUUACAUUCAUACAAAAAAAAAAUAAUAAUAAUAAUAAUUUCAAAUUAUGAUAAAAAUCAUUAGUUCGACGUCAUUUAGUCAAAUAGAAAAUAUAAGUGGCCCUCUACAUGGUGACAACUACGAAAGACUUUGGAUAAUGGGAACCAUGUAAACCAGACCCAUUGACUUUGCCGUCUCUCUCAAUUAUUUGCUUAUCCACCAUUCGUUUCCGUAUUUACCAUAUAACUAUCAAAAGAAAAAUGAUCAAGAGUCUAUAAUUGUAUGUAAGUGCUAGUGUAUUAUACAAAAUUAAAUUAACGAAGAACAAACAUGUUUUCGAUGGGCGAAAACAUUUUGAAUUAAACAUACUAAACACCGUCGAAUCGAUCAGAGAAAUUGGAAAAUUUUCUAGCUAAACUUAUCGCGAAUCGAUUUGGUAAAUCAUGAAAUCAUAAGUUGUUAUUUGCUUCAUAUGGUAAAAUCGAUUAUGUUAGAAACAAUGCUAAAAAAAUUUCUAGCUAAACUUUUGCGCCAAAAUGCUAGUCCAUUGUUUCUAACAUAAUCGAUUUUACCUUAUGAAGCAAAUAACAAUUUAUGAUUUCAUGAUUUCAUCGCGAAACUGAAAUUUUCGAUUUUGACAUUAAUUUUUUUUUUUGUAACAUGACAUUAAAUUAUGAUUAUAAAAAAAAAUAUUUGACAUGCAACUUAAUAAAAAUAUUUAGUCAAAACUCAAUUUUUCAAAAAAUAAUUAUUUUGGUUACAUCCAAACAUAACAUUUGAAUGCAUUUACCAUUCCGGCCAAUAAAUAAAUACACUACAUUAAGAUAAGUUGAAUCCGAACGCAUAAACGAAUAACAUCAAGUCCUGUGGUACCAAAUAUGGAUUUAAAAAUCGUCACUUGGACCAAUGACGAAAAAUGGACUAAAAAUAGAUUGAACCGGACCCAAAAUUAUUUCCAAACAACCACCAUAUAUCCUAACCACCGUAUACUAUAUGUUAAUCUAACAAUUUGUUGAAAUGCUUGACUUCAUGCGAGAUUAUUAAAACCUACAAUAAAAUAAAAUAAACAAUGAAGAAAGUGUUGAGAAUGUUAUGCAAACAUGGCCAGCUCGACUUUUAUUUGUUGGAAGAAGUUGUCUUCUUCUUAAACCAUUUUUGUAUUUUGUGGUUGAUAUUAAGGAUGAAACAAACAUCAAUCUUUGGUCAGAAAAAAAAAAAUAAAUUGUCGUUGAGAAAUGAAAGGAAGGGCCUACGUAAUGAUCUUCUUCUUCUGGGCUCUUCUCACAAUAAUCACCCCAAUGCUUGUUAGCUGGUCUCAAGCUCUCAAAAAUCUUCCACCACUCUCUCAUGAUCAAGGUAUUCCUCUUAACAAUCUUGUUACAUCAAACUUCAUUAUAUAUACUAGUCAAGAAGAUGAUGAUCGUUGACUCGGUGUUCCAAAGGGAGCUGAACCUUGCAUCUCCAAUUCAUUAUCACUUGAAAGGGAUGAUUUACGCGCCAAUAAGGGUAUUAUCAAAUGCUUGUCUCGGUCCUUAGGAGGUUACGGGCUCAGCGGAAAACGUUUUGGUUAAUAAAAGUGAACGUUUUAGUUACUUCUAUAGUGACACCAUUGUGUUCCUCCAAUAUUCAAUAUUUUUUAAUGGAUUUCAGAACAAAAAAUCAAAGACACCAGUCCAAGGCGAAUGAUGGGAUAUACAGAAGAAAUGCAUUUGGCACAAGAGUUUGUUAGUCACAUAAAAGAAGAGAAGUUGAUGAUGGUGCCGUCCAUGGCGCCGACUCCUGAAGAUAACCCUGUUACGCUUUCAUUACCUUUCUUGCGAAAAAAACAACAAGACGGAUUAGUCGUUGAACGUGCACAUCCCAUUAGAUUGCAAUAAGUUAAAAGAAAUUCUUUCUUUUUCUUUGUUUAUUUUGGCGAUUAUUUACAUCAUCUUUAUUGAUCAAGUAAGUGUUCAUAAUGACUCCGGUUAUUUUUUUAAUUAUACGAAACCUAAUUAAUCCUAUUCAUGGCAGAGCAGUUCUUGUACAUAUGUAAAAUUUGCAUCCUUUUGGCAAAAGCCAAUGGUAAGAUGUUUUUUUUUUUUUUUGAUUUCUUUUCUUGUGGUUAGAAAGAUAGAACAAGAUUAAUAAUUAGUGUAUAAUUAAUUUAACAUUAACAUAGAAUCAAGAGUUGGUGAAGAAAGAAAAAGACAAUUGGUAGAUAAACUCAACCAAACGUCAUGGAUGUUAGUAUAUAAAAUUGUCUGGUGUACAUCUCCAUACAACUUUGUCAUCUCAAUGUGAGGAAAUCUACAUAUACGGAGAUGUAGGAUCGGGGAAAAGGUUAUUUUCGUCAAUUUUGUAGCCAAAUGACAAGUCCGAGUUCGUCAAUUGGUAGCCAACUAUUGGUUGGCAGCCAAAUGUUCGUCAAUUUUACCUUCGUGUAAAUCUUCAAGACUAGUCUGCAAGAAGUCUACUAUAGAUGAUGUGUCGAGUUUUAAUUAAUUAAUCGUAAUCGUGCAGUGAAGGAAGGUGGUCGUAAUAACGAAGGUCGAUGAUGAAAUACUAAGAAUGUCGCACACCAAAGAUAUGAUGAAUGAACUAAGCAAAUAAUCGUUUAGAAUUUAUUUUUUUAUUAUUUUCUCAAGACUAAAUAUGAAUGAUACUAGAGUAACGUGUUGUGAACAAAAACAAGAUGAUUGAAUAAACACAAGCAAGUUAAAAUAGUAAGUGAAUUACGAAAUUAAACAACCCACAAACUAGACUAGAUUUUGUACCAGCACGUUACGCGGGAUUUUAAUUUAAAAUAUCUUUAUUAAUAUAAUUUUUGAGUAUAAAAUAUAAUUAUUAAAAUUUAAAAGAUAAAUAUUUGAGCAAAAAAAUAAUAAUUUAAAAUUUAAAAGAUAAAUUUAUAUAAACACUAAAUAUAUUUUACGAAACGAUAUAAAAUAUAUAUACACAUUAUCGACGAUAAUGUUUCAAAGAUCACUUAAAAAAUUUGAGGGAAUACUAAAUAGUAUCUACGACCAUCUCAUGAUCCUUUAACACUAAACUUUAGAAUAAUUUGACGUUAAUUAUCGAUUUUUGACAUAAUUGUAAAUAUUAUUUAUGAUUAAAUGUUGAUAUGAACAUAACAACAUUCCAUAUAAAAUGUGAAUAUGUAACGCCCCGACCGUCUCUACCAGUAGGUCCCACGUCCUUUCUCGGGCCCAUGGGCCCACCUCUGUCCGAAGGCCGGUCCGCUACGUCCGGGAGGCUUUAAAGAUUUGUUUACCAACCCUACAAAUCACCACAUGAUCUUUCCCUGUGUUUUGUCCUCACUCAUACAGUUCCGACAAUCACUUUCCGGAAGGUCACCCAUCCUGAAAUUGCUCCAGCUCAAGCACCCUUAACUGUGGAGUUCUCUCAGGACGGUUGACCGAAAAGAUAAGUGCACUUUGGUGACAUAGGUGGCCAAAUCAAUUCUUAUAAACCUCUCUGCAUGCACCACCACAUUCCUGAAACCGGGGUGUUACAGAAUAUAUCAGGUUUCAUGAUCUUUAUCUAGUAUAGCUUGGAGGACUGCGAACCUCGAGAAAUCUGAAAAUGAAUCUAUACUAUAUAAAAGUCAAGGCUAUAUGCUUCUAAGGCCGUCCACAUAGGAUUUUAGACGGCCAAUCACGAUUAGCCACCUCACUAAUUGACAUUUUAAAUGAAGAAAAUAAUUUGGAAAUAAAAGAAAUGUAAUUUUUCUAAAAUAUUACGUAGUAGAGAAAUGUAAAAUAAGAAAAAUGUAAAUUUUCUGAAAUAUUACGUAGUAGAGAAAUGUAAGCUUCAUAAAAUAUUACGUAUUAGAUAAAUUUAAAAUGUUAGUUGAAGAAAAUUAUAUAGAAAUAAGAUAAAUAGAAACUUCCUAAAAUAUUACGUAAUAAACAAAUAAGAAUGAAAAUUUUCUAAAAUAUUAUGUAAUAGAGAAAUGUAAGCUUCCUAAAAUAUUACGUAGUAGACAAAUUUAAAAAGUUAGUUGAAGAAAAUAAUAUUUGUUUAUAUAAAUACAUUGCGUGAUCUUCACUUUCACAUCAUAACUAACCCCUAGAUUAUUUUGCUUUGAUAUUACAUUGAAAUAUUAAUGAGUUUUAUGUAAAUUUGCAGGUUGGAUUUGUGAAAACAAAGACGUGAAUCGAUCUAAAAUUUUGGAUUGUUCAGUUGAUCAACAUGUCUUAAUAUAUAUUGUAAGUAUAAUAUUUUUUCGUUUUUUUCAUUAUGAAUCUAUGAGUUUUUUUUUAGUGUUCUAAUUUUUGCAUCGAUAAUCUAUUAAUAAUAUUAAAAAGUUUAGUUUGAUCUUUUAGUGUAUAAGUUCUCAUUGAAUCUUUGUAUUACUUUCUACUAAUGAUCAACAGGUCCAUCAAUAAUUAGUAAAGAGUCGAGUUUAUAUUGUGAACUUUUGAUGGUUAGUAUUGACGCUUUUAAACUAUGAAUAAGGUACUAUCGAUGUCUAUUUUUGGUUAUUUGUUGCGUUUAAAUUAUUUUUUGUAGUUUUUAUCAACAACUGACUAAUAAUUUCUCCUCAUAUUCGAUUAAUUUUAUGUGUUGAAAUUACCAAUUUCUUUUCUUCUAUAUAAAAAAAAUUAAAUACCCCGCGCGUAGCGUGUGGUAAAAGUCGAGGCUAUAAGCUCCUUAAGCCGUCCACCUAGGAUUUUAAACCUCCAAUCGCGGUUUGACAUCUCAUUAAUCAACUUUUUUAACCAAGACGUUAAUUAACAUUUUUUAAAUUUAGAUAUUUUCUAUACUAAAAUAUUAAUUAAAAGGAAAACAAAUUAUGGUAAGAAGAGAAAUGUGAAUAUUUGAAACAACAACAUAUAGAAAUAAGACAAAUGUAAAGUAUAGAUUACAAUAUUAUUUUCUAUAUAUAAAAGUCGAAGCUAUUAGCUCCUGAGACAGUCCACGUGAUUUUAAACGACCAGUCGCAGUUACUCAUCUUGCUAAUUAACAAAUUUUGCCAUUAUGUUAAUUAACAUUUAUAAAUUCGGAUAUUUUCUAUACUAAAAUAUUAAUUAAAAGGCAAAAAAAGUAUAUGAAAAGAAGAGAAAUGUGAAUUUCUGAACAGCAACAUAUAGAAAUAAAACAAAUGUAAAACAAUUAUGGAAAGAAGAGAAAUGUGAAUAUUUGAAACAACAACAUAUAGAAAUAAGACAAAUGUAAAGUAUAGAUUAAAAGAAAUUAUGGAAAGAAGAAAAAUGUGAAUAUUUGAAACAACAACAUAUAGAAAUAAGUCAAAUGUAAAGUAUAGAUUACAAUAUUAUUUUCUAUAUAUAAAAGUGGAAGCUAUUAGCUCCUAAGACAGUCCACGUGAUUUUAAACGACCAGUCGUAGUUAGUCAUCUUGCUAAUUAACAAAUUUUGCCAUUACGUUAAUUAACAUUUAUAAAUUCUGAUAUUUUCUAUACUAAAAUAUUAAUUAAAAGGAAAAGAAAACAGUAUAUGAAAAGAAGAGAAAUGUGAAUUUUUGAAACAGCAACAUAUUGAAAUAAGACAAAUGUAAAAAAAUUAUGGAAAGAAGAGAAAUGUGAAUAUUUGUAACAACAACAUAUAGAAAUAAGACAAAUGUAAAGUAUAGAUUACAAUAUUAUUUUCUAUAUAUAAAAGUCGAAGCUAUUAGCUCCUGAGACAGUCCACGUGAUUUUAAACGACCAGUCGCAGUUAGUCAUCUUCCUACUUAACAAAUUUUGCCGUUACGUUAAUUAACAUUUAUAAAUUCGGAUAUUUUUUAUACUAAAAUAUUAGUUAAAAGGAAAAAAAAAAACAGUAUAUGAAAAGAAGAGAAAUGUGAAUUUUUGAAACAGCAACAUAUAGAAAUAAGACAAAUUUAAAGUAUAGAUUACAAUAUUAUUUUUGGUUAUAUUUUACCAAAAUUACUUUUUUUUAAUAAAUAUUGAUGCAAUAUUUUCCAUAUUAAAAGUUCAUAUAAAAAUCGAUUAAUAUCUUUUAAGAUAGUGAUUAAAAAUAUUUAAAAUAUUUAUUUAUUAUUUUUACUUAAAUUUCGUAGAAAAAUAUUAGUCCCUAAAUCUUUGACCGCCUAUUUUUUUCUAGCUAUAUCUUUCACAAAAUAUAGGAAAUGUUUUAUAAAAACUAAGCUGAUAGUGACAUGUGUAUAUAGAAAAACAUUAUUAUUAUUCUAUAGAUAUCGUCAAGUUGAAAAAUAAAUCCUAAAAUUUCCAUCGCCUCUUAGUUUCCUAUAAUUACCUUGAUGAGAGUUUUUGUUUAGCUCAUAUCAAGUUCGGCGAGCUUUUUUAAAAGAAAAUCUUCUUGUUUAGCUCGUAUCAAGUUCGGCAAGCUUUUUUAAAAGAAAAUCAGACGGUAAGUUUGUAGAAACGUGCAUGUGCUGCCGUUUCAUGGGCAGAAGAACCACACAUAGCUUUUAAGUAGAAUAUGUAAAUAACAAAAGAAAAGACCUUUAUUUUAUUAGAGCAGAGUGAUAGUUUGUUCGUAGGUUGGAUGAGAAGAGAAAUAGCAGUGUUUUUGUGGAAACUGCAUCCGCUUUUUUUACUUUAUUUCUGAAUAGAAGUGACACUACAAGAAAAAUUUACAUUCUUAGCGCGGAAAAAAUGCUAUCAUAGGUAAUACAUAGCGAAAUAACAACUGCUAUGAUCUCGCGCGGCAGCUAUGGUAGAUGUCCCACCUACGAUAGCAUUAAUUUUGUCUGCUAUAGUAUGUUCAUAUACAAGCACUUUGUUAGUGUUAUUAUUUACGUUUUCAUAGCAAUAAUUUAUUGCCAUUAUUUAGUUGUUCAUAGCAAUUUAUGAAUUUUUUUAAUUUUUUUUGAUAAUUCAAAUUGGGUGCUAUAAUAGAUCACUAUACAAUAGCAAAUAUUUGUUGCGUUAAUUCAUGUUUUCAUAGUGCCAUCUUUAAAAAUAUAACAUGCUAUCAUAUGUAAUAUAUACUUAUAUAUAUAUAUAUAUAUAUAUAUAACCUGUAAAUUUAAAAUGAAACCAUUUAUAACAUCUCAAAAACAUUCCAACAUACUUAAAACACUUCCGCAUCAUACCAAACACAAUUCCGAAUCCAACAUACCAAAAACAAUUCCAAAUCCAACAUACCAAACAUUAAACAUUCUGAAUCCAAAAUACAUAAAGACUAGUCUUAACCUAAAUUAAGCUAGCUGGACCAAAGUUCACUACAAGAAAAUAGUGAUAUUGCAACAUAAUGUUUGCAACGUUCCCUUUUGUUAAAAUUUUGCAAUAGAUUUUACAAUAAUUUUGUAAUGAUGAAUACAUAUUGCAAUUUUAUUACAAACUCAUUGCAAUAUUACGAUUAAAAGUUUUCUUGUAAAAUAUCGUUACUAAUUUGCAAUUUCUUUACGACAUGUGAAACUUUCAUGCAAAUUUGCAAGAAAUAUUCAACGAUAAUAAGUCGUGGCUUUUUUGCCAGAAAAUAUAAUAAAAAUACAUAGCACCUUUGUAACUAUAUUUGCAAUGUUUUUAGUAACUUCUCGCUAUAUUUACUUUUUCUAAGAAUUGUGAAGAUAAACUAUCAAAUAUUUUUACCUUACUUAAUAGAAAAAAACAUAUGUAUUACAUAUUUAAAUUUAAUAUUUUAAUAAGGUCGGUAUAUAUUCAGUUUGAUCACAAAAUUUGUGGUAUUUUUAGGGUUAUUAAAUAUAGACAUUAUCCAAUAUAUAUUCAUAGCAUGAGUUAGUGAGAGUGUGGAGACUAUGUUUUUUUUUGUAGGCAUAAAAACCGAACAUAAACAGAUUGAGAUUGAUGAGUUAGAGCCAAAUUUUGUACCGAAUCACCCAAAAGUGAAUCUAAACCGAAUCAAAAUUGAACUUAUUCCAAACCCGAAUUCUAAACAUCUAAACCAAAUUUUGACAUGCUCUUGAGAUAAAGUUAACUUUCUUUUGACACUCUUUUUUUUUUUUUUGAAACAAAUGGAUUCUCUUAUAUUGAAUUAGGUUUCCGUACAAGAGAAAAACAGAGCUGCCUUUGCAAGAGCAUCAGCUUGGCGAUUAAGAUCCCGUGGGAUGAAAUUGAAAGAGCAACAAGUGAAAUAGUAGAGAUAGACAGGAUAUCGUGGAGAAUCCCGUGAAGUUCCUUCGAUUGGAGCUUCGAAUUGAGAGAUUUGACAAGGCUUAGCGAGUCUGAAGCGAAAGAGAUGUGUUUAAAAGCCGAUUCAUUUGCAACUCCAACGGCGGCGAGAGUUGCCAGUGCUUCNNNNNNNNNNNNNNNNNNNNNNNNNNNNNNNNNNNNNNNNNNNNNNNNNNNNNNNNNNNNNNNNNNNNNNNNNNNNNNNNNNNNNNNNNNNNNNNNNNNNUCCAAACCGCUGCAUCAUCUACCUGGACUAUAUCUACCAAAACUUGCGCAGCAUUAAGGCCCAAAGGAGCACAGUGUACACGUCUCUCUGGAUCAGUUGAAAUCACCCGUCCUUCAGCAACAACUUGCUUCCUUUCUUUAAUAUCCAGUAACAUACACUUCUGAUUUUCCUGUAUAGCUCCUUUUUUCCGCUGACAAGUUGACCAUAUUAACCAAUUACUACAGUAAAAUGAGACAGAACCAUAAUCAACUUUAGAACAUAUAAAAUAAGUUACCGGAGAUCUUCGAAGAGGCCGGGACGGUGCAGCUGUUUGAGUUUCCACUGCAUUAGAUUUUGGAACUGUUGUUAGAGACUUCUCACAUGAUGCUGAGAUUGGUUGCAUAUGCGACUUAGAACCUGUUGCUGCGGAUUUUUUACUUGCUGAUGCUGAUCUUCCAUGAGCUGGUUGCGAUUUAGAACCUGUUGCUGUGGAUUUUUGACUUGAUGAUGCUGAUUUUCCAUGAGCUGUUUGAGUAGAUGCAUAAUUCUGAAUAGGAGAUAACCGGCCUGUUCCAUCUGGGUUGUUUUCGAAGACAACUUUGUUGAAAGGCCAUGCUACAAAGGACAUUAAACAGUCUUCUAUGUAUGUAACAUCCAUUGUAGGCCUCCAUAUGAAUGUAUUGGCUUCAUGUACCACAUCAACAAACACUUUUACAGCCUUUGGUCCGAGUGAAAGUCCAUUCACCAAAGCUUUACGAUCUUGCGUGGUCCAACGGCCUUCAGCAACAACUACAUCAUCGUUAGACAGAUCAAGUAGUUUGCAUUUGUUCAAAGAAUUGGCUCUUGUGCCCUGUUAAACGCAUAAAACAAUGUCAGAAUUUUAAAUCAUCAACAAUCUGUAUAAACUUAUUAAUUAAUGAACAAGUUAGAAACUUUACUAGUGGUGCCAUGUCUUCUUCCUGAACCCCCUGUUCUAGACUAACACACUUCGUGGCAGGCCAUGCAAUCAUAUGCCCAACAGAUUCUUCAAUUGUUGACAUUCCCAUAGCAUUUCUCCAAAGGAAUGCUUCUGGUACCGUGGCAGUCUCAACCAAAACUUUAUAAUCUAAAGGACCUAAACGUGUCCCAUUCACAACAUCCUCUGGAUCAGUAGAUAUAAUACGUCCCUCAGCAACAUUCGCAUCAUCACCAGCCCAGUCAAUCAAAAUACACUUUGGUUGUGCUUUUUUGUUAACACUCUAUGCAGAUUUAGAGUAGAAAAAAACAAGUCAGACUUUAUAGUUAUAAAGAAAUCAAUUUCAUGGAUUAUUAAUCACUUACCCCUGCAGCAGAUCUAGAGUUUUCACCAACUUCAGUUUCUUGUCCCUGUGACAUGCCAGAAAAAAUAUUAACUUUUAAUUUAUGAUACAACCCAACAGCUUAAUGUACAAAAAAUACAAAAGUGCAUUACCUGGUUCUGCAGUUUACCAAGUUUAUUUUCUAGCUCAUUAACCUUGUCCUGGAGAUGAAUUUGUUUCUUUUCCAUUUCAACCAUACACUUGUGAUUAACUUCGAAACAAGCUAAUUUCGUCUUAGUCAUAUUUCUCCCCAUUGCCCUCAUUCGACCGGGAUUAUCAGGUCCUAAUAGUUCGACAAGUGUAUCUUGUCCUUCAUUUGUUUCAACAGAAUUAACAAGUUCAGCUGCCUUUUUCUGCAAAUUUAGUUACAUAUCAAAAACAAUUCUAAAAAUCUAAAUCUAUACUGAAAACCAAAUUCACGAUGUACAUAACUUAUAACUUACAAUUUUUUCAGCUGCAUCAGUAUUCACUGGUGUCCCAUCCUUUCUAGUACGCGAUCUCACCCACACAUCAGUUCUUGUCACAUCAGAAGGAUCUGAUUUCUCUCGUCUCUCUUCUUUCUAAACAAAUAAAAGAAUAGAUCAUUCAAAAUACUUGUUAAACUGAUGAGAAUUAAUAAUCCAAACUGAUAUAACCCAUAUAUCUCAUCCAUUUGACUGAAUUUACUGUCACCUUCAACCCCAGAAUUUAACUCUCCAUGAUGAUACCAAUCAGACCGCCGCUUAUAAUCCUCAUCCAUACCUCUUCUAACAAGAUGGUCAACUACAACACUUCCUAUGUGACGAUCUAUAUUACGACAGUCGAUGCAAGGACAUACAAUCAUAUCACCAUCUACCAAAGCCGCAGACACAACUCUUACAAAAUCUGAAGCCCCUCUUUGAUAAGCUGGAUCAGCUCUUCAUUUAAGAAUGAAGAGAAAAAAAAUAAAAAAGAAAGAAAUAAAAAAAAUCUACAAACCCCUAUUGAAAACUUAACAUCUAUAUAAUUAAAUUUAAUACCUGCAAAGAUGCACCCAAUCUUUGUCCAGCAUUAUAUGAUAUAAGCUUAAUUUAAAACCUUUAGUAUCCUUAACAUCAUAUAAGAACAGAGUUAUUGAAAAAAUCAGACACAUCAAAAAAUAACUUUGUACUUUAAAACAAUUCAGACACAAAUAUACCUACGUUCUUUUAGAGCUAGAGAGAAACAACCAUAUCACAUAUAUUAAAACAAUAUAAACAAACUCAAAACAAAACAGUAUGUUUGAAACAACCUAACAGCAUUAACAACAAACCAACCAGACAAAAAUAAACAAACAAAAGAGACAAAAAGAAAGAAGCUACUAACCUGUCCUGUCAAUGGAGAUAAAUAAAAUCUUUAAACUUCCAUCAAUGCACUCAGCAACACUUGCAAAACAUAAUUGGAGAAAGAGUAUAAGUUUUAAAAUUCAUAUUACAGUUUGAUCUUAAAACGAUUUAUAUAGUCAAAGUAAUGAAACUGCAGUACAAAGACUCAUCAUAAGAGACAAAGAAAGAAGCUAUUAACCUGUCCUGUGAUUAGAGAUAAAGAAAAGCUUCAAAAUUCCUUUAGUGCACUCAGCAACACUUGCAAAACAUAAUUAGAGAAAGAGUUUAAGUUUUAAAAGUCAUUAAAAACGAUUUAUAUAGUCAAAGUAAUGAAACUGCAGUACAAAGACUCAUCAUAAGAGACAAAGAAAGAAGCUAUUAACCUGUCCUGUGAUUAGAGAUAAAGAAAACCUUCAAAAUUCCUUUAGUGCACUCAGCAACACUUGCAAAACAUAAUUAGAGAAAGAGUUAAAUUUUAAAAGUCAUUAAAAACGUUUUAUAUAGUCAAAGUAAUGAAACUGCAGUACAAAGACUCAUCAUAAGAGACAAAGAAAGAAGCUAUUAACCUGUCAUGUGAUUAGAGAUAAAGAAAACCUUCAAAAUUCCUUUAGUGCACUCAGCAACACUUGCAAAACAUAAUUAGAGAAAGAGUUUAAGUUUUAAAAGUCAUAAAAACGAGUUAUAUAUUCAGAGUAAUGAAACUGUAAUACAAAUAAUCAUCAUAAGAGACAAAGAUAGAAGCUCUUAACCUGUACUGUGAUUGGAGAUAAAGAACAGCUUCAAAAUUCCUUUAUUGCACUGAUCAACACCUGCAAAACAUAAGUAGAGAAAGAGUAUAAGAUAUUACUGUUUGAUCUCAUAUAAAAACGAUAUAUAUAUAUUCAAACUUUCAUAUACAAAACCAAAGUAAUGAAAUAUCCAAGAUACACAACCAAACUAUAAUCAUCAAAACAUGUUCUUAACUUAUAUACACAACCUAUAUGUAAAAUGGUGGAGAAGCUUUGCUCGGAUACAGAAAAUAAAACUCAUAUCUCAAACAGACUCAUAGCGUGUUUUACGAGUUUUUUAACAAGAAACUCAAUUGGAUUUGGUAUGUCAAUCAACCAGAGUCUGGCCUCAAAAGAAAACAAUUUUCAAUCACUCUUGUAUCUCUUAAUACUGACCAAAAAUGUGUAUUUCGACUAAACUAAAAAGUAAACCUUAAAUUAUACAGAUUGAACAACUGGAGAAGGAAAUAAGGGAAGUAAAGCAAGUUCUUUCUGACAAAAAAGAACAAGAAACCGCAAUGCUUGUUUGAACGGUUCUUAAACAAAUGUUCUAAAAUCAGAUACAUAACCAAAAUUUUUGUUCUUUCAUUGCAAAUGUUAACAUACUAAGCUAAAACGAAAUCGUAGAGACUUAUAAUGACCAAAUCAAAACACAUAAACAGAUCUGAGCAAACACAUAAACACAUAAACAGACUUGAGCUAAACAUGUUUGAGCAAACACAUAAACACAUAAACAAAUCUCUUGCAUGUCAUAAAAAAACCCGUUUAUUGUUCCAAUUUCAUCAGGAAAUCGAAACACAUAAACAGAUUUGAGCUCCAAUUGAAGAUUUAAGGGUUUCGACAACUGGGUAAAGUGAAAGAGAGAGAGAGAGUCGGAUAAAAUCACCUUCAAUUGGAUCAGCUCUUCUGAGAUUAGAUCCGGCGGUGUUUCAGAGAGCGGCGACGGCGAGAGAUUCCGCCGGAAUUGGCGACGGCGAUAGAUUUGGAGAUUUGAAGGUUUAAGGGUUUCGUUUCUCUAAGUGUUAAGAGAAGAAGAGAGUCGCGACAAAGUGUUAAGAGAAGAAGAAAGUUUUUGCUUUUUAGUAAAUUUGGCUAAGUGUUUGGCGGUAUAAGUGAUUUUACUUCCCGCUUAUUGAAACUCUAUUAUAGCGUUUAUCAAAUGCUAUCAUAUGGUAAGCAAAUUACAAACUCAUCUUAGAUAGCAAAUGUGAAAAUCGUGCUAUUAUUAGGUGCUAUGAAUGUACAGUUUUUUUGUAGUGUGAAGAUCACAACAUAUAUGAAAUCGGAUCAAAAGUUACAAAUUUUGAUGAUUCAUGAUUGUAAUGGGCAUGAUGACGUUUGUGUAAAUUUUCAAGAGUCACGGAGAUGCUACGUUAGUGUGAAGGCGGAGUGACGGAUCUAUACUUUUGUCGCUCAUAAGUCAUAACCAUGUUUUUAUGCUUGAAUGUUAUAUAUAUAUAUAUAUAUAUAUAUAUAUAUAUAUAUAUAUAUAUAUAUAACAUUUUUUAAAAAAAUUUAACUCUCAUCAUCAAUUGUUACUAUCGCUUUUUGUUGUGUGUGGCUCAUUUGACAUUACAUCCACACCUAAUGGAUCUAACUUUCCUCCAUCCUAGAUGUUAUAUCCUGUGGAGAUCAACCUCUAUGUUACUUAGAGGUCUACACCACCACUUAAUAUAUUAUGGUUCUGUUUAUUAGAUUGUUUGUCAUGUGAAACUGAAUGUUAUUUUUAUUGUUUUUGUGAGAGUAGUUUUUAUAUUAAGCUUCUAAAAGAGUCUGGUUGAGUUUGUGUAUGGUAAAUAUGCUAAUUAGGAUAAAGAAUGAAACAAAGACAUUGAGUGCUUACAAAAAGAUAGAAAGAGUGAUACCUCUCGAAAAAAAAUUGUAAAGACGGAAAUUCAUAUACAUAUUAAAAAUAAUGUAAGAAAAAUAUGAUUUGUUAACAAGAAAAAGUAUAGAUAAGCUUAGUAAUGUUAAAACGGGCUACCCGGCCUGUUAAGGCCCAAACCCGUUUAACAAAAAAAAUUAAAGCCUGUUUAGGUUCAUACCCGUUUAAACCCGCCAAAUUUAUAAAGGCCCGUAUAGGCCCGUCUAUUGUCUUCCCUUAUUUUUUUUUUAAAAAAAGCUAUACUAACUAAUGCAGAAAAUAUACUUUUGUAAGGAUCUUUUAUUUAGAAGAACUAUACUAACUAAUAAAGUAAAUAUACUUUUGUAAGGAUCUUGUACUUAUCAUAUGCUUAUGAGUAAACUUUUGUAAGGGCAUCCACAAUGGUAAAAGUGGAUGGGUGUGUGUUAGUGGAGUUUUAUUAAUAAAAUAAUGUAAGGGUUGAAGUUUAGAAACUUGGUGUUAUCCACAAUGGUAAAAGUGGAUGGGUGUGUGUUAGUGGAGUUUUAUUAAUAAAAUAAUGUAAGAGUUCAAAGUUUAGAAACUUGGUGUUAUAGGUAGAACCUGUUUCUUAGUAAUAGUUUAAUAAUAUAAUUAAGUAAUUCAUAAAACAUUUUUUUUAAAUUAAAAAUAACAAUUAAAUUUUAAACAUAAAAACAAACAAACAUAUUUAUUACUUAAAACACACAAACAUUUUAUUUAAUUAAUACAAAAUUUAAAAACUUUAAUCAUCAUUUGGAAGAUGUCCAAAUUUAGCCCAUAAAUGCUCAAUCAAAUCCUCUUUUAAUUGGUGAUGUGCUUGUCGAUCACGAAUUCUUGUGUGUCUAUCACCAAAACCGUCGAGAUUGGUAGGCAUAUUGACUGAACCUUUAAAAACGGGGAUGGUUUCUGUUUCUUCUCCUUGGUCUAAUUCUUCUUCAAGAGUGUAUGAAUGUCGUUCAUUUUCGACAAUCAUAUUAUGGAGUAUGAGACAUGCUCUCAUAAUGUAUGCUAAUUUACCUUUCUUCCAUAAAAGAGCUGGAUUUUUAAUCAUGGCGAAUCUAGCUUGCAGGACUCCAAAUGCACGUUCAACAUCUUUCCGUGCACCUUCUUGACGUUUUGCAAACAAUCUAUGUUUGGGGUGUUGUGGUCCUGGGAUGGAUUUAACAAAUGUCGCCCACUCGGGAUAAAUCCCAUCCGUAAGAUAGUAAGCCAAAUUAUACUCCCUUCCGUUGACAUAGUAGCUCACUUCAGGAGCUCGACCGUGAAUAAUGUCAUUAAAUACUGGGGAUUGAUCAAGAACAUUUAAAUCGUUACAAGUACCUGGCGCUCCAAAAAACGCGUGCCAUAUCCAGAGAUCUUGUGAAGCUACCGCCUCCAAAACAAUUGUUGGUUUUCCGGUUCCUCUUGAAUACAUUCCUUUCAAAGCGGUUGGGCAAUUCUUCCACCUCCAAUGCAUACAGUCGAUGCUUCCAACCAUCCCUGGAAAACCGCGGUGUUCUCCAAUAAAGAGUAACCUUUGAAGAUCCUCUAGUGUGGGUCGUCGUAGGUAUUCAGUGCCGAACAAGUCAACUAUUCCGACAACAAAAUGUAAUAAACAUUCCCGAGCCGUCGUUUCACCAAGUCGUACAUACUCGUCAAUUGAGUCUGCCGAACACCCAUAUGCUAAUAGUCGAAUUGCUGCAGUACAUUUUUGUAGCGGUGAUAACCCAUCUCGGAAGGUUGCAUCUUUUUUUGGUUUAAAAUACAUAACUUCUUCAGUGAGACGAUUGACAAUACGCAAGAACAAGGACUUGUUCAUUCGAAAUCGUCUGCGAAAUAGCGUCUCCGUGUACCUCGGAUUAUCACAGAAAUAAUCGGCCAUCAACUGCUUGUGCCCUACUUCCCGAUUUCUAUCGAUGUAUGUACGUUUAUCCCUUUCGACCGGAAUAUCCUCUUCAGUAGUAUCACAUAGAUUAUCGAAUUGCUCUUGAAGAUAUUUGUCAAAUUCAUCAUUAUGAGAGUCAUAAUGAUAAUGAAAAUUAUUUGAAGAAGAUGCCAUAAAAACCGAAAAAAAAAAGAAAGAGUGUUCGUAGGAGACACUUGAAUUUUAGGACGAGAUACUUGUUUUUUUGGAUAUAAUCAACUUGAAAUAUAAAGAAGAUAAGGGAAUGGGUUUGUGAGAGAAUUGUCUGUGCGAUCGUCAAAGGAAAGACAUACAUAUAUAUAGGAAAUGAAGUGUUGUGUCAAUUAUUUGAUAUUUUGGUAACCCGUGACUUCUUUAUCAUUUGUGACAAGUUAAACCGUGACACAAAAAUCCAACGUGAAUUUAUGUAAUACAAAAACUCAAGUAUACCCGUGAUACAAAACACUCAAGUAUACGAUUGAUGCCAUACAAAAACUCAAGUAUACCCGUGACACAAAAAUCCAACGUGAAUUUAUUAAUAUUUUUCGUUAAAAAAAUAAUGACCACAAAGAUAUACUUUUUUGUUCUUUAUUAAUCUGUUUUCUAUAAAAAAAAUUGUUACAAAAAAAUAGAUUUUUAUAAGUUUUCUAUACAAUAUUUAUUAGUUAUUAUUAAUGAAUUGUAAACUUCAAAAAGAAUAAUUGAAUAUUAUUGGUUUAGAGUUAUGUAAAAAUUCUAAAAAAUACAUCAUUUAGAAACAGAAAAAGUAUAAAAUUAUAAUGUUGGUCUUGGUUGGGAUAAUUAUUCAACCUGAAACCAAAAAGACAUGGGAAAACAAGUUAGAUAUGUGAUAAUACAAGACAUAUGUUUUCUGAAUACUUACUUAAAACAAGACAAAGACAUAAGAAAUUGAUUCAUAUAGAGAACUUGGUUUAAAACAGCAAACACAGAAGGUACAAACUUAGUUAAUAAAACAUAGAUAUUGAUUCAUACAUCAUUAAAACAACACAAAUUGAUCUUGAUUCAUACAUCAUUAAAACAGGAAAUAGUGCAUAAAUAAACUUGAAAUCUAAAGAGAAUUGUAAACUUCAGCAAUUAGCUUCUUCUUAAGAGCUAUUUCCUCUUCAUCAAGUGUUUCCUUCUUGGCAAUCAGUGUGUCAAGAAGGGACAUCUGUUGGAGCUGUUUCUUUAGCUCCAUAUCCUUCUGCUUGGCCUCCAAGAUUUUGUUAUCCUCUGCAGGUGGUGCAGACUUCUCUUUACCCUUCUUCCUCAAUUUCUUCAUUGCUUUAAUACCCGGAGGCCUACUCUCUUCCUCACCUAUAGUAGAUCCAACAGAUGGUGAAGCAUCAUCAGCCUUUCUUUUGUUGCUGGUUGUCUUGCUAGUAGGAUUCAUAUCAAUCCAACUACACCAUUUAGGUUCAUAUCUUAGAACUGUCCAGGCAUGCUCAAGCGUGAACUUCUUCUUGUUGUUGUUUUUUGAGUAGGUUUGGUGAGCCAACUGCAGAAUGUCAUUAUCAUUUUGACCACUAGCUUUCGCGUCCAAUGCAAAAGCAUAUGCUCCGCAGAACUUGCUCACAUCUCGACUUAUUUUGCCCCACCUUUGCUUACAACUGUCACUGUCUCUUGGCUCAGCUCCUUUGCGUACAUGGUCACUUGAAGCAUAGUACUCAGUUAUACGCCUCCAAAAGGUUCCUGACCUUUGGUCAUUGCCUACAAUAACAUCCUUCGAUGUGUUAAGCCACCCACUGAUGAGGACCAAGUCAUCUGGGUUUGACCAUAGCCUUUUAGCCCUACGGUCAAGUGCUGAUUCUUCAGGUUGAGUUUGAGCAUGAGCCGGUUUAGAACUAAAUGAAAGGAUUUCAGGGUGACUUGGCACAAGAGACGGCUGUGAACUAAAAGAAGGGAUUUCUGAAGCUCCAGCAAGAGAAAAUGAAUGAUAAGGAAAGUUUUGAAGGCUAACAUAGGAACCGGGAGACUGAUUGUAUGGACCAUUAUGUGAAUCCAUAUCAAUCACUAAAGAAAAGAGAUGAAAGAAGAGAUGGAAGAUGGUAAAACAGAUUGGUUUGGAAAGAAUAAUGUGCAAAGAAGAGAUAAUUAGAAGAUUGUUUAAAAGGAGAAGUGGUUUAGUAGUAAGUGUUUAGGUAACUAUCAACUACCAAAGUCAAAUCAGGUGUAAAUACAAUUUACACCAACUCAGCUACCAAGUACCACAAACCAGAUUCAUUCAAUUAAAAGUAUAAAUGGUUAACUUUUCAGUUAUUACCACUCAUAUCACAGAAACCACAUAUCAAAACUAUGAAGACAGUACUAUACAACACACAAAGAACCACUGCAAACAUUCACACCAGCUGGUCCAACUACUAGUUGUCUAUUGCAUUAACUAAAUGGAGUCUUAGACAUACCUUUUUUGUUUUCAGUUAGUCGUGGUAGUAGUUGUUGCUUUCCAGAUUGAAGUUUCCCUGCUUAACUCACCUAGCAACCUCAGAAAGAAAGCAAAAUCAAAGUUCAGGUUCACUAACAGAGAAAUAUAACUGAAUCAAAACUUGAUGAACCAAAAAUUUUGCAAACCCGACAUACUCUAUUCACAUAAUCUUCAAAAUAUAACUUUAAUCUACCCUAAAACAGAUAUCAUGAAAUAUAUCAGUUUACAUUACAUCUCAAACCCGAAAUUCUCAGAAGAAAAUCAUUUCGUCUCCUAUAUUUCUUCAUCACUACCUAACUAAUCAUAACAAAAGCAACAGCUCUUCGGAUUCAACAACCAAAUGCUAUUUAUAACACAAAGUUGAUGACGAUUUACCUAAUGUGUAUCGCCGGAGACAGAGGACGCGAUGAGACCCAGAGGAGACGAAAGGAUUUGGGGUUUUUUGGAACAGAUUCUUAGUAAUUGAAAGCAUGGAAUGCUUGAAUCGUCGAAUAGAGAUCGAUUUUCGGGUAGUUUGGUCGGAAUCGGCUUCAAAUUUGAUGAAGAACAGAGACAGAGGAGGAGAUGAGACACAGAGGAGAAGAGGCGAUUUGGGGUUUUUUAGAACAGAUUCUUACAAAUUCAAAGCAGAGAAGGAAUAAAUCAAAGAGAAGAGAUCGAUUUUGGGGUUGUUUAGUCGGAAAACGGCUAGAAAUCGGACGGAAAUCGGUCGUCGCUUUCUCGGUUGAAGAUUGGGUCUCGAGAGAGAACAGAGACCAAACACCCUUUUUUCCCAAAUGAAAUUAAUUCAGUAAUUACAAAAAUUCUCCCCCAACCAGACACUGCCACGUUAUCGGUACACCCGCUUGUAACUUAACACCCGAGUUUCGGAUGUAAGCCAACAUUUGCAUUUCUUUUCCCUUUUUUUAUUCUAACACUCGACGACUUACACCCGGAGAAUUGGUCCACUGCGUAUGGUCUAAGGAUCUUAUAUUUAGAAGAGCUAUACUAACUAAUGCAGUGAAUAGAGAUGAAAAACAAUAGUGAAUUUGCAAUUACAAAAAUGAGAAAUUCGUCGAAGUUAGACCCCACAAAAAAUUUAUUUAUUUCAUGAAAAAACUGGUCAUCCAAAUAUCUAAAGCUAAAGAGAGAGAGCAAUUAAACAAAAAAGAUAUACUUUUGAUAAAUGUUGUAAAAACCUAAAUGUUGUAUUAGAGUUUUUUUAGGUUGUAUAUUUUAAUUGAACUAUUUGUCAUGGUAAUUUUAAAAUUCAAAGAAUUUGAACUAUUAACAAUAACAAUAAGUAGAAAUAUAAAAACAUAUAUUCAAAAAGUUUAAUAAAUAUUACUAAUCACACAAAAAUUUAUUAAAAAAAAAUUAAAAAUAGACCCACGCGUAGCGUGGGUUCAGAACCUAGUCUAUACUAUAUAAAAGUCGAGGCCAUAAGUUUAUGAGGCCGUCCACGUAAGAUUUUAAACGACCAAUCGCGGUUGGACAUCUCGCUAAUUAACUUUUUAGUCCUCACGUUAUUUAACAUUUUUUAAAAUAUAAUAUAUUCUAUAUUAAGACAUUUUAGAAAUGGAAAAAAAAUAUAUAUUUGUAAAGAAUAAAUAAUUAGAAAGAGUCCAUAUCAGCAUGAAAAUUAAACUCACUUAGCUUUUCUUGAAUAAAGGAAAAUUUUCAAUAACCAAGAAAAAGUAAAUAAAUUAAUGUUAGAAUUAAAAGUUUAUGAUCUCCGAGGUCUAUGGAGAGAGAUGGUGUUCAUUAUCACUUUGCUGAUAAAAAAGUUAUGGAGAAAGAGAUCAAAGGUGGAAAGUUUCUUGAGUUUGCUUAUGUUCACGGUAAUCUCUAUCGAACCAGCAUAUAGUCCGUUGAGGUGGUAACAGAUUCAGGAAAGGUAUAUAAGAAAGCUUUUGGAUUGAUCGAGGAUGCUUUAUGUUCCUUUGAUCCUUAAACAACGAGUUUCACUUUUGUUCUACACAGAUGUAUUCUCGACAUUGUUCAGGGGCAAGGUCUAUGAGAGCGAGUUCUCUUGAUGCCAUAUUGAUUCAUAGCGUUUUCAGCUUUUGAAAACCCUAAUCAAGACGACGUAACCGUUCCUAAACCGACCACUACCGAUGAUUUGUCGCUGGUUAAAUCCUUCGUUUGCUGAAUCUAAUUCGAUCAAGGGAUAAGAUUGACCGGCCGGUUUGGUUGUUAGAAGAAGAGAUUAAUCGGUUUUGUUAUUACUUAUUACUAUUAGCCAUUAGGAAGUUUGUUUGUUUAACUUUAUCACCCAAAAGCAAAAACAAAAAAAUUGUUCGUUUAUGUCUUUGUUUAAUUGUUUGAUCUGUGGUGUGAUGGGAUCGACACAGAUUUGUAAUGUCAAUUUGUUUAUUAAGUAAUUAUAUCAAAAUAAUAUCAUUAAGUUUUUAUAAAAUACAAAUUGAAUUUUUUAUAAUAUAUGACAAGUAGAUGAAUAUGAAAAGAGUAUAAAAUAUAACUAACCAAAUCUAAAAAGAAAAAAAAAAAACUCAAGUAUAAAAACUCGGGUACCCACUACCCACAGUUAAUACCCGAGUUUCAUAUAUUAAGUGUUGGUAGCUUAGUAAUUAAAGUUCAGCGGUUAACAUUUUUUACACACCACGUUAAUUAACAUUUUUAAAUUCUAAUAUUUUCUAUACUUAAAUAUUAAUAAAAACGAAAUGAAAAAUAAUAUAUGGAAAGAAGAAAAAUGUGAAUUUUUGAAAUAACAAAAUAUAGAAAUAAGAAAAAUGUAAAGUUGAGAUUAUGAGCUAAACAUAAUUCACCUAACCUUAUAGUUGAUUUUAAAAGAAAAAUGUGAAUUUUUGAAAUAAGAGAAUAUAGAAAUAAGAAAAAUGUAAAGUAUAGAUUUCAAUAUAAUUAUUCAGCGAAUAUAUUUUUAUUUUGAAAUUUUCUAAUUCAAAAAUAUAAAAUUACAGAAGGUAAUUAUGACGGUUUAUCCUAGACAUUAAACUAUAAAUACUGAACCUCGACCAUACAAUAAUAUUCAGUUUUAAACGAAUUUACUAUUAUGCGGCUUUGAUUUUUUUUCUCGUGCUACAUAUAUAUAUAUUUUUUUCUCUAUGAACUAUAAACAAAUAUUUUUUAAUUUUGCUGAUUUUAGACUGUUUGAUUUGUAUUUCAGGUUACACUAAUGAAUCGAGUCUAGGUUCAUUCAAUUGUGAUUUUUGAAGCAAUUACAAGGUAUUAUUGAUCCUAAAAUUUAUGUAGCUUUCAAAUUGUGUCUUUGUGUGGAUAUUGUUAAUUUCUUUAUGUUAAAUAUAUGCAUGAAAAGUGGCUCGCAUGUGGAAAGCAAAGAAAUCAAAUAAAAAAAGUGAAAAGAAUCAUAUAUUGAAGAAGAAGAACAAGAAAAGCAAAAAGGGUAAUUCUUAAAAAAAUAAUAAAAAAAAAGUAAUUAUAUACAUGGUUCUAUAUAUUAUAAUCGUUUGAUUAAUUUGAGUUCUCUUUUUUUGAAUUAUCUUUUGAACUAUGCAAGGCUUCUUCAGAAAUCAAAGUUUGGCUUGUUUGUUUGCCAAAUCUAACCGAUUAUGAUGACAAUUUAUAUUAAAGAUGGCAUGUGACUAUUUUUUUUUUUUUUUUUGUAAUUGUCUGUAUUAUUUUCGAGUAUUUUUUUAUUAUCAAUAAGAGGAAAAGUAUGAAGGAGUUGAUUUAAGUAUUAUGAAGAUUGUAUUGUUAUUCAAUUUAAGAUUUUUCAAAACUCUAUCAAUAAUUGUUAUUUGAUGCUAUUUGUUUAUGUAUUUGUAAAUAGUAAUCUAAAAUCUUCAUAAAUUUGGAGUUAUUGGAGACCAUGAUUUUACAAUUUUGAAGUUCUAAAAGCUAUAAACAUUUCAUAGCUUAAGUCAAAACCACUAGCUUUUAUACUACAUAAAAGUCGAAGCAUAAGCUUCUGAAACUGUCCACUCAAUUUUAAAACACUAAUCACGAUUAACCAUCUCGGUGAUUAGCAAUUUUAAAUUCUAAUAAUUUUCUAUAUAAAGAUACUUUUAAAAAGGAAUAAAACUAUAUAUAUAUAUAUAUAUAUAUAUAUGUGGAAACAAAAAAAAAUGUAAACUUAAGAAAAAAACAUAUGGAAAAAAAAUGUAAAAUUUUAUUCUUAGAAUAUAUAAAAUAAUAUCAAUAAAAAUUAAGAUACUUAUAAAAAAAGGAAAAGACAAUAUCUAUGCAAACGAGAAAAAUGUAAACUUAAAAAAAAACUAAUGGAGAUAAGAAAAAUGUAAAAUUUUUGUUAUUAGAAUAUUUUAAAAAAUAUCAUUAUUAGCCUCACCAAAUUUGCAAUAUCCCUUUUUAAUUCUUAAUUAGGGGUCGACAUUUUAUUUUGAUGUCGAGUUAAAUUUGAUUCGGUUAUUUCGAUUUAAUAAAACAUCAAGUCUCUAAUUAAAGUCAUUUUGGUUCAUUUUAAUUUGGUUUGGAUUAAUUUGGUUUGGUUUGAUUCGUUUUGCUAUUUAAAAUAAAUUAUUUAUAAAAUUGAAAGAAUGGCAAUAAAUUUAAGAAAGAAAAAUAGAAAUUUCAUUAUUGGGCUAAAUAAAUAAAAUUUUUGAAUAGAAUAAUCAAUCAAGAGGUAUGUGAAAAAAAUAAUAAAAAAAGGUAUACAAUAUAUACAUGUAACAUAUGUAAGUUUAUUCAUUUGUUUCUUUUCAUUUAAAUGUUGAUUUGUAAUUUUUAAUGUUUCAAGUUUGAUGUUCAGAUAUUAGAUCAUUUUAAUUACUAAAAUUUGAAAUCUUUUUUAUAUACUUGAGUAAAAUAUGACACAGAAUAUUUGUAACAUAUUUUACACCAACAUUUAUCCUAUAAGCUUUUCUUUUAUUAAAAAAAUUUAACCAACAUAAACUAUAAAUAAAACAACAUUUAUGCUAAAAAGAAGUUAAAAAUGAAACAUUAUUGUAAUGAAUUGAUUAUAAUCAUUAUUGUAAUUAAUCUAUGAAUUAUAAACAAAUAUUGUUUAAUUUAGCUGAUUUUACACUGUUUGAUAAACAAAUAUUGUUUAAUUUUGCUGAUUUUAGACUGUUUGAUUUGUAUUUCAGGUUACACUUAUAAAUUAAGUCUAGAUUCAUUCAAUUGUGACUUUUAAAGCAAUUACAAGAGAAGCAAAAAAGUAAUUCUCAAAAAAAAAAGAAAAAAAAAAUAAUUAUAUAUAAGGUUCUAUCUAUUAUAAUCGUUUGAUUAAUAUGAGUUCUUUGUUUUUGAAUUAUCUUUUUAACCAUGCAAGGUUUCUUCAUAAACUAAAGUUUGGCGUAUUUGUUUGCUAAAUCUAACCGAUUAUGAUGACAAUUAUAUUAAAGAUGGCAGGUGACUGUUUUUUUCGUAGUAAUUGUCCGUAUUAUUUUCGAGUAUCUUGUUUAUCAUCAAUAAGAUGACAAGUAUGAAGGAGUAGAUUUAAAUAUUAUGAAGAUUCUAUUGUUAUUCAAUUUAAGAUUUUUCAAAACUCUAUCAAAGUUUGAUGUUAUUUGUUUAUGUAUUUGUAAAUAGUAAUCUAAAUCAUCAUAAAUUUGGAUUUAUAGGAGACCAUGAUUUUAUAAAUUUGAACUUUAAAAGCUAUAAAAAAUUUCUAUCUUAAAUCGAAACCACUAGGUUCUAUACUGCAUAGAAAUCAAAGCUAUAAGCUUCUGAAACUGUCCACAAAAUUUAAAAAAACUAAUCACGAUUAGUCAUCUCGGUAAUUAACAAUUUUAGAUUAUAAUAAUUUUCUAUAUUAAGAUACUAAUGAAAAGGAAAAAAAUAAUAUAUAUAUAUAUAUAUAUGGAAACAAGAAAAAUGUACACUUAAAAAAAUAUAUGGGAAAACACAAAAUGUAAGCUUUUGUUAUUAGAAUAAAUAAAAUAAUAUCAAUAAAAAAUUAAAAUACUUAUAAAAAAGUAAAAAAAAAAAAAAAAAAAAACAAUAUCUAUGGAAUCUAGAAAAAUGUAAACUUACAAAAAAAAAAUGUAAAAAUUUUGUUAUUAGAAUAUACAAAAUAAUAUCAUUAUUAGUCUCACCAAAUUUACCAAUAUCCUUUCUUAAUAACAAUUAGGGGUCGGCAAUUUAGUUUGAUGUCGAGUUGAAAUUUAUUUGGUUAUUUCGAUUUUAGUAAAACAUCAAGUCUCUAAUCAAACUCAUUCUGGUUCAUUUUAAUUUGGUUUGACUUGAUUCGGUUUGUUAUUUAAAAUAAAUUAUUUAUAUAAUUGAAAGAAUGGCAAUAAAUUGAAGCAAAAAAAGAUAUUUUAUAAUUGGGAUAAAUAAAUAAAAAAAUUUGAAUUGAAUAAUCAAGCAAGAGUUAUGUGAAAAAAAUAAAAAUAAAAAGGUAUACAAUAUAUACAUGUAACAUGUGUACGUUUAUUCUUUUGUUUCUUUUCAUUUAAAUGUUGAUUGGUAAUUUUUCAUGUUUCAAGUUUGAUGUUCGAAUAUUAGAUCAUUUUUAAUCACUAAAAUUUUGAAGUCUUUUUUAUAUACUUGAGUAAAAUAUGACACAUCAUAUUUGUAAUAUAUUUUAUACCAACUUUUAUCCUAUAAGCUUUUCCGUUAUUAAAACAAAUUUUUAACCAACAUAAAUGAUAUUAAAAAUAUAAAUAGAACAAUAUUUAUGCUAAAAAGAAUUUAAAAAAUAAAGCAUUAUUGUAAUUAAUUGAUUACUAAGCAAAAAUAUAUUAAACAAUCAAUUAAGUAAUCCCCACGUAGCGGAGGUUAAACCUAGUCUAUAUAUAUNNNNNNNNNNNNNNNNNNNNNNNNNNNNNNNNNNNNNNNNNNNNNNNNNNNNNNNNNNNNNNNNNNNNNNNNNNNNNNNNNNNNNNNNNNNNNNNNNNNNNNNNNNNNNNNNNNNNNNNNNNNNNNNNNNNNNNNNNNNNNNNNNNNNNNNNNNNNNNNNNNNNNNNNNNNNNNNNNNNNNNNNNNNNNNNNNNNNNNNNNNNNNNNNNNNNNNNNNNNNNNNNNNNNNNNNNNNNNNNNNNNNNNNNNNNNNNNNNNNNNNNNNNNNNNNNNNNNNNNNNNNNNNNNNNNNNNNNNNNNNNNNNNNNNNNNNNNNNNNNNNNNNNNNNNNNNNNNNNNNNNNNNNNNNNNNNNNNNNNNNNNNNNNNNNNNNNNNNNNNNNNNNNNNNNNNNNNNNNNNNNNNNNNNNNNNNNNNNNNNNNNNNNNNNNNNNNNNNNNNNNNNNNNNNNNNNNNNNNNNNNNNNNNNNNNNNNNNNNNNNNNNNNNNNNNNNNNNNNNNNNNNNNNNNNNNNNNNNNNNNNNNNNNNNNNNNNNNNNNNNNNNNNNNNNNNNNNNNNNNNNNNNNNNNNNNNNNNNNNNNNNNNNNNNNNNNNNNNNNNNNNNNNNNNNNNNNNNNNNNNNNNNNNNNNNNNNNNNNNNNNNNNNNNNNNNNNNNNNNNNNNNNNNNNNNNNNNNNNNNNNNNNNNNNNNNNNNNNNNNNNNNNNNNNNNNNNNNNNNNNNNNNNNNNNNNNNNNNNNNNNNNNNNNNNNNNNNNNNNNNNNNNNNNNNNNNNNNNNNNNNNNNNNNNNNNNNNNNNNNNNNNNNNNNNNNNNNNNNNNNNNNNNNNNNNNNNNNNNNNNNNNNNNNNNNNNNNNNNNNNNNNNNNNNNNNNNNNNNNNNNNNNNNNNNNNNNNNNNNNNNNNNNNNNNNNNNNNNNNNNNNNNNNNNNNNNNNNNNNNNNNNNNNNNNNNNNNNNNNNNNNNNNNNNNNNNNNNNNNNNNNNNNNNNNNNNNNNNNNNNNNNNNNNNNNNNNNNNNNNNNNNNNNNNNNNNNNNNNNNNNNNNNNNNNNNNNNNNNNNNNNNNNNNNNNNNNNNNNNNNNNNNNNNNNNNNNNNNNNNNNNNNNNNNNNNNNNNNNNNNNNNNNAGGACCAAGAUACGGCGAGUUGAGUGGGCAUAAUGGAGACGAAGAGAAUUCAUGAACAUAUGUUGAGUUGAGGAGUUUUUGCACUAAAUAUAUAGUUGAGGGGUUUCUUUUCGAUACAUCUUUAAUUGAGGGGUUUAUUACUAAAAAAAAAAAACUAAAAUAAAUUCACACAAUUUAUCUUACAAAAAAAUUAUAACUAAAAUUAAUUAACGCCACUUUAUAUUAUUAUAUUAUGCUAAGAAACAGUAAUUUACCAAAUAAAUUAUAUAUUAAAAACAGAAAAAAAAUAUACAACACAAAAUAUGAAUAUUUUUCAUAGAGAUAUAAAUAUAAUAUUAGAUAAUCAAUAUUAUAUCUUAACAUAUAAUGAGAAAAUAUUUUUAAAUCGUUAGAUAUAGGGAAAAAAAAUUAUCAUAUAUUUGAAUGGUCUAACAAUCAUUUUAACGAGUUACAGUUAUUUAGUAGAAUAAAGUACAUAAAAGUUAAACUAAAACAUAAUUAAAGGUUUGUAAUUAAAUUAAAAAGUACAUAAUUUCUAAAAAUUCAAAUUUAAAAUUUGAGAAUAUAUUUGUUAAUGUUAAAGUAUUAAUUUAUGAUACCGAUUACAUAAUAAGAAAGAUUGAGUACAUAUAAUGAUUUAUAACUAUAAUAAAAUAAAAUAGGACAAUUAAUAAAUAUGUCUAUUUUUUAUGUUUUCGAAAUUAAAAAGUGGUGGAUUUUUAAAGACAAAUGAAUACCUACAAUAGAAAAACUAAUAUUAAUCAGUGUUAAGGAAAUUAACAUAGAUCGAAAAAAAAUUAACGUGAUUUGAAAUACAACCAAAAAACAAUCCUAAAAUCACAAAUAAAAAUAAAUAAUUUAAUUGUAUAAUAAAACCGCGUAAUUAUAAUAUUGAGAAUGCUAUUUGGAAAUUAGAAUAUUUGGAAAUUAGAAUAGUUUUUAAUUGGAAAUUGGAAAUGGAAGAUUUUUUAGUUAGAAAUAAUAAUGAUUUUUUUUAAAUAGACUUAUUUUUAAAUUAAAAUAAAUUUUAUGAGUUCUUAUGUUACACAUUUGACAAAAUUCAACAUUAAUAAUACUAUCUAGAUUCAUAAUAUACGCCAAAUUAUAUUUGUGAAAAGAAAAUUUUAUAUCUUUCAGUUGGUCAAGAUAAAGUGUAAUAUUUUACCUUUAUAUAUGAUGUUUGUAAAUAGGAAUGAGUCUAUAUAUGAGAUAUUUUUUUGUCUAUAAAGCAAUUUUAAAUACACCAAAACAUGGUCAAAAAGAAUUUAUGAAUAAAAUCUCCCCAUAUAUUCUGAUGUUAACUUUAAUAAAAAGAUCAUGUAACUUAUAAAAAAUAAUGGAGUAUUGAAAUAUAGGAAGGAGGAAAUACAUACGUUCUAUCAUAAGAACUAAUUUAUAGUCGAAUAUAUUAUAUAUGAGCCAAUAUAAGGUGAAUAAAGAAUAGAUUUCGAGAGAUGACGAGUAAAUCAUAGAAGAUAACGAGAGAAAUUGUAGUGAAAAAUGUGAGAAAUUUUUUAUUAUUUUGGAAAGAUAUUGCACAUGAGAAAACUAAAAUCUUUUAAAAUUCAAAUGGUUAUAUUCAUGCUCAAAAAUUCGCAUUGAUAAAAGUUUUAUAUUAAAAUCAUGCGCAACGCGCGGGUACAUAAUCUUGUAUAGUAUAUUGGAGGACUGCGAAAAAACACAAAAACAUUUUCGAUUGGGUUACUCUCGAUAAGAAUGAUGAAUUUUUCUACAUGUCGAAAGAGCGUUGGAGUUUCACGCUAAAAACCUCGUGAAUUACUUUCGAAGCAUCAAGACAACUCCACUACCUUGUCUAAAUCAUCUUGAAAAGUAUAUCAACAAUACUCGUAUGAACCCAGAAGAAGAUAUUGAUCCUCUCAUGUUGAAGCUGAUGGAAGACAUUGCUAAAAGGUUGAAUCAAUUGCAUGAGAUGUUUUUUUUCAUCGAGAUUUGAACCAAUAGAACGUAGUCAAAGUGUGUGGAAGCAAAUCUAUGACCGCAAAGAUUGCUAAUUUAUGUACCAGCGAACAUAUCAGCAUCAAACAGAAAUCUAAAGUUAAAAAAUAAGUAAGUUAAUUUGUUUUAAUGAAUAUAUAAAUUAAUUUGUUUUGUUGAAUACGCUAACUUGUCUCUUUGGGCAUGCCAUCAUAGUACGAGGUUUCAACCUCCAAAACAGAUUAAGAACAAUAAUUUAAGAAAACUCGAUGGUGUUGUUGAAACUCCGGAAACUUCAAAAAUUGAUUUGUAUAGUUUUGGUUGCAUUUUGUUUUACUCGUUAACUUUGGGUGAGCAUCCGUUUGAAACUUCUCAUGACGCAAUACCUCGAGUAAUUGAUAUAUAUCAUAUGUAACCCUGAAGAUAACCCUGAAGAUAACCCUGUUAUGCAUUCACUACCUUUCUUGCGAAAAAAACAACAAGAAGGAUUAGUUGCUGAACGUGCACAUCCCAUGAGAUUGCGAUAAGUUAAAAGGAAUUCUUAUUUUUUUCUUUGUUUAUUUUGGCGAUUAUUUACAUCAUCUUCAUUGAUCAAGUAAGUGUUCAUAAUGACUCCGGUUAUUUUUUUUUAAUUAUAUGAAACAUAAUUAAUCCUAUUCAUGGCAGAGCACUUCUUGUACAUAUGUAAAAUUUGCAUCCUUUUGGCAAAAGCCAAUGGUAAGAUGUUUUUUUUUUAAUUUCUUUUCUUGUGGUUAGAAAGAUAGAAAAUAAUAAUAAUUAGUGUAUAAUUAAUUUAACAUUAACAUAGAAUCAAGAGUUGGUGAAGAAAGAAAAAGACAAUUGGUAGAUAAACUCAACCAAACGUCAUGGAUGUCAGUAUAUAAAAUUGUCUGGUGUACAUCUCCAUACAACUGUGUCAUCUCAAUGUGAGGAAAUCUACAUAUACGGAGAUGUAGGAUCGGGGAAAAGGUUAUAUUUUCGUUAAUUUUGUAGCCAAAUGACAAGUCCGAGUUCGUCAAUUGGUAGCCAACUGUUGGUUGGCAGCCAAAUGUUCGUCAAUUUUACCUUCGUGUAAAUCUUCAAGACUAGUCUGGAAGAAGUCUACUAUAGAUGAUGUAUCGAGUUUUAAUUAAUUAAUCGCAAUCGUGCAGUAAAGGAAGGUGGUCGUAAUAACGAAGGUCGAUGAUAAAAUACUAAGAAUGUCGCACACCAAAGAUAUGAUGAAUGAACUAAGCAAAUAAUCGUUUAGAAUUGUUUUUUUAAAAAUUUUCUCAAGACUAAAUAUGAAUGAUACUAGAGUAAUGUGUUGUGAACAAAAACAAGAUGAUUGAAUAAACACAGGCAAGUUAAAAUAGUAAGUGAAUUACGAAAUUAAACAACCCACAAACUAGACUAGAUUUUGUACCAUCACGUUAUGCGGGAUUUUAAUUUAAAAUAUCUUUAUUAAUAUAAUUUUUGAGUAUAAAAUAUAAUCAUUAAAAUUUAAAAGAUAAAUAUUUGAGCAGAAAUAUAAUAAUUUAAAUUUUAAAAGAUAAAUUUAUAUAAAUACUAAAAUUAUUUUACGGAACGAUAUAAAAUAUAUAUACACAUUGUCGACAAUAAUGUUUCAAAGAUCACUUAAAAAAUUCGAGGGAAUAAUAAAUAGUAUCAACGACCAUCUCAUGAUCCUUUAUCACUAAACUUUAAAAUAAUUUGGCUUUAAUUAUCGAUUUUUGACAUAAUUGUAAAUAUUAUUUACGUUUAAAUGUUGAUACGAACAUAACAACAUUCCAUAUAAAAUGUGAAUAUAUCAGGUUUCAUAAUCUUUAUCUAGUAUAGCUUGGAGGACUGCGAACCUCGAGAAAUCUGAAAAUGAAUCUAUAUAUAUAAUUAGGGAGUCUUCUCUCCUUCUAGGGUGUCCACAUCAGCAUCCAUGUCAACAUAUUUCUAUUUUUGUGGGCUAGACAUAUUUUAUUUAUUAAAAAAAACAAUAAAACCAAAAUUAAUUCACACAAUUUAUCUUACAAAAACAUUAUAACUAAAAUUAAUUAACGCACUUCAUAUUAAUAUAUUUUGCUAAAAAAACAGUAAUUUACCAAAAAAAUUAAAUAUUAAAAAACGGAAAAGAAUAUAAAACACAAAAUAUGAAUAUUUUUAAUAGAGGGAUAAAUAUAAUAUUAGAUAAUUAUAUCUUAACAUAUAAUGAGAAAAUACUUUUAAAUUGUUAGAUAUAGGAAAAAAUAUUAUAAUAUAUUUGAAUGGUACAACAAUCAUUUUUAAGAGUUACAGUUAUUUAGUAGAAUAAAGUUAAUAAAAGUUAGAAUAAAACAUAAUUAAAGGUUUUUACUUAAAAUAAAAAGUAAUUAAUUUCUAAAAAUUCACAUUUAAAAUUUGAGAAUAUAUUUGUUAAUGUUAAAAUAUCAAUUCAUGAUACUGAUUAAAUAAUAAGAAAGAUUGAGUACAUAUAAUUAUUUAUAACUCUAAUAUAAUAAAAUAGGACAAUUAAAAAAUGUGUCUAUUUUUUUAAUGUUUUCGAAAUUAAAAAGUGGUCGGUUUUUAAAGACAAAUGAAUACCUACAAUAGAAAAACUAAUCUAUAUAUAUAAUGGGAGAGUUUUCUCUCCUCUUAGGGUGUCCACAUAAUCACCAAAUUAAUAUUAUGGAUCCUACUAAUAAUUAUUUCAAAAUAUUUAAUUUCAUAGUUAAUUACAUCUCAUAUCAAAGAAGUAAUCAUCAAUUAAUGCACAGUUUUAAAUAAAGGUUACAUGAAUAAUAAUAACACAAGUGUAACAUAUUUACAUAUAAAACACUUAAAUUAAUUUUUUGUUAAUAUAUAACUUAAAAUGAACAUAAUCCCUAAAUAUUUAAUUAAUAAAUAAAAAAAUAAUUAUGAAAAUUUCAUAAAAAUACCAAUGUUAUUUAAGAUGGACAAAAAGCUUCUUAAUGAAAUUUAUUAUACAAUUAAAAACAAAUAAUAACUUAUUAAAAAUAAAAAAACGUUUAAAAACUAUCAUUUUUAAGAAUAAUAAAGAAACCUCAAAUAUAAUUUAGGAUGAAAAAAGAAUUGAAUUGAAAUGGAAAGCUAUAAGAGUUUUUUUUUUUAAUAAUAAGAAGAUAUUCAUAUUUCAUGGAAACAUUAAAUUAAAGAGAUCAUAAUGAAGUGGAAGAAAUUUAUUUAAAAUAAUAUUUUUUUUAGAUUAAAAAAAAUGGUUAAAUGUUAUAGUAAAUGUAUGAUUGUAAAAGUUUUUUUAAGAUAUAAGAAAUAAUUCAUAUUUAAAAUUGAAUAUUAUAUUUCAAGAGAGUAAUAGUAUAAAUUCACAUUGACGAAAAAAUAUAAAAAUUAAUUGUAUCUUAAUAUUAAAUUAUAGUAAAAUAUAACAAUAAAAAUAAUAAAGUUAUAUCUAUAUUAUUGUUUGCUUUCUAAAUAAAAAGGUGAAUAUGUUUAAAUAUAGGUAAAAAUCUAAAUAAGUAGUGUUGAGGAAAUUUUAACAAAUAUAUAUCUUUCGUAAAAUUAUAUUACGUUGAAGCAUGAAAACCAUAUAAUUAAUAAAAUAAAAUAAACUAAAAAGAUGAAAAUGAGGAAAUAGUUUUCAGUUAAGAAUCAAUUUAAAGUUUUAUUAAAGUGAGCAUAGAAGAUAAAAAAAGAGUAGAUGUUGGGAAGCGAACAAAUGCAUCAUAGAAGAUGACGAAAAAUAUUUGAAGAGAAAUUGAGUAAUGCUUGAAGCAUCGGAUAUAUGUAUGCACAUGACUAAACGAUAUUCAUCAGAUAUAUGUAUGCAUUAUCGGAUAGUUUGGUUUAGUAAACCAGACUAUCAUAUUCAAUAUCAGGUUAAAUCGUCGAGCCAUGUAAGCGUAGUAGGAUAGAUAAGAUUAAGACAUUCAUGAUUUGGUCAAAACUUUCCUUAAGGUAUGAUGGUCUUGCUUCAAUAGGUAAAUUGUGCUCUCCAAACCUAUUGAAGCGGCAUGAAUAUUACGUUUAUAUAUUUUCAUAAAUUGAUGUUCAAACUCAGCAAAUUUACUUUUAAUAUGAGGUACGAAUAGGUCAAAACAUCAAAGACAGUUAUAUUUACAAGAUUUGUUUAUGGAAAUAACUCUCUUUUUGAUAAAAAAAAAAUUCAUUGAUGACUACCGAGACCGAUUAAUCUUAUAUAACUUUUGUUAUUACGCGGUACGUACCAAAUAUAUUUUAUAAUUUUCUAUGUUGUAGAUUGUUUUGUAAAACAAGUAUGAAUAUAUAUAUAGUUUUUAAAAUUCAAGUGAUUAUGAUUAUUCUUAACAUUUUGUAUUAUACCCAGUUGAUAUUUGAUAUUCCGCGCAAUGCGCGGACGAGUAAAUCUAGUAUUAAUCAGUUUUAAGGAAAUUAACAUAGAUCGAAAAAAAUUAACGUGAUUUGAAAUACAACAAAAAAAAUCCUAAAAUCACAAAUAGAAAUAAAUAAUUUAAUUGAAUAAUAAAACUGUGUAAUAAUAAUAUUUGAGAAUGCUAUUUGGAAAUUAGAAUAGUUUUUAAUUGGAAAUUGGGAAUGGAAGAGUUUUUAGUUAGAAAUAAGAAGGAUUUUUAAAAAAAACAAUAGACGUAUUUUUAAAUUAAAAUAAUUUUUAUGAGUUCUUAUGUUACACAUUUGACAAAAUUCAACAUUAAGAAUACUAUCUAGAGUCAAAAUAUACACCAAAUUAUAUUUGUGAAAAGAAAAUUUUAUAUUUUUCAGUUGGUCAACAUAAAGUGUAAUAUUUUACGUUUAAAUAUGAUGUUUGUAAAUAGGAAUGAGUGUAUAUAUGAGCCUCAAGCAGGAAAUUCUCAAUCCUGAUGUCAAUGAGAAAUUGGUUUACGAAAGUGUGUUUUAGAAACAUGGAUUUACUAAUUCGCUUUUGAAAUUACUCAUGGUAAAUAGGAUUAACAAAAUUCCAUUGGAGAUUGAAUAUCAGUUGAAAGCCAAUUAAUCGAUUUUUGUUUUAGGAGAUUUGUGAAAGAUAAGUUUCUAUUUUAUUUGUAAUUUUAUACUAUUCUAUUUUAUGAACAUACUAUUUAGAUUUAUAUUGAACUGUUUAUUUUGUUCUGUUUUUGGUCUAUAUCAUUUACAUUUAUUUAAUAUGGUUGUUACUUGUUUGAUGCAGCAACCCCGUGGAAUAGGGAACGUCAGUUUGCCACAACGUAUGUUCAGUCUUGGUGCUUGAGGGGGAUAGAAAUAAAAAUAAGGGGCACUUGGUUAUGGAGACUUGGAAAUUUUGUCAGAGUCCCAUUAUAAGUGUGUGUAUUGUUCUAUUUUCUCAUGUCUCAGUAAUCAUCUCGUUGUAUCAGUGUUAAUUUUCGUUUGUAAGAGUGUUUUGUUUUAUGUAUCUUUGUACUAUAUGACUACAGUAAUAUAUUCACAUUUGGUGCUUGUCCUGCAUCGUUUAUUGUAUGUUUCUAUUCUUUCCUUUACUAUGUUUCAUAUGUACUAUUCCUAAAAUCAUAACAAUAAUUUCUGUCAUGCGUUUAAUUCGGCAUUUGGGUUUCCUAUAUUGUAUCUAGGGUAUAGCGUUUAUUUUUCGAUGUUGUUUAACACAAAUUUCGGAAAAAUUAAUAAGUUUUUAUGAGUAAUAAUAUUUUAUGCAUUACAUUUCAUUUUAGUCUAUACAAUUUCAUUUAAUGUAAUUCUAUUUAGACAUAAAUAAUUUAUUUUUAACUAAUUUUCAUAAAUUUGUGCCUGUUUUUAAAAAUUCAAAUCAUGAUACAUUCAAAAAAAUUUGAGUUUGACUCGAAAAUUUGAGUUUCAUAUGUUGUAUUAAUUAGGGGUAUAACUUUUUUUCUUUGAUGUGCAUUUAACUUGGUCAUUUGGGUUCUCUAUGUUGUAUCCCUUAGGGUAUAGUGUUCUUUAUUCGUCGUGCGUUUAAUUCAGCAUUUCGUGUGCUAUAUGUUGUAUUUAUUAGGGUAUAACGCUCAUUUUUAUACAUAUGUUUUUGGUUUGAGUGUAGGUUCUUAGGUUUAAUAUUUAAAGUUAAGGAUUUGUUUAUGUAUAUUUGUGAAAAAUGGUAUAGUACAACAUUCUAUUCCAUAUAGAUUCUAUAUAGAAUGCCUUGUAUUUAACCACAAACACUAUUCACUAUUAUAAAAUUUUUACAUCCAAUUUUUAAAAUUUAAACUAUGUUUCAUUCAGAAAAAAAUGUAUAUUUUUUUAAGAUAUAUUUGAAAUUUGGAAUCUUAAAAAAAAAAUAUAUAUGCUCAAUUUAAAUAUGAUGGGGUAACAAAAAUUUAAAAGAAAAAAAAAACACUAAAAUGGUAAUUUCCCCAGCCCUUCAUAUUAGUCUCUUCAUUUUUUCAAAUAAGGUGCUAUAUUCUUAAUUUGAUUUAUGUAUAUGGUCACUCACCUAAAUGGCCCUUUAAUUAUACUAUUUCAAAAAAAAAUUAUUUAAGUUUCUAUGUUCAUAUUUGAAUUAUAUAAGAUUUAUAUAUAAUUGUGCUUAUAAUUUUUUGAAUUUAUCAAUUUUAAUUGAUUGAUCAUAAUGUCAUUGCAAUCGAGUAUAUAGGAAUCGAACCCGCAAUGUUAGCUUGGAAAACUAAAAGAUUUAAUCUAUUUAUCAUUUUUAUAUUUUUAACGUGUCUAAUUAAAAAGUAUUUUGGUUUCAUUCGCCAACUUUAUGAUGAAUGUUUUUAAUUUUAGUUCUUCAUAUAAGUAUACCAUGAGUUAUUGUUAUGUAAUAUAGUAUAUAUUUUAUUCGAAAUAAUUUUGAAUUAAUAAUUUUAGUGGUUAAAGAAACAAUACAACAGUGAAAAAAUAAAUAUAUUUUUUUUACUUUUGAAAGAAAAUCUAUAAUUACAAUGUUGUUAAUUAAUUUUUUGUUAAAUUCGAUUUUAAUUUUCAAAAAUUAAACCCGUCCAUCGGACGGAUCCUUAUAUAUAUAUAUAUAUAUAUAUAUAUAUAUAUAUAUAUAUAUAUAUAUUACCAAUAUAAACACAAUUUUUGGCUCCGCUGGAAUUUUUGGUUGUUUUUGUUUGUUUCGAGUAGAAAUGGUUCGGUAUGUAGGAACCGAACUGAUUAAUACCUAAAAAUUAUCAGUUCUUACUCGGUUCUUCAAUCAAGUAUCCAAACCUACUCGAACUGAGUAAGUAUCAAACUGGAACCCAUCCGAUUAGUAUUCGGUGCCUUUAUGGAUAUAAUAAACUCCCUAACCGAAUGAACCGAAUCGCCUUAGACUACGUUACAUUACAUUACACAGUUGGUUUUUACUCUUCAGCCAAUCAUGAACUUGUUAUUUACUUUUUUGACAAUAAAAAUAAAAUAAAAAUGGAACUUGUUAUUUAUACAUUACAUUACACAGAAUUACACUUAACUACAUAAUGCAUACCAAUUAAAAACAAACUAGAAUGCAAAGAUUUAGAAAAAAAAAAAAGAAAAAAAAGCAACACAAUUAGAGAGUUUGGUAAAUAAUCAUUAAUCAGUUGUUAUCUUUGUGAUUAUUCAUCCAAAUCCUAAAAUUCUUCCGAUUGACUCCAAUCUCUACACAAAACUCUUCAACCUCCUCUCUCUUCUCAGGUCUUACCUUCCACCGUAGCUUCUCCGCGUAACCCCUCAUUUUCUCCGUCUGCUCCGCCGUAAACUUCGUCUUCAAUCUCUUCACUCUCCCCACCUCCUCCUCCUCCUCCUCCUCCGCCGCUAAAUCUCCACCGCCAAAUCGAUCUUUAACAACCCGAUCUCCUCCAUAACUCUCCUUCUUUCCUUUGCUUUUUCCGCCGCCGUAAGGUGAGCAAAAGAUCCGACGAAACUGAUACGACGAAAUCUUGAGAACUUCAAGAACCGUCUCAGUAACGCCACCGUUCUCCGGGAUGGACUCUUCACGGUGGAAGUUACGGUGACAGCCGCAUGCGGCGCAGUUUAAAGAAUCUUCUUCUCCGGUGGAGCUAACAAACUCGCCGCAGCCAUCGUAAGCGGUGGUUCCGAUAUCAGCGGCGUGAUUCUUCCUGCAUUCACCGUAGUGUGGCUUAUGAUUAACUUUUAAGAUCGAUUCGAUGAUCGGUGGUGGCGCGUGAUGAGCACGCGUGGAUUUGGGUUUGGUUCUGCGUGUUGGAGGAUAAUGGACGUGGUCUCCAGUUUCACGGCAAAUGGCUGUGGCAUUACGACGACGUUUGGAGUUUUCUUCUUUCUUUGGUUUUAUUAUCUCAUCCAUUGAUGAUGAUGAAGAAGAUGAGAGAAAAUGAGUUCAAUGGAUAGAGAAUGUUUGUGUGAAGAAGAGUCGAUACUUUUUAGGCUCGUUGAUAGUGAGUGACUAGUGACCAUUGACCAUUCACAAAUUCCGUAACCGGGAAUAAAUUACGUUAAAUAACUCAAAAUCGAUAUGAACCGAAAGGUUCGGUUUGGAAUUUCAGGUGGGAUAGUUUGGUUUGGAACUGAAGUUAGCCAAAAUUAAAAUUCGGUUCGGUUUAGAACUCUACUACAGAAAGAAACCGGAGAAAGCGAUAAAGGAAUCAAGUGAAGAAAAGUGGAGGAAUCUACUACGGGUUUCUUUCCUAGUUAAACCGAUUGGUUAGGGACUACCAAACCAAACCAAGAGCUCAUAAACCUAAAACAUAUGUAAUUACUUAAACUUCGGUUCAGCUAGUUCGGUUUACUUCGGUUCAGCUAGUUCGGUUUACUUCGGUUCGGUUUACUUCGGUUCGGUUUACUUCGGUUCAUCCUCUUACCGAUUCCAAUGUAAAGGUUUAGUCAGAAACAAAUGUAAAGGUUUAGUCAGAAACAAGAGGUAAUUGAACAAUAACAUUUUGUUCAUUUCCCAAAUUAAACGACGAAACCAUAGUCCUCACAUCAUGGAUACACCAACAUUGAGAGACAGAAAUGUACCUAUGUGCUUGCCAAUACUUCCUUUAGAAGUUUCUCAGUCAAUUCUUUGGGGAGACCCAUCACACUAUCUGUUGUCCCAACCUGAUACAACAAUACAACCUAGUUUAACAUUCAUGCUCCAAAAGAGUAUAAAAGAACAACAGACAUGAAACAGUAUGAUCAACUUGUUAUCUUUUAUGAUGAUAGAGGAUAAGAGUCUAGACUCGAAUCCAAGAAAAAUCAUGCUAUGGUUCGUAUUAUGUUAAAAUGCAGAAGGCAAGGAAACCAACCACUUCCUUAACACACGGCAGUAUAAGAGGAUGUUCGAUUAGGAGUGCACCAGCUACCUUAAGCACCAUGCCUUCCUCAAUCUACUCAUCAACACAGCCUUAGCUUAGUAGAAGUAAUAUUGAUAGGGUGAAAUACAUGUCUUAAACUUGUAUAAAACACCACUCACCAGUUUCUCGAUAGUCUCUUCCGGUAUUUCAUUGAAAUAGAUCUGUUCAGAAUUUACAUCAUCAGCUCGCGCUAUAUAUUUCUCAAAUUGUAAAAAUCGCAACUUUAAUGAAACACACAAUUAUAAUGUUACCUCCACUCUAUCGACGCCUCCUUUUCUGACACCUGUUUUGAGAUUUGUCACAGCCACAGAACUCACUGUUGCUGUGUGCCCCUUGGAAUAGCCUGUGUUUUGAAUUUAGAUAAAUGACUUAAGCCUUGAAUUCCAGUAACCAAGAAGAUAAUGCGAGCUUACCUCUUAUGUACUCCCUUGCUUCUUCGACACUCGAGGGUUUCUCUCUGACAGCAUCUUCAUAGACGACCACCUUCAUACAAUUCAAAACAUUAAAUCCAAGUCUUUCAUAGACUAUCUAAUACCACCAAAUUCCAUUCAUGUCCUUAGAAUGCCUCAUCUUUCAUUAGUCAACUCCUAAAAAGGACAAACCAACUAACAGCUUAUACAAUCUUAGCUCUUCAGACUCCAUUUAAUCACUAAACCUAAUAUGGUUGUCCAUUACAGCUAGCAAGUUGAGUAUAUCAAAGUAACACGGAAAGUUCAAAUAUAGAUCAGUACUUGGUCACAAGUAAUAAGUAAGGUCGACUUAUCCUCCUCUAUGUUAUCACCAUCAGCGAUCUGCUGCAUGAUUGCUUCAGCCUGGGAAAAAAUUUUGCCGGUUUAUUAAUAUGUCUGAUGAAGAGGAAAUGCUAUAUGAAACACCUUUGGUUAUAUGGUGGCCUUAUAUAAGAUAUAUGCAUGUAAGAGAUCCUUCCAGUUAAUAAAAACUCCGGCGGAAAUAAUAAUGUGCCGAGAUGAACUACAAAACAUGUAGCCAGAGCAUAAAGAUUUUAAAUUCAGAAGAUAAACAAGGAAGAUCAAGACCUAAACAAUCACACAAAAUAGCCGGAGAGUAAGAUUAUAGAUAAAGACCUAGACAAUCACACAAAGCAGAGCUAUUGAGAAUGUGUUUUGCUAAGAAGAUGAUGCAUCCACAGAAACAUAAAAUGGAACUUGGUGAGAGUAGAUGGAGGAAUUUACUAGUACAUAGCUAAACCAUAAAAACUACAUACUGUAUCCGAUGCAAUCAAGACUGUCGGUUGUUCCUCAUUCGCACAUUCAGUAGUUAGUAGUUUUGACACAAUAGCAUCAGCCUGAGAUGCAGUUUAUAAAUAAACGAUGGGAAACAAGAAACGAACAUCAACAAGAUUAACAGCGAACAAUAUAUAAAACGAAGAAACCAUAAAAGUAACCAUUUUAUUGAAGUUACCUUUGCCACAGCUAAAGCCAAAACCAACUCUUCAGGUUUCUCUUUACGAAUGCUUUUCUCAUCAAUAUCAGCACUCUACAUUCACAAUUUACAAGUGAAACUUCUACUUGAACUAUAUAAAAAUGGAGUCUUUAAUAUAAUUCAAAGGAAGAAGAAAUUAGAAAUUACCAUGAGAGUGAAUUGGUAUCCCAUGUCUGUUAAAAUCUGACGUCGAGCAAUCGAAGAAGAUCCCAAAAUUAGCUGCAAAAAAAAUAUUCCCAAGGUUAUAGCUUUUGCAAAUCCUUCAAAGCACAAGUGCUGGAGGAUUUGACAAGUUCGAAAUCGAAUGCAGAAACAGUUCAUGAAUCGAACUAGAAACUUAAUGAAAAGAUGCUGACCUUGAAGUGAGGUUGAUUCGAUUCCAUUUUCGUAUGCAAAACAAUCAGAAACCUUGAACACUCAAAAUUGCUCAACUCUCGAGCAAAGCAAUGAAGAAAAGUUUUGGUUUUUAAGUUGAUGGAAAAGUUUGUUUAGAUACCCCAUGAACUUCUACUAAAUUGCAUAACGAGCCCUUUUAUUCUCAGUAUUUUUAGUAACGUCCUUGAGUGGACUUUUUGUUUGAACAAACGUCCUUGAGUUAAUAGAGUACAUUUUGAUAGAGAGCUUAUCCUGAAGCUGAUGAGCAUUUUGAACAAAUGCAGAAAAUAUUUUAUGGGCCAAAGUAAAAAUAUCAUAUAAUUUAGAAAAAUUUACUCAUAUGUUAUAGAAAAGUAUAUUUAUUAUUAGAAUAUCAUAUAUCUUUUAAAAAUUACUCAUAUGUUUUGAGCAUUUGUGUAAUUACAGUUAACACCCUUCAUUAGUUUUUUUUUAAUUAAUAAUUUUUAAUUCGUUUUCAAUUAAAAAUAAUAAAUAAAAAUUUGAUUAUCCAUGUCAUUAAUCCACAUCACCAAUUCCACGCUCUUCAAACUCAUUUUAUUUCCCCUCUUCUCUUUUUUUGUCUCCAAAUCCAAGAAAAGCUUUUAGAUCAAAUAUUCUGCAACUAACUUGGGUACAACAUUGAUAGAGAUCUUCAAAUUGCAGGAUUGGGAUGGAUCUUACUAGACCUCACAGCCACAACGCUUGCCAUAGGGUCCCAAAUCAAAAGCUUUGUCAGAUCUACUCACAACCUCGCUCACGAAAAAAGUCAUUAAAAAUCAAAACCCAAAUCAAAGAGAUCUAUGGAAUUCUACAUGAUUCGUUACAGGUUUGAGUUGAAAUCAAGAAUAGCUACUCUUUUACUUUGAUUUUACAUGUCUCUGGUUUAAUCUUCUUCUCAAUCGAUCUAUUUGGAGACAUUUCUACUUCUAUCUAUGUUUUGAUUCAUACGGUUUAGUCUUCCUCCUAUGUAUCCCUCAAACAUAUUUUUACGUUUCUUAAUUUGAUUGUUGUUAUUUGACCAAUAAAUUUUAUAUUGUCUUCUCCAUAAAAAUAUUGCUUUCUGAUCUGUAUUAUAAAUCAGCCGUAAAGUGAUGUAACUCAGCCGUAACGUGAUGUAACUCAGCCGUAACAUAUAAUUUACGCAAUCUUUCGUCUUCCCUGAAUGAUAACUCAGUCGUGACAUGUAAUUUACCGAACCUUUCAUCUUCCCUGAAGCAUAUAACUCAGCCGUAAUAUAAUUUACACCCAUCUUUCGUCUUCUCUGGAGAAUAUAACUCAGUCGUGACAUGUAAAUUUACCGAACCUUUUGUCUUCCCUUAAACAUAUAACUCAGCCGUAAUGUAAUUUUACCAAACCUUUCGUCUUCCCUCAAACAUACAACUCAGCUGGAACAUAUAACUCAGCCGUGACAUGUAAAUUGACCGAACUUUUCGUCUUUCCUUAAGCAUAUAACUCAGCCGUAAUGUAAUUUUACCGAACCUUUCGUCUUCCCUGGAACAUAUAACUCAGCCGUGACAUGUAAAUUGACCGAACCUUUCGUCUUCUCUUAAGCAUAUAACUCAGCCGUGACAUGUAAAUUUAUCGCGAAACAAUAAAAGACGCAACAUUUCGUCUAACUUUAUCAUCGACCACCAACUUCACAAGUUUUUCGUGCGUUGUUUUGCGCAUCUAUCUGCACAACUCUACACCCUCUUUCAUCGGUGUUAAAUACGUAUUUGUGUUUCUAUACCUAAUUACCGAAAACAACAAUUACCGGAACCGGAUCAACCAUAUCGGGAGAAGGAUGAAAGAAAUUGAAGAAGAAUGAGGAAGACGAUGAAGAAUUGGAAGUUCCAGUGAUGUGAAAAACUCAGGUGAAAAAGACAAGUUGAAAAAAUUUGGCCCUAUUUUUUUGUCCUUUGAUGAUGAUGACAUGGAAUGAUGACAUGGUAUGUUGCAUCCACGUCAUUUUUUAAUUAAUGAAGUGGCAAGUAAGCCACCAAACGAAAAUUUAAAUCAGCCUAAUUAAACCGGCCAUCAAACAAAACUUUAACUCAGUCGUAACAUGAAUACUAUUACAGUAACUCAACCAAAAAUAUUUAACUCAGCCGUAACGUUUAAUAAGUCGGCCGUCAUUGCAUGCUAUUCUAGUAAUUAAUCUUUCGCUACUAAGUCAGCCGUAAUGAGGCCGAGUUUUCCGUUAAUCCAGCUCAUUACGGCUGAUUUAUGACACUCGAACAUAAAUCAGCCGUAACGUAAUCCUAUAACUAAGCCGUUUUUGAUAACUCAGCCAGCCGGAGAAAGUUAAGUCAGCCGUGUCGAAGCAAUAACUCAGCCAAAAAUUUGACAAAUCAACCAUCGGAUGAAAACUCAGGCUGGGUUAUGCUCGAAUAUCAGCCAUUUUCUCAUAACUCAGACAGAUUUCAGUAAGUCAGCCGUAACUCCAGGCUGGGUUAUACUCGUAAGUCAGCCGUUUGCUCAUAACUCAGCCAUUUUUCUUAAAUCAGCCGCAACAUACCGUAACUCAGCCGUCACUGCCGCUAUAUCGCUUGACGGCUGAGUUCAUUAAUACACGUCAGCAAUUUCUGACGUGGCAGUGGCAUUCUUUGUAAUUAUGUUUUUUCCUGUAACGUUUAACAGGGGCACGCUGGGUAUAAAAAAUAUACCCGAAAUAUGAUAGUAAUAAAAAAAAGAUCUGUAUGUUUCUGGUAAUUUCAUAUAAAAUGUUAUGCAUCUGAGUAAAGUUCCCUAUAAUUUAAGAUUACCAUGAAAAUUCUAUGUAGAUUAUUUUUCAAAUGGUAAGAUUAACAAUCAAAUUUGUAGUUUUUUAAAAGCUGUGCCAAUGAAAAUUAUGUGGAUUAUUUUUCAAAUGGUAAGAUCAGAAAUGAUACUUUAAAUAGGAAAGGAUAUAAUGGCUUCUCCUUUGAUCAAAAAAAAAAAAAAAAAGGUCAAAAAAAAAAAAAAAAAGGCCUCUCCAAAAAUGUAAGAAAAUGGAGAACCUUGUAGAGUUCUAGCAAGAUUCAUCUAAUGUAUGCAAGACUAAAUUUGACCCAAUUUGCUUAUGGUCUAAUUGUAAUUCGACCUACGAAAAUGUGUAAAUUCGUUUAUUCUUGGUUCAAAUCCUACAAGUAGGGGUUUGAUUCGUAUGUGUUACCGGGUAGUUGUGUUAUCUCGUUCUUGCAAAGUGAGUAAUUUAUAUCUCUUUAGAUGAAAAUUCCGAUUGAUUAAGUUUUCUUUGUCGGGUUAUCUUACUUCUGAAAUUAGUCGGACGCCUUAAAUCGACUGUAAUUAGACGAAAGGCGAAAUUCUAGUCAUGUACCACGACUUCGAUGGUGACCGGGAUCAUCCCAAGUAACCAUAAAAGAGAGAACGUUAUAAGAGUUACAAAAUGAGAUCUUAUUCUUCACAAUUUUAAUUAAACGAAAUUUAACAUUCCUAUAAAUACCACAUAGGCGGGUACAUUACACAUAACUUAGCUUUGUUAAGCCAUGGCUCGUCUUAUCCCAAUUUCUCAACCUUUCUUCUCUUCAAACACUAAACCUCCACCACCACCAAUCUCCGCCCCACAAAUCUCCGACCACCCACCACGCAUUAUCUCUCGUCGAGAUACCGUUCUCCUCUCCUCCGCCGCUUCUCUUCUCCUCUCACUCUCUCCAACCAAUCUCGCUUUUGCCUUCUCCUUAGGAAUCUGUACACACACACACACUUCUCACUUACUCUUCGUUUUAUUAAUCUUAUCUCCAAAUUUGUGAAUUUUUUGAAAAAAUCUUAAUUUUCACGCAGCAGGACCUAAAGAGUGGCUUAAAGAACAGAAGAAGAAGUCAUCGAGAUUCUUACUCGCUCCCAUUGAUGCAUCUCGUGAAGCUCUCCGAUCUGCUUAUCUUUCGUUAUCUAGUGAAUCUGAUUAUACAGAGAAAGAUUUAGAGAAUCUUCAGAAUUUGUUUAAGUCUUCUGCUAGAGAUUGUGUUCCUAAAGAGAGAACUUCUCUUGUUGAUUUUCAGUCUAAAUCUGGAGUUGAGGUUUAUAGAAUCUUCCCUUCCUUAUUCUGAUAUCAAAAUGAUCUCAAAGUUUUGGUUUUUAGUUAAGAAUGAUCUCAAAGUUUUGGUUUUAGUUAUGAAUGAUCUCAAAGUUUUGGUUUUUAGUUAUGAAUGAUCUCAAAGUUUUGGUUUUUAGUUAUGAAUAAUCUCAAAAUUUUGGUUUUGAGUUAUGAAUGAUCUCAAAGUUUUGAUUUUUAUGAAGAAGAUGUUGUUGUUUAGGUUUGCACAUUUAAGCUUGUUGUGAAGAAUGCUGCUUCAUUACUUGGUGAUAAGGAUCCAGUCAAAUUAGAAGCUGAGAAUAUACUUGAUGAUCUGGUUAGGUAUGUGCUAGGUGUGAUUCUAUUGAAAGAUGCAAUAAAAAUGUAAUGCAAAUGCUGUGAUUAUGGUUAUUGUUUGUUGAUUUUGCAACUUUUUGUAUCGCAGGUCUUUCGGUUCCCUUAUCGUGUUGACGAAUGGGGUUGAUAUGAAUCUUCCUUCUGAUAGGUUAGUGAUUGAAAUGAUUAAGGGAUCUUAUGCCUUUAUGUGUUCUCUGUUACUCAAAGCAUAUAUUUAUAUAAUGCCUCUGGUUUUCUCUCAUGUCACUGAAGCAGUUGAAUGUUUUAACUUGUUUUUCAGAAAAAAGAUUGCAGAUGCGGUUACGGAUGCUAUCUCUUAUCUUGACAAAUUUGAGAAGGGUGUCAAAGACUGCCUUGAGAUUUGAGAUGAAGUCUAGUUCUCUCUUCUCUCUUCUUGUGAACAUUAUGGCUAAAUAGGUGUACCAACUUUUGUUACAAGUGUAUAAGUCAGAGACGAUAUCUCGUUCUAUAUAUGAAUAUAAUCAUAUGCUUGAUGCUGAGCCUCAUUCAUCUCGUGAAAUCGUUGGAAUUAUCGUAAGGAAGACACGAGAAGCCUUCUUUCUUCCUUAUAGUUUUUAAGAAGCAGAUGGAAAAUGGUACUUUUGAGUUUAGAUUUUUAAGAUAAUAGUGAAUUGUUCAUAUCAAUGGUUUAUACAUCAAAUUACCAAUAAUCUCCUACACAAUUUCUCUAGUCUGAAAGACUCAUAUAUAUAUGUUCUUCAAAAGCGUGCAGUACCAAAUGUUGUUUGGAAAGAUCUUACAAGCUCACAUGGUUCUCUAUGAAAUUAUCUUGAGGCGGUGAACCAGAAGCUUCGACCAAAUACAAACGGCAGCAUGGUUUUCCAUCAUCUGGAUGGAUUUGUGCAGUCCUUGGCAGGCGAAGAAGUUUGUUGAAGAGAUUCCGUGGAUCAUGGAGCAGACCGAAAUUCGCAUCUGGAUCACCUAUCUGUGAAAGCUUGACAUGAGAGAAUCCCAAUGAUGGUAAGAGCUGAUCAGGCCAGUCACUGUAAAAGUGGAACACAGAGUUUGGCAGUGUAGCAGACGGUUUGUUCAUGAAAUCCGCCAAGAGAACUGUGCUGGUUAGUCCACACUUAUCAGCUAUGAGCUUCAGUACUUGCAUUGCCUCUGUGUGAGACAGGUAAUAAAGAAUACCUUCGAGAACCCAUACGGUGUUAAUCUCUGGCAGAAAACCCGAUUUCUUAAGCUGUUCAAACCAAUCGUUGUCUCUGAUAUCAAUUGCUACUCUGACUAGUGAUUUCGCUGUCAUCCUAAGAUCAUCUCUAGAGUUUACAGCAGCUUGAACUAGGCUCGCUUUGGUUUCCAAAACAUCUUGAAAAUCUACUUCGAAUACGUCGCUUUUGUUCAAGCAGUUUAGUCGGUAUGAUCUCGCAUCCAUUCCUGAAAUUCAAUUACACCAUUCUAUGUUGGCUACUUAUCUUAAACUCAUGCUUCACAUAUAUCAUCGGUAAUCUCACAAAUAUACAUUACUUAAAUUUUCUAAAUAGUUGAAACCAAACCUGCACCAAGUAGCACAACCUGAGCUGCAUCACUUUCGAAAGACUCCAGAGCAGCUUGAAUCCUUGUAUCAAACCAGAGAGUUCGAACGGCUAGAAUCACACCGGAAAUCUCUCGAGCAUUGUUGAGACGGUCAGUCUGAAUCUUUGUGUGUAGGUUUCUCAAAUGUGUCUCUCCAGCAAACAAGUGAGCAAGCGGAUCAUGUAUAACAUGUUUCCACAAAGCUCUUCCUGCAGCUGUUUGACAAGCAGACUUCUGAAGGUAAUCCCACUCACUUUGAAUACUCAUGUGAAGUUUCUUCACACCUUCACUAUGUAAAACCUCGGGUAUCAUGAGCUCUUCUUCGAUAUCCGGCCAUGUCGUCGAUGAUUCUUCUUCUUCCGGCUUUUGCUUUUCUAUUUCGGACAUUGUUUGUUUCUAGUUCUCUCCUGAAACGAAUAAUGUUUUGUUUGAUAUAUAAUGAAGGAAUGUGGGAAAAUGUUUGGUGUUGGUCAUAGAGAUAAGAAAAGAGAACCACACAUAAAAAACCAAAGGCUUAGAAGCAAAAGCAUACGUUCUUGUUUGUGUAACCACUGGCUUUUCUUUCCUCUUAAAAGAGCAACGAGUGGCUCCACUCUCAAGUUGCUUCUUUUAACCCCUUCCACUCUUCUAUUUACUUAAUGAUUUUGACCAACUAUAUCCAAAGCUCAAGUGUCCACUAGUUUUUUUCAGUUCUUUUAAAACGUUUCUUUAUCACUCGUACGAUUAUUUUGUCCAAAGAAAGAAAUUGGUGAGAAGUUUUAAUGUUUGUUUUUUUUUUCAUCCUCAUUUCUCAAGAACAUGUUGUAUUUAUCAAUCUUUUGGAAAAAGAAUUCUGUAGUUCGUUAUUACAAACGGUAAAAAGGAAACUUAUUCAAAAUGCUUGGAUCGUUUGCCCACAAAAAAAAAAAAAAAAAAAAAUCAAAUGCUUUGAUUUUCUGCCCCAAAAAACAUUUUAUUUUAUUUUUAUACUAUGAACUAGAUUUUAACCCGCGGUACACUGCGGGAUGAUUUAUUUUUAAAGUUAGUAUAAAAAUAUUUUCUAAAUUGUAUCUCCUUAUAAAAUAUUUAUUUAUAUUAUAAUUUACAAUUGUUAUUAAGUAACGGUAUACCACGAGUCCACGAGACAAUUGUUAUUAAACUGAGGAUUUAACCCUUAUUAAAGCGGCAUGUUAAUGAUAUUUAUAAAUAUUGAUUCAAAUUUGUCCGCCAUAUAAACCCGUUCCAAAAUAUAACCCGUUCCGUAAUUUCUUAACCCGUCCCGUGAUUUAUUUUUAUUUUAAAAUUUAAUGAUUAUUUAUUAUAUAUAAAAGUUUACAAAUCAUAUCAUUCUCUAAGAUAUUUAUAUUUUAAUAAACUGAAUAUUUAAUCUGUAUUAAAACGGCAUGUUAAUGAUAUUUUAAAAUUUUCUGAAUAUUGAUUUAAACUCGUCCACCAUAUAUCCUACCAAAAAAAAAACUCGUCCACCAUAUAACAUCGUUCCGAAAUAUAACCUGUCCUGUAACUUCUUAACCCGUCCCGUGAUUUGUUUUUUAAAAGUAGUAAUUUUUAAAAUUUAACGAUUAUUUAUUAUAUACAAAAGUUUGCAAAUUGUAUCAUUUGCUAAUCUUAUUAUAUAAAGUAUGGUUUUCAAAGUUAAUAACUCACGUGAUCGUGACACGUGUCAAAUUUUGCCAUAUGUUAAAUAAAUAUUUCCAUUUUAAUAAUUAAAAAGAAAAAAGAUAAUUAUAAAUUUAAAUAGUUUUAAAUGUAAAAAGUAUAAGGAAAUUAUACUUAUAUUUCCACAAGAGAUUUUGUCAUAUGGCAAACAAAAAUUUGGUUUUAACAAAUUAAAUAUUGUAAAAAGAUAAUUAUAACAAAUGUAUAAAUUUAAAGAGUUUCAUAAUAUAAAAAGAUUAUUAUAAGGAAAGUAUAUGUAUAUAUAAAGAAAUUAUGUGUGUAUUGUUCAUAAAAAUAGAAAUUAUAAAAUAAUGCUAAACGUUUUAUUUAUAAGUUACUAACUGUACAAAAAAAAGAUUUAAGAAUAGGAUAAUUUUUUUAAGUAAAUUAUAUAAUUUAUUAAUCAUAUAAGAAAAAGGAUUGUAAAUACUCACCUCUACAGGAAAAAAAUAGAUUGUCUCAUUCUCACCAAGCAAACUAAUUUCUUGAGAGACACUAUCAUUUCUUUAAUUUCAUUCUAUUAGUAAAGUUUUUCCUCUUUUUUUGGUCAUAAAUUAUUUUUAAGAUAAUAUUAGUAACUAACCUUUGACUAAAAAAUAAUUAAGGAAAUAGCAUUGAGUCAAAAAAACCUUUAGAAACUAAUAUUUUUCAGCGAUGAAAUAGCCUUCAAACAAAAGACAAAACAUACAUGUAAUUAGGAUUUAAAAAACAAAAAAUAAACACUAAUAACAGGAAAUCUAAAAAUAAAGAAAAUCAAUACUAGAAUUUUGACGACGAAAGAGAGACAUCCACCUAGAAUCAGAGGAAAAAACAAUGUCAUUAAAUAUAAUAGCAUAUCAUACUAAAAGAAAUAGGAGUAGCAUGUGAUUGUUAAUGGAAGUGAUGAUGGUGGUGGUGUAUGGUUACGGAUAUGGUGAUAGAUUGACUUUAAGAACAACAUGAAUCAUGUAAAAAUUAUUUAUCAUUUAUUAGAAAUAUAUCAUGUCAUAUAUAUAUAUAUAUAUAAAUACUUUGAAUUACAAUAGUUUUCUAAAAAUAGGAUGUUAUAUUUAGAUCCAAAGAAUAUAUGGCGAUUGAGGUAAAUUAAGAAAUUAUGAACGGCAAUGGACAUAGACUAUAAUUGUUGUCGGAAAGUGGCUCGGCUCGAUGCUAGAGAAAAUAAAGGAGGAGAAAUAAGAUCAGUUGGAAAAGAUGAGAAGAGGCGGUAAUGGUGGUGUUGGUGAUAAAUAGACCAAGAUUUAUAUUAGAUGAUUUAAUAAUUAGUAUAAAAUAACUACAAAUUGUGUUUUAUAUUGUGCAUUAUGCAUAAUAAAUCUAUUUAAAAAAUAAUGAAAAUGUUGCAUUUUCUAAAAUUAAAACAUAGCUGUUUAUAUAAUUUUAGUUAAACUUUAUAAAAAUAAGUGACAAUUUCGACCAGCAACCCGUGCAACGCACGAGUCCAUAUCUAGUAUAUUUAUAUUUUAUAGUUUACAAUUGUUAUUAAGUAACAUUAUACCACGGGAUAAUUUUUGGUUUUAUACAAUAUUUUCUAAAUGAGAUUUAUUUAAUAUGUAUAAUAUUGGUGGUAUUAAAAAAAUAAGGAUUUACUCCGUAUUGAAGCGGCGGAUUAAUGAUAUUUAAAUCUUUUUAUUAUUGUUGAUUCAAAAAUUCGUCCCGCCAAACCCGUCCGGCCAAAAAACUCAUUUAUUUUAUUAAUGUUGAUCUUAUUUAUGAUAUGAUUCUGAAUCAUUGUCUAAAUAUUUUAAUCGAUGUAGAACGUUGAACACAUAUAUUUGUCAAUUGGAUAAUAUAUGUCCGUUUUUUAAAUUUCGAAUCACAGUAUAUGCAGAAAAAAAAUUGAUUUUUUAUUUUUUAUUUUAUGUAUUAUAUGAUAAUUCAAAACAGUUAAAAACAAAUCAAACGAAGAUGAUAAGAGAAUCAUAAUUCUAAAUCUUAAUCAGAUAUUCUAAAUAUCUAAAUUAUUAAAUUUGGAAUAUCCGGUGUAUGAAUUGGGUUAAAUAUAAUCCGACCCAACAAAUUUUUUAUGACCAAAAUUUAUAAACGAAUCGGGUAUCCAAAAACCCGGAAGCAUUUUUACCCAUCCGUCACCAAAAUGACUGCAAAAAUACUAGUAUAGAUUUAUUGUCUAUACAGUCACAAUAAUGAUGGUUUACUAAAAAAAAAAUUUGGCCAAACUUUUUGCUACCACGAUUAUUGUUUAUUACAGAAAAAUAAAAUAAAAAUUAAAAAAUAAGAAUCAUUGCAUUACCAAACGUUUAUUAGAUAAAAUAAGGUUUCACUAUCAUGACACCAAUGAUUUUUCAAUCUAUUAGAAAAGAAUGGUCUAUAAUUUUCUUUGUUAUUAGUCAAGACGGUAAAAGAAUCAUAACAAUUUAACUAUUAUUAAAAAAAAUAACACUUCUAAAAAAAUUAGAACCUUGGUUUUUAAAACUUCAAUAAAUCAACAAAUAGGUUAACUCGUAAAGACCUACAGACAAAAUCUAAAGAUCGCCGGUUCAAAUGACCAGGCCCGGUUCUAGGAUUUUUUUAUGGCUUAAAGUAUAGUUAAAUAAUAUAUUUUUUUAAUAAAAACUAUUGUUAAAAGUUCAUCAUUAAAAUGCUAAAAUAUAUUAAAAGAACAUUAGAAAAGUUAUUGAAUAAUGUAAAACAAUCUCUCCCUGUUUUCUCACCAAAAAAAAUUAAAAAAAAAAAUCUAAAAAUCAACUUUUCUAACUUUCAUCGCAGCAAAAUCAUUGAUUAGCUUCUCAUAGUCAAGUUCUUCGAUCAUAUCUCUUUCGAUGGACAUCAUUACUAAUCCAUUCAACCUGUCUUGUGACAUUGUAGAUCGUAUAAUUCUUUAUCAGCUUCAACUUUGAAAAACUUCUCUCUGUAGAGGUAACUGAAACUGGAAUUGUCAACAAUACACGGUAAUCAAUCCAUGUAUUUGGAUAACAAUCUUACAUUCUUUUUAAAAAAUCCAACACCUCUAUAGCCCUUUUGAUCUCCUUUGGUAAAGUUUUUUUUAGAAGUGUAAGUUCUAAGAAUAAAUCGUUUCCAUCCACAUCAGAAUGUUCACCAUGCGUUAAAAAUGCUUCUAACUUAACACAAGAUUCCAUCAACCCAUCAUCACUAGCUGAUUUCAACUUCUUUAAAUCAAACAAAAUUCCAAAAAAUAAGCUCAUACCUUUGAAAUUGUUCAAAUCUUGUCUCAACAUAAACAAUUGCUUGAUUGAUGAUGUUUAUGAAAUAAUCGAUCCUAAAGCUUUCUUCACCUUGUAAAACCAUACCUUCAUCAACAUCUUGAACAUCUUCAUCAAAAUAUCUUUUCUUUUUUCUUGAACGUUUUGGCUUUACAUAAAAUUCAGGUUCAAUCUCCAUUUCAUUUGCGAUCCGCGUAGCUUCAACUUUGGCUCAAUCAAAACCAGUUUCUCUAUAAUCUUUCAAGAAUGAAGCAAGCCCUUUUAGUUGAAAAAUAGAAGCAUCAAUAUCCAUUUCCUCAGAUUGAAGGAUCUUGCUUACUAUGUUAAAAGCAUAAAGGAGCUCGUGCCAAAUAACCAUUCCAAACAAGAAAUCAAACCCUCCAAUUCGAUGUACUCCACUCUCUGCAAGAGAUUCUGCUUCGCUUCUAUGCAUUGGAUUAUCACUAUUUUCAGCAAAAUAAAAUAAAGCAUCUCGUAUUUUUGGAGCUUGAAAUCUUAUAGGUUUCACACUGUCGAUCCGACUUUUCCAACGAGUCUGCGACAAUGGUUUUAGUAUGAUGCCACCAACCAUUCCCUGAGAUAUCACAGUUCUUAGUCGAUGAUGAAAACAAACAAUAAAGACGUUGAACAAUCCCAAAAAAUGACACAGCUUUUGUAGAUGAGGAAGCCAUAUCGCAAAAUGCUAAAUUAAGGCUAUGACAUUCACAUGUGGUAUAGGAUGCUCUUGGAUUAACUUCAAGCAAGCGGCUUUGACUCAUUUAUAUUUUCCUUUCAUAUUUGCUCCAUUGUUAUAUCCUUGUCCUCUCACAUCAUCAACUUUCAACUUAAUUAAAGUUAAUCAAUGCCUCUUGCAAGAUGUCAAAAAGUCAUUUUCCUAAUGUAUUUUGAAUUCUAAGAAUGUCAAUAGAACUCUUCAAUUCUUGGUGAGGUUGUCGAGAUAUCAACACAUCGAAUAAGAUGUCAUUUAAUUUUCUCUUUACGACUAACAUCAGAAGUACAAUCAAGAAUAACCGCAAAAUACUUCGCAGCUAGAAUCUUGUUGAUGAUCAUGACCUUAAUCUCAUGUGCAAGCAUCUCUAUUAACUCAUUCUGGAUGUUAUAACUAAGGUAAUGACAUUGACUUUCACCUUGUUUAAACCGUCGAAGAUGUUCUUUCAUUACUGAAUCAAAUUUCGCAAUCCCCUCAAUCAUACCCAAAAAGUUUCCGUUAUGCGGAUCACCAAUCUUCUCAUUAUCUCCUCGAAAUGCUAUGUUUCUGGUAGCUAGAGUUUCGACUACUGCAAUUAUUCUAAGAAACACAUCUCUCCAAUGUUGUCUCUCCCUAUUGAUUUCUUCCUGCAGAUGUUUGUCAAUGGUUUUCUUCCUUCGUAAUCUUGUUUCUAGUUUUGUCCACUUAGUCAUACAUAAAAUAUGUUUAUGACCAGCUUCAUGAAUUCUUAAUCGUGAUGAACUAUUUCUCCCAUCAUUGUAGCCGAUACUUGCCAAUAGAGGAGGAAGUUUUCCAUGACUAAAUAAUUUACAGCAAAAACAAAAGAUAAGAUCUUUUGAUUUAGAGUAAAAUUAGCCAUCACCUAUCAUGGUUCUUUCCAUUGCUCAUUUUUCUUGUACAAGACAAAUGAGAGAAGCACCUACCAAUUUUAUCUUUUGGAAAUUGAUAACCAGUUGGUGGUUUAGCCGGAGGACUGUUUUUCACCAACAAGUCUCUUUCAUUUUGUCUAAUCUUUUUCCAGUUUCCUUGAUCAUGAAUAUCCACAUACUCGUGUUGAUCUUGGGUGUCUCUCAAAUCUUUAUUGUCAUGUUCCAUGUUCACAUCCAUAUCAACGCUUCCAUGUCGGUCGUCAGUGUGAAACUCUUUCUCAACAUCAUCUUCAAAAGCAUGAUUUACAUCGCCAACCUCGUUUAUCUCAUUUUCAAAAACAACAUCAUCAGUUCCGGAAUUUUUCGUUACUGUAACAUACUUGAGCUGUUGAGCAUGUCAUUAGUUUGAGACUUAGUUGAUUCUUUUUCCCUUUUUUUCUUUUGUCUUUUUUCAUGACCAUGAGCCUGUUUUCUGUGCUAACUGAGGCAUCGUCUACAAAAGUAACAAAACAUAUAAUUAUAGUCACUUUAAAGUUUUCAAAUUCAAUCCAAACACUUAAGCACAAAACUAAAAUAUAAAACUAAGUGACAAAGUCACCGUCACCGUCACGACAUGAUUUUGAUUUUUGCAAAUUGUAAUCCCUAAUUUCCAAUUACAAUCGUUACUUUCAAAACAUAACCUUUGAUUUGAUAAUAAUACAAAACAAUUGAUGACAAUAUUAGAAGGAUUAAGGACAAGAAUUACCCAUCAACAGCAACAAUUUCUUACCCAACAGAGGCAAUGAUCGGAGACGGAGUUCUUAAAAAAACAUGUAUAAGAGGGGAUUUGAACUCGACACCCGACCCUAAUAUACUAAAUACAGUGUUCAAGAAAGCGCUAGGCGCUAAGCGGGCGGUGACCCAAUGCCUAGCGCCUAGAACGCCUAAUCGGAGCCUAGGCGAUUUUUUAGGCGGUUUAGACGUUUAUAACAUAAAACAUAAUAAAUAUGAUAUCAUAUAUAAAAUUUAUAUAAAAUAUCUAAUAAAACAAAAAAUUAUGAAAUUAUAAACAAAAACUAGAUAAAACAUUUAAUUAAUUUUAUAUAUUAAACAAUAUAUGAAUAUUUAUAACUAUAUAUAUAUAAAUAAAACUCUAAUUGAAAUUGAAAAAAUAUAUUAAACAAGAUCUAUGUAAUUUUAGACGGUCAAGACGGUUAUCUAGGCGUCGCAUGAGAGCCUAGCGCCUAGUCGGGGCCUAGGCGAUCGCCUAGACCACUUUUUAGAACACUGACUAAAUACAUAACCACCAUCCUAAAUAAGUGUUUUACAAAUGUGGCCCUAAAAAUUUUAUUUUAUUUUGUGGCCUAAAGCAGAUGUUUUACCUGCUUUCUAGGUGGGUCGGGCGUGCAAAUGACAUUUGAGAAAACACCAUAUAAAAUGUUGAAGUCUCUCACCUAAAGAGAUAUACGGGUAUAAGUCAAGAACCUCUUAUUCAUUCAAAAAAUACUUCAAUAGAUAUCAAACACAUGACUUAAAUAGAAUUUAGUGUCAGCUACGUGUCACGGCUCAUUGUCCAUGACAAUACGGGUAACUAAUUGCAUGUAUAUACAUGUUAUAACUAACAAUAAUACUUUUGGAUCAAAGAAGGAACCAGUAAUUGUCACAAUGAAAAAACAUAACAAACGAAAACAUAGUAAAAACCAGAGAAUAAAACAGAGUCCUGCAAAACCAGAACAAACGGACCUAGACCUUAACCACCUCGAGCUCGAUCUCUCGCAAUGCAAUCCUGCAGCCAAGAAGGUCCUCCAAGCGCAAGAUAUGAUCUCAAUCUUUGAUCCCUGGUAACACUACAAGCGAUCUCCCUAGCUACAAAGUUAGCUUUCGGUGAAGAGAGCAUAAAUUUAACCUCCCGCAUCACCUGGAUCACUUGAAAGAUUUUAUUAAGCUGCGACCUAUACUUAGGCCAAUCAUCCGGUUUCUGCAAUGCUGAAAUUACCGCGGAGCAAUCGGACCAUAACUCACACGAAUGAAUCCGCAGCUCAUGUAAGCUUUGUAAGGCCCAACGGAUACACUUUAGUUCCGCAGCAAUGCAAUUAAACAUCGGAGUGAAAGCGUCUCUAGCGUGGAAGAGAGCGUCCCCAUUGUGAUUUCGUAAAAUCCAAGAUCCACCACAAAAACCAGAGGCAUUCACCCAUGAGGCGUGCACAUUACACUUUAAACUCCGACCGCCGGCCUGAGCCAUCGCUGAACAUUAUGUGAACUUCGCCUUGUCUCAACAUGCUGCUCACGUGUGAGAUUGUUAUGUUGUUGCAGCCACUCCUCUGCAUCCCCAAGGGCUGUAGCUAGCACAAUGUGACCAUCAUUCUGUUUACCUGCAUAAAGAGACGAAUUCCGUGCUUUCCAAAUUUCCCAUAAAAUCCAAGGAAUAGCAUUUCUGAUAUGGGUAUGAAUACUCUCCUCUUUCAUUAAACGCAGAAGAUGUUGAAUGUUGUCCGUCACUGAAGCAAAGAACUCGUGACUUGGAGUAGGUAAACCGGAAAGAAGCCAAACCUGAGCUGCUAAGGUGCAUUUAAAAAGUACAUGUGAUACAGUUUCUUCCUCAACUCCACAUAGUGAACAAAUCGGAUUAGUUUGUAGUCCAUGAUGGCGAAGACACUCUGCCACUGCCAAGGCUCCAGAAAGAGCUCUCCAAAAGAACAGCUUAAUUUUCGGUGCAGUGACAAUGUUCCAGGCCUUCUCUUUAAUCAGAUUAAUGGCCUGAGUAUUAGCAGAUAUCACCUCCAUCGAUGUCGCCUCCCUGUUUAAAACCCAAUUCCCGCUUUUAACCGAGUACUUUCCAUCCUUAGUAUAUGCCCAAACAAACCUAUCCUUGAAAUUAACCGUCGGAGGAAAUGAACUGAUCUGGAUCACAUCAUCGGGAGGGAAAAGCUGCUGCAUUCUUGGUAUGUUCCAUUCUCCCUGCGGUGUUAUUAAUGAUGCAACACGAAGGUUCAAAUCCAUGAAGAGCUCUUUGUUAAUAGGUCGUCUUGGGUAGUCAUCAACAAUCCACUUAUCAGCCCAAAUACUUGUGUCUUGGCCAUUCCCAAUAGACUUCAUGAGUCCUCUCUCUAAUAGCUCUCGACCAAACAUAAUACUUCUCCAUGCGUAUGAUGGUCUGUAUCCUAUUUUGGCUUCCAGAAACGGUUUGGUAGCAUAAUACAUUGCCUUAUAUACACGAGCAAUCAGAGUUGAUGGUGAGUCUAAAAGUCUCCACGCUUGUUUCGCCAAUAAGGCUUGGUUGAAACGUCCAAUAUCCCGAAACCCAAGACCGCCAUCUUUCUUCGCUUUGCAUAUUUUCUCCCAUGAAACCCAAUGCAUCUUAUUUUUAUCUUCACAUGCAUUCCACCAAAAGUUAGACAUAGCACUUGUGAUCUUUUUACACUGGUGUUGCGUUAGACGAAAACAAGACAUUGCAUACACCGGGAGUGCCAUCGCUACGGAUUUGAGAAGAACUUCUUUUCCCCCCAUUGAUAACGUCUUCUCGUACCAGCCACUCAGCCUUGACUUUAACCUAUCAGUGAUGAAGCCUAAUAUCUCUCUCUUCGAUCCACUAAAACAUUCCGGUAAGCCAAGAUACUUCCCAAGGCCACAUUCUUGUUCUAUACCAGUAUAUAAACUGAUUAGUCGCCUCAUAUAUGGAUCCAAUUUCUUCCCAAACGUGAUGGCUGACUUUUUGAAAUUAAUUUCUUGUCCAGACGCUGCUCCAUAUAGGCGUAUACAUUUGAGGAAUUCAGAACAUUCUUUAAAGUUCGCUUGGCAUAUGAAGAAACUAUCAUCCGCAAACAAAAGAUGCUGUACUGAUGGGCAGUUUGGUGUAAGACGCAACCCGGUUAGUCUCCCCUCCAUCUCCGCCUUGUUCAUAAUAUGAACUAGAGCCUCGGCACAAAGAAUAAAGAGAAAUGGUGACAGCGGAUCGCCUUGGCGAAUCCCUCUUUCCGGUUUGACGAAACCAUGAGAGGUGCCGUUUAUUAGCACUGAGUACGAAACAGAUCGCACACACCACAUCACCCAUUGGACCCAUUUAAUAUCAAAGCCUAGGCGAAUCAUCAACUCUUCCAAAAAAUUCCACUCCACCCUAUCGUAUGCUUUCGACAUAUCCGUCUUUAUGGCAAUAAAGUCUUCAUCACAAGACGGAUUUGAACGUAGAGCGUGAAUCAUCUCAUGAGCGAGGAGGAUAUUAUCCGAGAUCAACCUACCUGAGACAAACGCACCUUGAGUAUCCGAUACAAUAUUCGGAAGGAAACAUUUGAGUCGAGAGCAAAGAAUCUUGGAAACGAUCUUGUAGAUAACUGAGCACAAGGUUAUAGGUCAAAGAUCCGUCAUUCUUGAAGGGUUUGGGAUCUUUGGGAUUAAACAAAUCUGUGUGAAAUUCUAUUCUGCAGGAAAGGAACCAGACUGAAAAAAUUGUUGGACUUCAGUUAUUACUUGUGGUCCUACAAUGUCCCAAUAUCGUUGGUAAAAAUGACUUGACAUGCCAUCAGCACCCGGGGUACUAUCACCUUUGAUACUAAAGACCGCAGCUCAAAUCUCCUCACUAGUAACUUGUCGAGUCAAAACUGCAUUCAUUUGACUUGUAACCCUUGGGGCCAUGCCAUCCAAUGCUUCCGCAAUAUAUUCUGGCUUUGAGCUUGUUAAGAUGUCCCGGAAGUAGUCAAUCGCUACCUCUCCUUUUGAGCCUUCAGCAAAUUGCUCUACACCGUGUUUAUCCAUCAAGGAGAGAAUACGAUUCUGAGCUCUUCGACGUUGUACACUCCCAUGGAAAAACCGUGUAUUCUGGUCUCCUUCUCUUAGCCAUUGUUCCCGACUCUUUUGUUUCCAGAAGAGUUCCUCCUCACGGUAAGCUUCAGCUAAGUCCCACCGUAGAAGUCGCAUGUAUGCGAAAUCCGGAAAAAUCUUAGCACCCUCCUCUUCUAGCUUGUCCCGCAGCCUUGACAUUCGCUCAUUUGAAUUCUGGUUUGUUUCUUUUUUCCAUACCGAUAUCGUUCUUCGACAGUCCGCAAUUCUAUUCAUGACCGAUAUCUGCCCUGUUUCAUCUCCUUUAAACCAGCCCGUCUUAAUAACAUCAGCAAAUUCUGGCUUGUUCGUCCAUCUCUUAUUAAACAUAAAUCUUACAGACCUUGACACAUUUUCAUUAGAAAAUCUUACUAGCAAUGGCCGAUGGUCUGAUCCAAUGCGCUCAAGAUAUUCAGCUUGUACUCGUGGAAAAAUUUGAAACCAAGAUGCGUUUCCUAGAGCUCUAUCCAGGCAGCAUUAUAUCCACAUCUUAUUUCGUUCUCCAGCCCAAGAAAACUUGUUCCCAAUACUCGGAAUCUCCCGUAGACGACAAUCAUUAAUCAUAUUCCGAAAAGGAAUGAAUGAUGAUUCCGCCCGUGCUGGUCCUCCAAGUUUUUCGGAGUUAUCUCUCAUUUCAUUAUGGUCUCCGAGAACAAGCCAUGGCGCAUCUCUAUUAAUUCCAAUGUCAAUUAAUCUAUCCCAUACAACUUGUCGUAAAUGACUAACUGGAUCUCCAUAAACACAUGAAAUAAAAAACGACAAUGAUCCCAGCUUAGCCUUGAUAUCUAUAAUCCUUUUAUCCGAAUUGAUCACCUCCACUUCGUAAGAUGCCUUCCAAAAUAAAGCUAGACCUCCACUUAAACCCACCGGAUCGACGAUAUGAGCAUGAUCAUAUCCCAUCCAUUGUUGAACCUUCAAAACGUGACUGCUGGAGUUUUUAGUCUCCAUGAGGAACAGAAAAUCCGGGAAAUGUUCACGACGCAUUCCCUUCAAAGUAGGAACUGUCAAGGUGCCCCCCAAUCCUUGACAGUUCCAACUCAUAAAGCUCAUAAUUGUUUCGGCGGUUCCUCAUUCGGAACCACCUCUACUUCAAUACGCUUUGCGAUUUUUGACGACACUUCAUUCUCCUCUGUUGCUUUUCUUUUGGCAGCCAGACCUUCCUCUCCUGUGUUGUCUUGUCUCCCUUUACUUGCAUCAGUCCUUUUUUCCUUAGCCUGCGCCUUCCUCUUCCACUGGUUAGGUCUUCUUCUUUUCUUCCCAGGCAAUGAUUUAGUUCCGGAUGCACCAGCAGUAAAGCCGAGUUGCAUACCCGUAGAACCAUCAACAAAUUGCGAAGCAGUAGUAAAGGAUGCUGUUGCAGAAUUAGCAUUUUGAGAACUCUUAGUUGUAGCCUUUCUCUUACUUAUAUCUCCAUUAUUCUGUAAAUCUGCAGUUGACGCUAAUUUGGCUGCACCUUCAAAGUUGAAAACCAAUCCUUUUCCUUUGUUUACAUCUGUUGUAACUUGAACCGGAGCUUCUAGCCUAAGAAGCGUUUUCUGACCCUGUGAGUCCCCAUCCAAGUUCCAAACUGAUCAUCUAACCCUUUCAAUUCUCACCUUUUUCUCCUGUAGAUCUUCAACAGAUAGAUACAUUCUCAUCUCAUCAAGAACAUCUUUCGCAAUUUUGGGCCUUCCAGACACAAGAUCUAUCCCCACAUCAUCAUCCGUCAAGACACCAAACAAAGGAUCAUCUUUGCUUAUACGUGGAAUAAGGCGACUCGGGAAAUUGAUAGCUUUAAUCCUUCCCGUAGCAAUUGCUUGCCAGUUUAAAGGAUUAAAAGGACAGUUUUCCUUGUCAUACGUAAGCCUUUGACAUUGAUAGAAACGUUUCCGGAUUCUUUCAUACUCAAUACCAAUGUCAACUACUUCUCCCGUUGGUGUCUGCAACUUCUUACUGUUUCGCAGCGGCCUGUUAACAUCAAAGAGCACACGGACUCUAACAUAUCCCCGACUCUGUGGUUUGAGUGGGUCAAAGGCGACAUGCGUGACCUGUCCAAUGUGCUCUACUAUUUCUUCUAUUGUCUCUGUAGUGUUGUUAUUCACCGGAAUGUUGCGGAGACGAAUCCAAAUCGGUAACACCUUCAAGUAGUCCUCAGGUGGAUUCUCUACCCAUCUUUCCAGCGUCAUACUCCAAUCAUUAAAAGUCCAAGCUCCUGACUCUAAGACCGUCAAUAGAUCUGCCUCUGAAUCAAAAAGAAACUUGAACUUAUCAUCAGGUAACGCAAUUCCUCUUGCUCUGUUUACUACUCGCCAAACCCGUGGCAUCUCAUGUAUCAUACUUGACAUCUUUUGGUUCUCUGGACACAACAACCGCCCUAUGAUGCUGCAACCAUUCCGAACACACGAACUGAACUUUGGGAGAUUCUGUAACACAAUCGGUUUCUCAUCCUCCAAAGACAUCUCCUGCAAAGCCUUGUCCAAAGCGUACUCCAUAGAUUACUUGUGAUAUCUUCAAGGUCGCGUCUCUUACAGCUGAAACUAAGAAGCUUUUGUGACGGCUGCUGAAGAAACGAAGAACUUAUGAAGAACCCUAAAAAAUCUUUCACAAAACCGUAAAGAUUACGAUAAAAACAGGAAAAUCUUGUUCAAAUCCGGCGAAAAAUGGAAAUAUUCCCGGUUCUCCACGCCUUCUCUCAAGAGUUGAAACCCUCUAAUUGAGAGAGAGGUACCUAAGCCCAUGUGGUGAGGAAUACAAUGACACAUUCAUUCAAUAACACAUUAGUUACAUUACACUUACCAUGGUUAGGGACGCAUAACCAUAUUAAUUAGGAUUCCAACACAUCACAUUUAGGCUUCAAAUGUCCAUAAUAUCAUUCUACCAACCCUAACCGUGUUUUGAGGUUUGAACAUGCAAUCAAACAAUAUAAUAUAUGCAAAAACAAAGUAACACACCUUCGUCAUUUAAGGUCAAAACAAUUAUUGCUUUCAUCAGUUUUUCUUGGUUCGUUGCUAAAUAUAUCUAUCUAGAAGAUUGAAAAUCGUACCUAGCGUAUGAGGUUGGUCCCCCCGACUCUCUACUGGAUUUGGUUUGAGGUUGGAGAGAUUAUAAGUUAUAGAGAGGAGAUGCAAGUCAAAAAUGAGAAUGAGAAUGAGAGAUAUCUUAGGUAGUUAUCCUUCAUUAAAAUUGGGUUUGUAUGUUACAAUGUUGGAACCAAUUAAGACAAGGAUGCGAUGUUCAAGAUUCACUUAUCCUUGACCGUACCUGAAUAGGGUACAAAAAAAUGGAGAGAUAAGAUUGCCGUGUAGGUUCGUGUAGGUUAUCGGGUUUACAAAGAAGGGGAGAGCAUAUAAGGGCAAUUAUUGAAUCAUGAAGAGGAGAAUUGGUGGCGAGGUUGAGUUAGUUAAAGGACUUGAGAGUAUUAACGAUUACAUAGUCUUUCAAGUUAUGUACUUGUGUAUAGAAUUGAUUUUGAUAAUGAUUUGUGGCAAUAGAAUUAUUAUACAUUAAAUUUUUAAGGUACCUAAGUAUAAUAUAUGACUCUUUCUCUAAUCGCUGAAGUUAGUUCAGGCAUGAGAGAUGAAGUAUGCAUGGUGGGAAGUUAGAGUAUGACGCUUUUCUUUUGUUCUUGGUUUCUUUUGAAACUCGUUAACGACAGUGCACGUUGAUGUUAUAAGAGAUUGGAAGACUUAAAAAAAAACUAAUGUAGUUGUAAAUUUUAUUUUUCUUACGAUAAAUGUGUUUCAUAAUGAUACAAAUCUAGUUCAAGCACACUAAUCUGAAUUUCACAAUGAAGAAUCCACUUUUAAAAUUAUAGUCUAUCUCAGAAUAACUUUAUAUAAAACACAUAUCAAGGAUCGUUGACAAAAAAAAAAAAAGAUCUUAGCUUGAACCAGAUUAUGGCUAAGGUUUGCCCGGGUUGGAAUUUUACCUCUAAUCAUCAGUCUAAUGAUGAUGGCCGUAUCGUUAUUAUCUGGAAGGACCCGGCAUCUGUUAGGGUACUACACCAAUCCAAGCAGUCGGUUACUUGUGAAGUCAGCAUUGCAAACAAGUAAAAGUUUGUCUUCACAGUAGUUUAUGCCUCCAACUUAAGGGAAGAAAGAACAGAACUUUGGGUGGAGCUUUUACAACUGCAACAUGCUCUCUCUCUUGAUUCUUCUCCUUGGCUUGUGGGAGGAGAUUUCAAUCAAAUCAUCCACUGAUGAGCAUUCUUCGUCAACAGUCAACUCUCUCACUCCUUCUAUGACUGAGUUCAGAGACUGUCUUGAUCAAAUGGAUCUAUUUGACCUGAGGUUUCAGGGGCCUCUCUUCACUUGGAGUCACAAUCAACCUUCAGCCCCUAUUGCCAAGAAACUAGACCGUAUACUUAUAUACCACCACUGGUUAUCUCUCUUCCCUAAUAGCAUUGCCACCUUCCUCCUCUUCUGCCCUCUCACCAUGCUCCCUGCCUUAUUGACCUGGCAUACCAACUCCCAAAAGCUGGAGCUAGACCCUUUAAAUUCUUCAACUACCUUACCAAUCACCCAAACUUCCUCCAGUUGGUGAAUGAAGUUUGGAUUCAGGCCGGAAGCUUUGCUUUCAAUCUCAUAGACCUUUGUUGGAAGCAAAAGACCAUUAAAAGAGAUCUUCAGAACUUAAAUAGAGAGAAUAUUUCACAAAUACAAGAGAGAGUGAGAGAGACUAACAGUUUGUUAUUGACUUUGCAGGUGCAAGCUUUACAGAAUCUUUCACCUACUACUUUCCAGCUUGAAAGAGACCUAUAUGGGGUUUACAAAAAAAAAAAAAAAAAAAAAAAAAAAAAAGAGAAAAAAAAAAAAAAAGAAAAAAGAAGAAAAGGGGGGGCGCGAGUUUUUGUGCAAGAAGCUUGGCCAGAGAUACUAUGGUGUUGUAUAACUGAGACCAAACAAAGCUCCUGGCCCUGAUGGGUUAACUUCAGGCUUCUACAAAGCUGCUUGGGGCUCUCUCGGACCUGAGGUCACUGCUUCCAUUAGACACUUCUUCAUAUCCUCUUUUCUGCCUGCCUCAACAAAUGCCACCAUUCUUACUCUACUGCCAAAGCGUCCAGGAGCUUCUCAAAUUGUUGACUACCGCCCUAUCUUCUAUUUGAAUACUCUCUACAAAGUCAUCUCAAAACUACUUGUCUCCAGGUUAUAGCUGCUCCUUCCAGCUCUCAUUCUCCCAAACUAAAUAGCUUUUGUAAAGGACAGACUUCUCCUGGAGAACACCAUUCUUGCUGGUGAGAUUGUAAAUGGCUAUCAUAAGUUGACUGAACCAAAAAGAAUUAUGCUCAAGGUGGACAUUGCUAAAGCUUUUGACACUCUAUCCUGGGAUUUUCAGUUGUCUCAAGGGGAUGUUGAUUCCUGAUCAAUAUUUGAGAUGGCUCCAGGCUUGCAUCUAUACUACUAACUUCACAGUUGGUUAUAAUGGUAUGGUUCAUGGUUAUUUCAAAGGGAAGAGAGGGCUUCGUCAGGGAGAUCCUCUAUCUCUUUACCUUUUUGUGAUUACCAUGAACAUACUCUCUCUAAUGUUGAAUAAGGCUGCAGAGGAUGGAAAGUUUAAGUAUCAUCACAACUAUGACACAACAAAACUAACCCACCUAUGUUUUGUUGAUGAUCUCCUCAUCUUCAUGGAUGGCUCUCUCCCUUCAGUUCAGAAUGUGCUUCAGGGGCUUCGUGAAUUUGAGCAGCGAUCUAGCCUUGCCAUUAGUCUCCAAAAGUCUUCAUUCUAUGCGGGUGGACUUUCAGAUGCUGAAAUUUCUCUUAUCAAAUCAACGACUGGUCUUACUCAUGGGAUACUCCAUGUUCACUAUUUAGGUGUCCCCCUGUAUACAAAAAAGCUUUCCAUUCAGGACUGUGAACCGUUACUGCAGUAAGUCAAAGGCAAAAUCAAUAACUGGUGCGCAAAAUCCUUAUCUUUUGCUGGCAGGCUUGUUCUUAUUAACACUGUCAUUGAUGGGAUUUCUAAUUUCUGGUGCUCUACUUUUGUGCUCCCCAAGCUAUGUAUCCGUAAAAUCCACUCUAUUUGUAGUGCUUUCAUGUGGAAAGGCAGCUUGGAUGGUCACCAUAGUGCUAGAGUAGCUUGGGAGACUGUUACAAAACCAAAGGAUCAAGGUGGUCUAGGUAUUAGAGAUCUCACUUACUGGAAUAGAGCUUGUACUAUCAAACUUACAUUAUUUGGCUUCUGUUUUUCCAAUCCGGGUCGGUUUGGGUAGCUUUGUUUAAACUUCAUUUCUUGCGUGGGUCAUUGAAUAACUUCUGGUCAAUGAAACAAAGACCGACUUACUUAUGGAUGGCAAACAAGUUGUUGAAAAUAAGAGAGGAUGUAUUCCAUUGGAUAAAAUUAAGAGUUGGUAAUGGAGCUACUUGCAGAUUUUGGUUUGAUAACUGGUCUCCUUUUGGUAAUCUACAGAAGUUCCUAGGAACUGCAAGGGAGACUAAGUUGGGGAUUCUUCAAGAUGCAACCCUACACCAACUUAACAACCAAGGCCGUUGGCUUAUUCCUUAACCUAGGAGUGAUUAGCAGGUCUCUUUGCAUGUCUUUCUAACUAUUGUCACUCUCACUGAUUUUGAAGACAGCUAUGAAUGGGAAAUGGAAGGGAGGAUCGAUAAAAGAUACUCUACUGGCCUUGUCUACUCUCUUCUACGUGAGCACUCUCCUCUUGUCCCUUGGAGAAAGGUUGUGUGAAUCUCUGGAGGAGUCCCCAAACGUAGCUUCCUCACCUCGCUACUUGUCCUAAAUCGGUGCCCUACUCGAGAUCGGUUACUUGGAUGGGGUCUUCAAACAGAUCCAUCUUGUCUCCUCUACAACACCUCUCCUGAAAGUCGGGACCAUAUCUUCUUCAACUGUAAUGUGGCUUGGUCUUCAAUUGCUUCAAGAUGCAGUCUACUUCCACACCGAUCUUGGGAUGCUUCAUUGUGCCAGAUGCAAGAUCUUCACGGCUCUAAACUUUUGAUUAGGCUUACUCGCUUGGCUUGGCAGUCCUCUUUAUACUUGAUUUGGGCUGAACGAAACAAUCGCCUCCACCGAAACAACUUCAAAUCUGCAGACUCACUAAUCCGCCUCAUUGACUCUACAAUCCGGAAUAGGAUCCUCAGCUACAGAGAUCAUAACUCAUCCGUCUCUUCUUCGAUGCUGCAACUCUGGUUCUCGACUGGUUAACGGCGCUCCUUUGUCGUUUCACUAUUCCAUUGCCUAGGCAACCUACCCUCUAGGUUCAACCCUAAGAUCUAUUUUGUAUGUGUUUUUCUACUUUGCUAGGCUUCUUUUCUUAUUUGGGCUUCGGCCUCAUCACAAACACUAAAGCCGGACUGGGCUUUUGUAUUAUCUUUUUCUUCUUCUGCAUUUGAAUAGAAAGCUUUUUUUCAAAAAAAAAAAAAAAAAACUUUUUACAAAACAAAUUAACGCUGACAAAUGUGUUUGAAAUGCAUCGACCGUUUAUGCAUAAGCGUCCAUCUUGUGGCUUAAAUUAUCCCUAAGACUUAUUACCACUACUGAUAAAAACUUUACAGAUAAAUUGGGAUACAUAAAUUUUAUAUAUGAUGUUUCCGUAUAAUAUUAAAGAAGAAUUUGAACAAAAAAUAAAUAUAUUAAAAGAAUAAUAAAAAGUUACAAAUUAAUGAAAACAAAAUUUAUAAUACACAUAAGCUACAUAAAUUCAGUGUAACAAAUUCAAUAAAGUACACAUUAUAUAGAUUGAAUUUUCCUAUUGUAUAAGAAAAGUGAUUUAUCAAUUUUUAUUUAUUUAUGAAAAUGCAUCUGUGUGGUAUUUUUGAAUAUUUCUAAACAAUAUGUAUCCAAACCUUUAAAUAUAAACAAGUUUUCGGCUUUUUGCCAACGGUUAAACACAUUUCUAGAUUUUUGGCAUGUUACAUAUAAGAGAAUGUAUAAAUUAACAUCGAGUCCAUAUGCAUAGUAGACAAGGAGUGACAAAGAUGAAAGAGUUUGAUCUAUAUAUAUGACUUCAACAAAAGAAAUUAAAAUUUGUACGAUUGGAGAAAGAAAGCAAAGUAGGACAUAACAAAAUCCAGCUUUAAAUUACGUUGAGGUCAUUUAAGAGGAAGAGAACGAAGUAUCUAUCCAUGUUGACAUAGAUUGGCUUUUGGACAGAAGUCGUUUCAUGUACGAAUGAAUGACAAAGCGACAUAAUGUUGUACUCACUCAAUUCCCCAUGACGAAUCUUAUCGAAUGAAUGGUUCCACAAAAUAUUUGGUAACUUUCUAUUUGUCCUUUGUACCAAAAUGAAUCUUUCUCUCGCAGCUACAUUCCAUCCACGUGAAUUUUUGUUCAUCCAAGGGACACAUUAACACAAACCCCAGCUAGGCUGAUUAUUAACCGGAAUUCGAAAUCUAUUUCAAUCCAGCUAGAAAUUCGGAUUAUGAAGUUUGAUCCCUAGAUAUUAAAAUCUUAGUUCUGUAUAAUAUAUAAAACUUUUAUAUUACUAUUUGAGGCAUAAAAUUUAUAUCAAAUACACAAUUCGGAAAAUUAUAGUGUAAAUCUAAAAUAUAAAUUGAUUAGCAAAGAACAAUAAUUUUCAUAUCCAAUAUAUUUUCUGUUUUAAAUAUUUUAUUUUGUUAGCUUUUUCCUUUAAUAUGCAAUAUUAAUUCUUCCUCAAAAAUUUCUAUGUAAUAUUUAGUCAGAUAAUCAAUUAAAAGUGCAUAUAUAUAUAUAUAUAUAUUACUUGAUGAUUAUUGUUCUUAUAUUUUCUAGUCAUUAAUAUAAAUUAAACGUAAACUAGUCAACUAGAGAUGAAGCAAUAUAAAAUGUAUAUCCUUAUUUUUAACUUAAGACCAAAUUGCAUACGUCUUAAAAAUUAGGUAUUUAACUACAUAAAUAUGGUAAAAAAUAUUCAUAUGUUUAACCUCGACAACACAAGCAAAACAUAACUGCAUAACACCAAUAGAUAUUGAUGCAAACACGCGAUUAAUCCAUCCGAUGAAUUAAUUAACAUAAGCAAAGGUUUGAAACUUUGAUGGUUGAUGGGCGUUGAUACAGAUAGAGGAUGGAAGUUUUGUCGAAUGAAUGCACACUCAACAAACGAUUUAAACAACUUGAAUCCACAAGUUUGUUUUUUUUGUUUUCUUUUUUUGAAUCCACAAGUUAUUCAGCUCAAAAAUCAGACAAGACAAGUGAAUCCUCACUGGCUUGAGAUGACAAACUCAAAGACAAAUUUUGAAAGAAAAUAUUGUUCUAAAUCAUUCUAAAAUAAUAUGUGAAUGUUAAAAGGGACGAAUGUGAGCUUAUAUAGGCUCUUCUACAUUUUUAAUAAGUCUAAACAAAGGAAACAAAUCACAAAAAUUAGAUGAAAAGAGUCGUUGGACAUUAAAGAUGGUGCAUGGCCGAAAUAGGAAAGUCUUCUUGAGUUUUGAUAGCAUGAACGAGUAAUAGUGAUGUCUAUGGAUAUCCAAAUUCACUGAAUAUGGCUUUAGAAAGCUUCCAAAGUAAUCAGAAUAGACUCGCUGUGAAUUGUAAGCAACUGGCUCCAAAAAAUGGCUAGUCUUUGGCUCCAUGGGUUCACAUGAGGGAAGUUCCGCCAAUGCUUGAGUGGAAACUGUCCUGAGUGGUGUAAAUGAUCUAUAAGUUUCAAAUAUGAGGUUUUGGGAUGCACACAAAGGAAGGAAAAUACAACUUUCCUUACUUAUUUAAUAAAGUCUUGUAAGAUAUUUAUAUAUUUGAUAAAGGUUUACAAGGUAUUUAUAAGGUAUUAUAAGAUAUUUCUAAGGUUUUACAUAAGUACAUAAAUAGUUUAUGUAUUAUUUUACAAGACUACAAGUAUUUGGGUAGAUCUCAAAAUUUUAAGUGCAUUUUUGAUAAUAUUUUAGGGAAAGGGCAUUUUUGGAAAGUGAUAUUGGAAAAUGAGCAUUUCCAAGUUCCCUUUAAGAAAUUUGUCGAUCUCAAAAAGAAUAAGAAUUCCAUAUUUUGUUUUCUUGAGAAAUUGUUAUUGAUAGUUUUUUUUCUUCAUUUUAUAUAUUUUUUUUUCACUUUUUUUUGUUUUUCUGCAAAUUUUGGUUUUGGUUUUGAAAUUUAGUGGUUAAAUUAUUAAAACAUUCGGUUACUUUAAAACAUUAACAAAAUUUCUUUCAAAUUUUAAAGAAAUUUAUUUUUCACAACAAACAUCAAAAUUUAAUUCUAAAAAUUUCCAACAAAAAUAAAAUUUCUUAAUAAAUUAAAACAUAUAUAUUCUAUAUACCUAUAUUGAUAAUUAUAUAAAACUUAUAUAUUAGAAUAAUGAUAAAAAAAUAUUUAUGUAUAUGUCUGAUAUAUAUAUUAGAAUAAUGAUAAAAUAAAAUUAUAUAUAUUAAGCCAUCAAUUCACCAUAGUCACAGCAAUUCCACUGAGAAACCUGGUAAUUUAGAAGAUGUUUCGUUUUAAUUCAUGUUUACGUGACAUAUUAUAGAACUCAAAAACCAUUAUGUACUCUUGCAAAAUAUGUUUAUAUUUUUAUUAUCAAUAUAAUCAAACAUAAACUAAAUAAAUUAAGAUUGGAAAUUUUUGAAAAUUGCCCUCUUUAUAGUAAAAAUGUCCUUUUUCAAAAGUUCUUCCAACCAAAAAUAUUUUCAAAAGUGCCCCUUGAUAUCUAUGGCGAUACGUGCAAUGAUUUAACCUUCAAAUCACCUUUAUAAAACCUUUUGAAAUCUUUUAAAACCGUGUAAAACAAUGAGAAAUAGAAUUUUAAUCAUAUCUAUAAAACCUUAUAAAAUUUUGCAAAAAAGGUAUAACUGAAAUUAGACAUUAUCUUGGGAUAUUUUUGAAAAAAAUAUACAGUAAAAAGAGUAUUUUUGAAAUUUUCCCAUUAAAAUUCGCAUAUGUAUAGCACGGACUCUUACCUAUUUUCAAACUAAAAUCUCCAAAUAUUUUUAUAUCCAAUUUAAACUUUCAAGUAAUUUAUUUUCCUUCAACAAACCUCCAAAUAAGUUUACUUCGAUGUUUUAAACAAAUGCGGUCAACAUUUUAGUGAAACCCAUGACUCACGCUCGUGUUUACUUAGAGAUAUAAAUUAAUCGAAAGCAAAUGUUUCUUUUUCCUGAGGAAAGAGUUUAAUUUGGCUGCUAAACUUCAAAGAAAAAAAUAAAUAAAUGAAAUAUAGGAGUAUAAGUAAAUGAUCAGUUGAGGUAUCUAAUUGUAAUUAACUUUUACCCUAAACCCUUAGAUGAGUCUAUAUAUAUAUGUAAUGUCUCAUUCUAGGUUUAAUAAGAAUCAUUCAAUCCUUAUAUAGUAUCAGAGCUAAAAGCUCCUAAGAUAAAAUUCUCAUUUUUUUCCCUAGCCGUCACCAUGUCUUCCUUUAAAAACAACAGUGGAACAAUCUCCAUCAACUCUGUUCUCAAUAUCAAUAUGUCAAACGUCUCAAAGGUAAAAACACAAAACUUCCUCAUGUGGAAGCUCCAAGUUUAUGCUCUUCUCGAUGGGUAUGAGCUUGUCGACCACCUUGGAUUCGCAUGCUAUCGUCACGGUUGGGAUAACGAGUUUAUAUAUAUUAAUUAUUGGGCCUCCCAAAAACAUAUCUACUUACUCUUGAAUUAUACAAGAAUUAUUCUUAUUUAUGAAAACAAUUGUAAGGAACAAUGAUUGGUAUUUGUUAUUUGAAAAAUGAUGUUAUCUAACCUAUAUAUAGUUCAUUGAAAUCACAACAUAACUAUAAAAAAAACUAUAAAGUUAACGUAAUAUUUAGUGACAAUUAAAAUUUUGACCAAAAAUUUACUACAAUACUCAAAGUUAAUGGUUUCUAUCAAUGUUUCAAAUUUGUUUUGUAAAAAACAAAAUAUAAGUAACGAUAUUUAAUUCAGUAUAAGAAACUGUUGAUUAAUUUUAUUUUAUUUGGAUAUCCUAUACCAGAUUAUUAAUGAGUAUGUGGUUCAAAUUGACAUAUAUAUAGUUCUAAGCCAAAUAAAUUAAAAGGUCUAACUAUUUAUAAGUAUAAAUAUAUUUAAUUAUGAAAAUUUUUAAAGCCUAACUCACAUUGUAUCUAAAAACUAUUAUUUUAUUUAUAUAAAAAAUCAUUUUUCUCACAAUACUCUUAAUCUAAAUGACUAAUAAAUGUUAGUAAAAGUGUACUCGACAUACAACUUAAUCGAAGGUUUUCAAAAUUUUUAUAGGCUAAUAUGAGAUCCACAAGAGCAAAUAAAUGGUUUUAGAAUAUCAAAUAUAGUUUUUUAUUAGAUAUAUGUUAAGGAAUCAACUAUUAUAACUAGACAAUAGCUAUUAUAUAACAGUAUAUUUAAAAACAUAUCAUUUAAAAUUGCAUAGCAGUUAAAAAUUAUAGAAACAAAUAACCACAAAUGGUGAAACAUCCAUCUUUUCAAAACAAAUGAAACCACAAAUAUCACUAAUCCUUAGAUAUGAUUUAACACUAAUUAAGAUGCAUGUGAACUAACAGAUCCAUUAGGAAAUGCAAAUUUUUCCUAUGAAUAUUUAUAAAGUCAAAGUAUUUAAUCUAUAUCAUAUUCAAAUUUGUCUCACCCAUUCAAGUUUUCGUUUUCACAUUGAAAAUCGAAUUAAAAAUCUCCUUGAAAACGUUUUGGUUAUUUUUAUGAGGUCUUGAUUUAAGGUUAUUGAAUUAAAGACUAGAGAUCAAGGAUAUAUUAAUUGUUUUUGAAUUUAUAAAAAUUAUGUUCUAUAAAUGCUUUGAGAAAAAAAUGGUAAACUUUGUUGAAUUAUCAAAAACAUAUUACUCUAAAAAAAACAGAUAUAAAAAUUAAAUUCACUCAAUAAUAUUUGUAGCUACUCUUAAUACUUAACUUUAAAAUUAUUAUUCAACUCUUAACAGAAAAAUUUGUUUUGAAGUGCCAAUAGAAAAUAAAAAAAUUAAGUUCUUCUUUUUUAGAGAAAAUUCGCUUCAGUUAAUACUGUAGUAAAGUUAAAAUAUAAAUGUUUGUGGUAAAAUAACUGUAACAACACAGAAAUAUCAAUUUAUUCGGUAAAAAAUAGUACAAGCAAUACAUAUUUCAAGCACUUUUGGAGAUUGAGACACAAUGAUUCCACAAGUCAUCACUCUUCUUCAAGUAUUCUGUUUCGUGGGCAAUUAACAUGGGUUUAUCUGCAAUAUAUUUAAUAAGCUUAUCGUGACACAUUUUCCCUUCUUUGAUGAGAUCGUUGCAACAAGGAUCAGAGAUGGUUCCAUUUUCAAAGACAACAGCGAUUAUAUCCAACGCACAGUUAGGAGUGAUUUUAAGAAGACAAGUAUUCCAUAAUAAUUUUGCUUCAGCUUCUUCGACUGAGAAAACCAGAACAAACGCACACACCAAAGUUACAACAAUAAAUAGAGUGGUAAUUUGAGAGCUAAAUUUAGACAUAUCUACUUACGCUUGAAAUAUACAAGAAUUAUUCCUAUUUUAUGAAAAAUAAUUGUAAGAAACAAUGAUUUGUAUUUGUUAUUUGAAAAAUGAAGUUAUCGAACCUAUAUAUAGGUCUUUAAAAUCACAACGUCACUAUAAAAAAAACUAUAAAGUUAACGUAAUAUUUAAUGGCAAUUAAAAUUUUGACAAAACAUAUACUACAAUACUUAAAGUUAAUAGUUUCUAUCAACGUUUCAAUUUUUUAAAAAAAAAAAAACUAAAUACAAGUAACGGUAUCCAAUUCAAUAUAAUAAACUGAUUGUUAAUUUUAUUUUCUUUCGAUAUCCUAAACCAAAUUAUUAAUGAGUACGAGGUUCAAAUUGACAUAUAUAUAUAAGCCACAUAAGUCAAAAGUUCUAACUAUUUAUAAGUAGAAAAGUCAAAAGUUCUAACUAUUUAUAAGUAGAAAUGUACUUAAUUAUGAAACUUUUAAAAGCAUAACUCACAUUGUAAAAACUAUUAUUUUAUUUAUAUAAAAAUCAUUUUCUCACAAUAUUCUUAAUCUAAUGGGCUAAUAAAUGUUAGUAAAAGUAUAUUCGACAUACAACUUAUUCGAAGGUAUUCAAAUAUUUUAUAGGCUAAUAUGAAAUCCACAAGAGCAAAUAAAUGGUUUUAGAAUAUCAAAUAUAGUUUUGUUAUUAGAUUUAUGUUAACUAGUAUAACUAGACAAUAGCUAUUAUAUAACCGUAUAUUUUAAAAAUAUCAAUUAAAAUUGCAUAUCAAUAAAAGAUUAUAGAAACAAAUAACCAAUAAUGAUGAAACAUCCAUCAUUUCAAAACAACUUAAUCCUAACAUAUCAAAAAGUACAUGAUAAUUAGGAUCCGAUUGGAUUGAUUUGUUAAGAAUAUAUACCACUAAAUAAAAUCUAAUCAAAUGUUUUAAAUGUUUUUUUCGUGGAUCAGGAAGUUAAUAAACUCUAGUAGGGACAACGAGUACUUCAACAAAUCCAGACUUUUCCAAAUGGCUUCACCAAGACAAACUCAUCUACAGUGCAUUCAUCGGCUCAAUCUCCUCAUCAAUCCAGCCAAGACAAUAAUUGAAUGCAUCAAGUGAAAUAGUGAAAGAACAUUGGAUCACAAGUUUAAUUGGACGAGCACAACACCAAUUUGAGCGGAACAAACUUUUACGGAAAAUGGCUGGUUGAAGUAUUGUUUUAAAAUGUCUAACUAGUUUAGUAGAUUGAUCAUCAUAAAAAUAGGACUGGAUUGUUACACACUUUAUGGUGCCAUCUGUACUCACUCGACCAUGCAACUCAUAAUCUCAGCAAGUAGCCCUUUAACAAGUCGAAUUAAUAUCCUACUGUUCCUCCAGCGGUAUAUCGUUCUUGAUCUAGGCAUUUAUUAUCCACGAUUAAGUUUUUCCAAUUGUGUCCACCCCAUUUGUACAUGCUAGCUUCGGAGUAUCAUUCUAAUAUCAUACUCUUACAAGAAUGUGGGACUAAAUUUGAAUGAUAAAGUAACAGUAUCACAUCACACAAAGCACAAACUUCUGGCAAAUAUGACCCAAAGAUACAAGUCCUGGUUAAGAGAUUGUUUACUUCAUUACUAUUGCAAUCAUGUUGUAGUCAGUCUCCUUAGUCAAAUGACUUAGGUAUACCCGACCCGCAUUAACUUUGAUUUCUAAACAGAUGUCAAAUAUUUUUUCCAUAAAAAUUAAUGGGCAACAAGAUAAACGAAAUUUAGACCUACUAAUUAGUAAGAUAAAUAAAAUAGAUAAGAUAGAGUAGGAAGGAUUUGAAACACCCACCUUAACGCUUCUACUAAAGGUAAAAACCAAUUUCACUAGUUAAAAUCUACCUAUUAUAUUUACGGCUGCAUGGCAUGGACCUGGUCCGCUUGUAUAAGGACCGAGUCUGCUCUUAUUGCUUGUAGGGGGAGCAUAUCAAGGGGUUCUUUGUUUGAUAAAAGGAAAGAAGUAAACAAAUGAACAGGCACAUACAAGCAUUACACAACCUAUGGCAAAACAAGUGCUUUGACUCUUCGGACGAGAUUGCAUCCCUCGUCCAUUCAUUUCCCUCUAAAGUCUUGUCAAGGACAAUUCACUAGGCUGAAUUUUCCAACCAAGAGUUUCAAUUCCACUCCAAGAAUCCAACCCUUAAAUCCAGAAAAAAAAAAUAACAAAUUGACCCUUGGAUUACCAAGCCCAUAACUAAAUCAGCAUCUUCGUCAUAUUUAGUCUCUUUUUGUAGCUUGAGGUUUGGAUACUCUUUAGAAGAAAAAACUCAUGUGUAGCUUCUCAAAACCAUCUAAUUAAACAUAUCCAUGUUUUAAAAAGGUGACGACAUGGCAUAAACUAAGAGAGAAGUCCCUCACAUUGUCUAGCGAACAAUUUGGUUUGGUUCACCCACAAUGGUUAAAUCGCUUAUCUUAUGUUCACUGGCAUUCCAAUAAGACUAACGUAUUUCUACGAUGAAUAAAAUUUUAUUAUUUUGGAUUAGGAACGAAUACCCUAUAUUCAAAUCUAUAUCGAUCGUUCUCUAUUCAUACCCGCAAUACAUCCAUAUAUAAAUCUCUAGAUAACUAAAAAUUCAAGACAAAUCAAAACGGAUAUCGAAUCGAACCAAACAUUAGAGGUAAUAUUGUUAAAUUUGGGCUAAUUCUGGGCUUCCAACUAAAAACCAAUUGGCAAUUAGUGGAUUGGCACUAACCCUUUAUAUAUUAUUGAUUGUCCCAUCAAACUUCCGAUGUGGGACUUUGAUUGUAUCUCCAACAAUCUCCCCUUCAAUCUAAGGACCACAUGGAUCUUAACACACCUCCUCGAUCCCUCACUCGGACCGAUAAUAAGCCCCUUUCUCGGGCCCCCAUUACUCGGGUUUGAGGUAUGUCCGUAUCCACUUUUCUAGGUCCACCAGAAUUUGAACCUUGGGCUCUGAUACCAUGUUAAAUUUGGGCUAAUUCUGGGCUUCCAACUAAAAACAUACCCGCAAUACAUCCAUAUAUAAAUCUCUAGAUAACUAAAAAUUCAAGACAAAUCAAAACGGAUGUCGAAUCGAACCAAACAUUCCAACAAAUAUGUCCAUCCCAACUCGAACCAAUGGGCUUUCACAUCCACACUAACAUGUAUUUUUGGCAUUACAUUCUUUUUUCCACGACACAAUUCGUCUACUACAUUUGUAUUGACCGUCUCUCUCCACGGCUUCCUUAUCUUCUCCACAAGAAAAGAUUUUGUCAUAUUCUUCUACCUUUACAUAAAAACCGGAAAAAUACUAAUAAUCAUAAAUAAAUAAAGGCAUAAAAAAAAAACAUAGAACCCCACUUAAUGAAAGUUUCAAGACCGAACCUAAUAAUAAUAUUAUUAUACCAUCAUAUCCUUUGAUCAACACAAAAAUCCCUUUUCCCUUUUCUGAUUUUUCUUCUUUUUCUUCCUCAAUCAUCAUGGAAACUAAUCUACAACAGGUGAAGAACAGUUCUCAAACUUUUUCUGAAAAGCAAAACCCUAAACAAGAAGCUUCACCAAUAUCAUCUACUUGUUCUUCUCCUUCUCAUGACUUCUCUUUCACUAUCUCUCUCCAGCCUCUCUCUUCUUCCUCAAAACAUAUCAGCCCUACUCUUAGAGGUUCAACAAAAACGACAUCGUCUUAUCAACAAACCGAUCCUUUCGCCGUCGACUUAUCUCCGGCCGAUGAGAUCUUCUUCCACGGCCAUCUUCUUCCUCUCCACCUCCUCUCCCACCUCCCUGUCUCUCCUCGAACAUCCACCAGUUCUUAUAAUGACGGAUUUACCCUCCCCGUCAAAGAUAUAUUACCUGACCAGCCCACAAACAACAACAACACUGAAAACGCUAUCACAACCAUCAGUACGGAGGCAAAGAACGACAACACCAGCGACAAAGCAGAGAGCGAGAAUCUUUCUCGGGUAAAAACCAAACCCAUGAAGUCAUUUUCUCUCUUUGGUUUAUCAAAAUGGAGAAAGGGUUUUGAAAGCAACGAGCGAGAACAAGAACAGCAGCAACAGAAGAUCAAGAAACCUAUGAGCUUAGACCUAAGUCACGCCGUCAAGAAGUACAUAAGGAUGUUGUUUCAGAAAAGAGGAAACGGCACGCAGUUUAGAAACAGAAGACAGACUUCUUCUUAUUCUUUCUCUUCCUCUCUUAUGGGUCCAAACGGAAACAGCAAAACAAUGAUUAAUGGAUCAUACAACAAGAGAGAUCUGAUUAGAGGAAGGAGAGGUGAGUUGUUCUCGGCUCCGGCGUCGAUGAGAACAUCUCCGACUAAUAGUGGACAUCUCCGUGUGUCCACGGCCGGACUAUCGUCAAGCUCGGGGUCCACGUCAUCAUCGUCUAGUGAUAGUACCAUGGAAGAGUUACAAGCUGCGAUACAAGCGGCCAUUGCUCAUUGCAAGAACUCAAGCGCCGUUGAUCGUGAUGAUAAGGUUAAGGAUUCUUGAUUUGGUUUUUUCUUUUGUCCUUAAUCUGUUGUUCUUUCUUGUCGGAAAGAAAAAAAAGAAAAAAACAAAGUGUUAGUGUGUGACGUGGAAUUUAAGAAUUACAGUAGAGGUAAUUAUUUAUUUCGUGUAUAGUAUAGAAAAAGGAGUUACUGUUCCUAUACUAUGUGUCCCCAUAAUUCAUUUAUAAUAAUAAAAGAGAUUUAUUUUAAAGAAAAUUGUGACAACUUUGUUAGAAUAAUAGAUAGAUAACAACAAGUCCAGGCUGGGUUUUAUUGUUUGUUUCCACAAAUUGGGGAUGACCAAAAAGAUGAGUAAAUGAGAAGAGUUUCAUUUUGAAAAGCAAAAGAAGAGAUGGGGUUUAUGAUCGGCUCUCUUCGUUUACUUGUCUCUGCGACAUAACCAAUGUUAGAGCAAAACCAUUGAUUGUGGUGGAGACUAGCAUAAAAAAUAAAAUGACACAAGAGAUUCUCUUUGCUUCCAUAUUUUUAUCUUCCUUUUUUUUGCUAUAGACUAAGGUCUUGAAUGUUUAGAGCGGAACUUUGAUACACGAGAUGCGUUCCUAUAUCAUGUCUCCAUUCAUGACAUUAUUUGUAUGUGUGGGACAAAAAACACACUUACGUAAUAAAAAAUAAAAAAAAAUCAAAAGUGUACCUUUUUAGCUUAGUUUUGAAGAACGCAUAGUGCAGUUAAGAAUUCUCUAAUAUUGUGUGGUUUGCUGCGGUACUAUUUUAUUUUUAUUUUUUCCAGUUCAAAAAAUUCUGGAAUUUUUUAUACAAUUAAAUUACCAGUAUGAACAAUUUUCUUUACUAAACAAAAAUAAUUCAAAAACUUGAAAUUGAGAAAUUAUUAAUCAAAGUUUAAAUAAAUAAUAUAUUAUACCACACUUAUAAUAGUCACCAUUCAAACAUUCUCUAGUACCGCUUUCUUUAUAUAAAUCACACUUAUUCCGCAUGAUGCGUUUCUAACAACCGCACCGCAGUAAAACCGUAUCAUAUCUCUACAACUGCUUGUCCUGCACCGCCCAAACAGCUGUCACCAUUCGAAGCCUUAAUCCAUAGGUUAUACAUUCUCGUAAAAUCUAAUAUUUUUUCAUUUUCAAUGAAAUAUUUACAUUUUUAGUAUAAAAAACAAGACACAAGAUUUAACCACGUAUGUGUCGGUUUUUACACUAACCACCAAUCAUUGACCUGCAAAGAGGUAUUGCUUUAACAGCAUAUAAAGGUACUUAAAGUGUUACAAUUAACUUCAACAAUAACACACGCUAAGUAAAUGCAAACAUUUAUAGAUUCAAGAAGGCAACUCCCCAUUAAUCUUUGCUUUGUUUUUUUUUUUUUGAAUGAAUGUAAAAUUAUAUUCAACCAAAAAAACGUGUUACAAUGAAUGCGCCUGUUUUGCUGAUGUUUUGAAAUUACAACAGAGAGUUUUGGAGGGAUCACUUGUUGCAGCUACAAUCUUGAGGCAAACCACAUCUGGAGACCUUCCUCAAAGCCACCAGUGGAGAUCGAGCUAAGUCGGUUGCGGACGUUUUUGUCAAUCCUUUUUAUUAGUUGGGCUUGAGGCAUAGGGAUUUCUCCAUGUCUCCUAGCAUUUCUUUCUCGCCAAAGAUGGUACAGGGUUGUUUGAGGACUGUGAGUACAAAAACAGAGGAAGAAGAGAGAAAGGUUGAAGAGACCGAGAGGUGUUCUUCGAGAGAGAAAAAAAAAUUUAGGGUUUACAAGAUCGUAUUCUCUGAUACCAUGUCAAUCCUUUUUAUUAAUCUUUGCUUUGAUUCGUGCUUGCAAAAAGAAUUUCUUCAUGUUCUUCACAACGGCAAUACCUUUUCGAAGUUUAUAAUGAACAUCAUUAUUUUACAGCAACAUCUUUGUUUCUAACUUUCUACUUUUCAACUAUGAACAUAUAUAACUCCUUAUAUAUAUGUCAAUGCAUCCUCCAAUGAACGAAGUACAAUCAUUAGAGCCACAAUUUGUAAUAUUGAUUCAAUAUGAUGUCGAUACCUCCAUAAACACCAUUUUUUAUUCUUGAAACUUGGACAUCAAGCUUUUCUUUUUCUCUUGUACGGAAAUGCAUGUAAACCUUCAAAAAAUCUCAUUCAUUAUAACAGUUAAUCGAUCUAACAUUUCCAUUAAACAUACAUAGUUCAUAUACUUUGAAUAUGUUUUCGUCGAUUUUGUUUUUGUCCUUUGAAAUAUAUUAAAAAUUGAUGAAUUACAUAUGUCAACGGAAGAAAGAUAUAUGUAAGGAUUUCGAUAUAACUCAAAACUACAAUCAAUUGUGGAUUCAAUGCGUUUGUUUGUUUCGAGGAAGAGAUCGAUCAAUUCCUUUUUUUUCUUUGAGAAUGCCAAUCCUGGACAAAAGCUGAGGGCAUCUCACUAUAUUUUUUCCUUUUUCUAGUUCUUCUUCCAAGUGCAGGUUAGACACUAAACCAACGGAAAAUGUUGAAAUCCCGGGAAACAACAACCCUAAAGAAGGAGACAAUUUCAGAAAGAAAAAGCCCAAGUAAAAAUACAAGCCAAAACUGUUAAAAGUCAAGUAUUUACCAAUUAAAGCUUAAUCCUAUUCUACAUUCUUCCCAAAAUCAGAAAUUGUCUUGAUGUCGAUGAAAACUACAACUCACCGAAAAAUUUUGGUCUUCAUGUCCUCGUUUGGUGUUUGAUAGACUUCCGUAUUGUUUGUUUUGAAAGCAAAUUCUCAAAAACGGUUUUUAAUAGUAGUGAAUGCAAUCUCUCCCUUUUUGACAAUCAAAAGUUCAAACUUUAAAAUUGACAAAAACAAAAAUAAAUCAGUUUGGUGAUGGUUAUCGUAAUUUCUUUCCUUGUAGCGUUAAAUUGUUUAUGCAGAAUUUCGAUCAUCCACCUUUUGUUCUUGCUCAUAUAUAGGCAUAGCUGGAGUCGACUACUGACUAGUAACUAAACAUGUAUAUAUAACGAAAGGGGCAAUCAUUGGGGACACCAAUGAGUUAUCUUUAGCUGAAUUUCUUACGUUCGAGUAAAAAAGAGUCUGAUACGAGAAGAAGAAGAAAAUAGUAGGAAUGUAAAGUAUAAAUUCGACUUCCUACCAAAAAAAAAAAAAAAGUAUAAAUUCGACUUUUGAUAUGAUUUUAGGUUUUAUAUUAUUUCAAUAUGAAUAUGUAAUUAUUUAAAUGCUUUGGAAGUUUGGAUAUUGACUAAAAUGUAUAUAUUCGAAUUUAGACUGGGAUAACAAGUCAAAAUGGAUAAUGCGGGUAUCUAUUUUUUAAGGAAUCCAUUUUUCCUCCAAUGAGAGAAAUAUAAACAUUAGUGCUACAAUAAAAUUGAUUCAAUAUUCGAUUUCAAUAUUUUAAUAAACACCAUUUUUAAACUUUUUUUUUUUUGAUAAACGAUUAGCCAUUUUUGAACUUAGACAGCAAGCUUUUCCUUUCUUUCUUCAUGAAAUAAAUGUCAAAGUGAAUGUAAGAAACGAGUCCGAUAACAAAUGUAUCCCAAACUUUAAGAGUACCGGCCCGGUGUCCAACUCUACCAUGCACUUAGGAGCCAGAAUUUUAUUUGAGAGCAUGUGCAAUGAGAGUCUCUUACUAAAGUCUCUCAAACAAAAAAAAAAAAUAAUAAUAAAAUAAUAAAAAGUAUUAUAUAAUUAUGAGAGUCUCUAAAAAAAGUGGUGAGAGUCUCUCAAGUGAGAGACUUUCUCUACAUUUUUUAGAGACUCUCACAAUUAAAUAUUACUUUUUAUUAUUUUAUUAUUUCUUUUUCGCAUGAUAGACUUGGAUGAGAGACUUCCAUUGUACAUGCUCUGAUUCGCACACGGCCGCCAUUAGUCGGUUGAAUGUUGAUCUUUUUGCAUGAACGGUAUAAGUAACAUAUCUUGUUUUAUUAGGCUAGUCUUGGAAAUCCAGAACAAACCCCAAAAGUUUGCAAUUAUUAAAGUUCUUACGUAGGGCAGGUUGAUCAUCUAAUAGAAAACGUCACACUACCAUUUUGGGUUGUUAACAUGGUUCACAAAUGGCAGCAUUAUGAGACUUUAUAUUAGCGUUUACCGAUUUUAGAGGCGGCCUCACAACAAAGUAAAUGACUUCUGACACAAAAAGCAUGGUGACAUGAUCACAACAUCAUUGACCUAACUGACCACAACUCGUGCACAUGAAGAUGGGGUCAUGCGCCGACAUUCAUUAUCGUGAACUAACAUUCUUAGAAAAAUAUCGUUGUUUAAUGAGCAAACCAGAGUUGUAAAAGUCAUCACCUCACUUUCUUUCCAUGCAUUGGAGUGCACGAUUUAGUUCUGAACCACUAUUUGUUAAAAAGUGUUAAGGUUGGGUAAGGACUUGGGCGCAAAACUGUUGAUUUCUAUCAACGGUUUCUUGGGUGGAAUUGGUUUUACUAGUUGUCUGCUUUUGACUGUGGCACUAACAUUUGAUUUGUUUUGUAUGUUAUAUACAUUUAACCAUAAACAACGUUACAUGAGUGCUCUUAUACAAAAUCUAAAGAGAAUUGUAAAAUUACAUAUAAGCUCAUGAAAGUCAGAUUCAUCACUCUCUUGAUGGUAAUUGGAUACAAUAUCUUCAGGUAAAACCGGAUCGCCAUGUAUGUUGCCAGGCAAAGCUUGAACACUGUUGUUUCCAUGGUUUAUGAGUUUCACAUGAAGCAAUAAGACAAUAAUUCCAACCAGUGUUUUUAAACCCGAUUCGGACGGUUUAUGGGUCACCGGAUCACUGGGUCCACCUCGACCAUGAGUCAAUUAAUUAAAAUUUGUUUGAUGUAUUUAAUAUUUCUAAAGAUUAUCCUAUACUAUUUGGGGAGUACAAUUUAUAAUUACCCUUUAAUAACGUUCCCCUUUGUAAGUUAUUACAUUAGAAUGCCAUUAGAGAUAAAAAUAUAAAGAGUAAAUUAAUUUAGCUCAUUAAGGAUAAACAAGUCAAAUACUAAUUUAUGAAAUUUAAUUAAUUUAAUUAUUAAAAAAAAAAUAUAUUAUUAAGGGAAAAAGAUACCUAGCUACACGAAGUAUGCUACAAUACAUGGCUACACAUCCGAAGUUUCAAAAUGUAUCCCUAACUACACAAACUAUAUGUAUCGCAUGCCCACAUAUACGAACUAUAUGUAGUCAUGUCGCCAACAUCACGAACAUUUUUUCCGGUACACUUUUCCGGCGUUGACCAACAUAAAUAUUCAAAAAAAAAAAAUUAGUUUUUUAAUAUUUAGAAAAUUAUGUUAUUGAAUCAUUUAUAAUAUUGUAUAAUUAAAAAAUAUAUACAAUAUUCAAUAUAAAAAUAUUUUGUAUAUAUAUUCAAUGCAUUGAUUUUUAUAAUUAGUUAGUUUCGAUAAUUUCAAAGCUAAACUAAAAAUAAAAUAAAAAUCAAUUAGGUUAAAUAAUUGUAGAUAGAAAAUUUUAAAUACUCUCUAGUUUAAAGUUUUUUGUUAUAAUAUGUUGUUAAUUUUUGUAUCUAAAAUUACUACGAAAAAUUCUUUUAAUAACACGUAAAAAUAAAUAUUCGAAUAUUUAAUAUUUAAUAUGUGAAUUUUAAAUAUUAAAGCAUUAGAAUCAAACCAAAUUUUUUUGAAUUUUAUUCUACUAGUUCGUUAGAUCUUCUAUCUUAUAAAUAUUAAAAAGAAACAUUGUGAUUUUUUUAUUUAUUUUUAGGUGUUAUUAAAAGAAUUUUUGUAAUAAUUUUAGAUACACAAUUAACAACAUAUUAUACAAAAAAACUUUAGACUAGAGAGUAUGGAAAAUUUUCCAUUUACAAUUAUUUUACGUAAUUGAUUUUUAUUUUAUUUUUAGUUUAGUUUUGAAAUUAUUGAAACUAACUAAUUAUAAAAUAUUGUAUAUAUUUUUUUAAUUAUACAAUAUUAUAAAUGAUUCAAUAACAUAAUUUUCUAAAUAUUAAAAAACUAAUUUUUUUUUUUUUGAAUAUUUAUGUUGGUCAAUGCCGGUCAACGCCGGUCAAACUGGUCAACGCCAGAAAAGUGUACUGGAAAAAAUGUUCGUGAGGUUGGCGACAUGACUACAUAUAUAUGUGGGCAUGCGAUACAUAUAGUUUGUGUAGUUAGGGAUACAUUUUGAAACUUCGGAUGUGUGGCCAUGUAUUGUAGCAUACUUCGUGUAGCUAGGUAUCUUUUUCUCUAUUAUUAACUUAAAAAAAAGAAUGACCAAUCAAAAUGAACAUAUAAGAUUUGAUAUCUAACUUACCAUAUUAAUUUGCUAUUAGUCAUUAUACUUCACCUCUCAUCUUUAUAUGAUUCUAUUUUUAUGAAACAAAUAAAUCAUCAUAUCAUCCAUAUAACAAAAAAAAGUAAAUUUUUUAUGCAUAUGCCAAGAUUUGAAUUUUUAAAAACGAAUAUAAAUUGUUAAAUCUAUGAAGAAAAAAAUUUAACGGGUCAAAAAUUCACAUUUGAGUAAUAUAUUUCUUUUAACCAAAAAUAAGUUAAACAAAAAUUUCGACUGAGUAACAGGUCAGAAUUUGAAUAUUUAUAUUAAAUUUCAUACAUGUAUUUUUUGAAAUGUAUUAUUUUAUAUACUACAAUAAGAUUUUUAAAUAUUUUUAUUUGUAACAUAUAAAAUUAGUUUUACUUGAUAUUUUUCAAGAAUAUCAUCAAUAUUUAAAGAAUACUAGGGGUUAGGCCACGCUACGCGUGGGUCAUUUCUAUACAUGUACCUGUAUCGUUUAUUUUAGUUUGAGAAUUCUUUUACAUAUUAAGAUUAUAUAUAUGUUACCUUUUUCAGUAAAUUGACUUUUGCUUGUUAUGUUAUUACUAAGACUUGAGUUAAUUGGUAUGUCUCUCCAUAGUCCAUACCAUUCACCACCGACGUCUAUUGUCGUUUUGUCGAUAUUGCCCAUCAAAAGCAUAUUGUAUUCUUUACACAAGCAAUGUAUAUAUCUAAAUGUGUAUGAUUUUGCAUGAAAAGAGAACACUGGGAUCAAAAUUAACACACCCACGCACAAAACUACUUUUUUAAUGUUCAAUGGUGGAUCACACCCAUCAUAACUAAGAAUGAUGGAUAACAAAAACAUAAGGCAUAUUUUUCUGUUCUGUUUUAGUUUACUUAAGCAUCUCAACAUACGAAUGUUUUCAAUCUUCCUCAACUCACCAAGUUCUAUGAGUAUAUAUGAGCCAUUAGCGUCUUUAGCUGUCUCUGAAAGGAACAUGAGAGUUACCAUUGACAUAAUCGUCACUGCUGCCAUUGUCACCUUUUGCCUGCACCUUCCUCUUCACACUGGACAUGACUACCUGCGACCUAACACUAAGAAUUUGAAAGAUGUGUGAGAACUAAAUAUAUUGAAAGGUGAAAGAAUCUUCUUUUCUUUAUGGCUUAAGAUUUUAGAAAAUGUGGAAAACAAAUUUUGAGAAUAGACGAAAGUAUACUACUCUAUUUAUCCUUCUUAUGUCUAAGAGGAGUUGUUUAAAUGAAAAAAAAAAAAGCUAAAAAUCCCAGAAGUUGUACCCUUCAUUUCUUUUUAAUAAGACGAUGAUUCUAAAGUUAACAAAUAGAGGUGUGUUCUCCCUAUGCAUACCUCCCUAGAAAGAAGAAAUAGACUGGUAAAGCCUUAAGGUUAAUGAAAAUUGAGCAGAAAUCAAGGGAAGUGAAAAGGAAAAAUAUUAAUAAGAUAUGGAUCACAAACUUGUGCUUGAAGUAGGGUUUGGCCCUUAUGAGGGAACAGAGAAAAUUUAUAGAUUAGUUUUGGUAAAGGGACAAAUCAUGGAUGGACAUACACUAAUACUCCUUCAAAAUAUACUCCAUUCUUGUUUCUCGUUUACCUCAAAUUCGCUCACCCUUUCCAAUUUUUCCCAGCGUUCGCUUUUUCUUCUCACUUGAUCAUGCACCAAGUCAGUGCAUCUCCAUAACCAAACAAAACCAAAACAAUGGAGGAUUGCCUCCACAUGAGCAAAACAACAUGAUUUCAACAUAUUUUUGCAUAUAUAAUUACCUCAAAUGCGCUCACCCUUUCCAAUUUUUCCCGGCGUUCGCUUUUUCUUCUCACUUGAUCAUGCACCAAGUCAGUGCAUCUCGAUAACCAAACAAAACCAAAACAAUGGAGGAUUGCCUCCACAUGAGCAAAACAACAUGAUUUCAACAUAUUUUUGCAUAUAUAAACCAAUUACAAAAACCCAUAUAUUGAAGAGAGGAAGAAGAAGAAGGGCGACAUCUUACCUAUUGUCAUUCGGAUUCUCCAGUCAAGAAGGCGGUGACUGUAGAUUUGGGAAGUGAGAUGAGAGAAGCUUGAAGCCCUAGAUUGGAAGCGCCAUAGGAGAUGCGAUCACUACAAGAAAACAGUCGUUUUACGACUACGACAAUAGUCACUACUUAGUCGUAAAACUGGAUAAUACGACUAGGUUACGACUAAUACCCGUAGUCGUAAAUAUUUAGUCGCUAAAAUAAAUAGUCGUAAAUUUAGUCGCCUUUUAACGACAAACAUACGACUAAUAUAUAUGAGUCAUAUAUUAGUCACUCAUUAGUCGUAACAUUUGAUGACUAUUUGGCGACUAUGUUACGAUUAAUCAACACUCAUAUAAGGUCUGUUUAGUGCAGUCGUAUACAUAGUCGUUAAUUUGUAGUGACUAAAUGGCGUCUAUUUUACGACUAUAAAUGCGACUAUUGUAAGACAGUCAUUACUUAGUCGUUAAUAAAAGCGACUAUAUUGCGACUAAUAUACGACUUUUUUAUGACUAAUUGGCGACUAUUGUUGCGACUAAUAUAAGAAUUUGGCAUUUCGGAUUUUGUUUUCAAAUUGUUUGGAUUCCGAUUUUGUUUCAUUUCCGAUUUUGUUUUGAAAUUGUUUGGAUUCCGAUUUUGUUUCAUUUCUAAGUUUGAUUCCAUAACCCAAACAACAUUAAUCUAAAACCAAAUAAAAAAAAAGAACUCCAAAUCAAAUAAAAGCCAAAACACAUACAAAAGUACAUCAUUCACUAUCAAAGUACACAUACACACCAUUCACAAUCAAAGACACUUAUCAAAAACUGAGAGAGUGAUAAAGUUUUUGUUCAUGAUAAAAGAGAGAUGAAAAGGAGAAACCAUGAAGUGGCCAUGAAGUCCAGGAAGAGGCGAGAGAGGGUCUGUGGUUUCUUGAGGAGCUGAAUGAGUGGCCAUGAAGUCCAGGAAGUGCGGAUCGGUUUGCCGCAGAUACUUCUCUACCAAAGACAAGUGCGCGAGCUUCUCCUUUUGCUCAGCCGCCACUCGGGUUUGCUCAGCUUUACGGGCAGCUUCCUCAAGAUCUCUCUUUUCAUUAUAUGCUGCCUGCUCUUCUAUCUUGCGUUGAGCUUCCUUCAGCUGUUCUUGCAGAUCCAGAAAGGAUGUAGAUGAAGAUGAAGACUGUCCAUAGCGCUUGCGCUUGCCAAGAGUAAAUGUAAUUUGGAGAUCCAGCUGUUCCAAUUCCAUACGGAAUUCCUCUAGAAUCUACCUCAGUGGACUGUAAAAAAGUAAGAGAACAGCUGAGAUUAGAGAAUGAGAAUUGAACUCCAGAUUAUAUAAAUGUAAUUUGGAAAAUUGAAACUUAACCUGCAGAAAGAUGGUGGUGCAGUCCUCUGCUGUGAGCUCCCGGGGACGUGACUCGCCAUCUGAAACACUCGAAGCAUCUGCCUCUAGCUGAGACAACCUUAGUUCCAAAUUCUGCUGGUAUGUUGUUGCUAUUUUCUCCGCCUUCCGAUCAACAUACGUACCAUCUGGCCUAGUAUGGGUCUUGAUGAAAACCUCACCCAAGACUGACCGCUCUUCCUGCAUUGUAACCUACUUCAUAAUUCUCACUUACAUACGUCCUAUCAAUGUAACUUGGUCCUAUAUCCAUAUUGAGUUCCUCUCCAUGUUUAUACCAAACAUAAUAAUCUACCAUAAAUCCAUGACUAAACAGAUGACUCAUAACUCUUCUACCCGAGAUAUGUUUAUUGUUCUUGCAAACACUACAAGGACAGUGAAAUUUACCGCGAUUACUCUGGACUAUAGGUUGGCUAUUUGCAAACGUCAAGAAUUCCUCCACACCCGCUUCAAAUUCUUUUGAAAAAUUUCCCGUUGCUUCAUCGAACCUCUUGUACAUCCACUCUUGAUAAUUACCGCCGUCAUUACCGCCAUAAUUGUAAUUUUCCGCCAUUCCUCUAGAAUAAAUAACUAUAAACGUUUUUUUUUCUUAUAAACGCUCUGUUUUUUUUUUCUUUUAAGUGUUGAUUAUGUUUGUUGUAAUGAAGAGAAAAGAGAGUGAUUUUUGUUAUAUAGACAAAUUUGGUGACUAAACAGCGACUAAAAUACGACUAUUACUUUUACUCGCCAAAAACCGGUACACCAACCCCAUCUACCUCUUCAUGAAAAAAACAUGUUUUUUACCGGCAUUUUACGACUAUUUACCGACUUUUUAACGACUAUUAUGCGACCCGCCGAAUCAGUCGCUAAAUAGUCGCCUAUUUAGCGACUACAGUCAUUAGUCAUUCAAUAUAGUCGCCAAUUUAGCGACUACAGUCAUUAGUCAUUCAAUAUAGUCGCCAAUUUAGCGACUAAAAUACGACUAUAGUCGGGGUUUUAAUUAUAGUCGUAUAAUAGUCACUAAUUUACGACUAUUAGAAUGACUACAGUAUGUAGUCGUUAAUUAGCGACAAUACGACGACUAUAAUUGUAGUCGUAACAUUAGUCGUAUAAUAGUCGUAUAUUAGUCGUCUAAUUUAGCGACUACACAAUUAGUCGCCGAUCGUAGUCGGUAAUCGCCUGUUUUCUUGUAGUGGAUAAGUCUGAAACCGAAUAAAUCGUGGCAAUGUGGGAGACGAUGGGUCUAGGGUUAAAGGUAAAACGCUUCAGGUAAGGAGAAGAGGAGGUUGAUGAGAUUUUUAUUUUGGACGGCUUCGUUUUAUUGGCUGACGUGGCUUUCUCUAUAAGAAUACAAUUAGAUGAUGUGGCAGCAUGAGAAAGUUUUCUAAGAUGCUGAUGUGGACACAAGGAGAAGCCUCAAUGAAGACCUUUUAUUAGUAAGAGAUCAUCAAUAAAUACUCUAAUUUGAUUUUUUAAAAACAAAUAUUUAUAACAGGCAGUGGGUUAAAUAUAAUAUAUUAUAUUAACAAAUGAGUUAUGAUCCUUAUAACUGUUUGAAUAUUUGUAUUUAAUUUCAUAUAAUUCUUUUUUGAAAUUCAUAAUUUUAUAUACUACAAGAAAUAUUUUUAAAGAUUUUAAUUUGGAACAUUUAAAAAUAGUUUAAUUUAAUAUUUUAAUGAAUAUCAUAAAUAUUUAAUAGAUUAAAAAGAUAAAAAAAUUAUAAAUACUUUAAUUUGAUUUUCUAAAAAGAUAUAUUUAAAAUAGUUAUAGUAGGCGGAGAGUUAAAUGUAAUAUAUUAUAUGAUAUAAAAUUAUGAUCCUUAUAAUAGACGACAUGUUAAGAUUAUAUGAUCAGAUAGAUUAAAUAAUGUUGACACCACAAUAUAUUUGAAAAUUUGAUUGUGCAAACAAUUUUGGAAAUAACGAAUAAUAGAUUGUGCACGCAAUAUUUUCAUUAGGAUUCUAAAAUAAAAAUAUAGACUCCACGCAUGGGUUGAAUUUGGUAUAUUAUAUACUAAAUAUAUGUUCAUAACAUAUUCGAUUACGCGAAUAAUUGGUAAAUUCCGUAGUUACCUCAAACAAAUCUCUAUUUCAACAACCAAAAAAUUAGAAAUUGAAAAGAGAAUUUCUUAAAUUAAUUACAAAUAAUAGCUAACUUCCUUAAUUAAUUAAAAAUAAUCUAUGUUUUAGAAGCGAUUCAUUUAUAAUAUUUUGAUUUUUGAUCUAACUGAAUUAUAUGUAAUCUCAUUUUGUGGUUGUUAUUAUAAAUUAACUCAUUGUUCAGACCAUAUUAAUUUAUUAAAAUAAUUUUAUUUUCCGUUUUCAUAUCUUAAAAAAAUAUAUCCAUAAUUGAGUAUAAUUAAAAAAUAUAUAUAUUCAUUCUAAUAUUAUAUAUAGGGACCGACAAAAAUCUAAUUAUAUUUUUUCAAUUACUAUUAUAAUAUAGGGAAAGUUACUCAGAUGUUAUACAUUUUAGAUGAAAUGACCAGAAACAUACAGAUCUUUUUUUUUUAUUGCCAUCAUAUUUCGGGUAUAUUUUUUAUACCUAGCGUGCCCCUGUUAAACGUUACAGGAAAAAAUGUAAUUACAAAGAAUGCCACUGCCACGUCAGCAAAGCCGCGUCGCCACGUCAGAAAUCGCUGACGUGUAUUAAUGAACUCAGCCGUAAAGCGAUACAGCAGCAGUGACAGCUGAGUUACGGUAUGUUUCGACUGAUUUAAGGAAAAUGGCUGAGUUAUGAGCAAACGGCCGACUUACGAGUAUAACCCAGCCUGAAGUUACGGCUGACUUACUGAAAUCUGUCUGAGUUAUGAGAAAAUGGCUGACUUUCGAGCAUAACCCAGCCUAAGUUACGGCUGAGUUUUCACCCGAUGGUUGAUUUGUCAAAUUUUUGGCUGAGUUAUUGCUUCGACACGACUGACUUAACUUUCUCCGGCUAGCUGAGUUAUCAAAGACGGCUUAGUUAUGGGAUGACGUUACGGCUAAUUUAUGUUCGAGUGUCAUAAAUCAGCCGUAAUGAGCUGAAUUAACGGAAAACUCGGCCUAAUUACGGCUGACUUAGUAGCGAAAGAUUAAUUACUAGAAUAGCAUGCAAUGACGGCCGACUUAUUAAACGACACGGCUGAGUUAAAGAUUUUUGGUUGAGUUACGACAUUAAACGGCUGAAUUUGGCUGCAAUUUUUUUUAUUUUUAAUUACUUUAAUAGUAUUCAUGUUGCGACUGAGUUAAAGUUUUGUUUGAUGGCUGGUUUAAUUAGGCUGAUUUACAUUUUCGUUUGGUGGCUUACUUACCACUUCAUCAAUUAAAAAAUGACGUCGGAUGCAACAUUCCAUGUCAUCAUUCCAUGUCAUCAUCAUCAAAUGACAAAAAAAUAGGGCCAAAUUUUUUCAACUCGUCUUCUUCACCUAAGUUUUUCACAUCACCGGAACUUCCAGUUCCUCAUCGUCUUCCUCAUUCUUCUUCAAUUUCUUUCAUCCUUCUCCCGAUAUGGUUGAUCCGGUUCCGGUAAUUGUUGUUUCUGGUAAUUGGGUAUAGAAACACAAAUACGUAUUUAACACCGAUGAAAGAGGGUGUAGAGUUGUGCAGAUAGAUGCGGAAACAACGCACGAAAAACUUGUGAAGUUGGUGCUCGCUGAUAAAGUUAGACGAAAUGUUGCGUCUCUUAUUGUUUCGCGGAAAAUUUACAUGUCACGGCUGAGUUAUAUGCUUAAGGGAAGACGAAAGGUUCAGUCAAUUUACAUGUCACGGUUGAGUUAUAUGUUCCAGGGAAGACGAAAGGUUCGGUAAAAUUACAUUACGGCUGAGUUAUAUGCUUAAGGAAAGACGAAAGAUUCGGUCAAUUUACAUGUCACGGCUAAGUUAUAUGUUCCAGGGAAGACGAAAGGUUCGGUAAAAUUACAUUACGGCUGAGUUAUAUGUUAAAGGGAAGACGAAAGGUUCGGUAAAUUUACAUGUCACGGCUGAGUUAUAUUCUCCAGGGAAGACGAAAGAUGGGUGUAAAUUAUAUGUUACGGCUGAGUUAUAUGCUUCAGAGAAGACGAAAUGUUCGGUAAAUUACAUAUCACGGCAGAGUUAUCAUUCAGGGAAGACGAAAGGUUGUGUAAAUUAUAUGUUACGGCUGAGUUACAUCACGUUACGGCUGAGUUACAUCACGUUACGGCUGAGUUACAUCACUUUACAGCUGCUUUAUAAUACAGAUCGGAAAGCACCAUUUUUUUGGAGAAGCCAAUAUGACGCUUAUUGGUCAAAUAACAACAAUCAAAUUAAGAAACAUAAAAAUAUGUUUGAGGGAUACAUAGGAGGAACACUAAACCGUAUGAAUCAAAACAUAGAUAGAAGUAGAAAUGUCUCCAAAUAGAUCGAUUGAGAGGAAGAUUAAACGAGAGACAUGUAAAGUAAAAGAGUAGCUAUUCUUGAUUUCAACUCAAACCUGUAACGAAUCAUGUAGAAUUCCAUAGAUCUCUUUGAUUUGGGUUUUGAUUUUUGAUGACUUUUUUCGUGAGCGAGGUUGGGAGUAGAUCUGACAAAGCUUUUGAUUUGGGACCCUAUGGCAAGCGUUGUGGCUGUGAGGUCUAGGAAGAUCCAGCCCAAUCCUGCGAUUUGAAGAUCUUUGUCAAUGUUGUACCCAAGUUAGUUACAGAUUAUUAGAUCUAAAAGCUUUUCUUGGAUUUGGAGACAAAAAAAAUAGAAGAGGGGAAAUAUAGUGAGUUUGAGGAACAUGAGAUUGGUGAUGUGGAUUAAUGAUAUGGAUAAUCAAAUUUUUAUUUACUAUUUUUAAUUAAAAACGAAUUCAAAAUUAUUAAUUAAAAAAAACUAAUGAAGGUUGUUAACUGUAAUUACACAAAUGCUCAAAACAUAUGAGUAAUUUUUAAAAGAUAUAUGAUAUUCUAAUAAUAAACAUACUUUUCUAUAACAUCUGAGUAAAUAUUUCUAUAAUAUAUCACAACUUUAUUCUAAUAUAUAUAAUAUAUAAAUUUUGUAAUAAAUAAAAUUUAAUCUGUACUGUAGUACGGGUGAUGAUCUAGUUUAAUUUUAUAAAUAGAAAAUAAAAAUAAUGAUAUCAUGUUUAACAAAAUAUGAAGUCUUAACAAUAAUAAAAUUUUUAAAAAAGCCAAUUAAAAGUGUAAAAAAUACUAAGAUAGUAGGAUAGUGAAUACAAAAAGUUCUAAAAAUAACUUUAUAGUGAAUAGUGAAUACACUAAAAGUCUAAAUCAUUUUUUUGAACCAAUACACGACUGGUUCAACCGAUUCACCAGAUUGCGGGUUAAUGACGAGCUUUGUGGAUUUUUUCCGGCUUUGAAAUUACCCAAUAUUAGCACUAAACCUAAACCGGAAAAAUGUCGGAUUGCAAAUUAACAAGUCGAACCGUACAGUCAAAGUCGGGUGUAAAAACACUUGUUCCAAGGAAAGGCACAACUUUUAUCCCAAUUGGUCCGUCCUUUUAAGGAUGCUAUGUUCUUCAUCGUACAUGUUAAGCAUCAAAAGCAUUCGAUCCAAGUUACAUUGUACCAGACUACCAGCUGGUGUGAUAAUGUUCAAUCACAUUGAUUUUCCGAUACGAAAAGGCUACAGAAUAUACUUAAAUCUUUUUGUGCAUAUAAAUUAGAAAAAAAGCUGUCUGAUAUUAUGCUCCCAAUUCUGAUUUUAUGGGGUUUGGACUUAUUAGUACCCAUUUUUAGAUAAUUUAUGAGUGCCGAUGAAGUAUACUCUGAUUAGGGACAGUGGAAAAAGAGAAGAACAAGAGUGCAAAAUGCUCGAAUGGUUCACGUUUGGGUGAAGGAGAAACUGGGGCUUGUUCAUCACAUCUGUGGCUCGGAACUUGUCUGGAAAAGAAUUUGAGAGAUAUUAUAAUCAGAACCAUGAACUGAAAAAUUGAGAGAAUUGAGAGUUGUUACACAAUCAUACCUCGAGAUAUCGUUUCAAAAGUGUGGUGGUACUGUAAUUGAAUCCUUCGAGAGCGGUGCCUUGAGUGCGUGAUGAAUGAAGCUGCUUCCUCACCUGAGUAGCAAGAACUUUUCCAAGCUCAACUCCCCACUGGUCAAACGAAUUGAUACCCCACACAAAGCCUUGAACUGCUACUCUGUGUUCAUAGAUUGCCAACAACUGAAAACAAAAUAUAAUACAAAAUGUCAGCUUUUUAAAACAAUGACCCUCUCAUCUCAAAUCUAAAGACCGUACCGAUAAACCUGAGAUAGAGACAGACCUGGCCAACAUUGUAAGCAGUCAAUUCUGGAAGUAGAAGGCUAAGAGAAGGUCGAUUUCCGGAGAAUGUCUGUGGACAGAUACCAACAGUUUACCCAAACACGUUAAUAUACCAAAAACAUAGAAGCUUUUUUUGAACAUAGGUCCAAGUUCAUUUUUCACCUUGUGGGGAAUGAGAAAUUCUGAAACAUUCUCUUUCUGCAGCUGUUCAGGUGUCUACAAAAGGCAAAAACAAAAGAGUUUGUUUUAGAACGGAACCUUAAUAAUGCAUCAGUGUCUUCAUCCCAAAUGACCCAAUGUAAUGUCUUACUUUUCCAUAUGCAAGAGCAUCAGGCUGGGCAAAAAAGUUGGACAUUAGCUCGUCGUGGUUACUGACCACCUCUCCUGUGAAUCCAAUUCAGAACUUAUCUUUAAGUAUCGAAGAGAAUGCAUAAAAGAGCUCACAUCAAAUUUACAGCAACCGAAAUGGAAAUGCCUACCCUUCAGAUACACAGGUUGCUGACUCUUCACAAUGCCGAUGAAAUCACAAGGGAUUACGCGUCCCUAAAACAUCAUUUAGAAAGAUUUAGUGCAUUCCUCAUUAGCUUAUCAUGUGAUCUAGAUCCAAAUUUCCACAAAAUCAAAUUAUAUGUAGCAAGUACCUGGUGAAUUAGUUGGUAAAAGCUGUGUUGACCAUUUGUACCAGGUUCACCAAAAUCAAUCUCACCAGUCUCGAACGGGAGAGGUAGACCAUCAAUUGAAACUCCCUUUCCAUUACUCUCCAUACUAACCUGAAAUCAAAUAAUGUCUACGUUAAUACCCCAGUAAACAAUUUUAAUAUUUUCAGGUCAAAAAGCAAAUAUUAAAGCAGCAAAGAUUAAGGAGACAAAAGGAAAACCCAGUUCACAUACCUGUUGUAUGUGUGGAGCAAAUUUCUCAAGGGCUUGCGAGUAAGGUAAGAUGGCCUGAGAAAACAGAAAGAUGUUGAUGGAGGCUGAACAUCUUAAUCUGAGUAGAAAAUUUCAUCUAGCUGUUGAAGGAGUCAAUUCUUACCCUGGCAGGAUAUCCAAGAAAUGAUACAUUCCAUACACUCAAUAACCCUAAAAGCACCUGAAAUUGUCAAAAGCCACCAAAUCAACCUCUCAUUAUGUCUUAGCUACACUAACUACUACUAAUUUAAGGGAGUCUUUAUUUGGGAGUUAAUGGAAAUGCUUGCUUUCAACUGAGUAUAAGCAACGUCUUCACAGGAGAGUGAUUCUAGAGAAGCUCACACACCCAAUGCACAUUUACAUAUUGUUAUAUGAUGACUUCAAGUCAAACGAUUAUCAGAAUAAAACACUCACGGGUAUAUUCUUCUCAAACGGUGUGGACUGGAAAUGCUGAUCAAUGCUUGAAGCUCCCUUCAAAAACCUACCAUCCAAAAAAAAUGACUGAAUAUUGACUGCUUUAUUAUGUACGUUUUCUCUAGAUUUAGAAACAUAGUACAUUACUUUCAAAAUAAAACGGGAAUACAAGAGAAAAGAAGAAACCAUUCAGAUAAAGAAAAAAAAAAAACAGAAUUUACAUCAAUUUCUUUCCUGACAUUUUAUAGUUAGUACAGGUGUAUGUAUAAACUUAUGCAGAUAAAUUUCUCAAGACAGACAUGCAUUACUUCCUAUGCCUAAGAAAUUUUGUGAGAAGGAUAAAAGAUAGAAGCUACCAUACUUCUCAACCACGGAGAAGCCAUACUGCAGAGACAAAGGUAAGACUCCAACAGCACUGCAAACUGCAACAGAAUUUCAGAUAAAGACUAAGUGGAUAUGGGUGAGAAAUAAAUCCAACCAAAUAGACAAGAACUUACCACUGUACCUUCCACCAACCCAGUCCCAAAAUGCAAAUGCAUUGUUCGGGUCAAUACCGAACUUCUCCACUAACUGUUAAACAAAACAUACAUAGUUUAAACAUUUUUCUGUACUGUCUGAAUAUGAAACAUGUAGAAGGAGGUAGAAAUAAAUCAUAAUUUCAGGAACAUCGAGACUACCAUAGUCCAUUAAACCUGGUAGAUAAUUCAGUUUCUAACAAGACAGAUUAACAUGUCCAUCUGAUUUACAUAAUCAGAAAGACUCGAGUUUAUGUAUUUCUCGGUUUAACUGUCCUAAGAUGGACAAUAAGGAAAUACAUUCCCCAAAAUAAACUAUAGAAAAUGCAUACCGCAAGAUUAGUGCUGACAGCAACCAUGUGUUUUGCAACAGCUGAAGCCCUGUGAAGUUAUCACAUGUUAAAUGAAUGAUGUUAUAUUCACAAUAACCAAAACAUGGUAGAAUAACAGAAUUGCUUGUAAAUGUAUAAGCAUAAAUGCCUUUCUCUGGCGAUAAUGUGUAACAUGUACAAUAGGGUGUCACAGAUACUUUCUCUAGAUAUGCACAAACAGGAAGCCAACAUGCACAUAGUCAAAGUAUGUGUGUAUUCAUGACUACAAGAUUGAGGGCAGCUAAGAGAGAGGAGUGAAAGAGAGAGAUACAACUCUGGUCAUGAUAAUUGUAAUUUUCUAACAAAACAAGAUUAGGAUGCCAGAAAUACCAACCCAAGAGCAGCUGUUAUCCAUUCCCUCAAUGUCCUAGCGUUCAACAUUGUCUCUGCUGUUGUAAAUGUUUUCGAGACCACCACAACUGGAUUACAAGUAUUCUCAGGAUUAGUUAGAGUAAACAUCCGUCAAUGGAAAUUAUAAAGGUGCAAUUGUUAAUAGGUUUGAGCAUGAACCUAGAGUAGUUUCUGGAUUUAGUCCGAUGAUAUUUCUAGCAACAUCAACAGGAUCAAUAUUCGCAAGGCUGCAAAAAAAAGAAACACAAGUUAAUUCCAGGUAAGGCAUACACAUAGAAUGGAAUCAAAUGAAUAACUAGAAGCUAACAAUUUCAAUACAGCCUCCUCUUACAAGUUAACUGAAAUUUAGACAAACAAGGAGUAUGUGCUAUCUACGACAAUACUGGUGGAUAAAACAAUAUAUAUUUAGGAAUUUUCGUGGACCUUCAGGAGAAACUUCAAACUGUGGUGACAAGCAUAUCAAUUAAGAAGCUCAUUCGUUAAACAACCAAAGCAUUGAGAAAAGAAACACAGAAAAAACUAUGUAUGGAACUAUAUAACUACAGGUAUGUAGUGCUUACAAUCGCAGCUGGCGUCCUUUAGCAGACUCUAGAGCUUCAGGGUCUGAGAAUGAACAUGCAUAUAAAAGCAAAAAAUUGAAUUAAAACGAGCUAGAAAGAACACCAGCAAGAGGCAAGGUACCGAGACUAGAUGCAGCCCACCUGUUUGGAGAGCCGUGUGUACAAACAGUGGACCUAAGAAGCUACCACCAAUACCAAUCGCAAUGACAUCUUUCAGUGGUUUGCCAGUGGCUCCUACCUGUCAAUUAGUGCAAAAAAACUCAACAGAAGGAGAUAACAACGCUAAGAGGUAGGUUUUCAAAUGGCAUCUAGAAUUUACCCAUGAACCAGAGCGAAUUUUCUCAGAAAAUUCCUUGAUCUUAUCUAGAACGUUCCACACUUCUGGAACCACAUUCUUUCCAUCAGCCUUGAUAACUGCAUCCUUUGGAGCACGGAGCGCAACAUGAAGAACUGACCUGUUCUCCGUACUGUUAAUCUAAGGAAGUCAUUCAGAAAGUCAUGCAAAAAAAAAACAAUUCAGACACCUAAGAAUGGAGAUGAGAAAAUUGUCUACUGGAGAAAAUAGAAAAUAAAUCUCUAGCAAUUCAUUUAUGUUCUCUAAUAAGUAAUACUACAUAAAGAGUUUCAUAAGAUCAAAUCAAAGUGAGAUUUAACAGCUAUUCCCGUAGCGCGAUAGGAAGUCCAGGAUACUUACAUGCUCCCCGUUGAACAUGCGGCUGAUCUUCUCAGUCAACUGUGCAGCCUGCAUAUGGAAACAACUGAGUGAAUUACAUUACCGUUCUACGAAGUCUGCCAAUAAAACAUUUGCCCUCACCUUUGCCAAGUUCAAAAGCUUAUCCAUUGUCUCUACAGUUGCACGCUGUCGAGAAUAAUCCAACAGCAACCCAUCAAAUUCCCUAAUUAAAAGCAUACAUACCAACAGAGCAAGGACUUAAUAACAGAACUCGUGAAUGCACAAUAACAAGUUUAAUACCAGAGCAACAGAAACUCGUGAAUGCACAAUAACUAUGAAUAAACUUAAAAUCAAACUUUGAUGCUAGGACACAAAACAAAAACAUCCACCUUCUCUAUAUAAGCCAUAAAAAUCAUCUUAAAUCGUUUAAGAAACACGAGAAAACACCAAACAUUUAACAUUGCAUGUCAAUCAACAGAGUUCAACAUCAAACAUAAUAUAGAUAGCACCCAUACAUCAUCAUGGACUGGCAUCUAUUAGCAUCACUCAUCAAAUCACGCAAAUGAGUCUUCUUAAUAUCUUCAACAUGUCCCUGCCAAAAUCCCAAAACAAUCCCAAAUCACUUCUCUACACAAACCACCAUUGACAAACUAAGCACAGAGAAAUCCUUCAAGACUACUUACCUUCAAAUCCUUCCACGCUUCGGUAUCACUAGUCAAAGCGGUUGAUGACGCCAUUACUGGUAAUCAAUCAUCAACAACAACAACAAAAAAAAGUCAAAUCUAAAACCAGUUUCGUUCAUUUUUCAGCUGUGAUAAUAAACAAAAGUUCGGAUUCACAGUGAGUCGUCGUUCAUCGAAACCUUAUCAACGAUUCAACGGAACAAAAAGCUUUGAUUUGGUAUUGGAAUUGCGAUUAAAUCGCGAGAAGGGAAAAAAAAAACCUGAAGAUCUUCGAAGAUGAGGUGAAGAAGAAGAUUCUGGAAUUGUGAGAAGAAGAAAGCUAUUGAGAGAGAGGAAAAGAAAAAAAGCGAUAGGGAAGUGUGAGAGCUGAGGGUAUGACACGUGUUGACGGAAGGUUCCAAAUACUGCACAGAAGGAGGAUUAUUUCAGGUCUAUGAGCAUCGAGACAUCAAUCUCAAUCAAUUUCCGGAAACUUAACACUAAACUGGGUAAAAGAGAAGAAAAAAUGUAUUGAUCAUAAAUUUGAAAUCAAACUUGGUAAACAUGCUAAUCACUCAGAAAGCUCGAGAUUGAAUCUGGCAUCUAAUCAAAAAUGCAUUAAAACAGGUCCACACAAACUAAGAGGGUCUAGAUUAGUAAGUUCAGAAUCGAUUCAACUUUUUCUCUUUUUGAUGGAAAGUAAGUUUCUAUUGAAUGUGAAGAGAUCGGCAGCACCUCAAUCAUGAAUUCGUAAAACCCUAAGCCAGAAAUGAAGAGAGAGGUGCUAAUUACCAAAUAUGAAACAAAAGACAGAGGUGCCGAAACUUAAAUUGAUACAAUGGAGACUGAAAUUAAAAGAGGAAUAGAGUGAAUAACAACAGAGAGAGAGAGAGAGAGAGAGAGAGAGAUAACAUUCGAAUGAUCAAACGAUACAAUCGAACAAGCAGCAGACGCAUAGAGAGAUACAUAUAAUGGAGAAACACGACGGUGAGAAAAUAAUAGAUAAGAAGAAUACAAGCGUGUCUUACCUUACGACCGGAGGAGAAGCAAUGAGUGAUGACGGCGGAGGGAAGAUUUGAAUCUGGCGGGGGAUAACGGCGACGGCGGCGGCAGAAACAGACCAAGAGAGAGAGAGAGGAGCGGAUAAGAGAGAGAGAAAGAAGGGCUUAUUUUUGGGAUUUCUUUUUAAUAAUACUAGGAAAUGGACAAGUGGUAUUUUAAAAUAAUGAACAUUAAAAUAAUGAACAUUAGUAAUUCCUUUUUUUUUUUUUAUCACUGAAAAGGGAUAUAUAUUGAUAUGUCAAAAGAGGAGGGACCUUUACAAAAACCUCAUCACGGUUUUAUGAGAGGUACCAUUAAGUACCAACCACCAAAAAUUUACGACAAAGAUUGGAAAAGGAAAAAGACUGCAGUUAGAGAAAGGUUCUCUCAACCUCAAAGAACCGAGAAAGCCAAGAAGGAGGACCUACAGCAACAUACGACUGAAAUCGAUCUUCUUUGACAACACUUUGAGCAAUUAGAGAAGCUCUCCUGUUCGCAACUAUCUUUUCCACCAUAACAUUCCAUUCUCCAAUCUUUUCCAAAAAAUGAGUUAACUCAGAAACUUGAUAAGCAAAAGAAGGCCAAGCAGAUGGCCUGGCAAAAGCAGACAUUAAGUCCCUAGUCUCAAAAACAAACAGAACCUUGGAUUUCCUGUGACUGAACAUGCUUUCAAUAGCCCACUUGACACAAUGCAACAUGACAUCUUUUUUUUCGCACAAGUUAUUGAAAGCCUUUCUGCUAUGCAACAAAACCUCUCCACGAUCAUUGCAUAAAACCCAAGCACCUCCACAUAACCUUUUUUCCCAGACCAGGCAGCCCCGAUGUUGCAUUUUACCCAACCAGAAGUAGGCGGAUCCCAUCGAUGCAUUCCUGGAUCAUUAAAUCUGUUCAAAACAGGAUCAACAUUCUGAAUAUGAGAUUGAGCCAAAAACCAUUCUUGAGUGUCUUAUUUAAUCUUCUCAAUGGAUUUUAGAGGGCAGAAAGAGAGGCCAUCAAAAAACAACUUGUUUCUGUUUUUCCAUAGUCUCCAGAGAACCCAAGGCCAUGAUCUUUUUACCUGCUCAGGGACUUGUGAGUUCAGCUUAAGCUCAAAGAGAAAUUGGAUAUUGGCAAAGAUUGAGCCAUUUUGAAAUCCAUUCUACGGAGUAGGGACACCAGACAAAGCCCAAACUUGACGAGCUAGGGAACAAGUAAAAAGGACAUGGUUUAUAGACUCACCUUCAGCACCACAAACCUGACAGCGAGGGUCAAUAUCAAUACCUCUCCUAAUAAUCUGAUCAGCAACAGGAAGAGCUGAACAAAAAAUUCUCUAGAUGAAGAGUUUUAUUUUUGGAGCAGUUUUAGAAGACCACACCUUUUCUUUAAGACCAUUGGUUGAGGGCAGUUGACUGACAUCUCUAAUUAGAUCAGGCUUAUUAGAUUGAAAGGCUAACCAAUAACCCGAUUUAACAGAGUACUCCCUAGAUUUUGAGUGGAACCAGACCCAGAAAUCAUUUGAACUCACCACUGGUUUCCUUAUAGUAAUUAUCUCCACGUCAACAGGGUAAAACAGAUCCUCCAGCAUAUCUCUCUUCCAAUCUCUUCUUUCCAAAUCAAUGAGAUGCUUUACCAUGAGAUUCAGAUUGACAGUGAAGUGCUUUUGAAGAGGUAGCCGUGGAGCAUUGUCAUGAAGCCAAGGAUCCAUCCAAACAUUAAGGGAUCUGUCGUUACCAACUUCUUUCCUUAGGCCUUUCAUUACCAACUCUCUACCAUGCAAAAUACUCCUCCAAGCGUAUGAAGGUCUGACUCCUAUCUCAGCCUCAAGGAAAUCCUCAUCCUCAAAAUAUCUACUCUUGAAGAAUCUUGUAGCCAAACAAGAAGGAUUUUGAAGGAGUCUCCAGGCUUGCUUAGCCAACAAUGCCUGGUUAAAACUUUGAAUGUCUCUAAAGCCCAGCCUACCUUGCUCUUUAGAGAGACAUAUUUUCUCCCAACUGACCCAAUGUGUCUUCCUCUUAUGUUCCAACGCGUUCCACCAAAAAUCUGCCAUCGCACUUGUCAAGUUUUCACAAGUCGUCUUUGUCAAUUUGAAACAGGACAUAACAUACACGAGCAUGGCCAUCGCCACAGCUUUGAGUAAGAUCUCCUUUCCACCCAUGGAUAAGGUUCUAGCAAACUAGCUAGACAACCUAGCUUUAAGUUUAUCCUUGAUAUAGUCUAAAAGCUGAAUUUUAGAUCCACUAAAACACUCAGGGAGACCUAAAUAGGUUCCAGCUCCACCUUCAUUUAGAUCCAAAUAGGUUUUUGAUCCAAUCUUUGUUAUCCUCCUCAACCAAAGCUCCAAAAGUAAUGGAUGACUUAUCAUAGUUUAUACGCUGCCCUGUAGCAUCACCAUACUCCUUGAAGAUAUUCUUGAUCACUGAGACUUCAUUUCUGUCAGCUUUGCACAUGAAUAAAGAGUCAUCAGCAAAUAAAAGAUGAUGAAUAGUAGGCCCUUCAGGAGAGAAACUGAUUCCAUUGAUAAGACUAUUUCUCUCAGCUCUCUUCAUGAGAUGAGUGAGACCCUCAGAGCACAAGACAAACAAGAAAGGAGACAGAGGAUCACCUUGCCUCAAUCCUCUUGAAGGAAUGAUGUUACCAUAUGCCUUAUCAUUGACCAAAACAGAGAAAGAUACAGAAGUAAUCGUGAACAUUAUCCACUGUAUCCAUUUCAGAUGAAAUCCCAAUGCUUCCAUCAAGGCUCUAACGUAGUUCCAUUCCACUUGGUCAAAACCUUUUGACAUGUCAGAUUUUUUGGCAAUGAAGUCCUUAGACACUUGUCUAUGAGUACGCAGGCCGUGUACCACCUCAUGAGCAAUAAGUAUGUUAUCAGAUAUCAACCUAUCGGCCACAAAUGCAGAUUGGUUAGGGGAUACAAGGUCAGACAGAAAUGGUUGUAGUCUCCUUACCAGAAUCUUUGAGAUAAUCUUGUAAAGCACUGUACAAAGGCUGAUUGGUCUUAAAUCUGACAUGUUUACAGGUUUCUUCUUUUUUGGCAGCAAACACAACUGUUUAAAGUUCCAUUCUUUUGGGAAGGAUCCAGUGAGGAAGAAUUGCUGGAUCUCAAAAGUGACUUGCCUUUCCAAUAUACACCAAUAUUUCUGAAAGAAAAAACCUGUGAAUCCGUCAGCACCAGGAGCACUAGAACUCUUGAUUGCAAAAACAGCUUCUCUUAUUUCUCUCUUUGAGACAGCGGCAGUGAGCACAACAUUCAUACCCUCCGUGACUCUAGGCUGAAAAUCCUCAAAAAGAUCAUGGAAGUUACUCUGAUUAGUGGAAGUGAAAAGGUUCUUGAAAUAAGCCUCUAUAAUAGCUCCCUUAGUCACUUCAUCUUUGUGGAGAUUGCCAUUGACAUCACAAAGUUGUUCUAUAUGCUGCUUUCCUCUGUUGUCUUUGACAAAAGCAUGGAAAAAUUCUGAAUUUUUGUCCCCACUUAAUAUCCAUUUAGCUCUGCUCUUUUGACUCCAGUAGAUUUCUUCAUCCUGAUUGGCCUUGCACAGAUCAUUUUUCAACGAGUUCAUCAAAACAAAAUUAGGGAAAGCAGAAGAAUGUUCAGCUUCCAGAGCUACCCUAGCUUGAGUGAUCCGAGAUAAAGAGUUGAAAUUGUUUUCUUACUUCCAUCUACUAAGAGCAGUUCUGCAUUUCUUCAGUUUAUCCAAAACCAGCAGAUUUCCAAUCCUUUGAUUACCAUUCCAGGCUUGACAAAUGGUUUCUUUAACAUUAGGCUGAUUGAAGAGCCUUUUAUCAAACCUGAAAUUACCUCUGUAGUCCUCCUUUGAAGUUGCAAGUCUGACCAAAACCGGUCUAUGAUCUGAUCCUCUUUUAUCCAGGAAGUCUUGGUUAGACACAGGCAAUUGUCUAUACCAAUUCUUGUUGCCAAAACAUCUGUCAAGCUUGCUUUGAAUCCAUAGAGUACCUCUCUUUCCACCCCAAGUGAAUGAGUUGCCUUUGCUUGGAAGUUCUUGCAUAUCACAGUUUUCUAGCAUGUCCUUGAAUGGUAAAAAGGAGGAGUCACCUCUCCUUGGACCUCCCAGUUUUUCCCCAUUAUGAAGAAUGGCAUUAAAAUCACCUAACAUACACUAGGGCUCCUUCCUAUUCAAACCAAUCCUUGAGAGUCUUUCCCAAACCAGUGGUCUAGAACUAUAAGCCGGAUCUCCAUAAACACAGGAGACAAAGAAGUCAACUGAACCAAAUUGAAUGUGGAAAUCAAUUAGGUUCUUAUCCGCAUAAUUGAUAUCUAUAUUUACACCUUUCUUCCACAAAAGAGCCAACCCUCCACUGAGACCAAUCGGAUUGACUGUAAAAACUCUUUCAUACCCUAACCAUUCUUGCAGGUCUACUACUACAUUACUGCAGUUCUUGGUUUCCAUCAAAAAUAUAACCUCAGGGAAAUGAGCACGUCUCAUCUCCAUGAGUCUAGGAAUCGUCAAUUCAUGAGACCGUCCUAAUCCUUGAUAAUUCUAGCUAAUUAGACUCAUUAAACAGUGGACGGUCCCUCAUUUGGGACCACCACUUUAGGGUUAAGCUUGAUUAUUUUUGUAGUGCUUUGACCCUUGUCAACUGCCUUUCUCUUCUCCUUUGUACCAGUUUCGGAUCCUGCCACAAGUCUUUGAUCCAAGGAGCUGUUGAGCAAAUCUCUUGGCUUAGACUUUCUUACAUACUUGGAUGGCCUAUUUCUUUGCUUCACUUUUUUCUGAGUAGUCCCGGAAGAGCCAGCCUCAAAGAGACCAGGUCUAUAAACCGUUGAACUAUUAGUAAAAAGUUGAGAAAGAGCAAGAAAAUUGCCAUCUCCACUGAUAGAUGAAGGGUUCACCGGUUCCAUAAGCCAAUCUCUGACUUCUCUCUGUUUCCUUAUUGUCCCCAGAUCUGAAGAAGCAUUUGGGGUACUCCUGGCACUUCUAGAUGAAGAUUCUUCUUGAUCAUAUCCAAAGACUACUCAUUUUUCUCUGGAUAAAUCAUGAUGAACAAUUGGUAAAGACUCUAGCCUGAGAACAGACUUCUGUGUGAAGGGAUUUUUUUCAGCCUCACUCACAGAUUGAAUCACUCUGUCAACCCUAAUGGAUCUUUCUUCAUCAUUUGCCACUCUGAGAUAUUAGCGCAUACCUUCCAAAACCACCUGAGCAAUUCUUGGUCUGCCUGUAUUUGGAUCCAAUCCAACCUGACUCUCUUUAAGCACUCCAAAAAGAGGAUCUGUUUCUUUUAAGACCGGAGGGGGAGAAGGUUUGUUGAUUGGAGUACCUUUUCUUCUAGCAGCAGCUUGAUCUUGUCGGGCUUUAACCAAAAUGGGACACACAUCCUUCUCAUGUGUGAGCCUUUGACAUUCAUAACAUCUCUUUUGUAUCCUUUCAUAAUGAAACUUCACUGUGGCAGUCUCACCAUUUUUCAGAUUAACAAUCUUGGAUCUCCUAAGAGGCCGCGAUACGUCAAAGAGGACUUUCACCCUGACAAAUUCCUGAACCUGUGGAAGAUCCGGGUCGAAAACAACUUCUUUAACCUCACCGAUGAGGUCACUCAAAGCAGUUAUCGCUUUGACAGUGUAAUAGUUAACCGGAAUAUUCCAAAUCUGGACCUAAAGAAACAUGUACCGUAGGUAAUCUUCCGGAGGAUUCUCGUACCAUAUGUCUACUACGAUAGUCUAUUCGUUGAAAGUGUGGACUCCUUUAGCCAGAACAUCUUCAAGAUCGUGCUUGGAAUCGAAGAUAAACUGGAACUUUUCAUUAGUUAGAGCUACUCCUUUCACUCUUCCUUCUUUCUGCCAUUUCCUUGGCAAGUUUCUUAUCAAGUGUUUCAUCUGUUGACAGUCAGGGUUUAAAACCCUCCCAAUAAGGCUGAGCUUAUUCCUUUCACAGGACAAGAAAUCCAGAAAAUCAGGCAUAUCGAAAGGCUCAUCCUUUUCCUCUAGGGACAUCUCCAUCAAGGCUCUAUCCAUGGCAGACGACAUAUCUGAGUAAACUUGUAAGCUUCUACAAACACCAAUUUCUACAAACACCAACUUCUUCUGCAGACUCAGAAGCUCCGAAACCAAAUUCUGAUUACUGCUAACCCGAACCCAGAAACUCUGAAAACCAACUCUUCCACAAACCUAGAAGCUCUGAAACCAAACUCUGAUGACUUCUAUCCCGAGCCCAGAACCCCUGAAACCAAACUCUUCACAAACCCAGAAGCUUACGAACAAUCACGGACGCUAACCUCUGAAACCAAACUUCUUUCACAAUCCCAGAACCUCUGAAAUCACUACUACGCAAACCCAGAAAAUCAGAAACCACACUUCUUCGAAAACUAACUUUUGCAAACGCUUGUUACACGAACUUCUCUGGAGACAAGACUCUCUGAAACACAGAAAUUUCUCAGAACCAAGACCCAGAUUUCGCAAACCCAGAACACGGAGCACCAACUUCUUCGGUCACGAACCUUUCUGAACCCAAACUUCUUCGAAAACUAACCUUUCAGAACACUACUUUCACCGACCAAGAGGAAGCUCAGAUCGAACCGUCUCCAACUAGAGAAAAUCAAAAUCGGAGAAAAGAGUUAACCGUCGGAAUCGAUGAAACGAGGCUGAGAAGGAGCAAAAACCUUGAUUGAAACAGUAAAUAACGGCUGAGGGAAAAUGAAUUUCCAGUCUAAAGCUCUAUUCAACCCUAAUGAAAGACACUUGGAGAGAAAGAGGGUUCUGAGCCUAAAAGAGGGAAACUUUUUGAUGGCACCAAAACAGAUGAUACUUCUUUUUUUUGAAAGAUUAGUAUUAGUAGUAGUAAUUCCUUCUACAAAAUAUUUUUUUUACUAAUGUCAUAUUUUUCACUAACUUGCUAUGCUGUAUAUAAUAUAUAAUAAUUUAUAAACAAAAAAUUUCAUUUCAGUUAAUUAAAAAAAUAAAAUAUUUUCAGUUUUGUUUCAUAUAAAACACUUAAGUUUUUAGUAUUUUUGUUUUAAUAUUAUGUUGUACCACAAAAAAGUAUUAUUGUUUUUUGAGUUUUAACAUGACUUGAUAUGCUAAAGAACAUUUCUCGUCACAUAUGGAAUUUUAUUUAGGUUUGAUUAUAGAUAUUUAAUCCAACUGAAUUUUAUUUUCUCUCACAUAAAUCCAAAUUUAAAAAACGUUGGCAUUUUUGUUUCUCUAUCGUAACUACAAGACAUUUAAUCGAUUGAUAGCAAGAGAAAUAAGCUUCAACGGACUUAACAAAUUGUUGUCUUUAGGAAUGCAAUAUAUAUAUAUAUAUAUUCCAUUAUGGAUAGAGAAGGAUUUGCAAUACAAAAGAUGCAUACAUGUAAAGAAAACUAUAAAGUUAUACAAUUAGAGGCACAAAUAGUUAUAUUUGGUGAUAAAGAAAAAGAACCCAUCUACUAACAGAAAACAGUAAUACAAGCAGCUGUGGUAAAAUUUGUUUGUAAGCUUAGGGAAUGAAGUUAGAAAAUAGAGUAAAAGAUAUAUAUAUAUAUAUAUAUAUAUAUACAGCCAAAAAAUUCAAAAUCAAAGAUAUUACAAAAUAGAGAGAUGUUGAAGACAACGUAAAAAUUCAAAAUCAAAGAUAUUACAAAAUAGAGAGAUGUUGAAGACAACGUAAUUCAGUAGCAAAUUUUUAUGUACAUCAGCGUUUUUAGCACACAAUUUUCGCAACCCAAUUUUGCGUGGUUAAACAUAAGCAAAAUCGGAUAUCCUUAUCAUCUCUCUCGCUAAGAAAAGAAGUAAGAACUAUAGAAGAUGGGAUUGUUCUCCCACAAGAUUUCCAGAGAUGAUCUGAAACCAGGCGAUCAUUUCUCCUAAUGUCACGAACUCACGUUGUUUGUUCUCUAUACUUAACCAUCGCAACAUCAUUACUUUGAUCAUCGACAAACCAACUUUUUAAAAAAAUCUGAUAAAGUUCAACCUUUUCAGUUUACAACUAUAACUAAAAGAGAAAUUGGAAAUAUCACUAAGAGAUAUGACUUAUAGCAUCUCAUAUUCUACUAAAAUUUAAAUCUCUAUAUAAAAGUGAAGAAUACCUUAAAUACAAGACCAAAGAGUGUGCACGAUAGCAAUGUCAAAGAUGUGGCUUCUCAAAUCAGGGAAAAUCACUAAACAACGACCAGCGACUAGAUUAGAGGAGCCCAAAAAUGGAGAACUUAAUUAAAGUAUAAUAAUUUGUUUUGUGGAGAACUUGAUAAAACAAAGAGAGAUAAGAGAUAGAGAUAGAACAGAGUUAUGAAACUUAUAUAGUAAUUUACUCGACAGCUUUACAUUUACACAAGACUAACACUUGUAUAGUAAUUUACAUGAACAAACGUGACUGUUGGUAAUGUUCGUAUGACUGUUCGUAAUGUACGUAACUGGUCAUAACUACCCAUUUGGUAAGUUGCGACUAACACACAAAAAUCUUCAUUUUACAUACACAUAAGAGAUACUCUGAAUUUGUGAAUCAGCAUUCAGCAAUGAUUAUGUAAAAAAAAAAAGUUAUUAGAGAAAAAGGAAAAUUUCAAUAAGAAAUUGAAGGGUUAAGUGAGAACCAUCGUGGUUGUCGUAUAAUUGUCAACAACAUUGAAAUUUUAUCAUAACUAACAAUCAAUCAAUCCAAGUUUUUUUGGAACACUGGUAAGAUAUAUCUCCGGAGAUACUCAAUGAUUUAGACAACGAUGGUUAGAAAAAUCAGAAAAGUAUCAAUAACACCUCACAAAUAAAUCGAACCAAAAACAGAUCCGUUAAUAAUAAGAUUCUUGAUAACAAAUGACAGUAUGUUUAAGACUCUUCUCAAUUCAAGGUCAGUGCUCAUCUUCUUAAUUAAAAUCCGCUAAAGGUAUAGGCGUAUAGCAUGUAACAGACAAGAAUCCUACAGGUACACCAUCAGCUUCAAGUGUACAACAAGCUACUUCAUUUUUUGCAUAAAGGCCAAAGAAGAUUUAAGAAUCUGUCUAUUUGUAUAAUGCUUUGAUGUCAAAGAGAGAAGUAUUGAUGUUAAUAUGGGCUAAUCCAGCCCAUUUAGACCCACCCCAUUUAAAACAUAUCCCAUUUAAGUUUACACUCCAUUUAUCCUCCCUAUUUAAACCAAUUUAAAUUUUCUUUACCCAUUUAAACCCAUUUAGACCCAUAUAACAUUGUUUUGUUCUAAACAAUAUAAUAUAAUCAAUAAUUAUUUUAAUUGAUUAUUUAAAAUUUACAUAUUAUUUCAUUAAAUAUAAUUGAUAAAUAAUGAUAUAACUUUUUUUAUUAUUUUGUUGAAGAAUAAUAUAGUUUAAAAAAAACGAAAUUUUGCGGUUUUGGCUGAAAAACCACGGAUUUACGAUUUUGGCGGGAAAACGUCAUUUUAUAGUAUGAUAUUUUUGGUGAUAAAACGCAAUUUUACGAUUUUGGCGGGAAAAUGCGGGUUUACGGUUUUGGCGGGAAAAUGCCAUUUUCCGCAAAAAUUGCAAAUCCGCGUUUUUCCGCCAAAACCGUAAACCUGCGUUUUCCCGCCAAAACCGUAAACUCACGUUUUUCCGCCAAAACCAUAAAUUCACAUUUUCCCGCAAAAAUCACAAAAUUGCGUUUUAUCACCAAAAAUUAUUUUCCCAUAAAAUAGCAUUUUCCACCAAAACCUUAAAUCCAUUUUUUUCCGCCAAAACCGUAAACCCGCGUUUUUCCGCCAACACCGUAAACCCGCGUUUUCCCGCCAAAACCGUAAACCCGCGUUUUCCGCCAAAACCGUAAACUCGCAAUUUCCCGCCAAAAUCGCAAAUCCGCGUUUUUCCGCCAAAACCGUAAACCCGAGUUUUCCCGCCAAAACCGUAAACUCGCGUUUUUCCGCCUAAACCAUAAAUUCACAUUUUCCCGCCAAAAUCGCAAAUCCGCGUUUUCCCGCCAAAACCGUAAAUCUGCGUUUUCUCGCGAAAACGGCAAACCCGUGUUUUUCCCGCCAAAACCGUAAACCCGCGUUUUCCGCCAAAACCGUAAACUUACGUUUUUCCGCCAAAAUCGCAAAUCCGUGUUUUUCCGCCAAAACCAUAAACCUGCGUUUUCCCGCCAAAACCAUAAACUCGCAUUUUUCCGCCAAAACCAUAAAUUCACAUUUUUCCUCCAAAAUCGCAAAUCCGCGUUUUACCGCCAAAACCGUAAAUCUGCAUUUUCCCGCCAAAACCGCAAACCCGUGUUUUUUCCCGCCAAAACCGUAAACCCACGUUUUUCCGCCAAAACUGUAAACUUGCGUUUUUCUGGCAAAACCGUAAACCCGUGUUUUCCCGCCAUAAUCGCAUAACCAUGUUAUAGGAAACGUGGUUUUACGUUUUCUUUUAAAUAUUUAAAUUAAUAAUUAAAUUUAAGUAGAAUAUUAGUUUUAAAUAUAUUUAAUAUUUUGCUCUUUUAUAUUAGUUAUUGAAAUAUUAACAUUUUUAAUAAAAAUAACUAAUAUAAAAUAAAACAUAAAUGGGCUUAAAUGAGUACCCAUUUAUUUUUGGGAAACCUCAUUUAAUAAAUGAGUUUAAUUGGGAUAACCCAUUUAACACAUUUAACAUUUUUCUCUAAAUAGGUUUAAAUGGGCUAAUUUUUUUUGUACAUACCCAUUUAUUAAAUUAUUAAAUGGGAGUUUCAUGCCCAAUUAACAUCACUAGAGAGAAGACACUAAUCAAAAUCAUUCACUAACAAUAACAUAAAACGCUGAGAAUACGUAAAUCUGAUCAACGAAUUUACUAAGCUUAAAUAUACGUAAAUCUGAUAAAGAGUUGCGGGAUGAGUGAACGGAUGUUUAUAAAUGGGGGAUUCUCUGUUAUAAUGUGAAAACAAAUGUGAUUCAAUAAAUUGGAAAAAAACCAAAUAGGAAAUUAAACUGUUGAGAGGUGUGACGAUGAUAACGUUUCUUCUUCCUAUCAGUUUCAGCGCCGUCGUGAUGCUGGCUACCACCACCGUCACCGCCGCUUCCAUUACCACUUCCGCCGACGACUGCAACUUAUGUUUUACCGUCAAACAGUAAAACAGUCUUUAAUCGCUAUGUGGCUAACAACUACUUCUCUUUACUUUCACCCAACCACAAACUACUAAUGGACCAUUACACGGUUACACCACUGCACCAAUUUAUUUUACCCAAAUUUCAUGUUUGUGUAAAUGCAUUCAUAUGAAGAUAUAAUGAACUACUUUUCUAACGCAUUACUCUGAGAAAAAGAUUUGAAGAAGAAUUUCAUAGCUUACAUCGAGUAGUGAAUAAGUAUUGGACAUUGCAUCCUUCAGUUUACCAACCUGCAUGAUAAAAAGUGACAUCCUAUUAUAAGAAGUUGCUCUCGGACACGGUGUAAAUAAAUUUCAAUGGUUCCUGAAGAAUCUAUGUAUAUAGCAAACUCUAGGAUUGGAAAAAUGUGUAGUGGCAACAACAUUACCUUGGUACUAAGAUAUGUCGUUGUUAUUGGGUAAGAUGACCAAAAAUGUCUCAGUAAUUCUUGUAUUGAUGUCCAGUGCUGCAUAAGAAAGAAAAAGCAAAAGGUAUUGAUGCAUUUGAGGGGACAACAGAAUCCAUCGGCAUUAUUAACCAAAUCACAGUAAUCAGUAUAUAUUGAGCUGCUUGUUACUUAGGACACUGGAGGAUGUCUGUAUAACUUCAUCCUUAGUGGACUUUGGUAAUCUGUCCAGAAAGCUCUCUCGCGGGUUCUUCCCAACAAUAUUUUUGGCAGUUGAGAUAGUUCGGGUCAACGAACUGAAAACCUGGAUAGGGUUUAGCAAUAUUAAGCUCAGGGAACAAAGCAAUAAGCCAUGGUUUCUUUAGGCAGCAUGCAUUUUAUAUUGAGAUAGAAUAGCACCUCAAAGGAAACUUCAGGUUUAAUCAAAGGAUCACUUAAUCCCGUCAUUCUAUUCUCCAAAAUGGAUUCUUUUAGUAAUCCAUAAGCUUCAUGGACAUUUCUCUUUGACGCCUUUGCUCCUCUGGGUUCACUGAGGAUGUUUCCUUGUUGAGAUUCAAAGUAAUCACGAGGGUCUUGAUUCCAAACAAGAGAAGGUAAGAGGAUUUACGCACCAUCUAUCAUCAUCGACAGUGUAAGCCUUUUAAUCACAGAAAGCCAAACCUUGAUAGAGAGUGGUGCUAAUGGGAAGUUUUGUGGUGCUUGAAGAUCCUCCAUUUCUGUUGCAAGGGACAUUCUCUCCAACCUCUCCUGAUUAGCGUCCUUGGUGAUUUCACCAUCAGCUUUGCUUACUACCAGGGGUAAUAGACAUGUGGAUACCUAGGUUAGAUGAAUAUGAAUUGCAGAAUUGGCCAUUGAUCAGCAUAGAAAAAGAAAAAGAAAAGUAGAGCAUAUCAGAAUGAAACAGCAAACCUUGUUUCGCCCGUGUGAGAGCCUCUGCAACAAUUCUCGUACCUUCAGACUCAACAUCUACUUUCCAGUAUAAAAGAAUAAGUGAGUAUCAUUGUAUACUAACUUUACCACCAAGAACUAAAAGCAGAGGGCCAAAAUACAUGGUUAUCCCUCAUGAACUAUCUGUUGGGAAGUCAUUUGAUGGCUAUUUCUUAGACUGCUAUACAAAACACUAGAUGAAACAAUCAGAGUUAUAAGUGUUUACCGAUGCAUCUUCCUUCCAAUACAACAGCAGCAUGACGAUUAAGAUCUUGUAAAAGUGACCUCCUAAGCUGGUCGUUCAGUGGUUCAACAACGUCAUUGGUGCCAUAGCGCUGGAUCCCAUGGUCCUGUGUGACAGGAAAUUUAACUAAGCACAAUAUAUGAAGAUAUGAUCCAGCAGAAUGUAAAUAAGCUUUCAACCAUGUAGAAAGAGCACAAUGUAUUAAGAUCACCAUUUUCUAGAUAUAUUUUUGGCUUUAGAAAUUGAAUUCCAGGUGGUGCUUUAUCUCCCACGAGGACCAUUUUCUAGAUAUUAGUGUAAGCUAAUGGAGCUUACUGAUGAAAUCACGGCAAGCAUGCAUGUUGGGAUCAUUUUCAAACUCAAAGAUAUGACGCCUUCCUGUAAUCAAAGUCGAGGAAACUUCAAUGAUACACGGAUUAUAGCUUCAAAAUUCACAUAACAAGACUUUUGUAAGAAAAAAACCUUCUUUGGUAUAUUUCUGACCUGAUAAAUUUAACAUGGCACAAUGGAAAUUACAGGCAACACAUCGUCUACUAUCCAAUAAUCAUUCUGAGAAAAUUAGUCGUGAUGAAACUGAUUAACAAAUAUGACCAAUUUGGGAAAUCAAACCCUUUUACUUUUGAUGUUGUGAGUCUGAACCAUAAGCUUCAAAUCUGAUACCAAAGAGUUCAAAGUAUUCUUACUAUUUUGAGGGAUCUAAGAGUUGUUGGAUCAUUCACAGACCUCUUAUAUUUGACUUGCUUCUCCAUUGAUAUAUGCCCAAGGUUCCAAAAGCGCGUUAAAAUUGGUCGAUCAAUUAAGCUCGUGAGUCACUUUGACUGUGUCAGCAAGAAGACAGAACCAGAACCAUGUAUCCCUGUUUCUUUCGUAAAGAAGCUUCCUUGUAAUUCAAUGAAACGCAUCGUUCAGGAUCAUAAUUAACUCCAAAGAAGAAUACACUGUUUGUUCUUCCCCAAAUCAGUUACAAAAAUUGUAACCUAAAAUUCGAUCUUAACCCAUAGUAAAGGAAAGAGUCAAAAGUUCUAUUCAAAGAAAGAACAAAAGGAAAGAGUUUAAAGAAAGAGUAAUUCAAAGUAGGGUUGUUAGAGGGGUUAGAGGUGUGGUUGAUGUCAGAUCAAUCAUGUAAGAACAUCGACAUUGCAACUUCUCAGGUUUCUUGGGCAAUGGGAGAAGAUGAUAGCAUAGUUCACAUCUGAUGGAGGGAGCUUCGGCUAUCUGACUUUUGGGUCUGUUUCCUAGAUAUUUGCGCAAGUACUUCUCUCGUAUGUGCAAAUUCCCUUCUUCCCUAAGUGGACCCCUUCCCGACGCUAGAUCUCCCCACUCCCAAAUAAUUUUUGACGUAAUCUUUAACAUUAGAUUAGAGCUUCGUAUAAUCUGGGCAAGCAUAACGUUGUGGCCGCGUGUUCUUAAAUGGUCAACUAUGUCUUGAUAGUCACCGUCUCCUGCCACUAGUAAAAUGUUGGCUGGAUCUGGAGUAUCCAAAGCCCAUAUAGCCAUCCUUAAGACAAGUUUGGUGUCUGUAGCAUUCAAUUUAUCAGAAACACAAAAACAUAUUGAUUAAUUUUCUUUCAAGAUAAAUAUUUUUUCAAAACUUAAUAAAUUUACCUGAGAAAACCUGAGUUACUCUAAUGCCAGAGGAUCGCAGUUGUUGUGUAACAAAGUCUAGUAGGGGCUUGCCGACGGCUUCGAUUGUUACUGGGCCCAAAAACUUUGCCGAGGCCAGGCCCUUGGAAAUAUUACGAGCAAUAUGUGUCGGUUUGACAAGUUUGGGGAUUUGCCAAUUAUCAGUACCCAAAAUCACAAGAGUUUUGGCGAGGACAUAGCGAUUUUCAACUUCCACCUUUAAAAUUAAAAAAUGCAAGUUUAUAAAUUUAAAAACUAAUUCUCUUUUAUUUUCUCAAUGUUUUAUUAGAAAUCCUUAUAUAUAUAUUAAAAGUUUAUAUAUAUAUAUAUAUAUUUAUUAUAAGCUUAUAAAUAUUAAUAUCAAUAUUAAUAUUAGGUAUAUAAAAUAUUAAUAUUCCUGGAUUGAAACCAAAUAUAUACCUAAUUAAAAUAUAAAUACUUCUGUGAAGAAGUUGUAAGAAAUUUUCUACGUCUUUAUUAGGGGAUUAAAGGCCUAUCUGGACAUUUUCUGGUGUUGGACCGCCAAUUAUACCAUCAAAUAAUUGCCGUGUUUGAUAAGCCAGAUACGGAAAGGUGGCUGAAAAGUAAACAACCAAAAUACUUAGCUUGAUAAAAGUUAACAGAAAUUUACUUUUUCAAUACCACUCUUUUAUAAAUGGCGAGUAUUACUAAUAAAGCAUUGAGAAGAUAAAAGAUAAUUAGUUUUCAGAUUUACAAAUUUCUGUAUUGUUUUUUUGUCAACCACACAUUCAUUAAAAUUUCUGUAUUUUUUAAAUUUCUGUUUUUAAUUUUAAAGGCGGAAGAGGAAGAUCUCUAUGUGUGUACCAAAAAAAUGUUGUGUUUUUGGAUACCAACAAUUGCGAUAUCCCAAAACUUGUCCGUCCAAAAGUUGCAUUGAAUUUUUGUAAAGUUCUUGCCAAAAAAUUCACAAAUUUGGAGAUAAGAUUAAUAAAACGAAGAGUGAGUGAGAAGUGUGUGUGUGUGUACAGAUUCCUAAGGAGAAGGCAAAAGCGGGAUCGGUGGGGGAGAGUGAGAGGAGAAGAGAAGCGGCGGAGGAGAGAAGAAUGGUGUCUCGACGAGAGAUGAUAAUGCGCGGCGGGUGGUCGGAGGUUUGUGCGGCGGCGAUUAGUGGUGGUUGAGAAAUUGGGAUAAGACGAGCCAUGGCUUAACAUAAACUAUCUAAGAUAGGAACAAAUUCUCAGGGGCUCCUCCAGCUCCCAAACUUUUCUCAAUUGCUCCUCUUAUAAAAUAUAAUUUAGUUUUGAUUUUCUUAAAUUCGAAAAAGUAGACAUUUGACCACUUAACCCUUCAAAAUAUAAUAUCACAUAUUUACAACCCAACCAAGCUAAUUGGGUUAAAAAUACCCAAACCCUUUCUUACUGGGUCGAUUCCAAUUUAAACGGGUAAAACAGUUCAUUCUUUGGAGAAAAAUCCUACGACGGCAACAUUAGUUUAUCCCUUUCGUGUCUCUUCUAUUUCUUCAGAGUCGAUCUUGGUAUAACUACAGACAACUACGUUAUUGGACAAGGUAAAAUCGAGUUUUUAUUUUGGGUUUUGCGAUUAAAAUCGAGUGAAAGUCCGCGAGUAUUGAAAUUGAUUGUUCGUUAUGUUUGUUUAGAGUCCGAAGAGAUGGAGAAUGUUAGUGGUAGUUGAAUCGAUUGAAAUAUUGAAUGGAAGUGCUAAUGUAAAUGAUUUUGUUUGUAGGUUUAUGGAAGGGAGUUAUGCCUCGAACAAAGAACGCAAAUGUAUCUUUAACUCCGCCAGAAGCCAAUCUUGAAGAAGUACCACCGCCGGCGGUAGUGGAAUCUGAAGCAAUAGAUUCAAUCUCUAAUGGGGUUGCAACGGUAAGAUCUAUAAAAUUUGGACAACUCGUAGAACUAGGUAUAAGUUUGUUGCUUUUGUCUCUUAGAAAUUUCUGAAACUAAAAAGUAAAACUAUGAAUAACUAGGUAUAACUAACGUGUUUUUAUAACUUAUAAAUAUUUGAAACUAAAAGAUAAAACUAUGAAUAACUAGGUAUAACUAUGCUGCUUUUGCUUUUAUAACUUAGAAAUAAAUGAAACUAAAAGGUAAAACUAUAAAUAACUUGGUAUAACUAUUCUGUUUUUCUAACUUCGAAGUUUUAAAACUAAAAGGUACAACUUUGUAUAACUUGGUCCAACUUGAUCUUGAUUGUAGGAUUCUAAUGAGGAAACCGAAACUCUACAACCUCUUAAAAUGUACUUCAAUCCGAGUGAGUAUACAAAGUCAUUCAAGAUUUCAACAAAGUGCUAUAUUCAUAAGGGAGUGAGCUUAUUGGAGACUCAUCUUAAAGGCAAGGAGUUGAAAUGGUUCAGAGAACACCCAUUGUUCCGACACUUCUUCCACAUGCACAGGGACGCAAAUCAUAAGUUGAUGGGUAUGUUGUUGUUAUUUCUUUGCACAACAUGUUUAGAGAAGAAGAGGGAAGUUUGGUUUAUCGUCAAUGGGGUUCCGAUCCGCUAUUCUCUCAAAGAAUUUGCACUCGUGUUAGGAUUAUAUUGUCACCAAUUUCCGAAUUCCUGUGAAACCAAGGGAUGUAUGGAGUUUGUUGGCAGGAUAUUUGGACCCAGAGCAACAAUAAAAUAUCAAGAUGUGGAGACAAAGUUACUAUCAUUGAAGAAACCUUUUGAUGAUCGUCUGAGAGUAGUUGUGCUCUACUUCUUAAGCAACUUCAUCGUUAAAAUUUAUUUGGUUGUUAUUUUAUUUUGGUAUAACUCCGUCGGUUUUAAAAAACUAGGUACAACUAUGUGAUCAUAAAUGGUUAUUGUUUUAUUUUGGUAUUAUUUUGUAAAACUAGGUACAAUUGUGUGAAUGACAACUAUGUACAAAUGCUUUAUUUUUGUUAAACUAGGUAAAACUAUGUACGUUUGUUCAUCUUGGUAUGGUAAAGGGGCUGAAAUGAUAUUUGGGAAAAAAGUUUGAGGGAAAUUAAAAGGGUGAAAAGAAAAAAAAAUUGGGUUAUUUCGAAAAUUUUGAAUAUUUUGUAGGGAAAUUCGAAUAAAUAAAAAAACUGGAUAUUUGUGGCAAAUAACACGUGAUCCACAUGGCGCCGUCAUUUUUACAGUCAAGGCUCCGUCAUUUGUACACGUGGCGCCGUCAUUUGUACACAUGACGCAGUCAAAUAUACACAGUUUUUCCAAGUUUACAAGUUGUACUCGCAAACACACAGUUGUAUUUUUGGGGUUUUACUUUAUAAUUAGUAUUCUUUGAAAAAUAUUAAUUUUUAUUAGUUGUCCACAAGAUUUUAUGUAUAUGAGGUAAAUUCCAAACAUAUUCAUUCAAUAAUAUGUGUAAAAUGUUAAAUUUUCAGACUUUUGACAUUCACCAUGGAGAUUCAAAAGAAAGACAUCUUAGAAGUAUAAGGACUUUCAUGUAGAGAACUAAAAUGUGUAAAGAUUUUUGUAAAUUUUAUUUAACAAAUUUUGAUUACAAACCACUAAUUUGAUUAUGUAACACUAAGUUGUCUAUUUCUUUAUAAAAAGAAUUAUGAUAUAAUUUUGAAUUUAUGAAGAUUUGUUAAUUUCUUCGUAGUUAUACCGAACCUAGUUUAACCAAGUUUUACAAAACCAGAGAAUACACAAAAACACGAAAUCAGAGACAUAUAUAGUUGUACCAUUACGAAACCAAGUUUAACCAAGUUUUACAAAAACCAGAGAAUACAUAUUCAGAUUUGCUCAUGUCUCAACUAAAUAUUGCACUUCAUGCUUGCUUUCAAAUUCUUGACCUAUUACUAGAUCAAGACCAUCUUCGCAUGGAUCUUUAAAUUUAGAAACUUGGCUAGCACGUGGAAUCUCAACAUAUUCACCAAUACCAUCAUUCUCCAUACUCAUAUCGACAGUGUUAUCAACACCAUUUUCCACAUAUCUGAUAACAAUAUUUUCUAGUGGCUCCAAAGGCUCCGAAAGUUGUUCUGCUAGUGGCUUGUCUGCGUAAAGAGCUACGACAUCAACAUUAGCUCUAUCAUUAUCUUCUCCAUUGAUGAUGUCCUAAACGAUAGACCGUACAAGCCAGCUAUCCUUGGAUUCCAUUGAUAAGUAUCUCCGGUUUUUGAAUAAUAUCCAUCAUAAUCAAAAUGUAUGUUUAUUGGAAGGUUGCUCAUUCUCCUGAAAAAAAAAAAAUACAUUAACAGUUAUACCAAAAUUACCAGUUAUACCAAAAUUACCAGUUAUACCACUUCUAACAGUAAUCUCAAAAAUACCAGAUUUACUACUUCAAAUAGUUAUACCACGUUUCUCAGUUAUACCCAGGUUUUCUCAAAAAUACCAGAUAUACUACUUCAAAUAGUUAUACCACGUUUCUGAGUUAUACCCAUAUUUUCUCAAAAAUACCAGAUAAACUAUUUCAAACAGUUAUACCACUUUUUUCUGUUAUACCCAGGUUUACAUCUAGGAAGCACGGAAGCUUCGUCGAAGGUCCGCUUCCCGCUUCGGAAUCUUAUUCGGAAUCGGAAGCUCUUGGAAGCUUUUGGAAUCUCGCUUCCAUAGCGCUUCCAAAAAAUUCACUUUAGAAGCUCGUUGGAAGCUUACGAUUCCAUUUUGGAAGCUUACGAUUCCAUUUUGGAAGCUUGCGUGUCACAUAUUAAUUAGAAACAUGAAAUUAUUUUUUAUAGUAUUUUUUACAAUUAAAAGAAACCAAAACUAAUUUUGCAAUUAAAAGUUUUGCAUACUAAUUUUUGUAUAUUUUUUUUUAAAAGAUCGUGCUUAACAAAAUAGCCACGACAUAUAUUAUUUAUUUGGAAAAUGUUGGAAUGAUUAAUUGAAUUAAAUAAACUUUGAGAAACUUGAAUUUGAUGAUGUGUUAUCGAUAAAAUGGAAUUUGAAACCAUUUUAUUGGAUGAAAUUAAGAAAAUGAGAGUGAAGAUAGUGAUCUUAAAUUUUGACUUUGAACUAUUUUAUUUUUAUUUAUUGUAAAAAUAAAUUAUUUGGUUUUUCUGUAGUUGAAGUAUUUAAAAUUUAUGUGGUUAAUAUAAUGCUUAAUGUUUUAUUAUAUAUAUAUAUAUAUAUUAAUUUCUAUAUACGCUUCCAACACGUACCCACUUUCUAAAAUUUCUAAAAAAAUCGCUUCCGCGUUUCCAAACGCUUCGCUUCCGCGUACCCGCUUCUGAUUUCAUGCAACCUAGGUUUACAUGUUCUACUCUAUUUGCAAAUCGUUUCUCGGACCAAAAACACUAAUCUACCUACAAUUAACAACGAAUCAACCACUACAGUCCAUUAAAGUGUCUUAAUCGACCUAGGAUACAUAGUUACCAACACAAUGUCCAUUAUUUACCAACACCAAUUGAAAACCCUAUCAAAUCUAAUAGAAAUCAUCAAAUUUCAAAUACAAUACCAAAAACCACUAAAGACUCGAUGUUAGAAGUGGAAGAAGAGAAUAGGAACUGACCUAGAGGUGAAGAACGAUGACGAUGUGGUGGAAGAACGACGACGAGGUGAAGACGAUGACGAUGUGGUGGUUUUGAAUUUUUGAUUGGAUUUGUCCCGAUGAAUACAUGAGCUUGUUUGUGAUUGGUCGGAAAUCUCUUUGUUUUGAUUGGUCGAAAAUCUCUCUCUUUUGAUUGGUCUGUUUAGUAAGGGCAAUCAUGGGUUUUAAACUUUCAUUAAGAGUGUAAGAGUAUGACAGAAUUUUGGAGAGUAGAUAGAUUAGGAGGUCAUGCUUGAGGAGCUCCAGAGAUUAGUCUCCUAAGAUAUGUGUGUACCCGCCCAUGUGGUAUUUAUAGGAAAUGUUAAAAUUGGUUUAAUUAAUUGUGAGGAUUAAGUUGUCGAAAACGACUUAUAUUGUGAAACAAAAAAAUUUAUCCAAAAUGACUUAGAUUAUGAAACAGAGGGAGUAAUAAAAUUUAAAACUAAAAUCUAAAAUCCAAAAACUAAAAACCAAAUCCAAAAUCUAAAUAAAAAAAACAGCAUCCACUCAUGGCCAAAGUGAAUAAAAUGAGAUCUUUGGGCAGGCAAAUGAUUUCUUAACCAGCAGGAAGUUCGGCAGUUAUAUAGUUUCUUAGGAAUGGACAGAGCUUAAAAGAUUACAAAUGAGGAAAUCACAUGAAUUACAUUAAUCCUUUUAGACAGAAACAUCAUAACAUUUCAAAUACUUAUAAUUUAUUCGUUUUUACAUUUUUUGGUAAAGAAUGAGAUAAAAUUCGAUUAAUCCAAUGAAUGAAAGAGUGUAGUGACUGUUGCAGGCACACUCGAGCAAAGCAAUAAAGAAAAAUUUGGAUUUUAAGUUGAUGGAAAAGUUUGUUUAGAAACCCAUUAAUUAACUUCUACUAAAUUGCAUAACUACCCCGUUUAUUCUUUGUGUUUUAAGUUGGAUUGCACAUUUGAGUACACGAGUCGGGUUCAGGUCGUUUAAAAUUUUCAAAACCUAUAAAUACCCGAAAUUUUUACCCAAUUAUCCGAAAUUUUACCCGAUAAUCGAAAAUCUUACAUAAUUGUCCAAUAUAAGUAAAACUUCUAUGUGUGUAAGCAUAUGUAAUUUCAAGUACUUGGAUAAUAUCCGGGUCCGAUAUGAUAUCCACGGACACGGUAUUACUACAUAAGACCCGAUAAGGUAAAUUGAUUAUAACCCGACUCAAACCGGAUUUUUUGGGUCGGUUCCGGUUUUGGUUUUCGGUUGCGGUUUUUUGCCCAGGUCUAUUUUAGUCUUUCAAUAGUCUUAGGAAUUCUUGUGGAAAACCAAAUCUUACUUCAAUUGCUUUUGUGGAAUUGUUGAGAAAUUGAUUGAUGAGUAGUGAUAGCAGUCUCACUACUAGGUCUGGGCAUAAUACCCGAAUCCGAAGAACCGAACCGAACCGAAUCCGAUCCGAACCCGAACCCGAAGUUUUAAAAUAUCCGAACGGGUUCUAAACUUCACAACCCGAAAACCCGAACCCGAACUCGAACCCGAACAAGUACCCGAUUAUACCCAAAAUAUAAGUACAUAGUUAUAAUAUAUUAGUAAUAUUUAUACUUGUAAUAACUUAAGUGCCUAAAUUAUUCGGAUGUUAAGAUAUUUUCGGGUUUUUUAGCUACUUUGGGUUAUAUUCGGGUUAAAAUACUUGGGUUUUAUAGAUUUUUUGAGUAUUUUUCAAUACUUUGCAUAGAUUCGGAUACAAAAAUUUUAAUAUUUGGAUACUUCGGGUAAACCCGAAUCCAAACCCGAAAUACCCGAUCCAAACCCGACCCGAACCCGAAGUUUUAAAAUACCCGAACGGGUCUUAGUUUUCUAAACCCGAAAAACCCGACCCGAAUAUCCGAACGCCUAGGCCUACCCAAAUCCAUUCACGUGACCAAGUUAAUUUCCGGUUUAGUAAUUAACCAACAAUCUAAUAACCCAAACAUUGAACAGAGCUAUCGUCUUCUUCAACUUAAACCAUAACUCAAUUCUACGUGACUUACUACAACAUUUGACGUCACAGUUCACGUACUCAUGAGUCAAGUUUCGGUUAUGGACUUUGAUUUCACAAGAGAAUUUUGGUUUGGAUCGGUUUAGGCUUUGGCUCAAUAAUCCAACAACACACAAACAACACAACAGACACGAGAUAAGGUUUUGACCUAUUACCUUUCUCGCGCUUUCUCAACGGAUCUCCUCUACGAUCUGCUUAACGGCUCGAACGGCGAAGUGGCACAGAUCUACGAUGGUCCAAGCCACUAGUUAGAUUGGUCCAACAAUCUAAAACAAAAAUAGAGAAUCAAAUCCAAAAUUGUCUCACGGGUGAUACCUCUUUGGUGAAGACUAUCCACACGGUGGCUCUUCUUGAACACCACGACAAUCUUCGGUGGCUCGAGUGGGACUGCGGUGCCUCACAAACAAGAUUUGAGUUAGGGCUGUAUUGAAUUCUCAUCAUCAGAGAAUCAAGAUUGAAGAAGAAGAGAGCUUAACGAACGUUUAACAAACUUCAUUAUUAUAAAAUGUUGUUACAAAGCUUAAACUAAAACUAAUGAUGAGAAUAAGCUUAACCAGAGUUAAACCAAGAAUACAUUAAACCAAGAUGUAGUUAACCAGAGUUAACCAUUCAAUAACCGGUCCAUAUAUCAUCUGUAAUACGCCCCUCUCAAGUCUUUAUCUUCGAACUUGUUUGGUUUGGAAGGUAAACACUUGACAAUGACAUUUGUUGAAGCAAAUGAUGAAAAAAACCAGGAUGCAGAGCUUUAGUCAAAAUAUCUGCAUGUUGAUUCUCUGUAGGAACGUGCAACGCCUUUAAGUUGCCAGCUUUAAUCUGAUCUCUCACAAUGUGACAAUCUAUUUUUAUAUGCUUUGUGCGUUCGUGAAAGACCGGAUUCAUAGAAAUGUGCAACGCUGAUUUAUUGUCACAAAACAGUUUUGUAGGGCAACUCACUGUGAUAUGAAGAUCCUUGAGCAACUGUUGAAGCCAAAUGAUUUCACAAGUGGCUUGAGCCAUACUCCUAUACUCUGACUCAGUGCUACUCCGACUAGCAACAGCUUGUUUCUUUGAUUUCCAAGAGAUCAAGGAAGAACCAAUGUAUACACAGUACCCUGAAACUGAUCUCCUAGUAUCUUUACAUGCAGCCGAGUCAGCAUCCGAGAAAGCAUUCAAACAGAGUUCUGAGUCAACUGAAUACAUCAGUCCUUGUCCUGGAUUUGAUUUUAUAUACCUGAGUACCUUAUGUGCAGCUUGGAGAUGUAUAUCAGAUGGAGCAGAAAUGAACUGACUCAACUGAUGAACUACAAAUGUAAUAUCUGGCCUUGUGAUUGUAAGAUACAAUAACCUUCCAAUAAGCUCACGGUAAGAAGUAGGAUUUGGUAAUGGUACUCCCAUGUCUUUAGUCAGAUGUAAAGAAGGAUCCAUAGGUAUUGAGCUUGGUUUACAACCAAGUAAGCCUGCAUCUUCUAGCAAGUUCUAAGCAUACUUCCUCUGACAUACUGAUAUUCCUUUUGAAGAUCUUGAGAUUUCCAAUCCUAAGAAGAAUCUUGCAGGUCCUAAAUCCUUUAUUUUGAAUUCAGACCUUAACAAUGCCUUUAAUUGAUCCACUGCUUCAUCAUUGUCACUUGCAAUCAUAAGAUCAUCCACAUAAACCAAGACAACAACAAAUGAACCAGUAGUAGCUUUGACAAAAGAGUAUUGUCAGCAGGAGACUGUAUAUAGUUUGCACCUAGUAACACUGAAGACAAUCUCUUGUACCACUGGCGAGAAGCCUGUUUCAAUCCAUAAAGAGAUUUUUUUUUUUUUUUGAAUCUUAUGUUAUAUUAUAUUCAAAAGAAAAAAUAUUCGUUUGUACAACUAGUGCAACAUUUCGCUGAAAAUAAAUCAAAAAUAUAAUUUAGAACUGAAUUGCUAAAACAGUCUUCUUAAGUUCGGGAGUUGAUCCAAGCUUGGUAGGCUUCAUCGUAUCUCCUAUCUCCUAGUAGACGAAUUGCCGAAAUCUGAUUCCUUAUUUGCUUAUCAAUCCACCCCGUAGUCUGUUCCGCCGUUUGUGGGUUUUCGCCAUGUUUUCUUCCAUUCCUUUCUCUCCAGAUCGUGUAAACCACCACUGAAGCACAUAUUUGAUGAGAAAACCCUCCACUCUCUCAAGUUGAUUUUCCGAAACAUACUCAACUAGAAGAGACCAGUUUGUUGUGUAUCGUGCCUUUAGAAUUCCCUUAGCCAAAGCUUCCCAAAUCAAAGAGCUGUAAUGACAAUCAAAGAAAAGGUGAUCACGAGUCUCCAAGUUGUUCUGACAAAAACCACAUGUGCCCGCUGCUCCACCCUUCCAUUUACUAACGCGAUCUCCCGUAGGUAAUCUGUUUUGAACAACCAACCACAUGCAGAAAGAAUCCAUAAAGAGAUUUCAGUAGUCUACAAACGGGAUUAGGAGGCAAACCAGUGUUCUGUGGUGGAGUAUAUCCUUGAGGUAAACUCAUAAAAAUUUCUUCAUCCAAUUCACCAUGGAGAAAUGCAUUUGAGACGUCCAUUUGAGUUAAACUCCAACCCUUUAUAGCAGCAAGACCAAGCAAAAACUUCACACUUGUUAAUUUAGCAACAGGAGAAAAAAAUAUCUAGGAAAUCAAUUCCUUCUUGUUGAGUAAAUCCCUGUGCUACCAAGCGUGCUUUAUAUCUCUCCACUGUUCCAUCAGGAUUGUAUUUGAUUGUGAACACCCACUUACAACCCACCACAUUCUUGCCUGGAGGUAAUGAUUCAACAACCCAUGUCUUGUUAAGUUCAAGAGCAUGUAACUCUUCAUUAGCUGCCUUUGUCCAUUUCUCAGACUUCAUGGCCUGUUUGAAUGUUUUUGGCUCUGUCUCUAUAUCAUAAGCACAUAUAUAAGACUGAAAAAGAGGUGUAUAUUUGUCCUAAGAAAUGACAGAAGCAAUGGGAUAUGGUGUAGUCUUUUUAGGUGAUGAUGAAACAGGACAUGGUGUAGGCUUUUCACGUGAUGGAAGAAGAGGAUAUUGUGUAGGCUUUUUAAGUGAUGAAAUAACCGGUUCUGUUGGUGGUAAUGAAGAAAUAAACAGAACAAGAGAGCAAUGAUACUCAGACAGAUAACUAGGAGCUCUAGUAGUGCGUUUAGACCUAGCCACAUGUACAGAAUUAAGACCAGUAUCAUGCGUCUCUGUGUUACUAGUAGAAGAUAUGGUACUAGGAUUUAUUGCAGAUGAUGAUGCAGUAGUAUCAACAAGAGAAUCCUCAUCUAAUAAUGGCAUUGUCUCAACAAAAUGUAUGGUGCAGGAAGAGGUAAAAUAGAAUUUGGAAACUUGUCUACUGCUUUAUGCAACAAAUCACUAGUUUUAAAAGGAAAAGUUUGUUCUUGAAAAACCACAUUUCUAGAGAUUGAAACAGAAUGAGUUUCUAAGUCUAACACCUUAUAGCCUUUAAAACCUGCAGGAUAUCCUAGGAAAACAGAAGGUCUGGCUCUAGGUGAAAAUUUAGUUCUUUCAUUUUGAUGAGUGGAAACAUAACACAAACAACCAAAGUUCUUUAAAAGCGAGUAAUCUGGUAAUUUUCCAAGUAAAAUUUCAUAAGGAGACUUAUUUUGAAGCAAUGGUGAUGGUAAACGAUUAAUCGAAACUGCUGUAAACACACAAUCACUCCAAUAUUGAAGAGGGACAUUAGACGAAAAAAGUAAAGAUCUAGCAACAUUGAGAAGAUGCUGAUGCUUUCUCUCAACAACAGAGUUCUGUUGAGGAGUAUAAGCACAAGAAAAAUAAUGCAUCAUGCCAUGUUCUUUAACUAAUUCAGUGAAAGCAAGUUCAGGUGCAUUGUCAGAUCUAAUCGCUUUUAUUUUUGCAUUAAACUGAGUAGAAACAAGUUUAAUAAAAACAGGAAAAACUGUUGAAACAUUCUUUUUAUUUCUUAGCAUAUAAAUCCAGGUGGUUCUUGUACAAUCAUCUACCAAAGUAAGAAAGUAUUUAAAACCCUCACCAGAUUCAACACUAAAAGGACCCUAUAUAUCCAAAUGAACAAGAUCAAAUGGUUUUGGAGCUAAAUUGUUAUGAGAAAUAUAAGCUAAUCUUUUCUGUUUUGCUAAAGGACAUAUAGAACAUGCAGAAUUUUCUGAAUCUAAAGACUUUAGAGAAGGAAUAACAGUAACAAGCUUCUGUAAAACAAUAGAUGAUGGAUGGCCUAAUCUUUGAUGCCAAAGCUUUCCAUCUAUGACAGAUCCAAAGAAAGAACAAGCAGGUGUUGAUGGAGAGAGGGAAGUAUUCUCUGUUUCAAGAAUGUAUAAGUUGUGAUAUAGUCUACCCCUCCUAAUCAUCAAGCCCUGAGAAUGUUCCUGAAUCAAACAACAAUCAAUAUAAAAAUGAGCAGAACAAGAUAUUGUUUUAACCAAUGAACUCACACUAAUCAAAUUGAAUUUAAAAUCCGGUACAUGCAAAAUAUUAUGCAAAAUAAGUGUUUUAGUAAUGCAAACAGUGCCUGUAUGUGUAAUGGAGACCCUAGUACCAUUUGGAAGAGUAACAGUAACACCUGAGACUGAUUUUAAUUCCCUAAACAUGGCUAGAUUUGAACAUACAUGACUAGAAGCUCCACUAUCUAUAAUCCAAGCAUUAGGAGGUAAAAAUUUUUGUAAAGAAGAAAGAAUGUGAUUCUGAAAAGUGAGAUUAUUAUUUUGAAAUUUUAGACUGGUAGAAGGAAAUAGAAAUUCAGUAACAAAAGUUGAUUUAUGAGCCAUCAAACCAUGUUCUGAGAUAGUUGCAGUAGGACUAGGUGUGCUUGAAGAAGUUACAGGCUCUGAAACUUGAACUUGAGUUUGAAAUUGCGAAACCAUUUGUUCUAUUUGCUUCGGACUAAAAUUCUGAAGACUUUGACUAUGUCCACCUUGUAUAACCUGCGGUGCAUAUUGAGGAACCAAAGUACCAUAAGAACCAUUCAUUGGCAUAGGCAUUUGCAUAUAUCCUUAUGUUGGAUAAGUUCCAUUCUCAGUAUACACAUGAGCCACUGCAUUUGCCUUUUGCAUUGAAUUAGUAUAAGGCAUCAUCUGCAUCUGAGAUUGUGAUUGCAUCCUAGGCUGAAUUUGCAUCAUUUUCAUCCGAGGUUGUAAAGGAGGAUUACCUCUGUAAGUAUAUCCUAUAGCCCAUGCCUUAUAACCAGGUGGAUAUCCUAGAAUCUUGAAAUACUUUUGAACUGUAUGUCCUACUUUCCCACAGUGAGAACACACCGGCUUAUGUGAUGGUCUAACAGUAUUAUAAGCAGCAAUAUAUGCAUUCUCGGCAUCAUUCAUAAUAGGAGAGGAACUCUGAAAAGCAACAUUAUCAACUCUAGUAGGUGGUUUAACACUCUUCUGUCUCUCAUCCUGAGUAACAAUGUUGAAUGCUUCUUCUAUAGUAGAAAUAGGCUUUAACAUCAGUAUAUGACGCCUAGUCUGAUCAUAACUUUCAUUUAACCCCAUAAGAAACUUAGUUACCCUACUUCUCUGUUGCAUUUUCUCCCAUUUAGCAGCUGCAUCACACUCACAACGACAACAUAUACACACAGGAAGCUCUACAUAAUUCUUGUGUUCUUCCCACAAAGUAAGCAAAGCUGUAUAAUAAGUGGAUACAUCCAUAGCUCCUUGUUCAAUCUUACUUAUCUUCUGUUCAAUAUCAAAUAUUCUAGGAGCAUCAUCUUGCUUAAAACGAGUUAACAAAUUGUUCCAAAUUCCUUCUGCGGUUGCUAUAAAAAGCAAACUCUGACCAAUCUUUUUAUCAACAGAAUUCAUCAACCAUGUAGAAACAAUAUCAUUGCAACGUGACCAAGCACCAUAAUCACGAUGAUCAAUCGGAGGUUUAACAAUCAUACCAUUGAUAAAUCCCAGCUUAUUGCGAACAUUCAAAGCCAUCAAAACUGAACGACGCCAAGAUGGAAAAUCAGAAGAAUUGGAUAAACGAUCGGAAACAAGAACAAGACCUGUGUGAUCGGCACUAUGUAGAUAAUAAGGAUUAUCAUACUGAUCGGCUGGAUAACGCGGUUGUUCAUUAGCAUUUAACGGCGGACGAGUCACCGGAAUCGGCGGUGGAGGAACAUAAGAUCCCAUUCUCAGUUUAAGAACAGGAAAUUACAAAGAAAAUUGUGACGAAUUGAGUAAAGAAAGCAAGAAUCGUCAACACUGGAGGUCAACGAAAGAGAAAUCAAAGAAAACAGAAUUAGAAAAUCAAAAUUCCGGUGAAACAAAAGCAAGAAAUCGCAAAUUACGAACAAUCAAAAGAAUCUAAGCACAAAUCGGAAAGCUCAUCUCCGGCGAACAAACGAUUGCGGAAGAAGACGAUUAUGCUCUGAUACCAUAUUGAAUUCUCAUCAUCAGAGAAUCAAGAUUGAAGAAGAAGAGAGCUUAACGAACGUUUAACAAACUUCAUUAUUAUAAAAUGUUGUUACAAAGCUUAAACUGAAACUAAUGAUGAGAAUAAGCUUAUAUAGUAAUACAUUAAACCAAGAUGUAGUUAACCAGAGUUAACCAUUCAAUAACCGGUCCAUAUAUCAUCUGUAAUAGGCUGAGCCAACGUCACAUAAAAAUAGAGACUCGAGUCAAGGUUGCGAGACAUACCGUGAUUGACGGCUUAGGGUAUUCGUGACUCGUCUCAGAGUUUGUGUUCUCUUUUAAUAUCCACGUGGGAACAAUAGGUUUCACUUGGGUUUAAAUCAUUAUAAUGAUUUGGGCCUCGUAGUUUAAUUGCGAAAUCGGGUGUGAUUAAAAUAAAAUAAUAUCUCGUCGCCAUCGUGUCGUUUAAGUGGGCGAAUAUAAAUGGUUGACUAAUUUUGUUAAGUCAAUGUAGUUUUACGCUCAAAUUUAGUAGUCGGGGUAGUUUAUUUAAAUUAGGAAAAUUGUUAAAAAUACUCCUUUUGGUGUACCCCUUUUUAAAAAUGCCCCUUUUAGAUAUCCAUUUUAAAAAAUGUCCCUUUUUAAAUCUGAAAUUUUUAUAAAGUUUUAUUAGGUUUAUAAGGUACUUAUGGAUUGUAACUACUACUUGAAGACUCGAUCCAAGUAUUUAUAAGGUUUUAUAAGGUGUUUUUAAAGGUUUUACAAGUUAUUUUAAAGGAUUUUAAGGUUUUUCAAAGGUUUUACAAGAUAUUUUAAAGGUUUUUAAAGGUAUUUAAAAUGCAUUUAUAAGGUAUUUAUAAAGUAUUUAUAAGAUUUUAGAUACAUAGAAAUGUAGUUUGUGUAUGUUUUAAUAAUAUUACAUACAUAUUUGGGUAAAUCUUAUAUUUUUAAGAGCAUUUUUAUAAGGUUUUUAAAAAAGGGUAUUUUUGAAAAGUGGCAUUGAAAAAGUGGCAUUUUGCAAAAGCCUCUUUAAAUUAUUUUAGCGUUGAAGUGUAAACAGACAUUAUUUCUUUUUGAGGUAUAAAAAUGCACCCUACAAUUUGUUUGGGUUUAAAUAUAAACCUUUUUUACUCCAUGUUUUUGGGAUAAAAAUCAUAUUAGAGUUCUGAUCUCCCAUUUUUUUUUUGUCAUUCGAAAUUACUUAGAGCUCAAAAGAUGAAUGUUGUUUACAUAUGUCAUAUGAAGCGGUUCUGUACGAACUUUUAAUCUCCCAUUUUUUGUUUUGAAGAAUUUAGAUGUGAAACAUGAGUAUAAUCCAGAGGCAUCUUCCAACUGAAAUGACAAAAGAAAAUUGAUAAUGAAUAUGAGUUUAGGAGAAAUGAAUGAAUAGAAUAUUUGUUAAGUUUUUACCUGAAGAGAUUAAUCGUAGAUUUCUAUCGCGAUGGAGAGGAAAAAACAAAUAUGAAGAGGAAAGCAGAUAAAAAUCGAAUAGAGAGGAAACUGAAUCAUUGGAGUUAUUUAGAAGAUGAAUUAGUUACAAAUCAGCUUGACCGUGGAGGUGUUGGUGGGAGCAAAACUAGUGAUUAGAUUCUUUUUACAGUUGUCUCAGAAUUUUCUAGAACGAUAUAUGAGAAAAAAAAAAGAAUUAUGCAAAAAAACAAUUAGGUAUAGGUUUAUAUCCAAAACUAGGCCUGGGCGUUUGGGUAUUCGGUUCGGUUCUAGAACCGAACCAUUCGGUUCCAAAUAUUUUGGUUCUGAGAUUUAGGAACCAUAUUGGAACCAAAUCAAUAUCGGUUCGGUUCUGGUUCGGUUCCUAUUCGGUUCGGUUCGGUUCGGGUAAUAAAUUUUGGAACCGAAUAGGAACCUGUUUCAGAUAUAUUUGGAACCGAAAAAACAAUAGAAUUAUAAUGCAAAAUUCAAAUGCAAUUAUGCAAGUAUGCAAUGCAACAUCACAUAUUAGUCAUCAUACCAUUACAAAUUCAGAAAAUAGUUGAAACUUGGAAAGUAUUAAGUCAAAAGACACCCAAAGUUUCAAAAAUACCACAAAACACAAGUUUUAAAGACACCAAAAGAAGCUUUGUCUUUGAUUUGCAAUGAUUCGAAAGAGAGAGUUGUUGUCUGCGGCGUCUCCUUCUUUGAGAAAGAGAGAACAAACUAGGGUUUCUCUUUAGGUUUCAGAGAAAUAUAUAAGAGGCUAAGAGAGAUAUAUGGUUGGUUGUUAGGCUUGGGUAGCUAGGUUUAUGUCUAGAUGGGUUUGAAACUUUGAGUUAUAUAAAUAUAGGUUAAUGUGCUAUAUUUUUUGGGUACCCGAAUGGAUAUCGGUUCUUACCCGAACCGAACCGAUACCCAUGGUUCUUUGAUUUAAGAUCCAAUCGAUAUCUUCACUAGAACCGGAACCGAACCGUACCCAUCAAUUUUGGUUCGGUUCGGUUCGGUUCUACGUGGAUCCAUAUUUGUGCCCAUGCCUAUCCAAAACUAUGGGCUUACAAUUCUCUGAUGGGCUUACACAAACACAUUUUUCUUUAACAUUAAGAAGCCUUAUUUUGUUUUGUAACAAUUAGUUUUGUUUUUAAUUUUUUUCCUUUUCUUUUGCAUGAUCUUAAUUAAAUUAUGACAUAGAAAUCUAUGUGGCACGUUUUUAUUGGUCAGGUGACUUGUUCUUUACAAUAUAAAGGAUAUACACACAUAUAUAAAUAAAACUUGAAACGCCCUUUAACCACACCAUAAUUGGUGUAAACUAAAAUAUGUGCGGUAUUAAGAUAAAACAGAACAAACAAAAAGAAAUUGCUAAGUGCGAUCUAAUAAUUGAAAUAAUACACCGUAUUUAACUUAAAUGGUAAAUAAAUAGUACCGCAUAUAAAACGCUAAAACGGGUCGUACAUUCACACACUUAGGCUACGAAUGGGAACAUUGGAUUAGACGGUGUCGGUCAAGCGGAUCUAAUAGUGCGGUACGGUUUAAGUGUGGUUUGUAAAGAAGAAACGCAGUAUGCGGAACAUAUGCGGUUAAUGCAGAAUAAAUGGUGUGGAUAAUUUAUGAAUGGUAAAAACAACAUGCGAUUCCGUACAAUUGUUUAAAUGGUAAGAAGUAUAACAAGUGGUUCGAAGUAUAUGUUUUAAAUAAAUAUAUUAUAAGAAAAAAUAUAUAAGUAUAAAUAUAAAUCAAAUAUUAAUUUGUUGUUUAAUUAAUGAUCAGAAAUUUUACAUAUAUUUUUUAGGGUGAUUUGGCGCAGAAACAAAAUUAUGGGCAACAAAAUUAGGAAUUCGACAUUGGUAGGAUUGGUCGGGGACGAAGAAAUAACGAAAAUACCACAUCAUCUCCGCUACAUGCGCAUGGGCAAGUUGAUCGUGCCGUUUCAGUAAGCCAAAGAACAACCCGCAAAACAAUAAAUGCAACGACUUAAACUGACAAAGCCGCGUAUACAAAAAGAAUGAAGUGAUUGGCAAUAAAUGCGAGAGCUCUCAACUCGAGCGGAAGAAAAUUUGAAAAUAGCCUGAUAUAACUGGGCGGGAAUAUGAAAAUUUAAAGAGCUACCUUAGAUACAUGAACCACCACCAAUAAAUAGGUGUACUGGGUUGAAGAAAAAACGUAGAGCAACACAAAGAAGUAAAAAAAAAAAAAUUAAAGUGCAUAAGCAAAUGAGGCUGCAUAACAAACGUAGUGGUGAGGUAAGGGUAACACAAUUAGUCUUAUUUUCGUAGCUAAUCUUCAUACCUUAGUAGAAAGUUCCAAAGUUGUGAAAGAGAUUAACCCUUAAUAUUACUCGUUUCUACUGGUGGGGAUGAUGGAGGUGACAUAUACGAGAGAAUCAGCGAUUGUGUGCGGGUCUAACUUGGAUUAUGGAGUAAGGACGAGCAUGGUGUUUGGAGAUUCAAUGUCUCGCAGGAAAGGACUGGCAAGAGCAUCUGGUUCAGAGAAGGCGAUGGUGUUGAAGUGGCUAAAGAGAAGGUCAUUCAAGCAUGGAACAUAGACCAAACAUGUGAGAAGGUGGAGCUAACAUACGAGAUGCCCGAGUGGAUGGACGUAGAUGGUUCAGUUAAACCUGUCCCAAUACACAUAGUCCCGGACGACAACAUGGACAUGUUCCUUGCUAUGUGUGUGGAUAUUCAUGAAAUGAAGCUCUAUGUUGUACCAAUGUCGUUGCAUAUGACAUUAGAGAUCGAUGGGUUCCAAGUAGUACCGAUCAUGAACGAUUUUACUUUCGUGGAAGUAAUGAGCAAGAAGGAUGUAGGGAAACCACGUGGCACUACAAUACUCAUUGUGUAUAAACUUGGCACUCGCAAGAACAACCUCAUUAAAAACCUAAGCUUGGAAAACCACGUGGGACAAAACCAAGCCUAGGGAAAAAGAGUAUUGUCCCAACGAGUUAGGGAGCCUUUCUCAAGGAUGUGUGAGGUCUACAAGACCAAGUUUGCCAUGGAUAAAUUGACAAACUUGGUUACUUGCUGCCUUGGUGAAGAUAUCGGCCAAUUGGUCCGAACUCGUAGUGUAGCAAGGAAGGAUUGUACCGUCUUCGAUCUUCUUUCUUGUCUUGUGGCAGUCCGUCUCUAUGUGCUUGGUCCUCUCGUGGAACACGGGGUUAGUAGCAAUAUGGAUGGCUGCUUGGUUGUCGCAAUGGAAGGUAAUUGGCGUCUUUUGCUCGAUCCCAAAGUCCUUUAGUAGAGCCUUCAGCCAUGUCAAGUCGUUUGUGAGCUUCUUCUUAGCCCUAUACUCCGCUUCAGCACUCGAACAAGACACCACCUUCUGUUUCUUUGUCUUCCAAGUUACAAGAUUGCCACCAAUGAAAGUGUAAAAGCCGGUUGUGGACUGCCUUGUGUUGCGAUCUCCAUUGUAGUCUGCAUCACAGUACCCAACAAUUUCCGUGCUAAAGUUUCUUCCCAUCCAAAUGCCUUUGCCGGGACUUCCUUUGAUAUAUCUCAGAAUUCUCUCCACAAAACUCCAAUGGUACACCGUAGGGGCUUGCAUAUGCUGAGCCACCUGAUUCACGGCAAAAGAGAGAUCAGGCCGAGUAUAUGUCAAAUAUAUGAGCUUACCUACAAGUCUUCUAUACUGUUCCGGGCAAUGAUAUGGAGUAUCAUCCUUCUCCUCCUUUCGAUUGACCUUGCAUCCUUGCUCUAGUGGUGUAUCCACUGGUUUAGCUCCAAGUUUCCCUGUAAGCUUUAGGAGAUCGAGGGCGUAUUUCCUUUGUGAGAGAAACAGUCCCUCCUUGGAUCUACACACCUCAAUCCCUAAGAAAUACUUCAACACACCCAAAUCUUCAAUAUCAAAGGCUGAGUGUAAAGAAGACUUAAUCGCUUGGAUCCCUUCUUUGUUACUUCCCGAGAUAAUCAAGUCAUCAACAUAGACCAAUACCACUACUAUGCCUUGAUUAUCUUGCUUAGUAAGCAAAGUAUGAUCCGAAUGUGACUUCUUGAAGCCAUUAGCCAAUAAGGUGGAGCUUAGCUUGUGAUACCAAGCUCUUGGAGACUGUUUGAGACCAUAGAUUCCUUUCCGAAGCCUUAAGACCUUUCCCGGAGCCACUAUGUCUUCUAAACCCGGAGGAGGUGACAUGUAGACUUCUUCUUCCAACUCCCCCUGAAGGAAAGCAUUCUUGACAUCCAUUUGCCACAACUCCCAAUCCAAAUUAACCGCCAAAGAUAGAACAACCUUCACCGUAUGUUGCUUAGCUACCGGAGCAAAUGUUUCCCUAUAAUCAUCACCAUAUGUUUGUGUGAACCCUCUUGCAACCAGCCUAGCCUUAUAUCUUUUAAUUUCACCAUCACUCUUGUACUUAAUGGUGAAUACCCAUUUUGAGCUAACACACUUCUUUCCUUUUGGUAGCUCUUCUUCAUCCCAUGUAUGGUUCCUUAUCAUAGCUUGUACUUCAUCAUCUACCGCAUUCGUCCACUCCUUUCUUUAUUUAGCUUCUUCAUAGCUUUGUGGGAUAAAUUCCACAUCUAGCUUACUAAUGAAAGCUUAAUGUUCCUCGGGAAGAAGGUCAAUCGAAAAUGUUGCUUGAAUUGGAUGAGCCAUGGCUUGGCAAUUAUAGAGGCACUUCUUCAAUUUUCUCUCUCUUGUACUCCUUCUUGGAUUCUCCCGAGUAUAGAUAGGAUCUCGUGUUACUGGUGGAGCUUGAUAAGUCUCAUCUACUCUUGAUGAUUCAAUAAUGUCACCUUCACUAGAUGGAUCUUUCUCUUCCACUUCUUCACUUAACCUUUCUUCUUUACCACUCUCUUGUUGAUUAUCCAGAGACUCUUGUGGUGUAUUAUCACCGCUUUCUUGGGCUUGAUUGUUACCAUCAUUUGGUGUAGCUUCCUUAUCUUCUUGUGGAGAGCUUACAUUACCCAAAUGUUCUAGAAUAUGCCGAAGACUCUGAGCACGAUCUGAAGUAGAAUUAGGGAGGUCCUUAACGCUUUCCCAGCUCUUCUCUUCAAAGUAGGCCUUGUCUUCCAUAAACUUGACAUCCCUUGAUACAUAAUAUCGAUUGUUGGCUGGAUCGAAGCACUUGUAACCUUUCUGAGUUGUUGAGUAUCCAAUAAAAACACACUUAUUACUCUUGGGUUCUAGUUUGUUCCUCAAGUCACCUGGGACAAACACAAAACAAAGACUUCCAAAGACCCUCAAAUGAUCAAUGUUAGGGAUAGUUUUGUUUAAAAUCUGAAAUGGAGAUUUAUCAUCAAGGAUACGUGUCGGUAUUCGAUUGAUGAGAUAACAUGCUGUCAUCACCGCAUCUCCCCAAAACCGCUUUGGCAUAUGCUUCUGAAAUAACAUAGCUCUUGCCACCUCCAUUAAAUGCCUAUUCUUCCUCUCAGCAACUCCAUUUUGUUGUGGAUUGUAUGGACAGCUAGUUUGGUGAAGGAUUUCGCAUUUCUCCAAGUGUUCUUUGAGCUUGUUGCUUGUAUAUUCACCUCUAUUAUCUGUUCUAAGAAUCUUAAUCUUUGCAUCAAAGUGAUUAGUCACAUAGUUUUGAAAGUUUAUAAACGCAUCAUAAACUCUAUCCUUAGAUGGCAUCAAAGUUACCCAUGUAUACUUAGAUUUCUCAUCUAUAAAAGUGACAAAGUACUUGUGAUUGUCUCUAGAUGCACAAGGUGAAGACCACACAUCAGAAUGCACAUGGUCAAAACAUUUUUCAUAAAUCGCACUAGACUUAGGAAAAACAGCUUUGCAAUGUUUGCCUAAUAUGCAUGCUUCACAANNNNNNNNNNNNNNNNNNNNNNNNNNNNNNNNNNNNNNNNNNNNNNNNNNNNNNNNNNNNNNNNNNNNNNNNNNNNNNNNNNNNNNNNNNNNNNNNNNNNNNNNNNNNNNNNNNNNNNNNNNNNNNNNNNNNNNNNNNNNNNNNNNNNNNNNNNNNNNNNNNNNNNNNNNNNNNNNNNNNNNNNNNNNNNNNNNNNNNNNNNNNNNNNNNNNNNNNNNNNNNNNNNNNNNNNNNNNNNNNNNNNNNNNNNNNNNNNNNNNNNNNNNNNNNNNNNNNNNNNNNNNNNNNNNNNNNNNNNNNNNNNNNNNNNNNNNNNNNNNNNNNNNNNNNNNNNNNNNNNNNNNNNNNNNNNNNNNNNNNNNNNNNNNNNNNNNNNNNNNNNNNNNNNNNNNNNNNNNNNNNNNNNNNNNNNNNNNNNNNNNNNNNNNNNNNNNNNNNNNNNNNNNNNNNNNNNNNNNNNNNNNNNNNNNNNNNNNNNNNNNNNNNNNNNNNNNNNNNNNNNNNNNNNNNNNNNNNNNNNNNNNNNNNNNNNNNNNNNNNNNNNNNNNNNNNNNNNNNNNNNNNNNNNNNNNNNNNNNNNNNNNNNNNNNNNNNNNNNNNNNNNNNNNNNNNNNNNNNNNNNNNNNNNNNNNNNNNNNNNNNNNNNUUACUUGGGUUACAGGUUACUUGGGUUACUUGGGUUACUUGGGUUACUUGGGUUACAAGGCUGAAUGAGGGUGCUGUUGGUCUUUGUGCACAACCCAUCUCAGACCUAGAUUUUGUUCUCUAUAUAAACAUGUGUGCCUCCUCAUUGUGUGAGACACAUCUAUUAUUCAACACAUUUUAAGUUUCUCUCUAUUCUUAAAUCAUGUUUCAAUUAAUCUUUCCUACUUAAAUAUUCUCAUGGUAUCAGAGCACGUUCUUAAUCUUUAAUCUUCAUCUUUUGGUUCAUCGGUUCUCUGUUUUCUCUUUGUCUCUGUUCGAAUCUGGCUUCUAAACAAGUUGUUCGAUUUCUUCUUCUACUUCUUCACGAAAAGGCAUCUGUUUGUGAAGGAGAGUUACUACUGGUCUGUGACAGAGCUAUUCAUCAUAAAAGCCUCAACCUUUCUGAGUUCUUUGUGGAUUAGUGUCAAAGCGGGUUGAAGAGGAGAAGUUUUCAGGCGUUUGGUCUUGUGUAUCCAAAGGUUUGAGCUUUUAUCUUCUUUAGGUCGAGAUUCUUAGAUACUUUCAGAACUAGGCUCAGAACUUAAGCUUCGGUAGAGUAGUAGUUGCUGAUUGGUUUGUUUGCGGUUGCUUAUUGGGAAGAAAGUCAACACCUUUUCGGUUUAUUUGUGGUUAUUACAUCCUGAAACUGUUGAAGAUGGCUCUCACAGUUCAGAAAACGAGUGAUACGUUCAAGGACUUGAAAGACUUGAAACUCGCAGUCACGUUGAAUGGUAACAACUAUCUGUUGUGGAAGAGAACCACAACAAAUGUAUUGGGAGGAAGGAAACUCACUAAAUACAUCGAAAAUACCUAUGAAGAAGCAAAGGCUAAAGAAGAGAACUUGAGUGAAGAUACUUGGAGGCAGAAUGAUCUGAAUGUUUUAAGCGCUCUACAUUGUUCUCUAGACGCUGCGAUCUUGGAAGGGUAUUGAAAGACCCCGAUCCGGACUUAUGGAACACUCUAGCUAAUGUCUUUGGCAAUGAGACUAAUCUGACCCGAGUGUACCAUAUCAAGAAAGCUCUUGGUGACACAAUCCGAUUUACGAUAUUCUGAGAUUCAUUACUUAGAGUCAAUAUGCGAUAAUAGAGUAAACAAAGAAUCGGAUACUUUAUUAGAUACUUAAAAGGAUUCGAUACAACUUAUGAGUUUGCAUAUAAGCUAUUACAAGUCAUAUAAUCGAUCCUAUUCUACCCGAUUCAUCACCACCCAUCUUCCCGGCCUUGAGUCUCUCACGCCUAAGCCAAGUCCUUCCCACGAUCACCAUCCUUUCCUGAAAGUCAAAGAGGCAUAAGUAUCCGNNNNNNNNNNNNNNNNNNNNNNNNNNNNNNNNNNNNNNNNNNNNNNNNNNNNNNNNNNNNNNNNNNNNNNNNNNNNNNNNNNNNNNNNNNNNNNNNNNNNGUGUACCAUAUCAAGAAAGCUCUUGGUGACACUCUAGCUAAUGUCUUUGGCAAUGAGACUAAAGUCAAAAAGAGAGUGAUUUCAACACUCACUUUGGAAAGUACAGGUCGCUUGUAGCUGAGCUUGAGAUGUUAAGACCCUUCACUACUGAGGCAAAGGCUCUUAAGGAUCGUAGAGAGCAAGAUUUGGUAUUCGGUUUGUUGCUGACACUAAACUCGAGCUACACUGAUGUGAUUCAGCAUAUACUAAGAGAUGACAAGGUGCUAACUCUAGAACAAGCGUGUGCGAAGAUUCAGAAAGAUUAUGGAGCUCAAGGACUGUUUAACAGCAAAGGAAGUCUCCCGACUGCAAACAAGGCUGGAGUUGUCAAGCAAGUAGACAAGAAGACAUGGGUUUGUGACUGUUGGUGUCGGAUCCCGCACCAGAAGUCCGAGACCAACCAAAGAUUGCCACGUAGUCAAGAUAAAGCCCGUCGAAUCCAUGAGCCAAGGGAACAGUCGAAGUGGUUGUCACCACUUCGAGAAUCCGAAGUGACUGCACUAUGACAUGAAUUCGGUGUAGAAGACACGGGUAAGUCGGUUCAAGGAUACUUAGGCCAAAAAGGCGAGGCCCAUGAAGAUCAGAGUCAACUCAAAUUCAAACGUUGAGCAUUAAAGUCAAAGAAUCAAAACGGACACAUUUAAGAAGGAAUAAUUGUAUUUAAUUAUUCAUUUUAAUGUCGUUUCUCUAUGUAUAAAUAAAAAGGCCAAUGGCCAUGUAAAGGGGAUCCUCCUCUCAAGAAAGAAAUACUAUAGCAAUUUUCGUAGCAAUUUAUAAGUUUUUACAUAUUCAUUUUUGUCCCUCAAGAAUAAUCUUUCCUACUUAAUAAAAUACUUGAGUGUGUGAAUCCGACAUCCACAUUUUGGCGCCGUCUGUGGGGAUAUAGGAUUCUUGAGUGGUCAGAUUUUUUCUUUACUACAUUUCCGAGAUAAGCAACAAUGUCCGGAGGAGACGCCGUUGAGACAUCGUUGGCAGAAACCCUCAAAGCUAUGCAGCAAACCAUGUCGGACAUAUCACAAAAGUUCUCGGAUGUGGAAAAGGCCGUCGAUACGUUGCAAACAUCCCAGGUAUCUCUUAGUCAAAACGUCAAUACUAUACAAACUCGUGUUCGCUCUUUAAGUGCAGGAAACCUUGUGGGAAUCCGAAGAGGGAUAUUCAACUCGCCAAGUUCCGCUGCACGAAAUGAAACCAGCGGACAAACAACUCCUGGUGCUACUAAUAAUGUAGCUCAGACGUUGGAAGAAGAGACACAGCUCGGGGAUGAAGAACAACUUGCAGUUCAGUACGAGCAGGAGAACCUCGACCAGUUCGAGACCAUGAGGAAGGUUAGCCAGGAAUUAAAAGAAAUGAAAUCAAAAUUUCAUCAAGCUACAAGUUCGGAGCCAGACAUCAAUCGAUUCAUUGAAGAAGCUAGGCGAACACCUUUCAUCUCGCGAAUUGCAAGUUUGAGGAUCAAAGAUGCACUCUUCCGCGCGAACAACUGGAUGGAGGUAGAGGACGAAAAAGAAAGUUUUGCCAAAAGAAAUAAGCAAGAAAAGCCGGCAAUCACCGUCCCUACCAAGAAGUUCGAGCCUAGGGAGAGCAAAGGACCAAGGAAAUUUGGGUCGCAACCCUUCAACAGUACCGUCGGAAAGCAAUUCCAAGGGAAAGGAAGAUCAAACACUUGGGUCCGUGAUGAAAGUCUAUAUUGCGACAUUCAUAAAGUAACCGGACAUUUAACCAAUGAUUGCAGCGUUCUUAAAAGGCACCUCGCAGAGCUUUGGGCCAGUGGAGAUCUUUCCAAAUUUGAUAUAAAAGAUUUUGUGAAGGAAUACCACGAAGCAAAGGAAAACUCCAAAGAUCAAGAUUCCAAAAGACCAAGGUUAUCCAACGAGGAAGAACCAAGGAGUUCGAAGGGUAAGAUCAAUGUGAUUCUAGGAGGCUCAUAAUUUUGUCGAGAUUCGAUAAGUUCCAUCAAAAAACAUAGACGAAAUAUCUUACUCAAAGCAAGCUUGAGCGAAGAAGUUGAUUUUCAAGGUGCCUCAAUAUCAUUUAACGAAGAAGAAACGCGGCAUCUCGAAAGACCGCAUGAUGAUGCUCUAGUCAUUACUCUUGAUGUUGCUAACUUCGAAGUAUCAAGGAUCCUUAUCGAUACAGGCAGUUCAGUCGACUUGAUCUUUUUAAGUACUCUAGAAAGAAUGGGAAUCAGCCGAGGAGACAUAGUAGGACCCCCAUCUCCGUUAGUUGCGUUCACAAGCGAGUCAGCCAUGUCUCUCGGAACAAUCAAGCUACCGGUCCUUGCCAAGAAGGUAUCGAAGAUCGUGGACUUCGUUGUCUUUGAUAAGCCCGCAGCUUACAACAUCAUCCUCGGGACUCCCUGGAUUUAUCGAAUGAAAGCAGUCCCCUCUACAUACCAUCAAUGUAUCAAAUUUCCAACAUCAAAUGGGGUGGAAACAAUUCGGGGAGAUCAAGAAGCUUCACGGACGUGUUACCUAGCUAGCCACCGUAUGAAGAUUCAAUAGCAAUUAACGAAGCCCGCAAAAGANNNNNNNNNNNNNNNNNNNNNNNNNNNNNNNNNNNNNNNNNNNNNNNNNNNNNNNNNNNNNNNNNNNNNNNNNNNNNNNNNNNNNNNNNNNNNNNNNNNNAGUGGUGUUGGAAGAAGACAAGCCGGACCGGAAAAUUCGAAUUGGAGCAUGCUUGACUGGCCAAACAAAAGAAGCUUUGGUCGAACUUUUAAAGAAAAACAAAACAUCGUUUGCAUGGUCAGCAGCAGACAUGCCUGGUAUAGAUCCAAAUAUAAUUUGUCACGAGCUAAACGUGGAUCCAAGCUUCAAGCCGGUGAAACAGAAAAGAAGAAAGCUCGGAGUGGAGCGAGCCAAAGUAGUAAAUGACGAAGUGGAUAAACUUUUGAAGAUAUGGUCCAUAAGAGAAGUGCAAUACCCGGAAUGGGUAGCAAACACUGUCGUUGUCAAAAAGAAGAAUGGGAAGGAUAGGGUUUGCAUCGAUUUUACAGACCUCAAUAAAGCAUGUCCCAAAGAUAGUUUCCCACUCCCACAUAUAGAUCGACUUGUAGAGUCCACCGCUGGGAACGAGCUGUUGACAUUCAUGGAUGCCUUCUCGGGUUAUAAUCAAAUAAUGAUGAACCCCGAAGACCAAGAAAAAACGUCAUUUAUUACUGAUAGAGGUAUCUAUUGUUACAAGGUAAUGCCUUUUGGUUUAAAAAAUGCAGGAGCAACUUAUCAACGGUUGGUUAACAAAAUGUUCCAUAAUCAUCUCGGAAAAACAAUGGAAGUCUACAUAGAUGAUAUGCUAGUUAAAUCAUUAAAGAAAGAGGAUCACGUUAAGCAUUUAGAGGAGUGUUUUGAUAUUCUCAAUAAAUAUCAAAUGAAGCUGAACCCGGCGAAGUGUACAUUUGGAGUCCCAUCCGGAGAAUUUCUUGGCUAUAUCGUGACAGAAAGAGGGAUUGAAGCCAAUCCAAAUCAAAUUAACGCCUUUCUAAACAUGCCAUCUCCAAGAAACUUCAAAGAAGUACAACGGUUGACUGGGCGGAUUACGGCUUUGAAUCGUUUCAUCUCGAGAUCAACAGAUAAGUCGUUACCUUUCUACCAAAUUCUAAAAGGGAACAAAGGAUUCCUUUGGGAUGAGAAGUGUGAAGAAGCUUUUGGGCAGCUUAAAGCAUACUUAACCACUCCAUCUAUACUGUCCAAACCAGAAGUGGAUGAAAAAAUUUAUUUGUACGUGUCGGUUUCAAACCACGCGGUUAGUGGAAUCUUGGUUCGGGAAGACCGUGGGGAGCAGAAACCAAUUUACUACGUAAGCAAGUCAAUGACGGAUCCAGAAACCAGAUACACAAUGAUGGAAAAACUCGCACUCGCGGUGGUGACUUCGGCCCGAAAGCUGCGCCCAUAUUUUCAAUCCCAUCCGAUUGAAGUAUUAACCAACCAACCACUCCGAACAAUACUUCAUAGUCCAAGUCAGUCCGGACGUUUGGCGAAAUGGGCGGUGGAAUUAAGCGAGUACGAUAUAGAAUUCAAAAGCCGGAUCAGUAUGAAAGCUCAGGUUCUAGCAGAUUUCUUAACCGAGCUACCAAUACCUGGAACGAUAGAGCAUUCGGAGAACCAAACCUGGAAAUUACACAUAGAUGGGUCUUCAACAAAGCAAGGAUCCGGAGUGGGAAUCAAGUUGGAAUCCCCAACAUCAGAAAUUCUAGAACAAUCAUUCCGGUUGUUAUUCAAUGCCUCCAACAACGAGGCAGAAUACGAAGCCCUGAUUGCCGGACUUCGAUUAGCACAAGGAGUUGGAGCUAAGGAAAUAUUGGCUUAUUGCGAUUCGCAACUAGUAGUUAACCAGUUUAAUGGAGACUAUGAAGCCAAAGACUCAAGAAUGGAAGCGUACCUCGAAGUGGUGAAGGAUCUAUCUAAAAAUUUCUCGAAAUUCGAAUUAAUCCGCAUACCUCGAGGAGAAAAUACAAUUGCGGAUGCACUUGCCGCAUUAGCGUCAACAUCAGACCCUGAGUUGAAAAGAGUUAUUCCAGUGGAAUGCAUUUCGGAACGAAGCAUUCAAGACAACAAAGAAACCCUCAUAGUUACAAGGUCUCGAGCAGCGGCACGCGACCGUGGCGAACCAGAGAUCGAACCGCCACCCAACAAACGAAGGAAGUCAAAGGGAUCGAAUACAUCUAACAAGGAACCCGUUGUCUCAGCUGAAGAGGUGAUUCCAGAAACAAUGUUAGAAACCGAGCCGUUAAUCGAGGAGGAUGUUCUUGAACCAAACGAGCAUCCCGAGCCAGAGCCACGAGUAUUUCACAAAGUUGACCAAAUUCCGGCUAAAGACUAGGGGGCUGACUGGAGGGAGCCAAUAAAGCACUACAUCAUGACAGGUGAGCUCCCAAAGAAUAAAUGGCAGGCCAGGAAAAUGAAAAUCGUUAGCGCGAAAUUUUGUCUGUCAAAAGAUACAUUGUAUAGACGAGGUGUCAGUGACCCUUACCUAUUAUGCAUUUUUGGGCCCGAAGUCGAAAUCGUUAUGAGCGAAGUGCAUGAAGGAUUAUGUGGGAGUCAUUCAUCAGGAAGGGCUAUGGCUUUUAAAGUUAAAAGAAUGGGAUAUUAUUGGCCCACUAUGAUUACAGAUUGUGUUAAGUUCGCCCAAAGAUGCAGGCGCUGCCAACUCCAUGCACCAUUGAUCCAUCAACCGUCGGAAUUAUUCUCCUCCAUUUCCUCCCCAUACCCGUUUAUGAGGUGGUCAAUGGACAUCAUUGGACCAUUGCACAAAUCAACUCGAGGUGUACAAUACCUUUUAGUCCUUACGGACUACUUUUCGAAAUGGAUUGAAGCUGAGGCGUAUGUUGGUAUCAAGGAUUCGGCGGUGAAGACCUUUAUUUGGAAAAACAUUAUAUGUCGACAUGGAGUUCCAUACGAAAUAGUCACUGAUAAUGGACCACAAUUCAUUUCACACGAGUUUGAUGCCUUUUAUGCGGACUGGGGAAUCAAAGUUAGUUAUUCUACUCCACGAUAUCCGCAAGGAAAUGGUCAAGCUGAAGCCGCGAACAAGACAAUAUUAAGCAAUCUCAAGAAACGCUUAAGUCAUCUAAAGGGAGGAUGGUAUGAGGAACUCCAACCCGUCAUGUGGGCCUAUCGUACAACCCCUAGGCGACCUACAGGAGAAACUCCAUUCUCUUUGGUUUAUGGCAUGGAGGCGGUAGUACCAGCUGAACUCAAUGUGCCCGGACUUCGCCGAACAGAAGCACCGUUAAAUGAGGAAGAAAAUUCAGCAAUGCUUAAUGAUUCACUAGAUACCAUAAAUGAAAGGCGUGAUCAAGCUCUAAUUCGGAUCCAGAAUUACCAGCAGGCAGCAGCCCGGUAUUACAAUUCUAAGGUUAAAAGUAGGCCGUUCUUCAUGGGAGAUUAUGUAUUAAGGCGCGUCUUUGACAACAAAAAAGAAGAAGGCGCCGGUAAACUCGGUAUUAAUUGGGAAGGACCUUACAUUAUUACCGAAGUGGUUCGGAACGGUGUUUAUAGGUUGAAAGACUUAGAAGACAAUCCAGUCAAUCGACCUUGGAAUGUGAUCAACCUAAAGAAGUUUUAUGUUUAAAGCUACAUUCAUUGUUUAUGUACAUGAACUACGGUGUGGCUUGAUCCCGAGAUGGGUACGUAGGCAGCUCGGAAACGAGUUCAGCUAUUAAUAAAAAUUUGUUUUAUUUCUUUAUUAAAGGAAAAAGGUUCGACUGUGCGAACAAGUGAAGCAAAUAAAGGGUCGGCUAUGCGAACAUACAAGAGAUUGGAAAUAGAGCGUUUAUUCAAAAGGCGGAACGUCCCUCAUCGUACACUUCGGACUAUGAAAAUCUUGUUGACGAGCAUAACACUUCAACUCCUUGACCAGCAAGAUCAAGGAUUGGCAUCAUGCAGUCCAGAAUUCGAGCAAAGUCAGAGAUUCCAAGCUCAAUCCACUCUCCGGAGUGAGAUUCAAGGAUGUGAAGAUCUCUUGACACCGUAGUAAGCCUGCGUUGCAUCCGGUUAAUCCUCUUCCGGAGUCUCCUCUUUUCCAACAUAAGCUUCCGAUGUUGAAGCUCGAGUGCCUCUAUGAACGCCGUCGCUGUUCCUUGGUCUCUGAUUGGGAGAUCCCUGAUCAAAGCACAUGGGGCUCGGAUCUGAGAUCUCAAGAAGCCGCGAAGUGGAGGAGGCUGCCUGCUUGGCUCAUUUGGAACAUCUUCGUUUAUCAUUCUGAUUCUGGAGAAGUCGGGCAUAGAUUCUGAACAGCGAAGAUUGAACUCCAUACCUACUAAAAUAAAAAGAAUGGUGAGGAGUAAAGGGAAAUUGAGACUAUAAUUUAUAGGAACGUCAUAUCCCUAGCAAGCUACGGAUUCUAUCCUAAGAAUGGAGUGAUUCGCGGAGAGAUUUAUGCCCUCGAACAGAUCCUGCAUUAAAAGACGCAUCUCCGAGAAUAUUUGAAAAGAAAGGAAAGUUGCAAAUGUUUCCAUAAAUAAAAAGGGGCCGAAGCCCAUUACGAGUUUAAAAUAAGGGAAGAAGUUAAAGAACAUUUAUGGAAGAGGCUCAGGAACAGGCUCCUUCAUCGCCGGUUUAGUCUUCGAAGUGGACGCCUUGUUCUUGGCAUCCACUUCGGGAUGAUCCCGAACGCGUUUCCGACAGGUGCUGGCCUCCUCUUCGUCUUCUUCUUCGCUGUCAGAUGGAACGGCGCAGACGGGGGCGUUCACGGGACCCGGGAUUCCUUUAGCGCGGAAGAUACAUCCGAAGCAUCUUCGGGAUCUCAGCGACAGAGUCAAAGUUCCGCCAUUCCCAUUGAAAGGGAUCACUUUCCAAGGCCCGUAUCUUCCUCUCCACCCGAGCAAUGCGAGCCUCGAGUGUUUGCCUUUUGAGGCCCAGCCGCUGCCUCUCUUCACACAAGCGACGGUACUUGUCGGCAACCUAGCAUAAAGAUGAGCGAAUAAGAUGAAACAAAAAGUUUUUAUAUAAAAAACUUUAAAUAUUUACCUUGUCAAUAAAAUCGCAAGCCUCUUUCUUCUCCUUUGGAGGAAAGUGAAAGACGGCGUGAGGGAAGAGAACGCCGGCCGGUUCAAAGCCGUCGCCGGACAAGAAGAGUGGGCUGCCGGGAUCAACGGGGGCUACUUUUUCGUUUUCCAUUCUCGCAAUAUUACUCAAGUAAGAUUCUAAAAACGUAGUUAAAUAAAGCUUGGAGGUAGGUAAGCCUUUAUUUAUAAUGAUUUAGGGUUUGUCUUGGAACCAUAAAUCCAAUAAUGGUAGAGUGUCCGAGUGGUUUAAACCAUUUUUGGAAAAUCGAGAAAAGGCAGUUAUUGCACUAAAGACGAGCCGUUUUCCUUACUUAUAAAAAGGGAAAGAGCAACCGUCGCAUUAACUACAAAAGUUUCUAAGGCCCAAGCCCAACAAAUUUAUCGAGUUGACUAAACCCGAAGUGGGGAACUCGCUUUAAGCCGAGCUCAGUUCUCGCAUUCUAAAGAGAAAGGUCUGAUCAGCCUAAAAAUCUCAAAAGCAUAACCACAAGGCCACAAAAGGUUAAAAGCGGACUUUGCAAACCCGCAUAUAAUUUUAACCAAACCCCCUUGGGUCAUAACCUAGAAAGGUUUAAAAGCCUCCUCAGGCAAAUAUCUUGUUCAAAAGAAAUAAUAAAGCCUCCUUAGGCAAAGACAAGUUCGAAAUUAAGUUUUAAAAUAAAUGGGACAAUCCCCAAUUUAAAGUGGACGCAGCCACUACGGAGUGAUAUCCACCUCGGACUCCGGCUCAGCAACCGAAGUUUCAUUCACCUCCUUGACUGGUGCUUGGUCGGAUGGAGCUCUUGGUUCGCCCUCUACAUUACAACCAUCCUCCGGAGUAACCGCCGGUGCCGCAGGUACUUCGGGUGGGACGACAUCCUCCGCCUCACCUAAACCUGGAAAGGACAGUUCCAGUCAACUUUUUUAAAAAAAAAACACACAUAAGGUGAGAAAAAGGUAGUAAGUAUCAGGAGCCAAGCAUUACCUGCCCAGUCUAGACCCGAUUCACUUAUAGGAGGCGAUUCAGUGAAGAAUUCCUCGAAGUCCUGCGGGAUGAAGGUCGAAGUAGGGAGAGCUGCCAAGCGACUCCGCUUUUCAGAAAGAUUAGCCGACAGUUCGGUCCUCUCUUGCACCUCGGAGAAAUCUGUAUCAUGGAUUUGAUCCAACAAGAUCAGGUUGCUCUCGUGCUCCUUGAUGUCUGAUUCCAAAUCUGAUCUAGCUUUCUCGGUCUGCAUGAAUCGGAUGGCCCCUUGGAUCAACUCCAUCCCGCGUCCCUUAACCUCCUUUCUGGCUUUUGAUGCCGACCUCGCUAAAUCGGAGUCACGCAAUUUGGCAAUCGCCUUGUACUUCGCGUUAAGCUCAAUAAGCUGGUUGUUCAGGGUGUCGGCGGUUGAUUCGGAUUCAUGAAGUCUACCCUGAACACCAUAAAGCUCACCCUGGAGUUUGAAAUUUUGGUCGUACUGGUCCUGUAGCUCCCCCUUUAUCUUCGCAAGCUCGGACGAUAGACCAUCAACCUUGUCUUCCAAAUCAUGCUUGGAGUCGGUAGAAGAGCGGAGGUCAACCUCGAGAUUAGAAAACUUGUCCUUCCACGUGUCGAUCUCUUUCUCCCGACCAAUGACCAACCCUUCGUAAUGUUCAAUUAUGUCAUUGAGCUCGCCGUUCGCCUGAUAUUACACAUAAACCCGGAAUGACGGAUCAGUUCGAAAAAUGACGGUAAAGUCAGAAAUUGAAGCGGAACUAACCCGAGAUGAAUGAUAAGCAUGAAGUAGGUAUCGUUCACGAAUUUCAGAGCGCCACUUGUUGAAUUCCGGCAGGAUCGCACCUGACUGGGUUUUGAAGCACCGAAAAACGUUACCUUCUUUCUCCAUGGCUACGAAAGCGAAAAAGGAAAGGACUUAGAAAUUCAAAAUAAGUAAAAAGCGAAAGAAUAGUUCGCUAUGUGCUCACCACAUGACGAAAAGAAUACAUGUGUAUCGUCAUACCUGAGAGCGAUUUGAUCUGAGGAACAAGAGCAGGCUUUGUCUUCGGAGAAUCAUCUCGAGACUCAGAACUAUCCUUCUGAGAAGCUGCACCCAGGUUCGUCUUCUCACCACUACGUUGAGAAGAAGAAGACAUAUCAACAGGACGAGGCGGACCCAUUGGUUCAGUAGGAGGGGAUGAUCGAGGAGAACGGUCAGUCCGGGCCCUUGACUUCUCUCUUCGCGGAGAAGAACCACUGCGGGAUGACCUGUCCCUCUUUUUGCGAAUUAAAUCCUUGAGCGGUUCGUUGCUAAAGUCAUCCCGGGAAGAACGAUGAGAAUCACGGUUAGGAGAUUGAAGCCUCCGGGGAGGACGGUCAUCGUGAUGUUCACGUCGAGGUGUUAAUCUGAAAACAGCGACGGAUCUGGCUCCUUCGGUGCUACCGUCGUCAACCAAUAAGGUUUUGCUAUAAUCUUUUUUGUCAAUGGCGGUCGCAAGGAACGCCUUGUUCUCGUCGCAAGCCUCAGCCAUCGGCUUGGAGAUCACUUUUCGCUGGGCAGUGAGAGCCCGAGCUAACAUUCCCUAGGUUGAGGGAGGAGGCGGAAGACGAUGAAGAUGGUUGGGAGGGCUCAUCCUGAGUUUUCGAUUGGCUUCUAUGAACCGAUCGAGAGUGAAAGAAUUCCAAAGGGUUUCCCCUUCGAGGAUUAUUUUGAAGAAGCCAAUGAAUUCUUCAGUUGGUAAAGUCGGAGCGACGAAAGCUGCGAAGUGAAAAUAACAAGGUUAAUCAAUAGGAAUAAUAAAAUUGGGGGAAUGUAUGCGACCUAACUUCUACCAGGUUUCGUGGACCACUUCGAUGGAAGCGAAUCUGAUAGACUUCCAACCGAAGCAGGGGUUUUCUUAAUCAGGAACCAAGGGUGAUGCCAAUUUUCAUCCUUGUUUGGAAGAUGCGAAAUGACGUUCCACGCUUCUCACGCUUCGAAAUAAUGAAAAUAGCAUUAGGGUAUGCCGAGAAAUACCCUGUCUUCUUCGAUGAACUUCUCACGCUUAGAAGCUCAUUCAACUCGGGGACCCCUAUAAUGUAUCCGGCUUCCGCCGCUACUGUUAUAAUUCCAAGUAUGGUUCGGAGAAGAUUGGGGGUCAAUUGAGGAUGAGCGAUCUCAAGAACCGCCAAGUACCGAACUAGGGCUUCGGGAAGCGGGAAGGUUAAUCCGCAACCCUUGAAAUAAAUCUCGUACACACAGAAGUAACCAUCGCGAUGGUUCUCUAGGGAUUCUGUGGGGGCAGCUAUUUGUGCUUCCGCCAUAAUUUCCGGCGGAAUCCGGCAAAGCUCUCUCAAUCGCUCGAGGGAUUGAAGAGUACAAGUGGAUCUAUAGUGCGGGCCGGCAAUAUCAUUAGGGCGAGUGCACUCGUCAUUACUAGGGCGCCUAUCGUCGAAUGACGGAGAUUCGGGUCUUUCAGAAUCAGAAGUCAUUGGGAAAAUGGAAGGUUCGAGAUCCAACGAAGAGAAAUUUGGCAAAGGAAAAGAAGAGAGAAAUUUCGGCUAAAAAUGCAAAAGUAAAAGAAGUAAUGAUGAAAGAAGUUACCUCACGGAAGUUAAGUGAUAAUGGUGAAACCGCCUUGGGAAUCGUGGGGGAAGUGGAAAGGUUUCCCGCUUUAAUAGUAAAUAAUUAAGAUACGGUCAUAAUGAUGACAGAUGUCACUCAAGUAGAAAUGGCUAGUGCCGAAAUUAAAGGAGUGAUGAGAUUUUCGGCGGGAAAUCAGAAAGAUUCUCGAGCGCAAUCUUUGGUCAUUUAAGCAUUUAAAGUCCUCCGAAUUGGAAUGGCACUUCGAAGAACUUGGGGGGCUAAUUGUUGGUGUCGGAUCCCGCACCAGAAGUCCGAGACCAACCAAAGAUUGCCACGUAGUCAAGAUAAAGCCCGUCGAAUCCAUGAGCCAAGGGAACAGUCGAAGUGGUUGUCACCACUUCGAGAAUCCGAAGUGACUGCACUAUGACAUGAGUUCGGUGUAGAAGACACGGGUAAGUCGGUUCAAGGAUACUUGGGCCAAAAAGGCGAGGCCCAUGAAGAUCAGAGUCAACUCAAAUUCAAACGUUGAGCAUUAAAGUCAAAGAAUCAAAACGGACACAUUUAAGAAGGAAUAAUUGUAUUUAAUUAUUCAUUUUAAUGUCGUUUCUCUAUGUAUAAAUAAAAAGGCCAAUGGCCAUGUAAAGGGGAUCCUCCUCUCAAGAAAGAAAUACUAUAGCAAUUUUCGUAGCAAUUUAUCAGUUUUUACAUAUUCAUUUUUGUCCCUCAAGAAUAAUCUUUCCUACUUAAUAAAAUACUUGAGUGUGUGAAUCCGACAUCCACAGUGACCAUUGCAAGAAAAAAGGUCACUUGAAGGAUAAAUGCUGACUUCUUCAUCCCCAUUUAAAACCAGAAAAAUUCAAGAACUUUCAAGCCAAAGGAAAUGCGGUUAAUGGAAGUGAUGGGUGGGUCAGAGAAUGAAGAAAGAGCUAUGGUUCAGUAUGGGCAAGAGAAAGCGAUGCAGGCCAUUACACAAGGCAAGAGUGGUGCAUCUACCUCACAAGCUCCGGAGACUAUUGUCAUGAACAAGGCUGACCUCGAGUCUCUCCUCCAAUCCAUUGCAUCUAAAUUACACAUUGGCGGUAUUUGUUUCUUAACUUCUAAUACUCGUGAUAAAGAUUCAUUAGUAUUAGAUUCAGGGGCUUCUCACCAUAUGAUUAGUAACCCUAGGUUGUUAGAGAACAUUAAACCGGCCUUAGGUAAUGUUAAAGUUGCAAAUGGACAUAAUGUUCCAAUAGAAGGCAUAGGUUGCAUAGAUUUGUUCAAUAAGAAGUCUAGUGCUUUCUAUAUUCCUAAGUUCACUUCAAAUCUUCUCUCUGUUAAGAAAACGACUAAGGACUUGAAUUGUUUAGCUAUUUUUAGUCCUAAUGACGUGAAGUUGCAGGAUAUUGAGAGUGGAAAAGUGUUUGGGCAAGGAAGCACCAAGGAUGACUUAUAUGUGUUUCAAGACAUCUCUUUAAAUUCUGUUUCUAAGAAUAAUGUUUCUUCUAUCUUUUCAAACUCUGUUAAAACAUCGGUUGUAUUGUGGCAUGAGAGACUUGGCCAUCCACAUUCUCGAGCUUUAAGUUUAUUAAUGCCUGGUUUUUCUUAUGAUUGCGCAAAUUGUGAAGCAUGCAUAUUAGGCAAACAUUGCAAAGCUGUUUUUCCUAAGUCUAGUGCGAUUUAGGAAAAAUGUUUUGACCAUGUGCAUUCUGAUGUGUGGUCUUCACCUUGUGCAUCUAGAGACAAUCAUAAGUACUUUGUCACUUUUAUAGAUGAGAAAUCUAAGUAUACAUGGGUAACUUUGAUGCCAUCUAAGGAUAGAGUUUAUGAUGCGUUUAUAAACUUUCAAAACUAUGUGACUAAUCACUUUGAUGCAAAGAUUAAGAUUCUUAGAACAGAUAAUGGAGGUGAAUAUACAAGCAACAAGCUCAAAGAACACUUGGAGAAAUGCGAAAUCCUUCACCAAACUAGCUGUCCAUACAAUCCACAACAAAAUGGAGUUGCUGAGAGGAAGAAUAGGCAUUUAAUGGAGGUGGCAAGAGCUAUGUUAUUUCAGAAGCAUAUGCCAAAGCGGUUUUGGGGAGAUGCGGUGAUGACAGCAUGUUAUCUCAUCAAUCGAAUACCGACACGUAUCCUUGAUGAUAAAUCUCCAUUUCAGAUUUUAAACAAAACUAUCCCUAACAUUGAUCAUUUGAGGGUCUUUGGAAGUCUUUGUUUUGUGUUUAUCCCAGGUGACUUGAGGAACAAACUGGAACCCAAGAGUAAUAAGUGUGUUUUUAUUGGAUACUCAACAACUCAGAAAGGUUACAAGUGCUUCGAUCGAGCCAACAAUCGAUAUUAUGUAUCAAGUGAUGUCAAGUUUAUGGAAGACAAGGCCUACUUUGAAGAGAAGAGCUGGGAAAGCGUUAAGGACCUCCCUAAUUCCACUUUAGAUCGUGCUCAGAGUCUUCGGCAUAUUCUAGAACAUUUGGGUAAUGUAAGCUCUCCACAAGAAGAUAAGGAAGCUACACCAAAUGAUGGUAACAAUCAAGCCCAAGAAAGCGGUGAUAAUACACCACAAGAGUCUCUGGAUAAUCAACAAGAGAGUGGUAAAGAAGAAGGGUUAAGUGAAGAAGUGGAAGAGAAAGAUCCAUCUAGUGAAGGUGACAUUAUUGAAUCAUCAAGAGGAGAUGAGACUUAUCAAGCUCCACCAGUAACACGAGAUCCUAUCUAUACUCGGGAGAAUCCAAGAAGGAGUACAAGAGAGAGAAAAUUGAAGAAGUGCCUCUAUAAUUGCCAAGCCGUGGCUCAUCCAAUUCAAGCAACAUUUUCGAUUGACCUUCUUCCCGAGGAACAUAAAGCUUUCAUUAGUAAGCUAGAUGUGGAAUUUAUCCCACAAAGCUAUGAAGAAGAUAAAGAAAGAAAGGAGUGGACGAAUGCGGUAGAUGAUGAAGUACAAGCUAUGAUAAGGAACCAUACAUGGGAUGAAGAAGAGCUACCAAAAGGAAAGAAGUGUGUUAGCUCAAAAUGGGUAUUCACCAUUAAGUACAAGAGUGAUGGUGAAAUUGAAAGAUAUAAGGCUAGGCUGGUUGCAAGAGGGUUCACACAAACCUAUGGUGAUGAUUAUAGGGAAACAUUUGCUCUGGUAGCUAAGCAACACACGGUGAAGGUUGUUCUAUCUUUGGCGGUUAAUUUGGAUUGGGAGUUGUGGCAAAUGGAUGUCAAGAAUGCUUUCCUUCAGGGGAGUUGGAAGAAGAAGUCUACAUGUCACCUCCUCCGGGUUUAGAAGACAUAGUGGCUCCGGGAAAGGUCUUAAGGCUUCGGAAAGCAAUCUAUGGUCUCAAACAGUCUCCAAGAGCUUGGUAUCACAAGCUAAGCUCCACCUUAUUGGCUAAUGGCUUCAAGAAGUCACAUUCGGAUCAUACUUUGUUUACUAAGCAAGAUAAUCAAGGCAUAGUAGUGGUAUUGGUCUAUAUUGAUGACUUGAUUAUCUCGGGAAGUAACAAAGAAGGGAUCCAAGCGAUUAAGUCUUCUUUACACUCAGCCUUUGAUAUUAAAGAUUUGGGUGUGUUGAAGUAUUUCUUAGGGAUUGAGGUGUGUAGAUCCAAGGAGGGACUGUUUCUCUCACAAAGGAAAUACGCCCUCGAUCUCCUAAAGCUUACAGGGAAACUUUGAGCUAAACCAGUGGAUACACCACUAGAGCAAGGAUACAAGGUCAAUCGAAAGGGGGAGAAGGAUGAUACUCCAUAUCAUUGCCCGGAACAGUAUAGAAGACUUGUAGGUAAGCUCAUAUAUUUGACAUAUACUCGGCCUGAUCUCUCUUUUGCCGUGAAUCAGGUGGCUCAGCAUAUGCAAGCCCCUACGGUGUACCAUUGGAGUUUGGUGGAGAGAAUUCUGAUAUAUAUCAAAGGAAGUCCCGGCAAAGGCAUUUGGAUGGGAAGAAACUUUAGCACGGAAAUUGUUGGGUACUGUGAUGCAGACUACAAUGGAGAUCGCAACACAAGGCAGUCCACAACCGGCUUUUGCACUUUCAUUGGUGGCAAUCUUGUAACUUGGAAGACAAAUAAACAGAAGGUGGUGUCUUGUUCGAGUGCUGAAGCGGAGUAUAGGGCUAUGAAGAAGCUCACAAACGAGUUGACAUGGCUGAAGGCUCUACUAAAGGACUUUGGGAUCGAGCAAAAGACGCCAAUUACCUUCCAUUGCGACUACCAAGCAGCCAUCCAUAUUGCUACUAACCCCGUGUUCCACGAGAGGACCAAGCACAUAGAGACGGACUGCCACAAGACAAGAGAGAAGAUCGAAGACGGUACAAUCCUUCCUUGCUACACUACGAGUUCGGACCAAUUGGCCGAUAUCUUCACCAAGGCAGCAAGUAACCAAGUUUAUCAAUUUAUCCAUGGCAAACUUGGUCUUGUAGACCUCACACAUCCUUGAGAAAGGCUCCCUAACUCGUUGGGACAAUACUCUUUUUCCCUAGGCUUGGUUUUGUCCCACGUGGUUUUCCAAGCUUAGGUUUUUAAUGAGGUUGUUCUUGCGAGUGCCAAGUUUAUACACAAUGAGUAUUGUAGUAUAAACUUGAGGGGGAGUGUUAAUCAAGAAGACAUUUAACACUUGGGUUACUCGGGUUACAGGUUACAUGGUUAAAUGUAGGUUACUUGGGUUACUCGGGUUACAGGUUACUUGGGUUACUCGGGUUACAAGGCUGAAUGAGGGUGCUGUUGGUCUUUGUGCACAACCCACCUCAGACCUAGAUUUUGUUCUCUAUAUAAACAUGUGUGCCUCCUCAUUGUGUGAGACACAUCUAUUAUUCAACACAUUUUAAGUUUCUCUCUAUUCUUAAAUCAUGUUUUAAUCAAUCUUUCCUAAGCUGAGAUAGAUGCGCCACUCUUGCCUUGUGUAAUGGCCUGCAUCGCUUUCUCUUGCCCGUACUGAACCAUAGCUCUUUCUUCAUUCUAUGACCCACCAUCACUUCCAUUAACCGCAUUUGCCUUUGGCUUGAAGUUCUUGAAUUUUUCUGGUUUUAAAUGGGGAUGAAGAAGCCAGCAUUUAUCCUUCAAGUGACCUUUUUUCUUGCAAUGGUCAUAAACCCAUGUCUUCUUGUCUACUUGCUUGACAACUCCAGCCUUGUUUGCAGUCGGGAGACUUCCUUUGCUGUUAAACAGUCCUUGAGCUCCAUACUCUUUCUGAAUCUUCGCACACGCUUGUUCUAGAGUUGGCACCUUGUCAUCUCUUAGUAUAUGCUGAAUCACAUCAGUGUAGCUCGAGUUUAGUGUCAGCAACAAACCGAAUACCAAAUAUUGCUCUCUACGAUCCUUAAGAGCCUUUGCCUCAGUAGUGAAGGGUCUUAACAUCUCAAGCUCAGGUACAAGCGACCUGUACUUUCCAAAGUGAGUGUUGAAAUCACUCUCUUCUUGACUUAGCUCACCAAGAACUUUCUUGAUAUGGUACACUCGGGUCAGAUUAGUCUCAUUGCCAAAGACAUUAGCUAGAGUGUCCCAUAACUCCUUUGAAGUCUCACAAUACGAAUACCCUUCCAAGAUCGCAGCGUCUGGAGAACAAUGUAGAGCGCUUAAAACAUUCAGAUCAUUCUGCCUCCAAGUAUCUUCACUCAAGUUCUCUUCUUUAGCCUUUGCUUCUUCAUAGGUAUUUUCGAUGUAUUUAGUGAAUUUCCUUCCUCCCAAUACAUUUGUUGUGGUUCUCUUCCACAACAGAUAGUUGUUACCAUUCAACGUGACUGCGAAUUUCAAGUCUUUCAAGUCCUUGAACGUAUCACUCGUUUUCUGAACUGUGAGAGACAUCUUCAACAGUUUCAGGAUGUAAUAACCACAAAUAAACCGAAAAGGUGUCGACUUUCUUCCCAAUAAGCAACCGCAAACAAACCAAUCAGCAACUACUACUCUACCGAAGCUUUAAUUCUGAGCCUAGUUCUGAAAGUAUCUAAGAAUCUCGACCUAAAGAAGAUAAAAGCUCAAACCUUUGGAUACACAAGACCAAACGCCUGAAAACUUCUCCUCUUCAACCCGCUUUGACACUAAUCCACAAAGAACUCAGAAAGGUUGAGGCUUUUACGAUGAAUAGCUCUGUCACAGACCAGUAGUAACUCUCCUUCACAAACAGAUGCCUUUUCGUGAAGAAGUAGAAGAAGAAACCGAACAACUUGUUUAGAAGCCAGAUUCGAACAAAGACAAAGAGAAAACAGAGAACCGAUGAACCAAAAGAUGAAGAUUAAAGAUUAAGAACGUGCUCUGAUACCAUGAGAAUAUUUAAGUAGGAAAGAUUGAUUGAAACAUGAUUUAAGAAUAGAGAGAAACUUAAAAUGUGUUGAAUAAUAGAUGUGUCUCACACAAUGAGGAGGCACACAUGUUUAUAUAGAGAACAAAAUCUAGGUCUGAGAUGGGUUGUGCACAAAGACCAACAGCACCCUCAUUCAGCCUUGUAACCCGAGUAACCCAAGUAACCUACAUUUAACCCUGUAACCUGUAACCCGAGUAACCCAAGUGUUAAAUGUCUUCUUGAUUAACACCUGGAACCGGAAGGUAGCUAUUCGACGACAGAGCACGAAAUCCGGGUGACUAGGUUGACUAGUGAUUUGUUCAGCGAUUUCGAGAAUGGUAAGUAACAGUAACAUAAAAUAGCGUACUUGAACAGCUGUAUAUUAUUAUGAACGACUAUGUAAUAAUAUUGAAUGUCUAAAAGAAAACUUGUGGUAUAAAUGGCACAACUGGAGCUUCAAGUGGGGAGCAAACUGAGAUGGCUGAGCCAGCACAUCGCAAGCGAUGCGGAGCCGGCAACAGCCGCGGAUAACAGUUAAUAUUAUAAAGUAGAGCAAUAAGGAUAGAAAAAGUGUGAGGCCGCUUAAUUAAUUACAAUUACAUGUGUACAGGUGAAGGUGGUGACAACGACAACAAUGACCCACCUGUCGGAGGAAAUGUUGCAGGGAUGAUACGCUUGCUAAACCUGUCAGAACACACUUUUGCACGUGACGCAGCACCGGUGCUUAACGACGCCAACCCAGACGGUAAUGUCUAUAUAGAGGGCUAUGUUUUGAGUUGGUUAUGUAAUUCUGUUUUUGGUGGUUCACAUACUAACAUAGAUGGUUACACAUCGCAGCAGUUGGUGAUAGAACAUGAUUGUUCCUACUGGACGUGGAUUACGAAGGGGAUGAGAUAUUUGUAGGGUGAGUGUUCAAAAACCGAGACGACUGUAGAGUGAAGAUAGCAGUUCAUGCGAUCAACAGGAAGUUCAGCUUCUGUAAUGAUCUGACGGCCGUCUUUUCCCCUCUUUACGGCGGCUGUGGGGAGAGAGAACUCUCUAGGCUGGGCGAAUUGUUUAGUUGUUCUAGAAAAAUUAUAAUCAUUUUUUGCUUGGAAUAUAUAUAUUGGUUUAUGUUCAAUUUAUGAUUUUGAAUGCAGUGAUUUUGGAUCCAUCGAAGAUCCAUCCAAAAGGUGCGGAUCUUAUCCGCUACGGGUCAGACUUUUAAAAACGCGCGAAUCCUUUCAGCUAUAGGUCGGAUCUUCUUAAUUAAGAUUUUUAAUCUCGACAUUACCCUUCUUAAUUUUAAUUAAUCAUCUUCUUAAUGCUUAAUUGAGUGGUAAUUGAUGUAAUUAGAGUUGUAAUUUCGGACAUGUUCUACUUUGUACUUUUCUUUUACUUACUUAAUUAUAGGAAGAUUAACAAUAUUAGUAGAUCAUAUUAAGAUGUUUUAAUUAGAUCGAUCAAAAUCAUGGUAUAGUAGUAAAAUUAUAAGAAGAUUAACAAUAUUAGUAGAUCAUAUUAAGAUGUUUUAAUUAGAUAGAUCAAAAUCAUGGUAUAGUAGUAAAAUUUCGGACAGGUUUCACACAACAGCCAAAAAAAAAAGGUGUUUUAGUAUACAAAUCAUAAAGGGGAAUUGCAGUCUAUAACCAAAAAAAAAAUUAUAAUUCACUCUAUAACCAUUCUAACCAUGAACCGUCGAUAUUACAUGUAUUUCAUGUAUUAUAGACAAGUUUACCCUCAUUGCAUAAGUAACAGUUGCCUACUUUCGCAACCUUGAGAAACACGAACCGUAAAAGUGAAAAGACAAGUCGAUGUCUAAUCCUGCCAAUUAAACGACAACUUCGUCGCGAGAGAAAACAGAGAGUUAGGGUUUCACCGGAAUCGACCUUCUGGUUGGGAUUCAUCUCCGUCGCCGGAAUUAGAAGUUUGCCGUCACCAGAUUAGCGGUUGUCGUUUGUUUCUGAGUAAGUCGAGGGUUGGGAUUUCUAUAACUGUUGUCGAUUGCUCCAUAUCUAUUUCUGACUCAAUCUAUCGACUUACUCAGGUGAAUUGCCGUAAACCUUUAAAGAUCAACCGUAAACCUUUAACGCUAUCACCACCACCGCUACCUGUCACCGCAACCACCGCUACUGCCAUCAUCACCAUUGCCAUCGCCAACCACCACUACGGCUACCUCCGUAAUCGCUCCACCCAACACCACCGUAAUCACCAUCACCAUCGCCACCGUUAUCGGCACCAUCACCCCACCGUCACCACCACCACCACCAUCAUCUCCACCACCGUUACCACUGUUAUCGCAACCACCGCUACCGCCACGACCAUUGCCAUCGCCAUUGUCACUACUCACUGCUGCUACAAUUGUAAUCGCCACCACCCAACACCACGGCCAUCACCAUCAUCACGCUGUUUUCUAAUUCAAUUUCUUAUGUUUAUCUACCAUUAUCUUUUUCAUAAGCUAUUCCAAUUGAUCUAACAUUUGUUCCUUAAUUAAACAUUUGUUCGUUUUACCCUCUUCCAACUUGAAUCCACCCAAGUCAUAUCACAAAUCAUAGUUUGAUAUUUGAUAAUUGAUCGAUUGCAUUCAAUAUAGAAAAAGAGAUGAAUAUUGAUUGGAUGAGAAUGAACAAGAGAAGUAAAGAAGACGAGAAGAAGAAAAUCAAUUUUUCAAUAGAUUUGUCUCAAAUAGAAUAGUAUUGUAAGUUUAUGGAACAUCAUAUUUAUUAAUACCGUUUUUAGAUAUAUGUUUUGGGUUUGGGUUUAGACUUCUGGAUUUAGGGUUUAGUAUUUUAGAGUUAAAAGUUGAUUUUAAGUAUAAUAUAUAAGAGAUAGUAAAGUAUUAUACCUAUUUUUGUGUGAUUAUGUAUAUUACAACAUAUUUUUAAUUAUAAACAUGAUUUAUUAGGCAUUGUGGAUACCACUAUCACCACUAUGUUAAUCAUUAGUAUUUUAUUUGCUUCUAUACUAUUUUUUUUGUGCUUUAUAUAAACCAAGUUUAUUAAUUUAUUUUUUAUUUUUAUAAGUUGUUGUCGGUUUUUAGAAAUCCAAAUCAUAAUAUAUAGAGAAAAAAAGACCAGAUUUUUUUCUAUAAAAUUUAUAAAUUUAAAUUAAUGUUUUCAAACACUAAAUAUAACGUAAAAAUCAAAUAGGGUAGAAGAAAAACAAAUAUUAAAAAGAAGAAACAAUUAAGCUUUUUUCUCUCUCCUCACAGACGUCACCUCUCUUUUCCUUCCUCCUUCUAUGCGCGUGUCUUACACCCAAGGUGUGUUUUGUCUUUUCACUACUUAUUAUGGUUAUUCUCUUCAUUUUGGACUUUAGUAUGCUAUAUUCUUCAUUUUCUUUAUCAAAAUGGUCACUCACCUAAUUGCCCCAAUCAUAAAUGCUAGUACCAAAUUUUCAAAAAAAAAAAAAAAAUGUGUAAAUAAAGACCAUAUAUAGUCGCAAUUAAAGAAAGUUACUAGUUGUGUUUGAAAAGAGAAGCAGUAAAUGAACUUCACCAACAUACUUUUUAUUUUUACCAAAAAAGAUUUUCCUUAUUCACACACUUACCAAUAAAUGACAAGAAGACUUUUUUGAAAUACUUUGAACAUCAGGCCUUUCAUUUUUUUUUUGGUAAGGGACAUCAGGCCUUUCAUUAGUGUACGAACAUUUUAAAUUUUUAAAUUUUAGAGUGAAUUAGCGCAGAAGUAAAAUUAGGAAAAAUACAUAACCACCUAAAACGGAAAAUAAUUACUUACUAGUUAUUUGGCCGUCAAUGAGACAGCGCUGAAUACUCGCAACAGUGAUGAUGGUUUACGGCGACGGUGGCGUGAAGACUUAAGGCGACAGAGGGAUAUUAUAGAGGAGAGAUAAAAUGGAACAAUGAGGAAAGAUAAAUGGGUAUCCAAAAGUCUGAUAUUAACAAAAAAGGAGAAGCGCGUGAGGAUAUUUUGGACCGAAAUGUGGGCUAAAUAUUUACGUUAUCUUGGGCUGCACAUUAACUAACCAAAACUAAUUUGAUCUGGAUCCAUUGUCUCUCAGCUAUUUAACUCUAUUAUUUAUUAACCAUAAGCAAAAAAAAUUAUGUUCGUUGGAGUCGGUUCCUUUCAGGUUUAAGUUAAGACCCGUCCGAAUAUUUUAAAAUUUUGAUUUGUUUGAGUAUUCAAUUAGUUAAAUCAAAUAAAAACUAGAUCCGCAAAAAAAUCAAAUAAACCUUUAUAUCCAAAAAAAUGUAGAGAAAUUGCUUCUUAUAGCCUAGAUCAAGUUUUUGGAACAAAAAUAGCACUCAAAAGUUUAUUGGACAAAAAUAGCACUUAUUUUUUAUUUUUUAAAUUAAUAAAUAACUAUAAAUAGAUACAAAAAAUCACAAAUUCAUCGUUAAUAUUUUUCCGCCCAAAAAAAAAUUCCGUCAAAAUUUCCUGCCAAAAUAUUUUCCGCUCCCGAAAAAAAAAAUCGUCAAAAUUUUUCCGCCAAAAAAAAAUCCAAGAAUUUCAGGAAGGAUUCCACGAAAUUUAGGAAGUAUUUCAUGUAAUUUAGGAAGGCUUUCACGAUUCGUGAAACCCUUCCUGAAUUACGUGGAAUCCUUCCUGAAAUUCAUUAAUUCAUUAAAUUCUUCCUAAAUUACGAGGAAUCCUUCCUUAAUUUCGUUGAAUCUUUCCUAAAUUUCGUGCAAUCCUUUCAGGAAUCAUUUCUUGAAAUUCAAGGAAUCCUUCCUGAAUUUCGUGGAUUUUUUUGGCGGGAAAAAUUAGACCGGAUUUGUUUUUGCGGGAAAAUGUUGAAAAUUUUUUUUGGCGGGAAAAUAUUUUUACGUUGCGGAAAUGUUUUGGCGGGAAAAAUAAAUUUUGGUGGGAAAUUUCUAAUUUUAUUUAUUUAUUUAUUUUAAUUGAACUAAUUAUUCAUAUUUAAUAUUUAAUUAAAGUUUAUAGUACUAUUUGUGUAACUUUUCAUAUGUAGUGCUAUUUUUGGAAGAAAAACUUAUUUUAGUGUUAUUUUUUUCAAUCUCCCAAAAAUGUAUUUAUGAAUAUAUCAUAAAAAUAAUUAAUUAAACAACGAAACUUUAUAUUUCUUAAAUAUAAAAUAAAAGCUAAAACAUGCGUAAACAUCUAGAACCACUUCAAUUUUAGGCCAUGAAUUGGAGACAUAUUCUUUGAACCAGAGGGUGUGGUUAUUAAAGAUGUUACCAUUCAACAUAUUUCUAAUAUGUAGUAAUUUUUUAAUUAAAAAGGUAAAAACUAUAAAAUAAAUAAAUAUAGUUAAGUAUGGUUUAGACUUUGUCAAAACGCAUGGUGCGUUCUAUAUAUAUCCAUUUAGGUGUGGUUAUGAUAUAUAAAAAAUCAAAUAAAUAAAAUUUCUCAAAAUUGUACAUUAUAUUCAAAAAAAUAAAAUAAACUGAAGGUAUUUAAAAUAAUUAGUUAAAGUUUCAUAAUUAUUAAACCAUACCGCACUUGUGAUAUUCACCAUUCAUACAUUAUCAUAUACCACUUAUUUCAUACUAACUACAUUUGUUCUUCAUGGUGCGUUGCUCUCUAACGAACCGCAAUUAAACUGCACCGCACUAUUCAAUCUGUUUAUCCCGCAUUAUUAAAUCUACUGUCACCAUUCGGAGCUUUGGAUUGAGAUUUAAAACACUACAAUUACGGAUUUGAAUAACUAUUUUUGAAUACCGCACAUUCAUCACCAAUCAGCAUUUAUUACUACAUAUUGGCAUUUUUUAUUUUUUUUAAAUAAAUAUAUCACGGUUUCCAAAAAAAGUAAAACCAAGUAGACUGUUUUUCAAAAUUGAAACAACUCUUUACCCUACAGUGCAAUGAAAUCUGCAAUGGAUUAUACACUUUUUAUUAUAUUUAUUUUCUAAUUAUUAAAAAUAGCAAUACUUACAACAAAUUAUGAUUAUUCUUAUAUAAAUAUAUAUUUUACGGCAAGUAAAUAUAUACACUUUAAAAUUUUAUUAAUAAAAAUAAAAUAGUUAAUAGUUUCAAAUUUAUUUAUGAAAAAUUAUACAGUAAUUGUUAGAUUUUAUUGAAUGUUGAAAUAUCUUCAGGAGGAACAUGUUCAACUCAUCUAAUAGAAAUUUCAACUCUUCUUACUGAAACAACAUUACAUGUUCAAGAUGAUUACAAUGAAUUUACAAAGACGGAAGUAAUAUUCAUUGUGCCAGACCUUCCUAAACAUAAUAGAUUUUUACUGGGCAUGUAAUAGUACACUUAAAGAGCAAGUAUUUUGAAUUAAAUAUUCUACUGAUAUACAUAGAAAGCACCGAUAAAGAUAAGCUACAACUGCUGAAAACUAAACUGGUAUCUUACGGAAUAUGUGCCCAAACAAUUAGGUUUAGGCCAAUAAUAAUUUUUUUUUAUGAUUGAAAGUUUUUAUUAUAUAACAAUUUGGAUAUUUAAGGUACAUAAAUAUAUGAAAAUGUUUCUUUAUUACCACAAAAUAAACACUAAUUUAUAAUUAUAAAUAUAUUUCUUUCUAACAUAUUUAUCUAUAAUCAGCAAUGCGCACCGCUUGUUGUUUUUCUUACCAUUCAAACUUUUUAUUAUGUACCGCAUAUAGUUUUUUCAUCAAUCAAACUUGAUUCCGUACCGUUUAUUUCGUACUAACCGCACUUAUCCCUUAAAUAUUUUUCUCCCUCACGUACCGUAGUGGAAAGUGUACCGCACUAGAAAACUAUUUUUCUCGCACAACUAAAUACGAUGUUAUCCUUGAGACCCUAAAAAUCUGAGUUUUCUUGUUAUUGAAGGUGUUUAGUAAUGUGCAAACUGUGAAACAUGUCAACCUUAGAGCAUAGAGUACUGAAGCCAUUUGAUCAAAAAAAAAAAAAAAAAAGAGUAGUAAAACCAUAGAUUAGGACAUGAAAAUUUUGGAUGCAUUUUUAUGUAAAAACUUAUUUACGCCAUUUUAUGUAUAAAUUACAUUAUAGGAUUUUUCUAUAUAAAAAUAAUAAUUACUGGACUUUUUUCUAAAUAGUGGUAGUAUGAUUUUACUGAUAAUAAUUAAUUGUAUUGUUAAAAAAUUAUUAUUUUUAUUACUAAAAUUUUUAUUUUUUAAAUACUACACGAUGAAAAAUAUUAUAUUUUUUCUUUUCAGUUUUUUCGUAAGACAUCCAAAAGAUGUCAAAUUGGUCUAUGAAAUAUAAGAUUUUUAAAAAACAGUUGAGAAAAUUUAAUAUAUGAUUUAUAUCUUAAGGAAAAAUUAAUCAUAUAUCAAAACAAAAUCAUCCAUUUAAGCUUUAAAAAAAAGUUUUUUUGCGUGGGAAAAAUAAUCCAGAGUUGGAGAGCUUACAUGGAAACUAGAGAAAUUUCGUGCAUGUGCAUUUUUUUGCAGGACAAUAUUACAACGUUAAAGAUAAUUAAGAAAAAAUAUAUAUAUAUUCUAAUUUCGCAAAGGAUGAGCACUUAUCUGGAGGCUGGAGCAUCAAUCAGUUGAAUAGAAGCCUUACAAUCUGUCUCAAAAAUUACAUUGGUUAAAGAAGACGAAAUAAGGCAUAUCAUUUCCUAAAGUAGAGAUUCAAAUUCUGUGUGAAAGGAUGACAAUAAUAUGUGUGAGCUUUUUUACCCAAGAAGGAUAAAACAACAUAAUAUAAGGUAGAAAAAAGUGGAUGAUGUUGUUAUUUUGAAAAAAAAAAUAAAAUAAAAAAUAAAAUAAAAAUCUCCCGUAGUGUGGCAGUUUUGAUGAGAUUUUGAAUCCCAUGUUAUAACCGUGUUAAGACUAUAAUCGCAACACUCGAUUAUAGAAUCUACGAACGGUUCUACUAUAUACCUUCGAGACUUACUUUUAAAGAGUAGAGAAGAAGGAGAGAGAAUUUUGCUUGAAACAUUUGUGUUUUGAUAAUCGAAUGAAUGAGAGAUUGAGGAGAUAUUUUAUUAUAGAGAGGUGUAGCUUGACCUACACGUUAGAGAGGAAUAGAGUUACGGAAAUAUUCCGCUUUGUUCCACAAGGAUAAGGAUAAGGAUUCGGAAAUAUUACGAAAAUAUUAUUGAUACAAUCUAUAACCUUCUAGAUGUAUCCAAAAUUAUGCAAAAAAUCUUAAGAGAAAAUUAACACACUACAGGAAAUUUGGGUAUUGAUAGCACUAAAAGAUAGCGUUUUUUAUAUCUAUGCUAUCUUUGACUGAAUCGUGAUUUAAAGAUAGCGUUUGAUAAUGUGUAAACGCUAUCAAUGGUUUAAGCGGGAUCCAAAUUUUUCACGCGGCCAAAAAUUUUAGUUAACCCGCUAUUGAAUCUGGUUAAGCGAGACCAAAAAAAAAUGACCUAAGGCAAAAAUAAAGAAAAAACUAAAAUUCACUUUCCUCUUUUUUUCUAAGGGAAAACCCGAUCUAACACUUCCCCUCUCUCUGUUCUUGAGCCAUCGUCGAUUAGAGGAGAGUCUGGGAAAUGAAGAACGUACCUGAAGGAAAGAACCUAUAGAGAAAAUUUUCUAGGUUCGUGCGCAACGAAUCACCAUUAGAGAAGACAUUUCUCUGAGAUUUUGGGGCUGUGGAGUUAGAAAUGGUAAAGAUUAAAACCCUGAGAAAGAGUUAGAAAUUUAUAUUCGAUUGUGUUUAUAAUUUUAUUCAAUUAUGGUAUUUGCGUGUUUGAAAUUUGCAGAUACCAAUCGAAUCGUCAUUGCAAAGAGUUCCUUCAAGCUUUCUAAUCCUCUCGGUUGGUUACUUUAUUCCCUUUCUCAUCGAAUUUUUCAAUUUAUUAUAUCUUUUGCUUGAUCGAUUUUUCAAGUACUUAAAUCGCUGAUUCUUAAUUUGUUGAGUUUCUGAUUACUUGAAUUAGAUCGUGUAAGAUUCUGAUUUUGGAACUCAAUCUUGAUUAGUUUUGAUCUUCUGGGAUCAGAUAUGAUUUUGUAAUUUGUGGUUUUGAUUGGAUUGUAAUUCAUGUAUCAUUGUAGUUGAAAGAGUUAGCUCAAGCUUAUGAAGUGCUUAGUGAUCCGGAGAAGCGUGAGAUUUAUGACGAGUAUGGUGACGAUGCACUCAAGGAAGGAUUGAUAGAUGAUGAACAAGGAAGAUACUCUCAAUUCAGUGAGGAUUUUCUUCUAAGCAAUCCAUGUGAUGGAGGAGACAGCUCCUUGCUUACUCUUUCUGGGGACGCUUCUUCUGAUCUUGACCUUGGCUGUCCUAAUGACAACUUCUCCUUAACAGAGCAAUUGGAACUGCAGUUUUUGUCUGAUGAGCUUGAGUUAGGCAUCACAGACAGUGCUGAAACCCCAGACUUGAUGUAAGUUAACUUGGAGAGACACAUGGAUUGUUGUUACCCUUGAGACUGUUCAGAGUGAGUUUCUCUCCUUAACUUGCUAGCUUUUUUGUUCUGAUUGCAGGAGAUCUACCAAGUGAAUCAUGGCCAAAACUGUGUUCCUGCAUCAAUGUCUGCUACUGCAGAGCUUUCUCCAGGAUCAGCAGUUAACCACAUACCAGGAAUGAGAUGGAUUCCUGAGCUCCAUGAGCUUUUUCUAGAGGCCGUGAAAAAGCUUGAAGGGCCUGAAAGUGAGUUAGCUUUUAUGUUAUUCCAGCAACCAAUCUAUUAUUCGAAAGAGUUCUUCUGACCAAUAUCUUUUUUUGUUUCACUCCUGUUCCCAGACCCCUGAAAGAGAUUUUACUAUCAAGAUAUCUGGUCUGUAAAUAUACAAUGAAAAUGUUAGUGUUUUGCUGAAUUCAUAUUCCGGUCGUGCCCUUAAACUCCUUGAUGACUCAGAGGUAUUACACUAAUUUACAUUAAUUAUGUUCUUGCUCAUGUUAUGGCCUUGAUUGACUGUAGACUGUGGGUACGUCUCAAUGAUAUUAUCUCAUCAUUGUCUUUCUUUAAUCAAUGCUAGAUUGCUGGUUGAUUCCAUGGAUGUGUAAUGAGUUAGUAGUCAAAUUUUUAUCGGAUAUAGCUGAGCUCUGAUGUAGUUAAGGACGGCUCUUGAGGUUUUGCAGGGUAAACUCAAUUUGACAGAGAGGUAAAUGUUGGAGAAAUCAUCUCAGUUAGCUAUGGAGAGAAAUAAAAGAACAGAACUCUAUAACGCUUACAAGAAGCUGACGUCCAAAUAUAAGUUUGUCUGCAAAAGAUUUGGUCUUACUGCCGACAGCUUCCUUGAGGAUGAUGGUCACUGGACCAAGAGUGAAGAAUGUUGUCAAGUUGAGCAGAGUAUAUGCUUACUGAAUUCAGAACCUCCUAUUGAUGAUAUGAUAGAGGAUCAUGACACCACUUUCGUUUUAUAUAUCUCUGUUACAUGUAUACUCUUAUCAUUUGUAAAUAAAAUAUUUCCAACAAUAUUCUUUUGUUCUCCAUUUUCUUUGAGAUUGAUUAUUUAUAUGAGAUUGAUUAUUUUAAGGCAUGUACUUUAGGUUUCAAGUUAAAUGAUUUUAAAGAUUUUUUAAGAUUUUUUAAAUGAUUUUCGAAUUUUGUAAAAAAAAAGUUUAAAAAAAAAAAAACCAAAUAUCUCAAAAAGACAUAAAUAUUUAAUUAUAAUAUUAAUAAUUACAAAAAUAAUAACAAAGUUAUAAUUUUAAAGAGUUUAGGGUAUAGAGUUUAGGGUUUAGGGUUUAGGAUAUAGGGUUUAGGGUAUGAAAUGUAUGGUUUAGGUUUUUGGAUUAUAUUUGUUUGAAAUAGUAAUAAUAUUAAUUAUAACAAAUAAUAACAUAAAUAAAAUUCAUUUUUAAAAAUAGUUUAGGGUUUAGGGUUUAGGGUUUAGGGUUUAGUGUUUUAAAUAGUAGCUAAUAUUAAUGAUAUAAAGUAGUAUACUAUUAUAACAUAAAUGAAUUCUAUCAUUUUAUUAAUUAUAACAUCAUUAAUGUGUUUCAACAAUAUGAUUUACACAAUAAGAAGAUUAGUGUACAUGUAUUCUAAGGCAAUCAUAUGUGUUCCCUUCAAAUUUCUAAAAACGUUGCAAAAUAUUUUUUUUUAAAUUGCGAAAAAUUAUAUAAUCAUGUAAAUAACUCAUAAACAUAUUAAUUCAUCAAUAUAUAAUUUUUUAAAAUUAUAUAAAUAGUAAAAAUACAUUUUUAUGCCUAUAAACAAAAUAAGCCAAUCAUAAUGUUUCACUCGGAUUGCUGAUGUGGCGAGAUCUCAGCCAUUCAUCGGAUCUAAUACUUGAUCAAUUUAAUUACUCAAUCCAAUCAUAAUGUUUCACUCGGAUACAUGACGUGGCAACAUCUCAGCCUUUCAAAGGCUUUGGCGGCUGCAUGUUUAAGGUAAUCACAUCCGUUCAUCGCCCAACAAAGCCUUUGGCGAGAUUCUCUUCAACCCUUUCUUCCUUUCCUCGACAUCGACUGAGAACAAAAUUCACAACAAAAUUAAUUCAGAUUAGGUCUUCGUCUUUGGCGACGGCUACUACGACGCCGGCAACAAGCAGUUUCUCUCCGGGAACCAUGUCGACGCCAAUUCUCCACCGAUGGCCACAUCAUUCCUGACUAUCUCGGUACAUUUCAUAUAUACUGAUCUCUUGAAAUCGGUGCUAAUUCGUGAAACAGAAUGAAUGAAUUUGAGUUGUCUCUGUUUUGCGCAGCUGAAUUGAUGGGUAUCCCAAGAAUCCCACCGAUUCUACGGAGCUCGGCAGAGGAUCUCUCUCACGGAGCUAGCUUCGCUAUGGCCGACGCCACCGUCCUCGGCUCUCCUCUCAAAACGGUCAGCUUUUAGUUUUCUCUAUUAGAUCUCGCCUUUAAGUAAAGUUUCUGUAUGGACCAUUUGAAUUUGCGUUAGUGAUAUCUGGAGAUUUCUUUUGUUUAAGUAAGAUUAGUUUACAUAUGAACACAGAUGACUGUUGUCCAAAAAAAAAAAAAUGAACACAGAUGACUCUGUCUCAACAAGUGAUCAAAUUCUUCCAAAACAAGAACAAAUGGACUGAUAAAGCUUUGUCAGAAGCUAUCUACUUGACCCAUAUUGGCUCUGAUGAUUAUUGGGUUUUAUAGUUUUGGUUGAUUGGUUUCUAGAGCUUGUGCUUUUGCUUCCCUUGUUGCUGCAUCUUCUGUUACAAUUUCUCUUUCGUUUUUCAUAUUGAAUCUUCUUGUUGCUGCAUCUUCUGUUAGUGUGUAAGCUGAUGUUCUUCUCUUUAUUUGGUUUAUAGUUAGUUUUCGUUUUGGUUUCUUUUAUUGACUCUAAGACUGAAUUUGGUUCCUUUAAACAACCUGACAUAGUCAAAAUGAAUGGUUGCUGAUAGCAGAUGUUACUCAAUCGUGUUGGCUACUCUCCUAAGAUCAGCCACAGAGAGCUGGUAGAAAUGGCAGAGCACCGGAAGGAAUUGGAGAAGAUGGCAAAACCCGUUCUUGAUACUCUAAGAAGCUACCAGGACUUGCCUCCGGUAAUCUUCUUACUUUGUUUUCAUUGAAUCGAAAAACCUGAUAACAUCUCUGGUUCUCCAAGUCUUAAUUAAACUGUGAUUGUUCAGCAUUAUGAUGUAGCGUCGUCUCCUUAGUUUCACGAACAAGCAACAAGGCUUUAUGGGUGUUUUUAGUCUUUCCUUUUUGUUUUUUUCCUUUUUGAUUAAACUUCCUUUUAAGACAAGCUUACGUGUCUUUCAAGUUUAGGGUUUGGUGUUUCUAAGUCGGUUGUGACCUUGCCUAUAUAAGGCUUUGCUUUCUCUCUUUUGAUAGACAGUUUUUGAAGUUAUAAACGAGAUUUAUCUCUAAACCCUUGUCUUGAUUUGAUUAGUUUCAUCAACACAGGAAAUCGGUCUCAAGAGAUUCAUAUGAAUCCCUUGAUUGAGCUAAGUAGGUCUCAAGAGAUUAUCACAAAUCUCUUGAUUGAGCUGCAUAUCGGUUCUUACGCUGCGCCAGGUUGGUAUCAGAGCUUUGCUACGCUCCUUGUUUCGAUGGCUAGACCAAAGAAAGAUGUGCCGCCUACGGAGGUUGAGAUCACACGUCAAGCAAUUGCAGAUCUUCAAGUUCAAGUCCAGAAUCUCACAACUGCAAUUCAGACCAUGAAUUUGCAGCCCGUGGUGCGAGAAGUUCACCAAGAUCGUGCCGAAGUUGUAGACAACAAAGCUGAAUCUGAUGUUGAAGAUAAUCCAUUCGCUGGAAAUUGUCAGCCUCGGAACCACCGUCGUGUUGCCGCUGACUCCGACACAGGAGAUGAUGAGAAAGAAGCUCGGUGGGAAAGAGGUUUCAAGCUUGAAAUUCCAGAGUUUCGUGGAGGUAAUGUGGCCGAAGAAUUACUUGAUUGGUUUGUGACAGUGGAAGAGAUUCUUGAAUUCAAACGUGUACCAUUGAAUCGUUGUGUUCCUCUAAUUGCAAUUCGUUUUCGAGAUCGUGCUGCUGCGUGGUGGAGUCAAAGUAAGACGUCACGUUCUCGUCUUGGAAAAUCAAAAAUUGUGACAUGGGAAAAAUUGAAGCGUGAGAUGCACAAAAAUUUUCUUCCCUAUAAUUAUGAUCAAUUGAUGUUUCAGAGAUUUCAGAAUUUACGACAAGGAAAUCGUACGGUGGAAGAGUAUGCUAAAGAGUUCUUCAUGAUGAUCAAUCGAGUGAACACUCAUGAUUCUGAAGAACAAUUGGUGGCUCGUUUUGUUGGUGGGUUACGCUUGCAAAUUCAGCACACACUUAAUCUAUUUCGACCUCUAACAAUCUCAGAAGCCCAUCAACAAGCUUUAACUGUUGAAGCUCAAACAAAGGGAAAUUUUUCUUCGUGGAGUGCCUCACGUCCUUCUCGACCAGCCCCUUUACCAUCACUUUCAAGUCCAGCUAUGGAAUCUUCUGUAACAAAACAAGACACUGCAAUAGUACCUUUCGAUAAUAAUCGUGGAGUAAGGACUGGAACUCUUAGGUGUUUUUCAUGUGGUCAAGUUGGACACCGCCAAUCAGCUUGUCCUACACGGGAUCGUCGAGGGCUUCUCCUGGAUGAAUCAGGUAAUGAUGUUGAAGUUAUUUAUGAUGAAGAACCAGAGAUCACAGAAGAUUUGUCAGCAGAUGUUGGUUCAAUGCUAAUGGUUCGACGUAUUUGCUUAACUCCACGAGUCCAAGAUGAACAUCCUCAACGUCACAAUCUUUUCCAUUCCCGAUGUACUAUUGAGGGUAAAGUAUGCAAGUUUAUUAUUGAUUCAGGAAGUUGUGAGAAUGUCGUGGCAGAAGAUGUGAUCACUAAACUUAAUCGUCGCGGAACCUCAUCCGUCUCCUUACAAGCUAGCUUGGUUGCAACAAGGAACAGAAGUAGUUGUUACACGACGUGCGUUGGUGUCUUUUUCUGUUGGUGAUUCUUACAAAGAUCAACUCCAUUGUGAUGUGGUGCCCAUGGACGCUUGUCAUCUUUUGUUGGGACGUCCUUGGAUUUAUGAUAGAAAAGUUCAACAUGAUGGGUUCUUAAACACCUACAGUUUUUGUUUCAACAAUCGUCACUUCACGUUACAACCGUCUCUUCCGGUGAAACAGAAAGUCCCAUCUAACCCUGUUUUAGUUUUGCAGCGUGCUCCUUUUGAGGCUUCAAUGCGUGAAGAAGGACUUGUUGUUGUUCUUCUUUCUACCACUAUUUCGUCUAACGUUCCAUGUAUCAUUCCAGCUGGUUUUGAAUCUUUGGUACAUGAGUUCAGUGAUGUUUUCCCAGAAGACCUACCACCAGGGCUGCCUCCUCUACGUGACAUUCAACAUCGUAUUGAUUUGGUACCUGAUGCGGCUCUUCCUAAUCGUAGUCAUUAUCGCAUGAGUCCGAGUGAACACGAAGAGCUACGGAAACAAGUGGAGGACUUGGUUUCUAAAGGCUUUUUACGUGAGAGUUUAAGUCCUUGUGCAGUUCCUGCUCUCCUUAUUCCAAAAAAAGAUGGCUCUUGGCGGAUGUGUGUCGAUAGUCACGCCAUUAAUAAGAUAACAGUGCGGUAUCGUUUUCCAAUUCCUCGUCUUGAUGACUUACUUGAUCAAAUUGGUUCAGCAUCUGUGUUCUCUAAGUUGGAUUUAAAGAGCGGGUAUCACCAAAUUCGUAUUCGACCGGGCGAUGAAUGGAAGACGGCAUUUAAAACUCGUGAAGGACUUUUUGAAUGGCUUGUGAUGCCUUUCGGGUUGUCGAAUGCACCUAGUACCUUUAUGCGCGUCAUGAAUCAAGCGCUCCGACCAUUUAUAGGUAAAUUCGUGGUAGUUUACUUUGAUGACAUAUUGAUCUUUAGCUUGUCUUUAGAUGACCAUAUUCGUCAUUUACGUGAGGUUCUCUUGGUGCUUCGCCGUGAUAAGUUAUUUGCUACAUUGAAGAAGUGUGAGUUUGGGUCACGUCAAGUGCAUUUUUUGGGUUAUAUUGUUUCCGCGGACGGUUUGGCGGUGGAUCCUAGCAAAGUGACAGCCAUACAAUCUUGGCCAGAACCUACGACCUUGUCAGAAACUCGUAGUUUUCAUGGCUUGGCUUCGUUCUAUCGGCGUUUCGUUCCACAAUUUAGUAGUGUUAUGGCUCCAAUUACAAGUUGUAUUCGUGAUGGCACCUUUGUUUGGACUCCGGAAGCUUCAAGGGCGUUUGCUAUGAUAAAAAAUAAACUCAGUUCCGCUCCUAUACUAGCACUCCCUGAUUUCACUCUAGUGUUUGAGCUCCAUUGCGAUGCUUCAAAAUCUGGAAUUGGCGCUGUGUUAAGUCAACGUACUCGUCCUAUUGCAUUUUUUAGUGAAAAGUUGGCUGGUUCGCGUUUGCGCUAUAGCACCUAUGAUAUCGAAUUCUACGCUGUUGUUCAAGCUAUCAAGCAUUGGAGACAUUAUCUUUUUCAAAAAGAAUUUGUUCUAUAUACGGAUCAUGAUGCAUUGAAGCAUCUUAACAGCCAAGAUACGGUUUCUUCUCGUCAUGCUUCAUGGGUAGCUUAUUUGCAGCAAUUCACGUUUGUAAUUAAGCACACGUCGGGGAUAUCUAAUCGAGUGGCUGAUGCUCUUAGUCGCAGACAUGCCAUGCUUGCUGUUUUAAACGUCUCCGUACCCGGAUUUAGUACAUUUGCUGAUCUCUAUGAUUCUGAUCCGUUCUUUGGUCGUAUUUGGUUGGAUGUCCAAGAGGGUCGAUCUUCUCCUUAUUCAUUACAUGAUGGGUUUCUUUUUCGUGAUUCACGGUUAUGUAUUCCGGAUUGCAGUCUUCGCUUGCAACUUAUUUCGGAGAUACAUAAUGAGGGUCAUGUUGGUCGUGAUCGUACGCUUCACCUCGUCUCUUCUUCGUAUUUUUGGCCGUCUCUCCGUCGUGACGUCGAACGAUUUGUUGAACGUUGUGUGAUUUGUCAGAAAUCCAAAGGCCAAGCUACGAACGCCGGUCUUUAUCUUCCUUUGCCAGUUCCUACACAACCGUGGACAGAUAUUAGUAUGGACUUUGUCAUGGGUUUACCGCGUACGCAACGUGGUUAUGAUUCUAUUUUUGUGGUGGUUGAUCGAUUUUCAAAAAUGGUCCACUUUAUUCCAUGCAAGCGUACAACGGAUGCUGUUCAAGUUGCCACACUCUUCUUUCGCGAGAUUUAUCGCCUACACGGACUUCCAUCUUCUAUUGUGUCUGAUAGAGAUUCUCGCUUUCUGAGCCAUUUUUGGAGAUCUUUGUGGAAAAUGUUGAAUACUAGCUUGGAUAUGAGUUCAGCAUAUCACCCACAAAGUGAUGGUCAGACCGAAGUCAUUAACAGAUCGCUGGGUAAUCUACUUCGUUGUUUGGUCGGUGAAUCUAUUAAGUCAUGGGAUUCGAAGUUACCACAAGCGGAGUUUGCUCAUAAUCACGCUCGUAACAGAUGUUCUGGGUUUAGUCCUUUUCAAGUCAUUUAUGGCAUACUUCCACGUGGUCCAAGUGAUUUAUCUACUCUUCCAGAUCGCACGCGUCUUCACGGUGAUGCUGCAGCUUUUGUGGAUGCCAUUCAAGAAGUUCAUGUCGAAACUAAGCAACAUUUGGAAGCUUCAGUUUCACAAUACAAACAAGCGGCUGAUGUCCAUCGUCGUCGGCUAGUAUUUGAGGUCGGUGAUCUUGUGUGGGCUGUUCUAACAAAGGAUCGUAUGCUUGCCCGUGCAUACAACAAACUCAAAGCAAAGAAGAUUGGACCUUUGGAAGUUCUGGAGCGCAUAAACGACAAUGCUUAUCGUCUACAACUACCGCCAGAUAUCAAUACUUCAGAUGUAUUCAAUGUCAAGUAUCUUUCUCGCUUUCUCCCGGCAGAUCCCGUGCUCGAUUCGGGGUCGAAUCUUUCAAACCAGGGGGGACCUGAUGUAGCGUCGUCUCCUUAGUUUCACGAACAAGCAACAAGGCUUUAUGGGUGUUUUUAGUCUUUCCUUUUUGUUUUUUUCCUUUUUGAUUAAACUUCCUUUUAAGACAAGCUUACGUGUCUUUCAAGUUUAGGGUUUGGUGUUUCUAAGUCGGUUGUGACCUUGCCUAUAUAAGGCUUUGCUUUCUCUCUUUUGAUAGACAGUUUUUGAAGUUAUAAACGAGAUUUAUCUCUAAACCCUUGUCUUGAUUUGAUUAGUUUCAUCAACACAGGAAAUCGGUCUCAAGAGAUUCAUACGAAUCCCUUGAUUGAGCGAAGUAGGUCUCAAGAGAUUAUCACAAAUCUCUUGAUUGAGCUGCAUAUCGGUUCUUACGCUGCGCCACAUUAUCAGUCUCCACUCUAUUAUUGGUUAUUGCUAGUGUCGCUUCACAGUGUAUAUAUAUAUCAUUUCCUUCGGUCUCUUUUUUUAAUUUGACUUAUUUGUUUAUGAUUUAAUUGGUUUUGUCUUUACAGUUUCAUGUUAAUGACCAAGCUGCAAUUGAGAUGGUUAAAGGUCGACGAAGCAAUAUUCAGAAGAAAUUGUAGUUUUAAAUUUUUGUUUUUGUUUUACGCCAAAUUAGUGUGUAAACUUUUUUUAUAUAAGAGUUUUUGUAUAUUAUUUUAUGUAAUAAUGAUAAUAAAUAUUGUAUUUUAUUUUUGAUAUGUUAUUUUAAUCCAAAAAUUCCAGUAAAUGUGAUUUAAAUAUAAUUAAAAUAAUUAACAAAAAUACAAAUAUUAUAAAAAAUAAAAAUUACUGAAAUAAUUAAUCAAAUAUAAAUAUUGCAGAAAAAACAAAUUAUAAAAAUAGACACAAUCCAAUCAUAACGAUUAUUAUUUAUUAUACGUUAUUAUAAAUAUUAAUAAUAGCAGCGUCAUAAACGCUAUCGUUGUAUACUUAACUAUUGCAUAACGCAAAACCGCUAUCAAAAGUGUCCUAGUUUCUAUAACGGGCGAUGUCAGAGCGCUUAAGGAAACGCUAUGGUAGAUGAAUAAUUGCGUUUUUCGGCCGCUAUUAAUACCCACAUUUCCUGUAGUGACAAAAUUGUUAAUGAAAAUUCUGACUGUGAAACAAGUGACCACUCUGUUUUCAUACAUAAUUUUCUUUUCGUAUUUUCUGACUUCAAAACGAGUGACCACUCUUUUUACACUUAAAAAAUAAUUCUUAUAUUUUUCUGAUAUCAAAACGAGUGAUCACUCAAAACACAUUCAUAAAAAGCUCAUCCUUGAAAUUUGUCUCCAUAAUUUGACCUAUGGCCUGGCUUGGCACGGCACGGCACGGCAAUGCACAUGCAUGUGUGUGGUUUUGCAUAAUGGUCCUUUCACUCAUACACCAUUAUUAUAAUGAGGGACAUUUGUUCAUUUUGAUACUUGGUCAAAAUUACAAGAUUUUGAAGCUUUUCAAGCUAUUUAGACCUCAUUUCUCAUUCAAAUUAUAUUUGAUUUUGACAUGUAAUACACAAUAUUGUAUUAUAGUGCCCAUUACUUUGUCAAGAUUUGAAUUCCAACAACUUUUUUUGUUGAAAAAUUGAAUAAUAGAAUAUAAACUAUUUAAAUUAGCUUUAUUUCAUUUGUUUAUAUCCUUUAUAGUCUCUUUCAAUUAGUUAAGUUUAAAUUAGUAAGAGACAAAACUAAUGUGGACAACAAGACGAAACGAGGGACCAUUUGUAUUUCGCUUUUCCUAUUUGACUGAUACAUUGAUUGGUAAUCUCAUCAGCCUAGACACUGGUAUGCCAUGUUUCAGUCUCUGGUGCACUACUUCCUCGGCUGGAUUUAGUAUUGGCUUGCUUGGUUUUACAGACCACAAUUUACCAUGUGUGGAGAGGACGGAACGAAAGUCGGCACCAACAGCGCCACCACUCCCCUGUUCAGCUUGCACACAUCAUGGACAAAGUGAUGUUGGAUCGUAUAUGUUCUCUUAUGCAUAACCUUCCCAGAUUCAUGAAGAGCUUAUCGAUCGUUGGAACUAUUGCAAGAAUCUUCCACAAAUUUGUUUUUUAGCUAUAAUUCCACGUUUGGUUUUCUAUUUUUUCUACCUUCCUAAUUUUUUGAGAAACCAAUUCUUUAUUUAUCUCCCUUUCAUUGUAAAUGUAUCUUUUUGUUGAUUAAUAAAUUUAAAAUUAGAGACACAUAAUAUAAAAUUAACAUUUUCAACUCUUGAGAUCGAUGAGAAGAUUUCACAACUAUAUGAUCAAUGCAUACAGAACGGAGAGAAACAACAUCGAUGUUGAAAUAGAGAGAGAACGGCAUAUGUGAGCCAGAGAGGCAGAGCGUGGAGUGGAAUUGUGAACAUCGGUUUGUCCAGAGUUUUUGUGGGAGGGAGUAACUGGUGAAGGGAGAAUCAUCUGCGGAGGAGCAGGUAAGGUUUGCCUUGUCGGGGCCGCGGCUGGUGGUAGACGUGGCGUUGUUGGCGACACUGGAGCCAUGGAAGUCUGGGAGACGUAACAAAAAUAAUUUAUGGUUUAGUUUGGCCAAAUAAGAGGCUAUGUUGUAUCUUGGACGAAACAUAUGUUCAAUUUAAAAUCUUGAGUAAGCUUUUUGUUCGAAACUUCGAAUGACUCUAGUUACUAAGUUGUCAAUCCAAUUUUCGGUUCGGAUUUUUCAGUUUUCGAAUUUUACAAUUAUGAAAUAGAAAAUCAAAUAGAAACUAUCUAAUAAUAUUUAAACCGCAAAAAAACUAUCUAACAUUCCAUUCGAUUUGAUAUGCGGUUUAAGUUAAGAUUCAAUUUUCCCAUAAAAUGUUUGAAAACUUACUUGGUUAUUGGUAGUCUUGGUGAGCCCGAUGUCGUAAGUCAUGGUUAGAUCAGGUCUAAACAAACCGAAGGCUCGUUCAGAACCUUUCCCGGGCUUGAGAUUCUCGUCGUACAAUGCGAACAAGUAUGUAUCGAUCACUCUCCCGGGCAUCAGUGGCGUCCCGGACCCAGAUUUCAAAUGAGCAAUGAGGUUUUUAUUGUAAGCUCUAGCGUUCUCAACUGUUGCACCAGCCUCAUCCGGGUCACCCUUGUACGGCCAGCCAGUCUCAGCGACCACUAUCUCUACAUCUUUGAACCCUAUCGAGUUCAAAGCUGAAUACACCGCGUCAACCUUCAUAAAAACCAAAUUUUACCACAAAACAGAUUUAAUAUCAUCUAUCUUUUUUGUUUUUUUUAUAUGUUACAAAUCACAUCUUUGUAUUCAUUUACUUUUUCUAGAAGUAAGAAUUUAUUAUUGCAAAUUUGGAUAUCAAUUUUCUUCCUUCCACUAACUUUAUAAGGUACAGUGGUACACUCACAUUGUGUCCUUUACCGAUUUAUACUACUUUUCCUUCUAGAGUACAGUUUUCACUUUCCAUUCAUUUGACGUAACGAAUAUGCCUAUCUCUUUAAUUUAACAAAGUUUUUUUUUUUCCAAAACCAAACUUGAGAAAAAUUAAAUCCAUUUAUCAAACAUACAAACUAGUAAAAUAUCAUCUCGUUGUACUUUAAUUAAUAAUAUACUAAAAAGAAAAUUCAUGAAAUAAAACCGUUUAUCCAAAAAAAACGGAAUUAUGAAAUAAUUAUUUGUCGCAAUAAAAUUUCGGUACAUAAAUAGUAACUUCUAGUAAUUAAAAUAGCUAAAACUUAAAUUAUGUCAAAAGGGAGUAAUGUAAAACCUGAGCAUCGAACAUGUUCAUAUACUUGAGGUUGCUCUUGGGGUCGACACGGCCAGGAUUAGGCUGAAACAAACAAUAGGCCAAUGUUUCGGGUCUCCGGUCAUCCUGGUAAGCGAAAAACGGGUACGGAUUUACCGCGAAAGGCGACCCGGUUUCACUAUUAAACUCUAGCAAUCCUUUCAAUAUAUCAGCAUGCUCCGGUUUAAAUACCGCGGCCGAAGGAGGGUCUGACCCGGCCAGAACCGACAUUACAUGUACCGUCGAAACCUUAAUUUUCCCACCACCAAGAGACACCGCCUCGAGAGCACUUUGUACAUUUUUCAUUGCCGGCAAAAGCUGCGACAUGAGAUUGUUGUCGCCAAAUGUGGUGAUCUCGUUCCCCACGGCUAUGAGAACAAUCUUGCUCGCUGGAUAGUAAGGUACCACGUUGGUUUGGACCCAGCUUCGGGCAAAACUCGGGUCGGAAGCUAAACCGGGUACAUCGCCAUUCGAUGCCCCGAUAACGAUCUCGAUCCCUGUGUUUGCAAGGGCCUUGAUUACAGCCGGGUCGGAUCCGUAAAGACGGACUUUUUGGAAAGUUGUGGACUGGAGGAGCUUUGCACUCGCUGACGGAGGCGGAAGAUUGUCGGCGGUUAGUCCGUAGUUUAUCCCGAGGAACGGUUGAGACUCUGUUUUGAUACAUGUGAAAGAAUCCGAGUUAGAGAAAGUUUUACGUAGUAAAAAAAAACAAUAACACUGUUGUAAAACUUACUUGAUAGAUGUACUAAACACGAGAAGAAGAGAAGGAUCAAUGAAUAAACAGAAGCUAUCAUGGCUGCUCUGUUUUUCCUUCUUUGUUCUUUUCAGUUUAAAUUCUCUCUGACUUAUGUUUUUUCUUUUGUCUCUAUGUUAUAGAGAAAACUAUCGAGCAGAAGUGGGUAAUCUAUAGAUAUAGGUGUAGAAAACGACCGGCGUUGUAAAGGUAAAUGUAACUUUUUCUUUUCAAAUUUUAAAUGGUAAAAUAAAAAACACGACUGCUAUCUUUUUUAUUUGGACCAAUGUAAGUUAGUAAAAUACAUUUGAAAUUGAAAUACAUGAAGAGUUUUUAUUUCUUUAAGUAUGUAUUAUCCUAGUAUUUCAUAGUUCUUGUUUAGUAGGUUAAUUUGAAAUUGUCAUUACAGGAUUUAUGUUCACAGUUCCUUUUUGUUUGGAUUUGUAAGAGAGAAUUAUUUCUCUUUGUUUAGUAAACGAAGACUAGCUACUAGAUAACGAGCCCUCGCAAGAGUACUUUAAACAGCAUAACAAAGAACUAAAGAUUUUCAAAAAAAAAAAACUCUAGAUUUUCAAAAAAAGAGAAAAAACAAAGAACUCUUGAUUGUUAACAAAGGAAAACAAACUCUUGAUUAUACACGUAAAGGAAUAUUGUAUUUAUAAUCAGAACAUUUCUGACACAUUUUAUAUAAUUAGUUUGUUUAUAAGCUGAGUAUUUGAAAUUUCAAAUAUACCCAGUGAAUAUAGAUAUAUAUUUCUGACAUUCAUUUAUAGUUUGUAUAGAAGAGAGUGAGUAUUUGAAAUUUCAAAUAUACCCGAUAAAGAUACAAAAUAAAUAUAUGGCAGUGUAUAAGUACGUGUUGCAUGACAAUUGAAAGAGACAAUAAAGGGAUUAAAACCCUAAAGUAUCUUUAGUUAAUUAGUUACAUGAAAAAGUGAGACAGAAUUAAAAUGAAUGCAUUUUCCCACACUUAAUGAAGCAUUAAUAAACACAUAAUUAACUAGUUUAAGUAAUUGAGGGCUUUUUGUUAAUUAGAUUUUCCUUCUUGACUAAGAAAUGGAGCAAUGCAUCGAAGGUGGUGGAGAAGGAGAGCAAGGAAUUAGACAUUCCAACAUACACCACAAAGAUGGAAAAGAACAAUAAUAUUAAAGAAGAAGAUGAAGUCGCUUUUGCUGUGGCCUAAGGAAAAGUUAAAGCAUGUUUAAACUACUGUUUGUUUUUUCCUCAAAAAGACAGGAAAAUUAUUAAAACAAAAAGCACAAAAGGCCUAACAUUUGAACCACAAGUUUCAAAUUUGAAUCAUUUUUGUAUUGCAAGGUGACUUCCAGAAAAUUUUAUCUUUGACUGGUAAGAAUAAGAAUCGUUAUAGAGCAAAAUGGUAGAUGAUUGUUCAUGAUGAGUUUGUAAUAUAUUUGAAAUAACAGACACACGUGUGUGUGACACAAAAACGUGUGUGUGUGUGACACAAAAACGUGUGUGUGUGUGACUCAAGAGCAGUGUGUGUUAGAACUUAGAAGAGCUGUUACUCAAGAGUUGAUGCGAUGAUAAACAAUUAAACAUAGCUUGACUUAAGAUAAUUACAAACUCACGUGCUUCAAGUGAUGUUGUGGAAUUGGAGUCUUAUUGAGAAGAUCUAAGAAGAGAGAAAAGUGUCACAUGGGCUUCGAGUCCAUAAGAUAAGUUACGUGGGCUUUGCUCUCAAAGAGAAGCCUAAGUUUUAGUAAAUAACUGAGGAUUAAUCUUACUUUAUAAAUAGAACGUAGCUGUAAAAGAGAAACACUGUGCAUCUAGGGUUUAUCUAAAGAGUGAAUUUAUGCAUAGAUAAAAAAAAAAACAUCGAAUUAGGUAAUCGGUAACAGGUGAUUUUGUCUCAUACAAACAAAAAUCAAGCGUUAUCAAUGACCCUUAACUUUAAAAGAAUUACUAUAAAACCAGUUGGUUACAGAGCCAUACGCUUGUGAUAGCACCAUUGACUUUUGAGGAGGAAGAAAAAAUGAAAUGAAAGUUAUUAAAUGCUCUGUUGUAGAAGUGACAUUUAGGCGACGAUAGAAAGAAGGAGGAGGCUUAUAUUAAAUACAAACUCAUAGACUAUUUUUGAAUAUCUUAAUUUUGAAUCUAUAACGCAACUUGUUGGACGGAAAUUUGAAUUUUUAAACCACUAACCUAAUGGAAUAGACACCCAAUGAAUAGGCAUGCAGUUGUAUUGCAAAAAAAUAUGCAUGUAAACACAUAUAUAAAGCGUUAAAAAUAAUUAGUGUUAAGUUAUUAGAUAUAUGUAUAUAUGUAAAUAUAUAUAUAUAUAUAUAUAUAUAGCAUUAUUAACAUUUGUAUACAUCUAAGCAUGUACAUUAAAUAUUAUUAACAUUUGUAAACAUGUAAACACAUAUAUCGAGCGUUAUUAACAUUUGUAUACAUUUAAACACGUAUAUAGAGUGUUAUUAACAUUUGUAUACUCAUAUGCAAGUUACAAACAUUAUUACAACAACUGUAUCUCAAACCGUUGAACAGAAUAUUGCAUCGUAAUUGGACACUGAAAUAUCAUUGAAAUCAUAAAUUUCGUAUUUUCGAUGGAUUUUCACCAGGUUUCGUCGAGUUUUCACCAAAUUUCUUCAAAUUAUCACCAUAUCUUCACUGGAUUUCGUCGAAUUGUCAUCCCAUUUUCAUCAAAUUUUGUUAAAUUGUCACCAAAACUAAGGAAAAUUCAUCAUAAUAUCGCCUUCUUUAGUGAAUGAGUCUUGAGGUGUAGGUUGUUCACCGAACCCGUUAAUAAAUCUUUGUGUCUCUUUACUUUAUGCACAUGCCAACUCGUUACACUUUCUCAUCAUACAAACACAUAUAUGAUCUAGCAGAAAAAUGGUUAUUUCAAUUUCGUCUCAAAAGAAUACUUGGCUUUAAAACUAAAUGGCAAUAGAUAAUUUAAGUUUUGUAUUUUAAAUCAUAUGAUCUAAAGUAGUAUGUUAUAUUUGCAUGUUGUUAUUUGUUUUUGGUGGGAGGUGAAUCAAUUCAAGUUUUAGAUAUGAGGGUUGAACCAAUAACCAAAAGUUAAGAAAACAAUUGAAAAUCUCAAGAAAAUUAAGGAAGUCUUUUAGAUUAAUUAGCACCGAAUAUCCAGUCGUUGAUUUGUCAAAGUGAGAGGCUAGUCAACUAUUCUUACGAGUUUUUUGGAAAGAGAAUUCCACAACUCCAACACAAGUUAAACAUCUUUUGUGCUUCCAAGUGACCAAGACAAUUAAAAAUCUUAAAAGGUUGUAAAAUAGAAUUCCUUAAGAAAAAUACAAUAGUUACUGCUAAACUGGAUUAGACUGGUUCAUAGGUUUAAUUCGUGAAACCCACAUAUAUGUUAUUAGAAUCCCAAGUUACUUUACUUCUUUUGGGAUGAAAAGUUCGAAGGAUCUCUAAGUGAAUCAAAAUAAAGAAUUUUUCAAAUCAUAAUUAGAAAACUAAGAAUAAAAAAACGUAUAUAAAAAGCUAAGAAUAAAUGUUUUUUUUUUUGUUUGAAAUUUAUUAACCACGCAUGAAAGGGGAUGUUAUGGAAUUUGUAUAUGCACGAUUAUAUAUCUACGAAUCUACGAUUUUGUUACAUCAAUUGGAUUGAUAAUACACAAAAGACUCUCACUCUUCCAUACCAAAUCAUUGCUCACACAAGGUGCACAAUAAAAAAGAAAACCAUAUUCAGACAAAACAUUAACGAGUGAAUUAAUGUAUGAAGAUAAUAAUCACCUAAAAUGAGAGCUCACUUUUGACUCGGAAAAAAAGAGAGUUUCGGCUAUAUGCAUAUAAGAUCUCUUGUUAUCUCCUCCAAGAGUCCACUGAAGACUUCCCUCUCUAUAUCCCUCAUAACAUCAUCUUUCUCGAUGAAGGCGACCAUCGAAUCGUUCCAGCCCAUAUCCCACAUUGAGUUCAAGUUUGGGUCUUUAUGGUGAACAUCUCUUUCCAACACGUAGUCUUCAACAUGUGAUCCAAUGUGGCAGUCCCUACCGUAGGCUCUCAGCUUCUCUAACUCUUUGCUUAUUUGUCUAAUAAGAUGGUCCAAUGAGUUUACUCUAGAGGAACUGAUGGGUACCUUCACGAAAGGAUGGACACUUAACUCUUGAAAUCUUCUUUUUCGUUUCAUUAGCUCGAAGGCACACUCGAGGAUUAGAUUCUUGUCUUCUUGUAAGUAGUUGCUCCCACCGGUGGCGUCAUGAAAUACAUUUUGAGGAAUGUUGAGUUUGAAAAGUGCCUUUGCUGUGUCUAGAAAUAGUUGGCUUUUCACAAAUAUCCUCUUGAGGUUUGUUUCAUUUUCAGAUAAUGUCUCUGUAGUUUCUCGUUUUUGGUGUUCUUGUGGCUUCUCCAACAAGGGUAAACUAGCUUCUACCUCUCCUUUUGUUCCUGAAAUAAUUGAAACUUAUUUUAGUUCCUUUUUGGCUAAACAAAAUUUGUUACUUGUUGCAUUUGUGGUUCUAUCAUUAGCAAAACAUAAAGCCUUGAAUAUGUUUUGACAUUACGAUUUCAAGCACUUUUGGCAACAAUACCCGACUUCGGUUUGGGGUCUCUUGGUUAUAAAAACGUAAAUUUGGAUAUGUUUUGAUAUAUUUGGCUACAUGUUUUGAUAUCAGUGAGUGUUUUGGCUCUAAUAUCAAUACUUGAUUCUUAGUGAUUUUUUUUUUUUUGAAUACCAGGAGGUUCUGGGCCAAGGCCCGUAGUCCCCAGACCCGAAACCACAACAUGUAUCGUAAUAUUAGUUUCGUCCCAAGCGUCACUCGAACUGGCGACCUCUAAGCUUCGCCUAGGGUCUUUACUAGUUGAGCUAACGACACUUGGUUCUUAGUGAUUUUAAAGGUGCAAUGAGAUUUAUAACAAGACAAACUGAAAGUGCAUUCUUUGCUUCUUACCUUCAUAUACUGUCUUGGAUAAUCUAACUGAAUAUCCGUCAGACUUUGAUAUUGGAGCUUGUUGAUCUAUCCCAUCCGUGAACAUAAGCCCAUGAUGCUGCUGAUUAUUCAGAAAUCAAUUUUAGAGGUAAAUAUGUACGAAUGAUAUAUAUGUGAAGUUAAUAAUAAUAAUAAGCUUACAUUUCCUGAUGGAGCUUGGCAUGGGACUCUCUCUGCGGCAUUGAGCAGAAUCGAGUCAUCUUUGAUCUCUUUCUUAUGCUCUACCACAUUUUUGUUUGAUGAUUGAACCUCAUCAACACCUGAAACUUGAGAACUUUUGAUGCAUGUCUCUGCUUCUGCUUUCAUCUUAUUACUGUCAUUAUAGCUUCUGAGUAACAUUUGAUCAUGUUUUCCAUCUGCUUUUGUUAUCUCCACUCGCUUCAUUACUUUGCACAAUCCUUCAUUUGGAUUAUAGAUGUAUUGGUUUUUCUUCUCGCGGAUCUUGACUUUAUGAACCUCUCCUUCUUUUCCCUUUUGUGCUACUUCAACAUGAGUAAAAAUUUUCUUCAUAGCUUUAGCUUUGUCUGUGAGUGGUACCUUCGUUUGUAUAUCCACAGAACUCAAAGUUUUUGGUGAAUGAUUUUUCGUUACGCCAUUUUCGUGCUGUCUUUCUCGAUGCAACUUCUCUUUCUUAUUGCUCUUUUCAUCCUCACCUCCCUUAGAGUGAUGGAGAAUAAGUUUUUUCUCAAAACUAAGUUUAUGUAUUGGCUUUUGUUGACUCCUCGCGACAACCUUAUGUUUAUUUUCUGUUGGAGAUUGAUUCCUUUUGAUAACAUUUUUCGUCGUCAUUUCUCCAUCUUUCUUGUAUGAAACUUUGCUUCUUUUUCUACUGUUUGAAUCAUUCUUCUCUCUAUCUUUCUGUUGAGACUUGGCUUUGUAGUUUAUCUCAUUCGCGGUUUGAGUCUCCUUAUGGAUUACUAAAUCCAAUGAUGUUGACUUCCUUUGUGCCUUCAAUUCAACAAGAUUUUCACUUACUUGCAUUACUCUAGGCCUUGUGAGAUUCUCUGCAUCAUUUUUGUUGUUGGUCUCUUUUUCAUCUUCUGGAAACUCUCCUAGUCCCAUCAACUUGGCCACAACACUUGGAAUCCUUCCUUUCUGAGGUUUCACUGAUUUCUCUUCGGUAUCUUCGCAACUACUAGUUUGCUUUCUAUGUUUGAUGUUUUUAUCCUCUUGAUAGUUAAGCGCCAAUAGUCUCAUCUCGAUAUCCGCCUUUGCGACUUGUUUGAUCUUUUGGUAAUUUUGGUUAUGAGCAUCCUCUUCCUCCUCAUCAUCUUCUUCAAGCAGCUUGAUUCUGUUUUUCCUCUGUUUGUUGGUUGUAUACUCAGAAGCUUGUUGUAUGUCUACAAGCAAACGAAGAGACUGUUCCAACUCAAUGGCGCCUUCCAUUAGUUGUUCCCCGCAUUGUAUCAAGUACCUUCCUUUACGAAAACUGAGGCCGUUGCUACAUGCUUUAAUGAUCUGAUUUAGUUUUUGAGCCCCCUUUGAAAUCUCUUUGAUAUGAACAUGAAUCAUGGGACUGCUUGAAGAAGCUUGUUGUUGUUUCACUACAAAUUGACUGCUUCUUCUUUCUCCCAAAGAUCUCUUUCCUACAUCAUGAAGGAAUCUAAUGAUUGAUGCAUUCCCUGAAGGAUCUGAUCUUGUAGCUUUUCCAGCAUUUUCAAGUGCAAAUGCUAAUGCUUUCGACAAGUCGAGUUUCUCUAUGCUUUGGCCUUUUCCAUAAGGAACUAUCUGAUUUGAAAAUUCUAUGCCACCGCUAGUGAGAUCUUGAAAUGUUGUCUGCAACAGAACAAGUAUUUGAUUUUAAUAACAUAAUGGUUACACUCAUUUGAUUUUGAAAGUUAGAAAUAUGCUUCACAGCUUACAGAUUUUGCUCUGGAUCCCUUAAAUCCUCUGUUCGAAUAUGCAUAUUUAUCUGCAACAAAAAUAUCCAAAAGUGACAUUAGAGAAACUUUUUUACGUAGCUAGUUUCAAUACAAAAGCUUGAUCCUUUAAAACCUUUGUUGGAAUAUAGACAGGAAGGGACUAAAUUAACCUGUUGUGGUCCCUGACCCGAGGAAAUUAUCGGCCUAAGCCCGGAACUUCUUAGUUAAUACAUGAAAAGGUUUUACAUUUAAUAGUUCAUAAUCUUGUGAUUCCUUAAUAUUUGGGUGGGAGCAUUUUAGCUUUUUUGGCUACUUCUACUAGAUCUAACAGAGAAAACGCUGUGCGAUAUCGAAAAAGAUUUCACAAUCUAGCUAGCUACAUGCUCUCUCUUUUCAGGUUCAUUCUUACCUUUUUGUAGAGAGUUCUGAGAGCCUGAAAGCUGUUCUUUCCUCACCCGAAGAUCAUCCAACAACUUCUGCGCAAAAUCUGACCUUUUCAUCAUUCUCUUCUCGCCAUACGAACUCAUUCUCUCUUAUUUUCACUCUUGAGUCCAGAAAUUUGAAGAAACAAGAGAAGUCUCUGCACAUUUGCUUUAGGGACGUUAUUUCUAAAGACUCAAUACUUUUUUUGAUUUUUGUGUGUUGGUUUGAGUUGUUUUCUUGACUUAAUCGUUGGUUAAAAUGGUUCUUUCAGUGUUUGGUGAGAAAAUUCUAGUAGUGAUAGCAAAAAUCUAAUUGAUAACAAUGGAAGACUCUAAAUUUUUUUGAUGUGUGUGUUUGGAUGAUUGACGUGAACGUUAGGCCCUUCUGAGUAAUUUUUCGUUUCUUGACUUCGAUUGCAAGUUAAGCAAUGACGAAGGGUUUUCUUUGGACUUAACUUUCAAGCCUCUUCUCACUCUCUCUUGCGUCUGGUAGCCUUUGAAUUUAUUAUAUGAAUACAAUAUUUUAUGCAUACACAAUAUUGAAAAUUUCAAAUGAAUUGUGCAUUGUUUGUCCGACCCAAAGUACUAUAGAGCAUCCAUAAAAAUCACCUUUGAUUAAAAAAAAAAACAUUAUUAAUGAAUAAUUUUUUUGUUAAAAUUUACUUUCAUGCAAAAUAUGAAUGUAAAAUUAUUUGCUUAUAUAAUAUCAGAUUGCUUAAUUUGUUUUCUUUAAUAUCAAGAAUUAAAAACAAUAAUGAAAUAUAAUAUAGAUAAUAGUAGUUUUCUUACAAAACCAGGUGAGUCUCAUAAAUAAAAACUUUUGAAUUGUUCAUAUUCAUACAUGUAUCCAUGAUAUCUACCCGGCACUGUCCUUAUCCGAGUAGAAAACUUCACAUACCCUAACGAUCAAGGGGGAUUCAAACAUAUAAAACAAAUCAAGUCGAUCAUCUUCUACGUAUUAAAAAAUAGGGAGACUCACAAAAAUACUAUUUGGGGAGUACAGUUUAUAAUUACCUUUUAAUAAUCUUUCCCUUUGUGAGUUAUUACAUUAGAAUGCCAUUAGAGAUAAAAAUAUAAAGAGUAAAUUAAUUUAGCUUAUUAAGGAUAAACAAGUCAAAUACUAAUUUAUGAAAUUUAAUUAAUUUAAUUAUUAAAAACGAAAAUAUAUUAUUAACUUAAAAAAAAGAAUGACCAAUCAAAAUGAACAGAUUAGAUUUGAUAUCUAACUUACCAUAUUAAUUUGUUAUCAAUCAUUAUACUUCUCCUCUCAUCUUUAUAUGAUUCUAUUUUUAUGAAACAAAUAAAUCAUCAAAUCAUCCAUAUAACAAAAAAAAAGUAAAUUUUUUCUGCAUAUGCCAAGAUUUGAAUUUUUAAAAAUGAAUAUCAAUUGUUAAAUCUAUGAAGAAAAAAAUUUAACGGAUCAAAAAUUCACAUUUGAGUAAUAUAUUUCUUUUAACCAAAAAUAAGUUCAACAAAAAUUUGGACUGAGUAACGGGUCAGAAUUUGAAUAUUUAUAUUCAAUUUCAUACAUUUAUUUUUUGAAAUGUAUUAUUUUAUAUAUUACAAUAAGAUUUUUAAAUAUUUUAAUUUGCAACAUAUAAAAUUAGUUUUACUUGAUAUUUUUCAAGAAUAUCAUCAAUAUUUAAAGAAUAUCAUCAAUAAUUACUUUGAUUUUUUUAAACAAAUAUUUAUAAUAGGCAGUGGGUUAAAUAUAAUAUAUUAUAUUAACAAAUGAGUUAUGAUCCUUAUAACUGUUUGAAUAUUUCUAUUUAAUUUCCUAUAAUUAUUUUUUGAAAUUCAUAAUUUUAUAUUCUACAAGAAAUGUUUUUAAAUAUUUUAAUUUAGAACAUUUAAAAAUAGUUUAAUUUAAUAUUUUAAUGAAUAGCAUAAAUAUUUAAUAGAUUAAAAAGAUAAGAAAAAUUAUAAAUACUUUAAUUUGAUUUUCUAAAAAUAUAUAUUUAAAAUAGUUAUAGUAGGCGGAGGGUUAAAUGUAAUAUAUUAUAUGAUAUAAAAUUAUGAUCCUUAUAAUCGACGGCAUGUUUAGAUUAUAUGAUCAGAUACAUUAAAUAAGUUUGACACAAAAAAAUAUUUGAAAAUUUGAUUGUGAAAGCAAUUUUGGAAAUAACGAAUAAUAGAUUGUGCACGCAAUAUUUUCAUUAGGAUUCUAAAAUAAAAAUAUAGACUCCAUGCACGGGUUGAAUUUGGUAUAUUAUAUACUAAAUGUAUGUUCAUAACCUAUUCGAUUACGCGAAUAAUUGGUAAAUUCCGUAGUUACCUCAAACAAAUCUCUAUUUCAACAACCAAAGAAUUAGAAAUUGAAAAAAGAAUUUCCUAAAUUAAUUCAAAAUAAUAGCUAACUUUCUUAAUUAAUUAAAAAUAAUCUACGUUUUAGAAGCGAUUCAUUUAUAAUAUUUUGAUUUUGGAUCUAACUGAAUUAUAUGCAAUCUCAUUUUGUGGUUGUUAAUAUAAAUUAACUCAUUGUUCAGACCAUAUUAAUUUAUUAAAAUAAUUUUAUUUUCCGUUUUCAUAUCUUAAGAAAAUAUAUCCAUAAUUGAGUAUAAUUAAAAAAAGAAAAUAUAUUCAUUCUAAUAUUAUAUAUAGGGACUGAAAAAAAUCUAAUUAUAUGUUUUCAAUUACUAAUAUAAUAUAUCACAACUUUAUUCUAAAAUAUAUAAUAUAUAUAUAUAUUGUAAUAAAUAAAAUUUAACUAGUACUACAGUACGGGUGAUGGUCUAGUUAACAGAGAAUUUCUUUUUGAUUUUGUCUACAAUAAAAUAUUUCUUCAAAAUAAAACUAUACUUUCAAUUGGUAGCAUAAAAUUUAUUUUAAUUGGUAGCAUUGAUAUAUCUUAAAGGAAUCUUAAACAAUAAAUGUAUAUUUUCUAUAUAAAUAUUUAAUAUUAUUAAAUAUUACGUAAAUCUCAUUAAAUAUCUUCCAUUUGUUACAUCGAUUAAUAUAUAUAUAUAUAUAUAUAUAUAUAUAUAACGUUAAUAAAGUUUUAUAUGUUUUUUUAUUUGUUGGAAUGUCAAAUUUGUUGAUUUUGUAAAAGAAUAUUUAUGUACAUAAAUAUAAAAGAUUAUAGAAAAGAAAAAUAAGCUGGAUCAGACACAUAAAAGAAUAUAUCAGACACCCUGUACUUGAUAUCAUCCUUAAAAAAAUGGCUACAUGGGGGAUUGUUUGAUAUCAAAGUGGGAGACCUAACUAUUUGUAAACCUUCUUAACUAGUUUUUUUUUUACUAUUGAUAUCAUAAAAAUGUAUUUUUCAAAAUAUCGCAAAACGACAGUAAAAAAUCGAAUUUAGAUAUAACUUUGUCGAGAAUUAAAAAAUAAGUUUGUACGAACACUUCACUUAAUGAAUCUUUGAUCAAACUAUAUACAUUUUGCCUCUUUAUCUUCUUCAUCGGCUUUGAACCACGAUGAAGAAAUUUUGUUCCUCAACGAACGAACUACGCUUCCAAUAAUCUCCCAUGUCUUGGUGAACGGCUCCAUAUUGCGACUAAUGACAACAAAUUCAUAACUAGCCAAUAUUUAUGGAAAUCUUUUAAAAUAGUUUCCAUAAAAAUCUAACUAUCAAUUUUAAAAUUGUAUAUAUGUAAAAUUAUUUAAUAUCGUUAUAUAUUUUGAGAUAUUUCCGGAAACAAAAAAAAAUCAAUUUAAUAUCAUUAUAUAUUUUAGAUUUUAAUCUAUUUCCUUAAAAAAAUAUACUAAGAAAUUCUGAUUAGUAUAGAUGGAAGGAAUAAAAUUUGAAAUUGUCUAUAUGUUAACUUAUUUAAUUUGGCAAGGUAAUGUUAGAUAUUUCCGAAAACCACAGUCCAAUUUAAUAGUAUAGAUAAUAAUGUCAAAAAAUCAGUAAAUAUAUAUUAGGCUAAUAAUGGUUUAUUAGUAGCCCAUAAAAUGUUGCCCACUACAUAAAAAAAAAAAAAAGAUAGUGUGAGACCAUAUAAUAAUAUAAUUAGUUUAAAGAUUGAUUUAGAAAUUUAUUAUUACAACAAUUAUGAAAAAUUUCAUGUGUUUUCCCAUGGUUAACACAUAAUUCUUUUAAAUAUUUACACACAAUUCUUCACUAACCAUAAUUUUGUCCAUUUAAAUCAAACUAUCAAUAAAACACAUGAAGUAAAUUUUUUUCGGUAACACUACUUUACAUCAAUCAAAACUUCACAUUUCAUAUAAUUUUUUACAAUUAUUCAAUUUAAAACUUUUAAGAUUUGCAGUUUUAUAAAAUUUACCCUGCACGAACGUGCGGGUCUUGAUCUAGUAUAUCAUAAAUCCCAUAACUUAUAUGUCUUUAUCAUAAAAGCCCAAGGCUACAUCACUAAAAGAGUAAUUGAUUGAGAUCGAUAGAGAUUGGUUUAUUAUCUCUCUACUAAGAUUCCGUUUACGUUUGUCGACUGAUAAGACUAUUUUUAGGUUUUCGAUGAAAUCGAGAUAAUCUAGAAUCUUCACUACAACACACGUUUCCGGGAAGUCAAUCGCAAUCAAAAACAUAUGUGCGAACUCCAUAUAUGAGGCACUAAAGGACUUAAGCGUUUCUUAUCCGCAAAUACAAUGUAUGCAUUUGCAAUGGUUCCUAAUUAACGUAUCAUUGACAAUGUAUCUAGUGAAAUACAAGUUGAUUUCCAAUACCAAUAUAGCUAAAUCAGUCUCCAAGUACAAUUUUGUCUGAACUAAAAUGACUAAGUGGUGUAAGAUUUUUUACGUCAACUUCGACAUCCUGAUCCAAAAUUUAUGCUUCAAUUGGAGUAUAGUUUAUCAUCAGUUCAUAAGUUUUUGGUGGUAUAAAAUCACCAUCCCAUGAUAAAAAUAGAUAUUGCCAUCCAAAUCAGUCCCGAAUACUCAUCAUCAAGCCACUUUAUGUUAAUAUUUUCAUUUUUGUUCUGCAAUUUAUACUCCAAAACCAUUAUCAUCGUUCCAUUUAUCUAAAUCACAAAUCUCAUCUCUCACGAUAUCUGUUUGAAAGGAAAACAAAGAAUGCAACCAAAUAAAACGAAAAUGCUUACAAAAACAAAAGUUGUCGUCACAAAAUUCUUUAGAAAGCAUUUACACUUUUACCCCCUGUUCAAAAACGCGUGCGCCUAGCCGCCUAGUCGGCCGCCUAGGCGCUCCUCGGGACACAACCGCCGCGAUUAUGUCAUAAUCGGACUAAUUAAUCGUUGACCGAUUUUUCGACCGCCUAACUACUCUCUAGGCCUGGGCAUUCGGGUACCCUUUCGGGUUCGGUUCUUUUUUUUCGGGUAUCGGGUCUAUUCGGGUAGGGGGUCGAGACCCAUUCGGGUAUUCUAAAAAUUCGGUUCGGUUCGGAUAUUUUAAUAUAAAAAAAAAAGCAAAAUACCCGAAAAUAACCAAAAAUACCCGAAAUAUUUUUGGGUUCGGGUCGGGUUCGGGUUUUUUACUCGUAUAUACCCAAAUCUAACCGAAAUAACCGAUUUCUCAAAAAUACAUUGGUUACUCUUUGCCCAAAUAUAACCAAAAAUAUCUUAAAAUACUAAAAUUACCCAAAAUAAAACUACAUCAUUAGUUACUUUUUAACCAAUAUAUCCAAAUGUAUCCGAAUUACUCAAAAAUACCUAGUAUAUUCGGAUUUAUGAUUGUAAUUUUAGGUAUUUCGGAUAUUAUAAGUAUAAAUAUAACUAAUAUUUUUAGGUGUAUAUUUGUAUUCGGGUACCCACGUGUAUUGGAUUCGGUUCGGGUUCGGUUCGGGUUUUUUUCGGGUAGGAGGUGUAGGAUCCAUUCAGGUAUUUUUAAAAAUCGGUUUGGAUCUAUUCGGAUAUUUUUUCGAAUUUUUCGGUUCAGGUAUUUGAUUCCAGUUAUUUUGCCCAGGCCUCUACUCUCGGCGUUGAAAAUCGGAUUAAUAACCAAAUAAAUAAAGUUCUAACUUGUAAAACUUUUAUUUGUUGGGCCCCAAUUAUUAAUUGGGCCUCAGGUAAUGCAAGAUGGGUGGAGAGUGCAAUAUUUAUAAGCAAAGUUUUCAGUUCUCUUUCUCUUGCCUAACCGAUGUGGGACUUUUGAUGUUAACGAAUGUUUUAUUUCGUUCUUUUUAGAGCAAACGCAGUGGAGCAUGUGUAAUUGUGGGUGUAAGUAAUUGUUUUUUAUUAUAAUUAAAAGAGAAAGAGAGAAAAGAGAGAGAGAGAUAGAGAGAGAUAGAGAGAAUACAUUUUUUUUCUAUUUUUAUAAUGCCUCACACUUGAGUGUAAGUCUACACCCGGUUUUUGUUGAAAAGGUAACUUUUGCAAUAUUUCUCAAUUGUUUAUAACUUACACCCAUGUCUCAAUUACGCCAUUGCGUUUGCUCUUAGUAACCAAUUCCCAAUUUCCCAUUUCUCUUUUAUUUCCUUCUUUUUGGUGUUUGUAAUUAAUUCUAUUAUUUAUUACUAAAGAUAUCAACGUUGGAUCAUUUCCUAAUCUAUAAAAUCUGGAUAAUAAAUAUUAAUUUAAAUACUACAUUUACAUACUAAUUGACUAUUUUGUAUUAGACACACAAAAAAAGAGUUUCCUCAAGAUCAAUUUUGUCAAAAUUAAUUUUUUGUUGACAAUUAUUUGAAUAUUUAUAUACAUAGCAUAAUAUAUUUAUUUUUAACAUUACAUUAAACACAUUAAUGCAUAAAACAUAUAUUUAUUUAAUUUUAACAUUAAAUAAAAUAAAAUAAUACAUAAAACUAAUCCCCGAUUAAUCUCCGAUUAAUAUCCGAUUUUCCGUCUAGGUGCUAGGCCCAGCUCGAGCGCCCGACUAACUCCUAGCGAUUUUUUGAACAAGGCUUUUACCCUUUAUCAAAAAAUAAAAAAUUUUAUGUACUCUUUGACCAAUUUUAAAAGUAUAUACGACUUCAAUUCUCUCUUUAUCCAUGUAUGCUUCAAAUAUCAAUUCUUAGAAAAUCUCUAAUUCAAUAUUAAUAUUUUUGGUUUAAUUUUAUUUGAGAACCUUACCUAAAAUUUCUAGGUCUAUCGGUAAAAUAACUGUUGAGUAUCACAUCAAUAUAUUAUUAAUAUCUUCGAUUCUUUUAGUUUAAAAUUUUUACGUUCAAUUUUAUUUUAUUUUAUACUUUUAUAAACAUAUCAAAAUACUACUUAUUUUUUUCUAUGAAAAUAUAAUUAAAAUAUUUAAAAUUAAAAGAUUAUAUUAAAUUUUAGGGGUUUUUUUGUAAGUGGUGACUUAAAGAAUUAUAAAAAUAUUUUAAUUUUAGUUUAAAAUUUUUAUGUUCAAUUUUAAUUUAUUUAUAUUUUAUAUUUCAUGGAUUUAUAAGGAUUUGGAAAUCCAAACAAAAGUUAUUUAUUACUAUUCAAACACUAAAUUUAAAAUCUUAAUUAAAAUCAUGUGUUAUUGGUUCUAUGAUUUAUAAAUACUAGUUAAAAUCCUCUGUUAUUCGUUUAAUCAUUUGGUUUUGGAUUUCAAAAUCCAAAUUAUGUUUUAAAUGGAUUUCAAUAGAUUUGAAAGAUAAAAAUAGAAGGAUUCAAAUCUUUGGGCAAACAACACAUGUUACUUCAAAAUUUAUAUGUCUUGAUUUCAUAAUUAAUAAAACAAUUAUAAUCUCUAUACUAUUAAAAGAGAAGUACAAAUGAAAAUGGGUCGGGUUAAAAUCAGAAAAUUGACCCAAUUUCUGAAAUCGGAUCUUUGAAAUUUUUUUGGAAUAUAAUUUCGAAUUAAUAAUGAAAAAUCAAAAUAACAUCAAAUAUUUAUAGAAAUCAAAUAUAAUCUGAUUAUACUUAUGGUAACUAAAAAUAAAAGCAUAUUCCGAACAAUAUUAUACAUUAAUUACGUAUAAUAAAUUUGUUCAUAUAUUUUUGGGACUAAUUCCAUAACAAUCAACGUUUUUGUCAUUAAUUUCGCUCAUUUUAGCCAAUUAUCAUUAAUUGAAAGAUAUAUGAAAUACAAACCCGUCCCGCGAAUGUAUGCGGAUUUGCGGGAUUGUCCAUGGAUUUUGUUAAAAUAAUUUUAAAGUAACCAAAAUUUAAAAUACUACUAAAAUAAAUAAAUAAAUAAAAAUACUAUUAAAAGUUUGUUUAAAUUACCACAUGUUGAAUAAAUUAUAAUUUUAUCAAAAAAUACUAAUAUGCGGGCUGAUCCGCCAACCCGCGGAUGAAAACCGAUUAAACCUAUGACCCACUUCGAAUUAAUCCAUGUGGCCCGCUUAUUUGCGGGUUUAAUAUAUUUUCCCAAAUCUGCCCCAUAGUGAGAUGAUGUGGGCUCGAUCCGCGGUUUUUGACCUAUUUUGACUGCUUUAAUUCCCAUGAAUCGUCUAAUUUUAGAAUUUUAAAACACAAAAUUCUAUUUUGUAAAUCAUAAUUAAUACGAUGGGUAUAUUUAUAAACAAUUUUACAUUUUCUCUACAAUUCGUUAUUGUGAAUAUUUAUAAGUAUACUACACGAUUCGUUCUACUAAAAAACACACACAAUAUUUUUUUUUUUUGGUAAGCUGAGGGAGGCAUGCCUCCCACAUUUUUAUUCAACUAAAUUAAAAUCUUACAAACGAACACUUCGUGGGUGCGAAGACCCACUAAUAUCCUCCAACAAAAUUAAACGAAUAACAUCAGGACUAACAUCAAAAGAAUGAAAACCUAAAGGAAGCGUGAACGCAUAGUUAGCUAACCCAUCCGCAAGACGGUUAGCUUCUCUAUACACGUGAGAAAUCCGGACUAUCCAGUCCCUUGAAAUAAAGCCGUAGCACAAACGUACUAGGAAUGACAGUGGAUGAGCAUCACUAAUCCCUGACCUUAGAAAACCCACCACUAUCUCUGAAUCUACUUCGAGCUCCAACCGCGUGAUUCCUCUCUCCCACGCAAUAUACAGCCCGUAGUAAACUCCCCACAACUCUGCUAAAGGUGCUGAACAUAUCCCUAUAUUCAACGCAAAUCCACCUUUCCAGUUUCCGGCACCAUCACGUAAGACUCCUCCUNNNNNNNNNNNNNNNNNNNNNNNNNNNNNNNNNNNNNNNNNNNNNNNNNNNNNNNNNNNNNNNNNNNNNNNNNNNNNNNNNNNNNNNNNNNNNNNNNNNNAGCUCUUUAAUAAAUUUGACUCUAUCUCGGCAACGACCCAUACCACCAAAAACCUCUCCACAACGCCAUUUCCAUGCCCACCAUAUAAUCAUAGCAAAUAAUAGUAGACCACGGCACUCCGUGCCGCUCUGUUCCGUCUUUUAAGUUCCAAUAAAGCCAUUCCAGUAAUGAUUUUUGGAAAAACAUGAUCAUCUUGGAUGCAGGCACAAGUCGCUGCCAAGUCCCAGCAAUUGACGGACAAUCCCUCAACACGUGCAUGAUUGUCUCCUCUCCACUACUACACACCGGACAUAUACUCGUUUCACUCAUAUGCCGCGUAUAUUAAAUGCAACGUAUGUAAUAUUAAAUGCAACGUAUGUAAACCAAUAUUCUCCCGCGGUGGACCGCGGGUCCGAUCCUAGUCUUAUAUGGAUUUACAAAUCAAUAAACCAAUAAGACUCCCUUAGGUUUUUUUCUUUCCAUUAAUGUAAGUGGUGACCUAAAGAGUUAUGAUUAAAUCCGUGAUAUGAUUUCAAUAGGAGAAUGAUUUAGAAGAAAGUGAUACGAUUUCAGUAGGAGUUAAACAACAAAUAAAAAGAUCAAACAAAACUAAAUUAAAUGUCAUUUCCCAUUCCUAAAAUUUCAAGGAUUUGCACCUAAAGUAAUGGAAAUAAACCCUUCCAAAAUAUUGUUAACAAAAUAUCAGAUUUAGCAGUGAAGAGCACAAUUAGCCUAGAGUUAGCAUCUUACAUACAAAAGACAAAAGGGCAAUAAACUUCUAACUCAGGUCAUAUCCAAAUUCCUGACAUGAUCAGCUCAUAUCUUUUGAGCUUUCUCCAGAACUUCCAACUCUUGUAAUGUAAAUCUGACAGAACAACAACAUUAAUCAUUAGUUUCAUCAUUUCUUGCAAGUUUGUUAGGUAACUAAACGGGUUUACUAACCUUGAAAGCGGUACGACGAACUAACUCGAAAACAAGAGUAUCCCCAUAUGCUAGAUUGUGAGCAAUAGCAAACCCCAUCCAUCCACCACUAAGUCCAUUCUUUCUCGCUAAGUAGAUAGUCUCAUACUCCUCGCCUUCUUCAUCUAUCAAAGUUAUGACACCAUCUUGUUUCCCGAGGUGAGAUCUACAGAAUUGAACUGGAAGUCCCUGAUUGCAACCAAAAUAAUGGCUUUGUUUUGGUUAGAUAAUAACAUUCAUUAACCAGAGAAACGCUCAAACCAAGACCUUAGACAAACCCAGAAUGGCCGUAAUAAGGUUCGAUUGUUGUUCUUGAGCUGGAAAAGCUACAAUUCCCUGCACCAUCCCUGGGCUAUUACAAUAGUCCUUCUCUAGACAUAACAUCUUAAAGGUCCUGAGUUAGAAAGACUGACUGGUUCUUAAAAGUUUUGUAGUUAACAUGGUUUGACAUUAUUAACACAAAUUCAUCGUAUUAAAAGCGAUACUUUUCCAAGUAAUACUCAAUGCAAAGAAUGGUGAUAGAGUCUAAGCAAACAGACCAGAAAUUAAGUAAACAGCUAGACUGAACAUGAACAGCUUAUCAUAGUUAGAAAUACUGUCUGGUUCUUGACAGUUUUGUAGUUUACAUGGUUAGACAUUUUUAUCUCAACCUUUUUGGUUAGGUAAUUCCAUUCACAUGUACAAAAACAUCAGAUGUUUAAGAAGAUUCAGUUCUACAACCAUAAAAGAGACUUGAUUAACCAGGGAAACGUGCAAAACCAAGACCUUAGAACACUAACUCUUCGUUUAACUUUCAGCUCUCAACUAACUAAUGUAAGAUUUGUUGUUGAGCUGGAAAAACUACAAUUCCCGGGACAUGAACAGCUACUUAGAGGUCCUGAGUAAGAAAGACUUUCUAGUUCUUGAAGGUCUUGUUUGUAGUUUACAUGUUUAGACAUUCUUAUCUCAAACUUUUCGGAUUCAAAGCGAUAGUUCCAAGUAACACGAAGCAAUACUAAGACCGGCGAUGGACUUUAACCAAACAGAACAAAAAUUAAGCAAUGUGAGUAAUACAAAUAGCUAGACUUAUCAUAGGUACUGAGUUAGAAAGAUUGACUGGUUCUUGAAGGUUUUGUAGUUUACAUGGUUAGACAUUUUUAUCUCAAAACCUUUGGAUUAAAAAGCGAUGUUUCCAAGUAACACGAAGCAAUGCAAAGACCAGCAAUGAACUUUAACCAAACAGAACAGAAAUCAAGAAGUGUAAGCUAAAGAUUUUGUGUACACGAAAGUUGAUUACCAGCCAGAAGCCACCAGAAACAUGUGAUUGAAGCAUAGAUUUAACAAAACUUGGGUGACCACUCCCCAAUUCAUCCUGGAAUUUCUCAGCUCUUGAAAAUGCCUCUUCUCUGAUUUCUUCAGAAAUAUAAACUCGAUUCGACAAAUCUCUCCUUUUACUCAACCCCCUAAACAAAACCAAAACAAGACAAAAAAACUAGUCUAAUUUCAAAGAUUCAUAGCAAAAAAAAAAAAAAGAUGAGAUCUUUAUGCAAUUUCACCUUCUCCGUAUCUGAAUUCGUUGUACAUCAACCUGUAAAAAACAAAAAAAAAAACCCAAAUUUCAUAAGCCAAGCUAAAACCCUAGAAAUGAUGAAAAAAAAACAGAUUUUUGCGAAUUUUCAAGAAUCAAGAGAUUAAAAAAGAGGACUUGCUUCUCUGUAGACAGGAAUCGAAGAAGAAUUAGAGAUACGGCUAGAUCUACGAACAAUCACCAUCUGCUUCUCUGGUGUUCGAGGAAUAGAUCUCUUCUUCAUCUGCCAAUAGUUUACACAAAAAAUAUUCAAUCGAUCAUUGUAUGGAUCAUGUAAAAGAGAAGAGAGAAAGGAUCAAAACCGGAGAAUUUUUGACGGAAGUGGAAUUGAGAUUUUGAGAGAGUUUUUGAAGAUUGAGAGCUUCCAUUCGUUUCUUGUUCUCUUCCACUCUUUUCAAACGAAAUUCUUCGUAUUUUGAUUGCUUUGAGACCACCAUUUUUGGGUUUUUUCUCAGAAGAUUGUUUUUUUUUUUUUUUCUCUUGAGUGAAGAAAACCCUAGCUGACCGUUCGGAGCUCAAGGAUUUGAAUUGUGGUACUGAGUUCCAGAAAAAAAAAGUCAAGAGUCAAAGGAGGAUUAUGAUACAACAAAUAUUUGGGCCUAUGGGCUGAGGAUGAGUUGUCUUUUACUGAGAAUAUAAACCCAAUAGUAUUCACAAUUUUGUCGACGUUUAAUAAAGUUACCCAAAUUAUCUCCUAAACAUUAUUUGAGUAGAGCAGUGAUUUAAAUAUGUGAAUUGUGACCUUACAAUCUAGGCCUGCGCAAAUAAACCGAACUGAAUGUAUCGAACCGAAACCGAAGAAAAAAAACCGAACCAAAUCGAGCCGAAAAUUUAAAAAUAACUGAAUGGAUACUAAAUUCUAUAACCGAAAUAAACGUAACUGAAUCGAUACCGAACAGAAAUAUUUUGGAUAACCGAAAUACCCGAAAUACAAUUAUAUUUUCAAAAUAAUUAGUUAUUUAUAGACCAAAUAAUCAAAAAUACUUAAAAAAUAUAUAAAAAUAGUAAAAAUACUCAAAAAUAACUGAAAUAUAUCCAAAAAUAUCCGAAAAUACUCAAAAAUAACCGAAAUAUCCGAAAAUAUCCUAAACAAAAUAACUGAAUGGAUACUAAAUUUUAAAACCGAAAAAACCGGAACCGAACCGAAACUGAACCGAAAUUUCAAAAUAUCCGAAUAGAUACUAAAUUUUGAAACCAAAGAACCGAAACCGAAUGGACCCAACCGAUAACCGAACGGUUAACCGAAAUCCCAGGCAUAUUACAAUCAAUUUCAAGAAGAACUAUUUUUUUACUAUCAGAUAUUAUAUACUUAUUGAACUCAUGAAAAGUUUUAACCCAACUGGUAAAAGCCCACAAGGAGCCCAAUCGUGUGGUAAAGGAAGAGUCUGGUGACUUCGUUUCCCAGCGAAGGGAAAACUGAAAAUCUGACUUGCGAUUGUCUAGUUUUGUAAUCGGAAAGUUGCGAUCCGGUUGACGGUGAAGUAAUCGAUUAGCGGCCUAAAUCUGUCGAAGAGUCUUUCUAGAAGUUGAUUUUAACCCUAUUGACAGGUAUGGUGCUAAACCAGUUAGUAGCUAGAGAGAUCAUUAGCUUCAAUAGUUGUUUACAAUUCAAGUAUUGUGAAAGCACCACACCAAAAGUUUAUAAUUACUGAAUUUAGAAGUUGCAGUCUUCCAGCGAGAGAUAGAUACUUUGUAGUCCAGGCGCCUAUUUUUGAUCUAAUGGCUUUGCAUAAGCAAAAUAUGUUCAAUGAUUCAAUCUCGAGUCAUCUUAACCCGAGAUAAGACAUCAUUUAUAGCUUUCGAUGUUAUCGAUUCAACAAUGUCUUAAAUUAUUUAUCUUGUCCAUGUUGGUAGGGUUUUGUUCAUUUUUAACGCAAGAAAGUCCAUUCAUAAAAAACAAAAAAAAAUGUACCAAGAAAAUCUUCAUAAGCACCGGCCAAAAAGGAAAAACAAAUAGUUGAAAAGUCUUGAGAAUUAUUUGAAGAGUUCUGACUUGUGAAACAAACGAGUUAUCUUGACAAAAUAAGAUUUGUGAUUAAGUCAAUAGAUAGGAAACUUCCUCAACUCCGAAAACUCCGGGAAACUAUGGUGAUAUUGCUAAGAAACGGUGAGACCUUACUUCUCCUCUGUUUUUCUUUUCACAAUCUCAAUGACUAAUCUCUUAAGUCUUUGUUCUUCUUGAAAUUAGUUUCCUCCCUCUCUGUUCUAUGGCUCUAUGUUCUUGGAAUUAGCUUCGUCCUCUUCUCUCUCUAUGGCUCAAUGUUAUUCUUGAAAAUAGUUUCAUCCCCUCUCUCUCUAUGGCUCUAUCUUCUUUUUCUUCUUCUUCUUCUUCUUCUCGCAAAUGGGAAAAUGACCUCUUCCUGAGCUUCAGCGGAGAAGACAUCCGCAAAAGCUUCCUCAGUCACUUUUAUAAGGAGCUUGAUCGGAAACCGAUCCUUGUUUUCAAAGACAACGAGAUCAAGAGAGGCAUAUCCCUCGGUCCCAAGCUAAAACGGGCGAUUAGGGAUUCAAGAAUUGCAGUCGUUAUCUUUUCCAGAAAGUAUGCCUCUUCAAGCUGGUGUCUUAACGAGUUGCUGGAAAUUGUGAGAUGCAAGAAAGAGUUUAGUCAAGUGGUGAUUCCCAUUUUCUUCCAUUUGGAUCCUACCCAUGUAAGGAAACAGACCGGAGUCUUUGGAAUGAAUUUUGAAAAAACUUGCCACAACAAAACAGAGAAAAUGAAGAUUCGAUUGAGAAGAGCUUUGACCGAAGUAGCUAAUAUCACCGGGUAUCAUUCUUCUGUGACAUGGUAAGUUUUCAUAUUGUGUGCUUACUAUAUAUAUAGAAAUGUGUUCCCAUGUUUACGAAAUGAUAUUUCUCCUUGUUAGCAAAAACGAAGCAAAAAUGAUUGAGGCCAUCAUCGCUGAUGUUUUGGGUGAACUAGCUUUAACGCCAUCAAAGGAUUACGAGGACUUUGUCGGCAUCGAAACUCAUAUCGCAAAAAUGAACUUUUUGUUGCAUUUGGAAGCGAAGGAGGUGAGGAUGGUUGGGAUAUGUGGUCCCUCCGGAAUUGGUAAGACUUCCAUUGCAAGAGUUCUAUUCAACCGACUCUCCCGUCGCUUCAGAUGUAAUGUUUUCAUUGAUAGGGCUUUUCUGUCUAAGAGUAUGGAACAUUAUAGUGGAGCCAAUCUGGGCGACUAUAACAUGAAGUUGCAUUUACAAGGAAUUUUUCUUUCGGAAAUUUUGGGGAAAAGAGACAUUAAAAUAUGUCAUUUAGGUGCAGUGGGAGAGAGGCUAAAGAACCACAAAGUUCUUAUCUUUAUAGAUGAUUUGGAGUAUCAAGUCGUCUUAGAUACCUUGGCAGGUCACACUGAUUGGUUUGGAUGUGGGAGUAGAGUCGUUGUGAUUACAAAAUAUAAGCAUCUCCUGAAAGCCCACGGGAUUGGUCGUAUCUAUGAAGUUCCUCUCCCAUCUAAUCCUCUUUCCCUUCAAAUAUUAUGUCAAUAUGCCUUUAGGCAAAACCAUCCACCUGAUGGUUUUAUGGAGCUUGCUUCCGAAACUUCAUUGCGUGCGGGUAAUCUUCCAUUGGUUCUUAAUGUUUUGGGUUCGCAUUUGCGGAGUAGAGACAAAAAAUACUGGAUGGAUAUGUUGUUGAGGUUUGGAAAAGGUCAACAUGGUAACAUUGAGGAGACACUAAAGUUGAGCUACAAUGGGUUAAAUAAAAACGAUGAAGCAAUAUUUCGUCACAUUGCAUGUUUCUUCAAUGGUGAGGAAGUCGAUGAUAUCAAGUCACUACUAGCAGAUAGUGACUUGGAUGUUAAUAUGGGGAUUAAAAACCUAGUUGAUAAAUCCCUUAUCAAAGAAACGUGCAAUACCGUGGAGAUGCACUCUUUGAUACAAGAAAUAGGCAAGGAGAUUAACCGUACACAGUCUAGUGAGCCUGGAGAAAGAGAAUUCAUUGUGGAUUCGAAAGAUGUUUUCACUAUACUUGAAGAUAACACUGUAAGUUUUCUCGUCCUCUUUUCAUAUAUCUCAUUCUUAUAAAGAUCAAAAGCAUGAGUUUAGCUGAUGGUUUUGUCUCUUUUUGUUGAUAUUAUAAUUGCAGGGUACUGAAAACGUUUUAGGUAUAUCAUUGGAUAUAGAUGAGACUGAUGAACUGCAUAUUCAUGAGAGUGCCUUCAAAGAGAUGCGUAAUCUUCAAUUUCUAAGGAUUUCUACCAAGGAGAACAAAGAAGUUAGAUUGAACUUACCAGAAGACUUCGAUUAUUUACCACCUAAGCUCAGAUUACUGAGUUGGAGAGGUUACCCGCUUAGAUCUAUGCCAUCUACAUUUUGUCCUCAAUCCCUUGUUAAGCUCGAAAUGAGGUACAGCUAUUUCGAGAUGCUGUGGGAUGGAGUUCAAGUAAGUUUCUAGUAAUAUUAAUUAGAAUUAGUUUCAAGAUCAUAUUACUUAUUUUACUUAUUGAAAGACAUCUCUUUUAACUGAUGUAUUACUUACUUAUAUUUCAGCCACUUACUACGCUCAAGAAGAUGGAUUUGUGGGGAUCCAAAAACCUGAAAGAAAUCCCUGAUCUUUCAAUGGCCACAAAUCUCGAGACACUUAAUUUAGGGGCUUGCUCGAGUUUGGUGGAGCUUCAUUCCUCUGUGCAGUAUCUCAAUAAACUGAAGAGAUUGAACUUGUCAUAUUGCGAAAAUCUGGAGACUCUUCCUACCAACUUCAACCUCCAAGCUCUGGACUGCCUCAAUCUCUUUGGAUGCUCAAGCAUAAAGAGCUUUCCUGAUAUCUCAACCAACAUCUCAUAUCUCAAUCUAAGUCAAACCAGGAUUGAAGAGGUUCCUUGGUGGAUCGAGAACUUCACUGAGCUGAGGACGAUAUAUAUGUGGAAUUGCGAUAAAUUGGAGUAUGUAACCCUAAACAUUUCCAAACUCAAACAUCUUGCGAUCGUUGACUUUUCAGACUGCGGGGCAUUGAAAGUAGCUAGCUUGAAUGAUAGUCCAAUAACGGUGGAAAUGGCAGACAAUAUUCACUCGAAGUUACCAUUCUAUGUCGAGGUUUCCUCUUCUCUUCCAUAUGAUCAUUUCCCAAGAGUCGAGCUCGAUUUCCUCAACUGCUUCAAGUUGGAUCAAGAAGCUCUUCUUCAGCAACAAUCAGUUUUCAAGAGACUAAUCUUGCCAGCUGAUCAAGAAGUGCCUUCGUAUUUCACUCACCGUACUACUGGGACCUCUAUGACCAAUAUCCCUCUACUUCAGACAUCUCUCUCUCAACCAUUCUUCAGGUUUUUGGCUUGCGCGGUGGUAGAUUCUGAAAUUAUUUCCAUAGAUCAUAUUUCAUUUCUCAUCGAGGUAAAUUGUCAGUUCAUAGACGGACUUAGGAACCACUUUGGUUCUGCUUAUUGGCCUAUGUACUUCGCGGCAGCACCGUUGGGUAGUCAUCUUGUUAUAUUCAACUGUAGCUUACCUCUAAACGGUGACUAUGCUUAUCUAGCUAAACGUCACUACGAUCACGUGGAUAUACAGUUUCGUCUCACUGAUGACUACUCUCAGAUCAAAUUAAAAGGAUGUGGUAUAAGACUCUAUUAGGAUUGAACUCCACCUCCGGAUAUUCUUGCACAUGUUUGUGAAGCCUAUGAAAUCAACAGAGUCAGUGAAACUUCAGGUCAAGUGUGUAGAGACAGAGAAGAAGAAGCAAAUCAAGGUAAUUAAGCAUUAUAUUCUCUAGAUAUGUAUCUUAUUAGUUCCUUUUUCAAGAGUAAACAGAAACAAUUAUAAAUAAUGUAAUGUUGGAUAGUUUUUGUAGAGUAUGUGAAGGGACUAAUCAAGAAGCGAGAUGAUGAUUGAUGACAGUGAAUCUGGAGACUCUGUUAGGGUUCUAGGUGGAAACAUCCAAUGCAAUGUAAAAGGUUUGUCUGUUUUUUUCCCUGAACAAUUAUUCUUCUUAUGUUCUUCCAUACUGCAUUUCUCGAUAUCAUGCAUUUCGAUCGAACAGCCUUCUUCUGUAGAAUAAAGAUCGAAAGAUUUUGGCUUCUUUUUUUGUUAUGUGGUUUUAGUCUGAUACAAGAAUGUUCAUUUGAUGAUUGAUACUUGACGAAUAUAUCGUAACUUAUUUAACAAGAUAGUUAUAACUCUGUUUCGUCAAUUGCUUAAUCACAAAACCUAUGAAGAAUACACAAAGAUGUAACUGUUCCGGGCUUUAGAAAAUUCACUGUCCGGGCAUUUUUUUCACUCUAGGCUCUGAUCAUAUCCAUUAAAUGUUUUCGAAUAAGAAUGAUUUGUUAUAGUCUCCAAUCUUUUUUUAUGGAUUACGUCUCUACUCUAAAAUUUUAAAUUCUCAAAUUUAGCUAAAAAAAAUCAGAUUGUAUUUUGACAGUUAUCUAGUAUUUGCUCAUUCUUUAAAACCUGCCUGGUCACUUUGUUUCUUGAGGGCAGAAAGUGAAACUCCUUAAGGUCUUGCCUUAAGUUCUACAAGCUUAUUGUUACUUUAGUCUUGUUGACGUUUUACAAGCUUAUUGUUACUUUAGUCUUGUUGACGUUUUUCAAAUCUGUCAUUGAGCAGAAAUCUAUUUCAAUUCUCUGAAGCACUUCCACAUCUGAGUGAUUCUUAACCAAAUUGUAAUUGUGUGUUGCUUUGGCUUCUCAGGACUUCAUGUGAAGAGACUGCACAAAAUGUAACAACGAAGAAGAGUGAAGCGAUUGUGGAGAAGCCCUUAAAAUUUAAGAGUUGUUUUCUGUAUUUUUCCAUUUUUUUAGUUAUUGAAAUUUUUUGGAUUUAAUCUUGUUUUGUUUUAUUUUGGAUUGAGUGAUUGGUUUUAAAACUAUAGGUUUCUGGAUUUUAAGAUGAUUGAUACAGAAUCAGGUUCUAUCUCCUAAUGUGAGUCUUUACACCUAGAUGAUUUUAGGUUACACUGAGCCUUUGAUGAAACCUGCAACAAAGGAUAAGGAAUCAAUGUGAUGAAGAUGUAGACAUCACAGUGAAGAAGCCGCAGAAGAAGUUGACAGAUAUCAAGUCAACGAGAAGGAAAAGUUGCUUAUUUUGGGUUAUUGGGCCACUGCCAUCUCUAAGUCCACUUAAAAAUUGUUUAUUUUGUGACAGCCAAAAUGAUGGAACCGACAAAGAACAAGAGCAAGUAGCAAGUAGAAGUGAGCAAGGACAAUGUGGUGGUGGAUUUUAAUCUAAUCGGCCCCCUCUCCUUGAAAGAUUCUCUACUUAUCCCCCGUUAUAAAUUUAUUUUAUUUAUCUAUUUAUCUUAAAUCAAAUAUUUAGUAAAAGACAAUAAAAUCUGUGGAAGCCCUUUUGGUCCAUUGGUUGAACAAGGGUUAAUUAAUGCUUCUACACCCAGAGGUCUGGGUUCGAGUCCCAGAUACUGCGAUUUAUUAAUAAAUUUGCAGAUUAUUGGAGGCAAGUGUGCAGGAGAUCUCCAGCGAUGUACAAUUAUAACCGUUCGCCAGGAUUCUACGCAGAGAGUGAAGUGUCCAUCAAGAGCAUAAAGAAUGAGGUGAAGGAGGUGAGUAUGAAGAAGAAGGUAAAGAAGGUGUCGUCUGUCGUGGAUCUAAUAAGGGUCGGAAGGAAUUGUCCGUUGUAGAAUCGUCUAUGUAACAGUUCUCAUAAUUUGCAAUAAAUAAUAAAUCCAGACGUUAAAAAAAAUAAAAUAAAAAAGACAAUAAAAUCUAAGCUUUUAGACAUAAUUACAGACCCAACCUAAGUUUGAAUCUCUAUCCACAUAUAUUGGAUCUCACUGUUGGAUCUUUUAAUCCCAAAUCCUCAAAAUCGACGUCUGAAUCCCUAACAUUAAUUUUUUUUCUCUCUUGAAGAACGACGAACUUAAGAACCCACCAAAUCCCUCCGUCGUUCUUCUCUCGGAGCUCUACUCUACUCUCGUCGCUGGCAAACCUCCUCUUCUUCCCUAUUCUCUCCUUUUUUUGAUCUUCAUUCUUCUUCUCGUUGGAAAUCCACCGUGAGAAAUCCAAAUUCAUGUUCGUCCGUGUCCUCUCUUUGUAAGCUACGAAUUCUCCAUUCUUGUUCGUUCUUUUGUUUGAUUUAUAUUUUGGAUGGAUUGAGUUGGGUUUUGUUUUGUGAAAGUGAUGGAUUUUCAUAUUUGAAUUUGUCCUUGUUUUCGGAUAUUGAAUUUUCGAAUAUGAAUUUGGCCCAAAUUUCAAACUUGAAUUUAUCUCUAUUUUUGGGUUUGAAUUUUUCCCUUAGAUAGAUUCAAAAUGUGUUUAAAUGUGUUUCGGAUUUCGGAUUCGGAUUUGAAAUGUGUUGAAAACAAACUUUAUCUCUUAUAAUUAUGUAGAUAGAUAAUGAGAUUGUGUGAAUUUGUGUUUGGAUUGCUUAUUUAUCUCUUUUUGUUUAGAUGAUGAGAUUAUGAGAGUAUGCAAAACAAAGAUUUAAGCAAUGUUCUAAGAAGAAAUGUUAGUUGGCACCGAAAAGGAUAGUUAAGCCUUCAAUUCAUGUCAACGAACCGUAUACGGAAGAAAAGAUGAAGAUGGAGAUCGAAGGAGAAGAAGAAGGUCUCUUGGUGGUUUUAGAUAUAUUGUAUGGUUUUUGAUACCACUGUGUUGGUGUUUUGGCUUUAGGUACAAAUGUUCGGAUUGUGUUUUGGUUUCUAAGGUUAUGUAUGAAUCUAAGUGUUUAUGUACAACUGAUACGAACAUGUACAACUAUGUAUCUGGGUUUAUAAAUCUAAGUGUUUAGGUACAAUUGUUCUGAUGUGUUUUGGUUUCUAAGGUUAUGUAUGAAGCUAAUUGUUUAGGUACAACUGGUACGAUCAGGUACAACUAUGUUUCUGGGUUUAUGUUUUUUGGUUAAAAAACCUAUCUAAUUAUGUAUGUAUCUUUGAAUCUGAAUCUUAAUAUUUUUAUGUAUGAAUCUAUGUAUUGAAUAUAAUCUAAGAGUUUUGAACCAAAAAAAAAAUCUUAAUUUUUCAAAAAAUCUGACAAAUAUGUAGGUUGUAAGGGUUUUUAUUAAAAAAAACAGUUAAAUAUCUGAAAAUAUCUGAAAGAAUCUAAAGAUAUCUCAAAAUAUCUAAAAAAAUCUGACAAAUAGCUUACAUGGCGCCGUUAUUUUGAAAAAAAUAAUUAAAAAUAGCACAAAUUUGUUCCUAGUUGUACAGUAGUACCCGGUUGCACAUUUUUGCUCAUAGUUGUACAAUAUAGAGAAUUUAGUAAAUCUAGUUGUUAUCAACUCUAGUUUAAUUUUUGUGGGUAGAACCGAUGAUAUUGCCUCAUAAAAAUACCAUUACUUUGUAUCUGUGUAUUUAUAUUUAUCAAAAUACAAGUAUUUCAAAAAUUUAUAAAAUUUUAGUUCAAAACUACAAAGUAACCAUGAAGUAUAAGGUUGUUAGUGUAUGAAUGUGAGAUUUUAUGUAAGAAUUUCAUUAUUUUAGAAAAUUUUGAAAUUUUUUGUCAAAAACUUGUUGUGUAGUUUCAUUACCAUCGUGUAUGCAUUUUUUUAGGUUUUUCAAUUUGGUUUUAAUUUUUCAUAUUAUAAAAUUGGCCAAGGCAAUAGACCUUAGUUGUACCUGUUGUACUUAGUUGUACCAAAACUGAACAACUUAAUUUGCACAGCUACGACAAUAUCGUUUCUUAAAUUAUCAUAAUCUAAUAAAUAGCACUCAUAAAACUUAGUUGUACAACACAGAACAUAUAAGUUUCAUAAACAAAACCAAUACAAACAAUAUCGUUUUUAAAAUUAUCCUAAUAAAUAGCACUCAUAAAUCAACCUUGGUCACCCGCAUCGUCUCCAUCAACGUCACCAUCAUUGGUAGAAUAAGGUUCUUAGUGUAUGAAUGUGGGAUUUUGAAUAAGAAUUUCAGUAUUUUUUUAUCGUCUUAGUGCAUCGUCACCAUCAUUGGUAGAAUAAGGUUCUUAGUGCAUCGUCUCCAUCAACGUCACCAUCAUUGGUGAACACUCGCCCAAACCGCUCGAUCCAUGCGACCUCUUCUUACGUCCUCUUCCUCUAUGUUCUCCAACGGAGAUGAAUCUUGUUUCUUGUCUUCUUCCUUGUUUUACCUCAUAAUCCGGAGGAUAGGCAAACAGUUGCAUUAUCUCCUCAGGAAGAACCCAUUGAUUAUUAUGGGGAACCGGAUAGUCCCCCUUUCGAUUUAUUCAUAAGAAAAGAAUGCACUUCUUCAUCUUCUCCAUUAGAAAUCCAAUGUACAUCUUCUCCAAUACUUGUAUAGUAUCCGUCAUAAGCAAAGGGUAUGACUGAAUUCCUUUUCAUUGUCCCUGAAAAAGAAAGAGAGAAAAAACGGCUUAUAAUUUCACAACUUCCGUAGCAGACCAUCAACAUAGUUGUACACAUUUGUCCCAGUUGCACCAAACUUAGGGUUUCCGUAAAUAUUCUACUUAGUUGUACACAGUGGUUCCAGUUGUCCCAAAUCUGCAAGUCUCGUAGGGUUUAAUAUCGUAAAAGGUGAGAUAUUUAGUAGAUUUGUUUUUUAAUGAGAGAAGAGAGAGAAAGUUUUUGAUUGGUUGAAUAAAAAAUAUGUUGGUAUUAAAUUAAAUGUAGAAUUAAAGGGAUAAGGGGUAGAAUUGGUUUAUGAAAAAAUUGGGAAGGAAAAGGGUAAUGAGAAUAAAGAGGGGUUUUCCAAAAAUUGAUUUCCCCAAAAGGGGCUGGAGAGAUUUAAAUCCUGUGGUUAAGAAGCAAUGAGUCUUUAGUUUAACUAUGCUAGUAAGAAAGAGUGUCUUGUUGGUUAAUGUCUAGCAAAGCAGAGUUGUUUAGGAGUCUUAAGGUGUUUGAAGUGAUGUAGUACUAAUAGUUGUUAAGACGUCAUGAGUGAGCCAGCCUGACCUGGGUAAACAAAGAAAAGAGUGAGAACUUGAGUGGACUUGAGCUCAAGGCAAAAGUUCAACAUACACGAGGAAUAAUAACAGAUUGGUUGUGCGUUGAAUCUGUUCGACGAAAUGCCUGUGAGAGAUUUUGUCUCGUGGAAAUUGAUGAUCAGUGGAUGUGUAAUGUGUGGUGAUAUGGAUACUGCAGUGAAGAUGUUCGAUGAAAUGCCUGACAGAAGCGUUGUUUCAUGGACAGUGAUGGUGAAUGGUUUUUUUUUUUUUGGUCAGGUCAGGUUGAUCAAACGGAGAGAUUGUUUUAUCAAAUGCCUGUGAGCGAUACUGCAGCGUCGAACGCGAUGGUUCAUCGUUCAUGGGUAUUUACACAUUUGUUAAGUAGACGAUGCCUUGAAAAUGUUUAGACAGAUGCCUAAAGAAUUGCUUUUUGGACGACAUUGAUCUAUGGGUUAGACCAGAACGAGAGAAACUGGAGAAGCUCUUAUCUUUUUUCAAGAACAUGUUGUUGGGUUGUUGCAUAAAAUCUACUUCAAGAACAUUCACUUGUGUGAUCAGUUGCGGGAAUGCUCCAGCAUUUCAUACGGGUAUACAAGUUCAUGGCUUCGUCAUCAAGUCAGGGUUUUUACAUGAGGAAUAUGCAUCUACUUCGGUGAUAACGGAGGAUUCGCGCAUAAGGUGUUUGAUGAGAAGGCUCAUGAGAAUAAUUCUCUGUGGAUUGCUCUAUUGAUAGGGUAUAUUGACUAUAUUCUGAAGAUGUUAAGAAACAGUAUCUUACCGAAUUAAUCAACAUUUGCUACCAGAAUAAACUCUUUCUUUACUUUGAGAAUAUUGGAUUGGGGUAAAAAUAUGCAUGGAAUUGCAAUGAAGCUUGGUUUCGAAUGCUUGUGAAAUCUAAUGAACUCGUUUGGUUGUCUAUACUUAGUUCUUUUAGACGGAGGCGAGAAAGCUGCUGCAGCCAUUUUAAUCUGGACUCGAAAUCAAGCUCUGCUUAUGUUUUGUUGUCGAAUAUAUAUGCAUGGAGUUGAAGCGACUGUGGAAACGUGAAUAAUUCUUUUGUUGUGCGCAGCAUGGGAGUAGAAAGUGGGCGUUUGUUAUAUUUCGUCACGCCUAAACAAAGAGCCAGAUGAGAUCACGUUUUGGUUUGCUCUUUACUUGUAGUCAUUGUGGGUUUUUACAGAAAAGAAGAAAGCUGUUUGAUUGCAUGUCAAGCGGACCAAAUCAUAUCGAUAGAAAGAUUCCACAUUACACUUGUAUGAUUGAUAUCUUGGGAAGAUACAGGGAAUUAAAAGAAGCUGUGGAGCUUAACAUGGUUGUAAAACCUAAUGAACUGGUUUGGUUGGCUUUACGUAGUGCUUGUAGGUUGCAUUAUGAUUAGACACUAGACAGAGGCGUGAAAGUUGCUGCAGCCAUAUUUAACAUGGACUAGGAAUCAAGCGUUUCUUAUGUAUUCUUGUCGAAGAUUAUAUACUUCUGCUGGUCGAUGGUUGAUUCUAUCGAAAUUGAAAGUUAAAAUUAGGCAAGAGGGGAUAAUGAAGAAAUCCAGGAGCAGUUGGGUUUUGCCUAGAGGGAAAAAGUAUGAGUUUUUCUCUGGUGAUUGAACACACUUUUUAUGAAUGAGAUUAUUGGUUGAACAGUGACUUGGGAAAAUUUUACUUGUGAUGUGAGAAGCUCGGGUCAAAAAAUCUGAUCUUAAAUCAGAUAUUAAUGUAAGAAAAGAGCCAUAAAUAUGGUUCUGACUUGUGUGGUGGUGAUUAAGUCAAGUUCCAGUUCAAAAGAGGAAACUUCCGUCAAGUUGCCUCAGCAAUAUCCAAGAAACAAUGAUGCAAUUGCUAGGUACCACAAUGCUACUACUAUACUAUGUGUAAUCUGUUGGAGUUUCAUAACAACCUCUCUCUCUCUCAGUUUUUUUCUUCCAGAAUCACCUCUCUUUUUAUGGCUUCUUCUUCCUCUUCUCGUACUAGGUCAUAUGAUGUUUUCCCGAGCUUCAGCGGAGAAGAUGUCCGCAAGACCUUCCUCAGCCACUUUCUAAAGGAACUUGAUAGGAGACUGAUCCUUGCUUUCAAAGACAACGAGAUCGAGAGAAGCCGGUCACUUGAUCCUGAGCUUAAUCAUGCGUUUAAAGGUUCCAAAAUCGCGGUGGUCGUGUUCUCCAGAAACUACGCUUCUUCAAGCUGGUGUCUUAAUGAGUUGCUGGAGAUCGUGAGAUGCAAGGAAGAGUUUGGUCAAAUGGUGGUUCCUAUUUUCUACCAUUUGGAUCCUUCCCAUGUGAGGAAUCAGACCGGAGACUUUGGGAAGAUGUUUGAACAGACAUGCCAACAUAAAACAGAGGACCAGAAAAUUAGAUGGAGAAGAGCUUUGACCGAUGUAGCUAAUAUCCUUGGAUAUCAUAGUGUGGCAUGGUACAAAUUUUUGAAUCGUUAUUUGUUGUUUAACAAACAAGUUUCUGAAAUUGUCUUUAAUCUUUUUUUUAGGGACAAUGAAGCAAGCAUGGUCGAAGAAUUCGCUAAUGAUGUUUUGGGUAAAUUGACUUUAUCUCCAUCAAAUGUUUUUGAAGACUUUGUCCGAAUUGAAGAUCAUAUCAAAGAGAUAAGUUCAUUGCUGCACUUGGAAUCCGAGGAAGUGAGGAUGGUGGGGAUUUGGGGUCCCUCCGGAAUUGGCAAGACUACCAUUGCAAGAGCUCUAUUUAGUCGUCUCUCUUGUCAGUUCCGAAGUAGUGUUUUCAUAGAAAAAGUUUUCAUAUCUAAGAGUAUGGAUGUUUACAGUAGAGCUAGUCUAGUUGACUAUAACAUGAAGUUGCACUUGCAAAGAACUUUUCUAGCUGAAAUUUUAGACAAAAAAGACAUAAAGAUAGAUCAUAUAGGUGCAAUCGAAAAGAUUCUAAAGAACCAUAAAGUUCUUAUCUUUGUUGAUGAUUUGGAUGACCAAGAUGUCCUAGAUGCCUUAGUGGGUCAAAUAUUUAAAACAACCAUAUGGACAAUCAAGGAUUUGCUUGCUGAUUUUUCCAUGUUUGUGAUGCAAAUGAAAAAAAACUUUGAAAUGGAGAAACAUGAUGAAUCAAAUGCAGUAAGCUUUAGCUAUGAAAUUUUAGUUACAUCUUCCUUAUUUUUAUCAGCACUAUUUAUAUAAUAUAAAUCACGGAAAAAAUAUAUAUAUAUAUAUAAUAUUAAUCACUGUAUUGUUUCUGUAGAUAUUGUGAAGAACCUACCGACGUUAUCUUUAGCCAAACCACAGUGGAACACAUAUACUAACACUUUGAAGUUUGAACAUAAGGAUUUUAAUUGCAUUCUAUAUCGUUUUAAGAACUUAUCAUGAUUUGAUCGACCAAAAUUCAUGUUAUAAAAUGAAUGUUAAGGGAGUUAUAAAUUAAAAAAUUCCAAACUGGUUUUCUCUCGGUUUACCAUUAAUGGAUAUAAUUUCGUAACGAAUUAUGAUUUACAUCCUUUUAGAAUUCUAAUCAACUUUGUAAAUUUGUGUUUAUGGUGUUUUAUUUGUCUUACUCUAGUCUUGGUCUUUUGUUAAGUCCUCUUUCCUCAUUUCAAAACCUUGAACCUUCUCAAAUCCCAGGAAAACCAAAUCACAACACGCUCAUAAAGUCAUACCUUAUACGACUUCAAUCAUACGAUUUAAUAACUCUAUUAACUAAUUUAAAGGAAAAACAAUAGCUAACUAGUAUAGCAUAAUACAUGACCACACAUCUCAAAUUUAGAAAUAUAUAGUAAACAACACCAAGUAAAUAUAUUGCAUAUCCACAUAUACUAAUUAUAUGACGACAUGUGAUCAACAUCACGAUUAUCUUAAUCCGGUACACCUUUGAUCGAAUUUCGGCAUUGACCAGAAAAUAAUUCAAACACUAAUUUUUUAUAUUUAUUUUUGAUAUUAAGAAAAAACAAGAAUAAUAUUAAUGAAUUGUGAUUUUAAACAUGGUUUAGUCCGGUUUAAACAAAAAAUACUAUCAUUAUAAAACAAAAAUGGAAAUUUUCCAAUAUUUUUUCUUGUUUUUUUUGAACCACAAAAAAAUAAGUUUCUUGUUUAGUUAAUAUUGGAAAUUCGAUUUUUCAUUUUCCUAUAUUGAAUAUAUGACCAAAACAUUGGAAAUGCUCUAUUUUUUUCUUUUAUAAUAAUAAUAAUAUAUUUUUUAAAAUAUGUAAUUUUUUUUUGAAAAUUGUUUAUAUUUACUUACAUUUUUUUUUGAAAAAUUUCCAAUAUUACUCGUAUUAUAAUUACUAUUGGAAAUUUUCCAUUUUGAAAAUUCCAUUUUCCAAGAUUGAAUAUGACCAAGAAUAUUGGAAAUUUUCCAUUUUUGUUUUUAUACUAAUAAUAUUUUGUUGUUUAAAUCGAACUACACCAUAGGUUAUUAUUCUUCUAAUUUUAUUAAUGUGAAAAUAAAUAAAUAAAAAAUACUUUUUGAACUAAGAUAUUUCUAAAUUUCACAUAUGUCGUCAUAUCUUAUGCUAUACAUCGUGUAGUUGGCUAUUAUUUUCCUAAUUUAAAUUAAUUGGGUACUUAUAUACUCCCUCCGUAUUUGAAUAAAUGUCGUUCUAGCCUUUUUUCUGUGUUUUUAAUUAGUUGUCAUUUUAACAAAUUUUGCAUAAAAUUUCCUAAAUUACCCCCAAUUAAUUGAUCAUAAUUAAUCAGUCUAAAUUACCAAAACUACAGAUACCAAAAAUAUAAUUGUAAAUAAUCGUUUCUCAUAAGGUUAGUUUUGUAAUUCUGUGCCUUUUCUUAAUUCACCCAAAAACAGUUGAAACGACAUUUUUUCAAAUACAGAGGGAGUAUAUAUUUAAGCUUUUCAUUACUAAAAUAAAAUCCAGUCGAAACUAAAAAAUCAUACCAAACAAAAGUUAUACUUUUAUUAAAUGAAACCAAAACUAAGCCAAAUCAUAAAUAGUUUAAACUGGUUUAUAAUCUUCUAUGUUUAAUAUAGGGUUUUGUGCAAAACAACCCUCCAACUUGUCUAUUUUUGUAAUUUUACCUUCCAUCUCCUAAAAAUGUAAAUUAAUCCUACGAAUUCCAAAAUAAUAAACAAUAUAACUCUUAUACGUAUAUUGUAAACGUUUUUCCGGUUACAUGCAUUAGAUUUUUUGAAUUCUAAAAAUAGAGUUGAACUCUUCACCGCGAGGAUUUCGAUUUGACAUAUUAUUUAUCAAAAUUUUACGAACUUGAACGAACUUGACGUAACGAAUAAGAGUUACAUUGCGAAUUAUUUUAGACUUCGUCAGAUUAAUCUGCAUUUUUUUAUAUGAAGGGUAAAGUUGUAAAAAUUGACGAGUUAGAUGGUUUUUUUGCAACUCGAAAACUAAAACUAAGAUGAAAACCAAAAUAUCUAACNNNNNNNNNNNNNNNNNNNNNNNNNNNNNNNNNNNNNNNNNNNNNNNNNNNNNNNNNNNNNNNNNNNNNNNNNNNNNNNNNNNNNNNNNNNNNNNNNNNNAAGUGGGAAUAUAUCGUGCUUGUAGAAUCUAAUCGUAGCGGUCAAGAUUAAUCUAAAAAACUGAAUCAAUCAGACCAAAAUCCCUAAUCUUUACACAAACUAAUAAAAAACCUAACCUAACUAGGGCAACAACAACAACUACUCUCAAAGGCCGUCGCUUCUUUCACUUUUGCAUAGAAAACAUAUAUAGCAAAAAACCCCUAAUCAUCGCCACUAAUUCCAAACCACACUAAUGGCAGACACGAAGGUCCAAUCUCCAGAAACCACGGUGGUUGUUGAUGAGAAUCAACGGGUAACAUCACCACCGCCGCCACCACAACAACAACAAUGGAAGGGUAUGAGAUAUCAUCCUUCACCUAUGGUAAUGCCACAUCAUAUGAUGUAUGCUGCGCCACCUUAUCCUCCUUAUCAUCAUCCUCAUCAGUUUUAUCACCUUCCUCAUCAUCAUCAUCAUCAUCAAUCUCGUGGUAAUAAGUAUCAGAAUGCUUCUAAUACUGAGAAUAAGACUAUUUGGGUUGGUGAUUUGCUUCAUUGGAUGGAUGAGAAUUAUCUCAAUUCUUCCUUUUCUUCUGCUGGAGAGGUUUGGUUUUCACUCCUCUGUUGUUACUAAAGUUGUUCAAAGUUUUGGUUUUUAUGUGUUUGACUUUUGUGAUUUUUUAUGUUAGUGAAGCUUGGUUGCUUCUUUUAGUUGUCUAGUGUAUCUUUGUUUGCUAAAGUUCUUUUUUUUUUCUUAGGAUAAAGUAUGAUUUUUGAAAGGAUUUUGUUUUCAUGAAACUAUCCAGUGAAUGGUCUGAUAUGUUAUUCAAAGUCUUGAUUUUUAUGUGUUGACUUUUGCAAUAUUGAAGUUAGUGAAGCUUUGUUGCUUCCAUUAGUUUUCUAGUGUAUCUUAGUCUGCUAAAGUUAUCUUUUUUAUCAGGAUAAAGUAUGAUUCUUUAUGAAAUCUGUAUUCAUGAAAGUAUCUAGUUUGUCGAGUUUGUUAUGUUCUCUGAAUUUGUUUGAGUCUGAUAUUUUAAUCAAGUCUUCGUUUUGAUGUGUUGUCUUUUGCAAGUUUGAUGUUUUGGUAGCUUUUGUUAGAAUACAAUGUUGGGAAAGCUUGGUUGCUUCCACCAGUUGUCCUCUGUGUCUUUGUGAGCAUAAAGUAUGACUCUUUAAGGGGUUUAGCUGCUGUAAUGUAUAAUAAUACUGAAAUUGUCCAGUGAAUGGCCUCUGGUGUCACAUAACUUGAGAUCAUUUCAUUUCCGAAUCUGAUGUGUUAACCUCUGAAGUAUGUUUUAUAGUUAGUUUGCAUUGACUUUAUUUGAUCUGGGUCUGGUAACUUAUUGUGCUUAUUUGUUAUGAUGUAGAUUUCGUCGGUUAAGGUUAUCCGCAAUAAGCAUACUGGUUUGACUGAGGGCUAUGGAUUUGUCGAAUUUGUUUCCCACGAUGUUGCGGAGAAGGUGUUGCAGGAAUUGAAUGGUGAAGCUAUGUUAAAUGCGGAACAACCUUUCCGUUUAAACUGGGCUAGUUUUAGCACUGGUGAAAAGCGCUUAGAGAAUGGUCCUGAUCUCUCUAUUUUUGUGGGGGACUUAGCACCAGAAGUAACUGAUACUAUGUUGGAACAAAUAUUCUCUGAGAAAUACCCAUCUGUCAAGAAUGCAAAAGUUGUCAUAGAUGGCAAUACUGGUCGAUCAAAGGGAUAUGGCUUUGUGAGAUUUGGAGAUGAUAGUGAGAGGAGCAAAGCUAUGUUGGAAAUGAAUGGUGUGAAAUGUUGUGGCCGGGCUAUGCGAAUUGGUCCUGCAACCCCUAGGAAGCCAAGUGGUUAUCACCAACAAGGUAUUUUGUCUGAUACUUAUCUUUCCUAAUUAAGACAUGUGUUUCAAAUCUCAUGGCCGUGUCCUGAUUGCUCUAAUUACUUGUAUAUUAUCUUAAAGCAACAAGUACUUUGCUACUUUUGAGGAUCUUCAUAUGUUCUUUUUACGCAUAAUAUUGUUCCAGUUUCUUAAUAUUUGUUGGACUUGGGGGGUGGGUAUAUGUCAAAUGGUGCCUUGCCUCGACAUGAUGGGGAAUCAUUGAACACAACAGAUCUUUUAAUUUCCAUGGAACAUUUUGGAUGCGCGGUCUUCCCCCAAUUGCGACUGUGGGAAGAUGGGUGUGAUCUUUAUUCUUCCAUGUUUAUAUUGCAGAUAUUUGUUGGAGGACUUGACUCUAGUGUUACUGACGACGAUCUUAGACAACCUUUCGCCGGUUAUGGUGAAAUAGUCUCUGUCAAGAUACCUGUUGGCAAAGGAUGUGGAUUUAUUCAGUUUGUGAACAGGUAACAUUUUAUGCAGUAGUGAAGCUAUGAACUCUGGAUGUUGACUCAGUUAUUUGGUCCUUGUCCUUUCACUGAUUCAAUAUGGUACUUGACGUUUGUUGCAGAGAAAAUGCUGAGGAGGCAUUGGAGAAAUUAAAUGGGUCUAUGAUUGGUAAACAAACCGUUCGCCUUUCUUGGGGUCGUAAUCCAGGCAAUAAACAGGUAACCAUGCUCUAUCCUGCGUUGAUCGAUAUUUUAUUCCAUUUAGUUUAUAUCUCUGACUAAAGAUGUAUGGUUCUUUGCAGCCUAGAGGCGAGUAUGCAGACCAAUGGGUUGAACCAUACUAUGGAGGACAAUACUACAAUGGUUAUGGAUACAUGAUGCCGCCACCUGUUGACCCGAGAAUGUAUGCUGCAGCACCUUACGGAGGAGGUUAUCCGGUUUACAGUGGUCAUCAGCAACAACAAGUAAGCUAAGAAGAAAAAUAAAAGAAGUUAGUAGGUAUGAGGCAAAAUUGUCUUCUUCUUCUCUCUCUAUCCAUCCUCUCCUUGGUUAGCUCCUGGGCAACGAAUUUUGAUAAAACCUUAGUGCUACUUAAUUUAUUUAGGGAUUUUGAUUGGAUUGAUUUAUUUUAUUUUAUUCUCAGAUGCUUAUAUUAUGGUAUUUUUAAAGCAGUACUACUUUAAUUGGUCGAUGAUUGAGUUUUGUGGUUUGGCGAUUUGAUAAGCCUGCUUUUUUAGAUUUGGCCACAUAUUUCGUAUGACUUGGUCCAUAAAAUUACAAACCAUAGUGAUUUUGGAUAGUCUUUAACACGACUACAUAGUUAUCUUUAGACUUUAAAAGUGAUAACCAAAGAAACUUAACACGACUAGUUAUCUUUAGACUUUAAGUGAUAACCAAAGAAACUUAACAUAAAAACAAAACAGUAUAAGGUAAGUGCAGAUGCUACCAUACUACAUAGUGUAAUAGUAAAGGCGAUUGAGAGAAUUCUAGUGUGGUCUCAAUAUCAUCUUGGAAACGACAUGAGGGAUCGAGGAUGUGUUUGAGUCGAUUCGCUGAAGAAUGUGGAUACGAUUGAGCAAAGAGGGUUAGGAUGGAGUACCUAAAGCCAAAGGUUUUGAUGUGAUUGUACUCAUGAAGUUUUUAGUGGUUAGAUUCUCAAUAGGGGAUUUCUUAGAGAAGAAGAGCUACAUUGAGAAUGUGUUCAGAAGUUUCAAGACUAUAUUGAUAAGCAAUUAUCUCUUUUGAACUUAGCUUGCAAAAAUAUUAAAUUCAAAUUGCCUCAUGAACACUAAAUCUACUUUGUAUUAAUAGUUUUGUCGUUGUUAUCAGUGCUUGGUCAAGCAAGAUCUUGUCAUCCAUAACACACACCGAUCCAUGUUCCUAACAUAAAUAUUACUAUUGUCUAUAGCAUAGAUUCAUUUGACAUUUAUAAUUGUUCUAACGAGUCAACACAAUCGAAAAGAGACAGAGAAGGAAAAAAAAAAAAAAAAAGAGACAGAGAAGACAAAAAGGUUUCUAAAUCCACAACACCACGUUCACUCAUCAUGGUUGAAAGUUGAUACACAUGCCCACAUUAUUUCUAUACGGAUCUAUCUCUUUCCCAUAAUAUACUUCUUUUUGUAAUGCAUGUGAUGUAUUAAUAUAGUAAUUAGAUUACCAAUAUCUCAGUUCAUAAAUUAUAUAUACAAUUAUAAUAGAGAAAAUAUAGCAUUUAGUGGAAGAUGCUUUUAAUUCUUUUGGCCAAAAGGAAACUGGCCGAUUAGGUAGAAAUCUAGCAGGUAUAAGGUAUCCAUCAUCAUUAAGCAAAAGCUAUUAUUUAAGUAUCGUUAGGGUAUGAACAUAAUUUUGAAAUAGAGACAAAUCAACAGAAGCUAUGUAAUAAUAUGAUUUGCCAGCUGGGCUUGCGAAUAAUCCUCAAAUAGUGUAAACUAGAAUUUGAAUUUUGGACUCCUUUAAUAUAUGUUGGAGUGACUACACCCAUAAACAAAUUUACUAUAACAAGAAAACAAUUAUAACUAGACAAAAACAUGUGUUAUGUACGGGUAAUUCUUAUGUUAUUUAAUUUAUAACUACUUUAAUUCUAUAACAAAUUAUAGAUAUUUUAUUACUUUAUUAAAAAUUUCUAAUACAUUUAUAAAAUAUAUAGUGUUUGUGUUUGAUUUUGAUAAACAUGUUUUAACCACAAUUCGAGAAUCAAUCCGGGCUAAUGUAUUUAUUUAAUAAUAAAUAGUAUAUUUUAAAUACAAUUAGAAAAUCAAAGUGGAGUUUCUUCCAAAUAUUCGGGUCAAAUUGGUCUCACUAUAUGUGAAUCUCUAGAAAAUCAAUGAGGGUUUUAAAUAUGGUAAUGACUGAGAGUUUUGAAAAUCUAAAUUUGGUAAGUUUAGAUAUUUGAAUUUAUUUAUGUAUGUUUGUUUAGUAGUUUAAGGAAGAUGUGGAUAAAAAAAAUGUAUUUGCUAAAUGGGAUAAUAAAACUAAUAUAUAUCUAUACUAGUAUUUUUACAACACUUUGGUGACGGGUGGGUAAAAAUGCUUCCGGGUAUAUCGGAUACCCGACCCGUUUUAAAAAUUCCUUCACAAAAAAUUUGUUGGGUCGGGUUAUAUUUAACCCAACUUAUACACCGGAUAUUCCAUAUUUAAUAAUUUUGAUAUUUAAAAGAUUUAAUUAAGAUUUAUAAUUAUGAUUCUCCUAUCAUUUUUGUUUGAUUUGUUUUUAACUGUUUUGAAUCAUCAUAUAAUACAUAAAGUAAAAAAAAAAUCAUCCAAUUGAUUCUCCUAUCAUUUCUCCUAUCAUUUUUUUUUCUGCAUAUACUGUGAUUCGAAAUUUUUAAAACGGACAUAUAUUAUCCAAUUGACGAAAAUGUGUGUUCAACGUUCUACAUCGAUUAAAAUAUUUAGACAAAGAUUCAGAAUCAUAUCAUAAAUAAGAACAUUAAUAAAAUAAAUGAGUUUUUUUUGCCGGACGGGUUUGGCGGGACGGGUUUUUGAAUCAACAAUAAUAAAAAGAUUAAAAUAUCAUUAAUCCGCCGCUUCAAUAAGGAUUAAAUCAUUUUUUUAAUACCACAAAUAUUAGACAUAUUAAAUCAGUCUCAUUUAGAAAAGAUUGUAUAAAAUCAAAAAUUGUCCCGUGGUAUAAUGUCACGUGAUCUUAGAGGAUGAUAUGAUUUGUAAACUUUUAUAUAUAAUAAAUAAUCAUUAAAUUUUAAAAUAAAAACAAAUCAGGGGACGGGUUAAGAAAUUACGGAACAUGUUAUAUUUCGGAAAGGAUUUAUAUGGCGGACGAAUUUGAAUCAAUAUUUAUAUACCGCUUUAAUACGGGUUAAAUCCUCCGUAUAUUAAUAAUUGCCUCGUGAACUCGUGGUAUACCGUUACUUAAUAAUAAUUAUAAACUAUAAUAUAAAUAAAUAUUUUAUAAGGAGAUACAAUUUACAAAAUAUUUUUAUACUAACUUUAAAAUUAAAUUAUCCCGCGGUGUACCGCGGGUUAAAAUCUAGUAUAUAUAUAAAAUUGUAGACUUGCUACGUCACCAAAAAACCUUUUUAAUAUAUAAAUAUAGAGAAUAUUGAAUUACAUAAAUUUAAUCUAUACUUGUUAGUAAAAUGUAUCCGAAUCAAAAUUUCAAUCCAAAAACCUCGCAAUUUUUUUUUGUCUUUUUAAACCUCGCUAUCUUGAUAGUACUGUCUUACAUCAAUCUUGGCUCUACCGUCUUACAUCAACGGUUUUGAUCUUCACAUAAACAUCAUCAACAUAUAUUUUAGUCAACUCUGGUAUGAGUAUGACGCAUUGACGUACACACAAGUGAUGCGUGUCGUUCAUAUAAUUUUUAGAGCAUAUUUGAUUUGAACCACUCCUCUUGUUUUAAUUUUUUUUUUCUCAAACAACAUUGAUAAUAGAUAUGGAAAGGUUUACAAUACACAAAUAAAACAUGAUUAAACAAAUUAAAAACACAGUGCUCUCGACCCAUACAAAUCUACAAAUUAAGAAAAUGAAGUUUUAGAUAAUACAUGGCAAAAAACAAACAAAUUUUAUCUUUUGAAGCUUUUAAAGUUCACCACAAGGCCUGCCUACAACAAACCAUGAAAACAGACUUCAAUAUUAUAGUAUUAACAAGAGAAUGGAACUUGGCUUUCUCCGUAUAUGGUAUAUUUUCUUUUAUUAAUGUUUUAUCACAGAUCUCUUAGAUGAGCUAUAACCUUUUAACGCCACAAGAAACGAGUAUUAAAGUCAAUUAGAACCUAAUACCACGAAAAUAUAACUCUAAACUGAAAUAAUUAUAAGAGUUCAGCCCUAAACUAACAUCAAGUAAAUUAGUCGAGGAGGAGAAAGUUAACCCAAACAAAAAAGAAAAAAGUUAGCCCAAACAAGGGAAAUAGACAAUCCCAACACCAUAAAUGCUAACUAUUCAUAAGAAAUUGCAAUUCAUGAAACCUAACAAACACUAAAAUAAAACUAUAUCUGACAGCCUCAACCGGACAUCAAUUUUUCAAAAAAAAUGUAAAUUUAGUUUCUAACUUUUUUUAUUUGGUUAGUCGAAAUAUUACUAUAUUUUAUAUCCGUUAAAAACCAAAUGAAUGGGUUAAUGGAUUAUUCUAGUGAAAUUAGUUAGAUGAUAAAAUUUCGGAUCAUUUUUUAAUUACUAAAAAGAAAUUCAUCCCUUUUGUUCUCCACGUCACACAUGCGUUCAUAUCGUAUCAAGUCGUGUUCUUACCAUUGUUGUGUUAAUUCGCAGUCGUGUUCUUACCAUUGUUGUGUUCAUCUUAAUACCUCAAACACCUUACUCUCCCUUUUGUCGGUUCAUCCUAAACCAGUGUCGAAUUUACUGUACCAAGAGAUUGAUUAAGGUAAACUAUUCAUCCACAUAGUCUUUUCUUUAAUCAUUAUCUAUGACCAGUAAUAAUCAUAUUUCAUUACCCUCCAAAAAUCUCAUGAUCAUCGCUUUAAACAAAACUGUGAUUAUCAAAUCAUAAAUUUAGUUAAGUACUAAUAUCAUUUGUUAGAAUAACAUAUUCUAAAAAGCAAUGAUAACGUGGGUUAGAACCUACUUACCAAUUAUACUCGUCUUUUUUUUUCUUUAACCGAUUUCUUGAACAGCCAAAAAAUCUCAUAAUCGCCUUGACAAAAACUGUGAUUACCUACCAAUCAAACCAUAAUUAAUUUAUUGGUAUUGCAAAGUACUUAAUUAACACAAAAAAUUAUUGGAGAGCCGCCAACCAUGUGAGCUGCGAACCUCCGUAGAAGUCUAUCUCCACUACAUGCCGAAGUCGAGGCCCUUUUCUGGGCGAUGAAGUGUAUGAUUGGUGCAGAUCAUCAAGAUGUAGCGUUCUUUACAGACUGUUCAGACCUAGUGAAGAUAGUAUCUUCUCCAACCGAAUGGCCGGCGUUUUCAGUGUAUUUGGAAGAAUUUCAGAACGACAAAGAGGAGUUUUCAUCUUUUUCUUUAUCUUUAAUUUCUCGUAGAGCUAAUGUCAAAGCGGAUAAUCUGGCACGAAAAGUUCGUACAGAACCGCUUCACAUCACAUAUGUAAACAACAUUUCUCAGAAAUGGUAUUUUUGAAUUUUAAUUAAUUUCGGAUCGCAAAAAAAAAAAAAAAACACAAAAAUAUAUUAACAAUUUAAAUGUCACACUCACACUCACACCAAAAAAACAAUUUAAAAAUAAAAAUGAAGUCGACCGACCGUUUCACCGCUCCUUUUGAUAUUCCCCACUUAUUUUUAUUCUUCUCUCUAAUAAAUACAUAAAACAAAUCAGAAAAAAAAAAAAAAUUAUAUUACUACAAAGCUGAAGCUGAAGACGAAACAUCACCAAAUCUUCUUCUUCUGGUCUUGUCUCCAUAUCUAAACAUACAAAAAAAAUUAUACACUUCUCUCUACAUAUAUUAUUACAAAGAAAGUGAUUCCACAUUCCAGCUGUACCUUUCUGUAAUUUCAAACCUUCAAAUUCAAAAUGAUCAUCAUGGUUGAUGCAUGACACCAGCUCCCUGAAUCAAACCAGGUUUUGCUAGAGAAUUUUCGCUUUUACAACUUCUUCAUAAGUAAAUUUGAAUUGUUGUGAUUCUUAAUGUAAUUUUGGAUUAUACAGAUUUUGAUUCGGAGAGGAAUAUGAUGAUGAGUAGCAGCAGUAGCAGUAGCAGUAGUAAUAGUAGUAGUAGCUAUACAAGAUGCGUUAAAACUCCAUCAUCUGCAAUUACGGAAAUUGUGAGUGAGGAAUCUCAAUCCUUUUGAUCAAAUAUUUUGCCUCUUGGUGUUCUUUAAUUGUUAGAUUAUAUCAAAAUUGUGAAAUCUAGUUAUUGUGUUUUUUUUUUUUGCUAUGAUCUCGAAAGCGAAUCUGCGAAAAAUGAAGUUCUUGAGGUUUUUCGCAGAUUCGCUUUCAAGAUCAUAGCAAAACCUCAAGAACUUCAUUUAGCUGUGAAAUUGAUAAUGUGAUUGAUACAGGGGAAGAAUGUGAAAGCUGGUGAAAAUGGUGUUGGAAACCGAAAGGCCUUAAAUCGAGAGAAGAUAAUUGCUCUGCAACAAGAUGUAACCGCUUUUUCGAGUAUUUGUUUUUAGUUAUUUUCAAUAUGCAGUUUACAGAUUUUUUGAAGAGUGGAUGAUGUUGUUUGGUUUUAAAGGUUGAAAAUCUGAGGAAGAAGCUUAGACUUGAAGAGAACAUUCGCCGAGCAAUGGAAAGAGCGUUUAAUAGACCUCUCGGAGCACUUCCCCGCCUUCCUCCGUUUCUCCCUCCAUCGGUUAUUGACUUAAAACAUAGCUCGGUGAUUUUCCUUUCACACAAAAUCUUCUUUCCAAUUGGGAUUGAUUUUGGUUAUUCUUGUAGAUUUUGGAGUUACUUGCGGAAGUGGCUGUUAUGGAGGAAGAAAUGGUUCGGUUAGAAGAAUAUAUUGUCCAUUGUAGACAAGAAUUGUAUCAAGAAACAGCUUUUACAUCUUCAUCCAUAGCGAACUUAAAAUGCUCUGCUGAUUUGCCUAAGAAUUGGCAGAGCAAAUCUAAGUCAGCUGCCAGUAAUGCUAGAGAAUCUGAAUCACCUCGUUUGCGGGAACCGCGUUCUGUUUCAGGUGAGCUUAUAGGGUUCUAUGUGAGGUUUCUUGAUAUGGUUUAGACUAAUAUAUGAUGCUAGUGUUCCCUUUGUAGAGAGUCGGAGGGGUAAAGAGAACAAGUUGAGUGCUACCUCUAUCAAAACGCCGAUAAAGAAAAUGACUAUUUUGGCUCAUACACAACUUAAUAAGAGUUUAGAAGCUCAGAAACUUGAGGUACAUACAUAGUAAUAUUUUUAUCUUUUCAUUUGGUUUUCUUGAAUUGCAGAUUUAAUCUUAAGUUCACUUACAUAAUUACAGCAGGAAAGUCAUAGAUGUCGCAAAACAAAUGCAGAGCGGAGCUCUCAUGGUGGCGGUGAUGACCCAAAUAAAAUUUCAGAGGAUUUAGUUAAAUGUUUGUCUAACAUUUUCAUGAGAAUGAGCACAAUAAAAAGAUCCGCGGUUACGAAAUCUCAAGAAAACGAUAAAGAUACGACUUUCAGGGAUCCUUAUGGAAUUUGCUCCAGCUUUAGUAGAAGAGAUAUUGGUCCAUAUAAGAAUUUCAGUGAUAUUGAAGCAGCUUCAGUAAAUCAAAAUAGAACGUCUAGUUCCUCUUCGUUUCUCAUCCGUCAACUGAAGUAAGCGCGGUUUGAAAAAUCCUACUUCUAAAGUGACAGUUUCUUUUCUUGAUUUGUGUAUUCACUAAUUCCUUUUUUUUUUUCUUGGAAUUUUCAGACGCCUGCUUGGAAAACUUUCUUCGGUCAACUUGCAGAAACUUAAUCAACAAGAGAAGUUAGCUUUCUGGAUAAACAUUUAUAACAGCUGCAUGAUGAAUGUAAGCACUAAGCAAUAUCUAUGUAGAGAUAUGUUCCUGUCUUUGUGGUUUAUUAACUUGCGUUACAUUGAAAACAUUAGUGUUUCCUUGAACAUGGAAUACCGGAGAGCCCUGAUAUGGUGACACUAACGCAAAAGGUAAAUAGAAGAUUAAAAUUUUCUGCAUGUAAAACUUACUAAGAUAACAAAAAUAAAUAAAAUUAUUCAGUGUUUCCAACUAAGAUGGUCCCUUGUGCUUGCAGGCGACUAUAAAUGUGGGAGGCCACUUUCUCAAUGCAAGCACAAUCGAACACUUCAUCCUCCGCUUACCGUAUCACUCAAAAUAUGUAAGCUCUUCGUUCGCUGGUCCCUUUCCUUUCUCUAGAGUUGUCAUGAUCAUCUAUCAAUGAUCUUUUGCUUUACAUCUCUCACUUGAUUUAUCAGAUUUCUCCAAAGGGAUCAAAGAAAAAUGAAAUGUCAGUGAGAAGUAAAUUUGGAUUGGAAUUGUCAGAGCCACUUGUAACAUUUGCUCUCUCAUGUGGUACCUGGUCCUCACCCGCGGUAAGUACAUGUUUAUAUCAUAUUAAUAUACUUUGUUCUUGAUUGUUUGUUUGCAUUUGUGUUUAAAGUUUGUGUGUUAUUUUUCCCCAAAUGAACCCACAACUCUUGGUAUUUUAAAAAAAUUCAUUUGUUAAUUGGAGAAGAGAUGAAAUAUUGUUCACAUGUAAACACAAACUUACUCGUAGAAACUGAGGUCUUAUUCUCUCUAGUGAAUAGUCCUGGUUCUAAAACUAAAUGAUGUGUUGAAACGUUAUGAAGGUAAGGGUGUACACUGCGAGUAAAGUAGAGGAGGAGUUGGAGGUGGCAAAAAGAGAGUACCUAGAAGCAUCCGUGGGGAUAUCGGUGGCGAAAAUGGGGAUACCGAAACUGAUGGAUUGGUAUAGUCAUGACUUUGCAAAAGACAUUGAAUCAUUACUUGAUUGGAUUUGCCUUCAGUUGCCUACUGAGUUGGGGAAAGAUGCUCUCAACUGUGUUCAACAAGGGAUGUCUCAGCCCCAUUCUUCUACUCUUGUCCAUAUUAUCCCUUAUGACUUCACUUUUAGAUACCUUUUUUCGAUCUGAAAAUGUUUUUUUCUAAGGGGUUUCUUUUCUCUCUUUUAGUAGUCUUUGGUUUUUUUUUUCUGAGGUUUCAAUUAGUUUUGUUUACACUUUACAGCAAUAUAAAAAAGUACAUAAAUAAGGAGCUAUUGAAAUUAUCAUAUUGUGUUCAGUUUAGUUUUGGUGUUUGUUUUUUUUUUUUUUUGGUAAGUUAGUUUGGUGUUUGUUUUCCAACCCACUUCAAUUUUAGAGCUAAUUAGGUAAAUGGCGAGAAAUGAAAAAGUAUUUAGAUAAAUGACCAUUCCUAGAAUUAUUAAUAAAAAAAAUAGAUAAAAAAAAAAAGAAAAUGCACCAACCAAAAUAUGAGUGAAAUGUAAUAUUUUAGCUUUUUAAGUAAUCGUAAAAAUAUGAAGAUUUGUCUUUAGUCAAGUGGUUAAGUCCAUAUCACUCCGCUUUUUCCAUCGGAGUUCGACUCCACUAAGUCGCGUAACUUCGCGUAGUAGAGAUUGACUAUGCAUCGGUCCUUGUCGAUCCAAGGAUGUCAAAAAAAAAAAAAACUAAUCGUAAAAAUAUAUUCAUUUGGUAUUUCAUGACAUAUUAAUAUAUAAAACGUGAAAUAAUUAUAUAAAACUGUAGGAUAAUAGAGCACAUAAACUAAUUUUUAUAUAUAACAAAUGUAAUUUUUCUUGUCAAUCUAAUUAUAUGUCUACAUAAGAAGAUAAGAAAAAAAAAUCAUGAAAAUGUUAUAAUACAUCAUAUUGGACUUAUAACCGGGCCCAAUAAGCCCAUCAGGGUUAUUCAUUAUGUACUCUAAAACCCUAGGUUUAUAUGCCUAUAUAUAUGUAUCAUUAUUCAUGGAAUGAAAUGAGAUAACAAUAAGUUUCACAACACGUUAUCAGCACGAGUAACCGAACCUGAUGGUCAAUCGGGAUCUCGAUAAUACGCUGGGGAAUGUUGCCUCAUUAAAACCUUACCAGGAAAACCCAGUGGGAAAAACCAUGGUGAAGGAAAAAGAGUACAACACGCAUUACUCCCCCUGAUUAGAGCAUCACCGUAGAUCUCUAAGUCUACGCAUUCCUAUUUGUUGGAUGAGCUUCCGGAGUGUUGAAGCGGGCAAUGAUUUGGUGAAAAGGUCGGCGGAGUUAUCGCAUGAUCGGACCUGUUGAACGCUGAUCGUACCAUCCUUCAGCCAAUCCGAGGUUGAGAAGAAUUUCGGUAGGAUGUGCUUCGUCCGAUCUCCUUUGAUAUAACCUUCCUUGAGUUGAGCAAUGCAAGCCGCGUUGUCUUCAAACAUAACCGUGGGCUCCUUAUCUUCUUUCAUACCACAAUCUGAUCGAAUGUGCUGAGUCAUGGAUCGUAGCCAAACACAUUCUCUGCUGGCUUUGUGAAUGGCCAAAAGUUCUGCAUGGUUUGAUGAAGUGGUAGUGAUUGUCUGCUUUAUCGAUCUCCAAGAGAUAGCUGUUCCUCCAUGCGUGAACACAUAACCAGUUUGAGACUUGGCAUUGUGCGGAUCUGAUUGAUAUCCUGCAUCAGCAAAACCAACUAGUCCAUCCUUGUUGUGGUUAGUGUAAAACAGUCCUAAGUCUUUAGUACCUUGAAGGUAUCUUAGGAGGUGUUUGAUACCAUUCCAGUGCCACUGAGUUGGACAUGAGCUGAAGCGAGCUAGGAGGUUCACGGCAAAACAAAUGUCUGGUCUAGUGUGACUAGCCAAGUACAUUAACGCUCCUACAGCACUGAGGUAUGGCUUUUCUGGACCGAGAAUUUCUUCAUCGUCCUUCUUGGGACCAAAUGGAUCACUGUCCAAUCCUAGGCUCCGGACAACCAUUGGGCUGUUCAAUGGGUGGGCCUGGUCCAUAUUGAAUCGCUUGAGUACUUUUUCAAUGUAAGCCGCUUGAUGCACAAGGAUUCCUCCUUUAACGUACUCAAGUUGUAAACCCAAACAGAAUUUAGUUUUACCUAGGUCUUUCAUUUCGAAUUCUGCUUUCAAGCAGUCGACUGUUUGGGAGAUUUCACCAGAUGUUCCGAGGAUGUUUAGAUCAUCCACGUAAACUGCUAUGAUUACAAAUCCUUUGUUUGAGUAUUUCUUGAUGAAAAUGCAUGGAUUGAUGGGAUCGUUUUUGUAGCCUUCUCUGAUGAGAUAUUCGCUUAACCGGUUAUACCACAUACGUCCACUUUGUUUCAGUCCAUACAAGGAUUUGUUCAGCCUGAUGCAGUAUUGAUCUCGAGAUGCAUGCUUAUCUUUAAGCUCUAUGCCAUCUGGUAAUCUCAUGUAUAUUUCAUUGUCGAGGGGCCCAUAGAGAUAUGCGGUGACAACAUCCAUUAACCGCAAAUCUAGAUUUUCUCUUAUGGCCAGACUUAUGAGGAAUCGAAAAGUAGUUGCAUCCACCACCGGAGAAUAAGUCUCCUCAUAAUCGAUUCCGGGUCUCUGUGAGAAUCCUUGUGCUACAAGCCGUGCUUUAUAACGAACGACUUCACCGAGUUCGUUUCUUUUACGCACAAAGACCCAUUUAUGGCCCACUGGUUUGACAUUGAAUGGUGUCCGGAUGAUCGGACCAAACACAUUCCUGAGUUUGAGACUCUUUAACUCCACGUCUAUGGCUUCUUUCCAUUUUAGCCAGUCUGUUCUAUGAGUGCACUCUAUGAUAGACGUGGGUUCUAGAUCCUCUUGCGUGUUCGCAAUAUCAAGUGCUACUUUGUAUGCAAAGAGUGCAUUUAAGUCGACUUCUUUUCUGUUCCAUUGGGUUCCAGACAUGUUGUAAUUGAUAGAGAUCUCAUUGUUAUCGAUCUCGUCAGAACCUAGAGAUUCGGCGUCCCGAACCUCUUCUGGUGGUUCAUUAGAGUGAGUCUCAGCGCGCGCUAUGUCUGUUAUAUUGGGAAUCCCGGUUUCAACUAUUGCACCUUUCUUUGAUUUCCGUAGAUUCUUGUCUUUGGAACCUAGAGGUCUGCCACGUUUAUUUCGUGAUGCAGACUCUGUAGCAACUUGAACUUGUCCCGUUGGAACAGUGAUUCGUACUGGUGCAUUACAAGCUGGUAUGUACGAUUUGGUUACUUUGUUCGGGUCAGCAAAGGAAUCUGGCAAUUGAUUAGCUAGCUUUUGAUAGUGUAUAAUCUUUUGGAUCUCCGAAUCAUAUUCUAGAGUCCGAGGAUCUUGCCAAUUUAAGGAUGUUUGAUUCCAUGAUAGCUCUUUGACCAGCUUGUGUUUCUCUCCACCCAAUGUUGGAUAUACCGAUUCAUCAAAUUGGCAAUCCGCAUAUCUGGCCUUAAAUAGGUCUCCAGUGGUCGGCUCGAGAUAUUUGAUGAUGGUGGGAGAAUCAAAACCAACAUAUAUUCCCAUCCUCCUUUGAGGUCCCAUUUUGGUUCUAUGUGGUGGAGCAAUGGGUACAUAGACUGAGCACCCAAAUGUUUUGAGAUGGGAGAUGUCUGGCUCAUGACCCUGUAAUAAUUGGGAUGGGGAAUAUCUAUGCUCACUAGAUGGUCGGAUGCGUAUUAGUUCAGCAGCAUGUAAUACUGCAUGUCCCCAAGCUGAGACCGGGAGUUUCGACCUCAUGAGUAAUGGUCGAGCAAUCCAUUGGAUUCGUUUAAUGAAUGAUUCAGCAAGUCCAUUCUGAGUAUGGACAUGUGCCACAGGAUGUUCAACGGUCACCCCCAUGGCCAUACAGUAAUCAUUAAACGCUUGGGAAGUGAAUUCACCAGCAUUAUCAAGACGUAUAGUCUUUAGUGGGAAGUCUGGAAAGUGGGCUCGUAAUCUGAUGAUUUGAGCCAACAACCUAGCAAAAGCUUGGUUCCGAGAAGACAACAAGCAUACAUACGACCAAUGGGUCGAAGCAUCUAUUAGUACCAUGAAGUACCGGAAUGUCCCAGAAGGUGGGUGAAUGGGACCACAUAUAUCUCCUUGGAUUCUUUCCAGAAAAUGCAAUGUCUCUUUGGACACUUUUACUGGUGAAGGCCGAGUGAUCAACUUCCCUUGGGAGCAAGCUGUGCACAUGAGGUGCUGAGGGAAGACUCGGUUUUCUCGAAGGGUGUGUCCUUGAGAACUUUGGAUUAAUUUACGCAUCAUGGUUGUACCGGGAUGACCAAGCCGGUCGUGCCAAAUAGUGUAGUCUUGGAACCGGGCUUUGAGAGCAUUAUUAGCCUCAAUCAUACUGACCUUGGCAUAGUAAAGGCCAGUAGAUAAAGCGGGUAUAGUCUCGAGGACUUGUUUAUGGCCAAGUGUGAUCUUAAUGAUCAGUAGGGAUUCUUUAUUCCCUUCACCCUGGGUUUCUAUGUGGAAACCAUUAAGUCUGAUAUCUUUAAAACUUAAAAGGUUUCUUUUUGAGCUGGGUGAAUAUAAUGCAUCUGGAAUGUCCAGAUGUGUGCCGUUUGAUAACAACACAUGGAACCAAAAUGGGACCUCAAAGGAGGAUGGGAAUAUAUGUUGGUUUUGAUUCUCCCACCAUCAUCAAAUAUCUCGAGCCGACCACUGGAGACCUAUUUAAGGCCAGAUAUGCGGAUUGCCAAUUUGAUGAAUCGGUAUAUAUCCAACAUUGGGUGGAGAGAAACACAAGCUGGUCAAAGUGCUAUCAUGGAAUCAAACAUCCUUAAAUUGGCAAGAUCCUCGGACUCUAGAAUGUGAUUCGGAGAUCCAAAAGAUUAUACACUAUCAAAAGCUAGCUAAUCAAUUGCCAGAUUCCUUUGCUGACCCGAACAAAGUAACCAAAUCGUACAUACCAGCUUGUAAUGCACCAGUACGAAUCACUGUUCCAACGGGACAAGUUCAAGUUACUACAGAGUCUGCAUCACGAAAUAAACGUGGCAGACCUCUAGGUUCCAAAGACAAGAAUCCACGAAAAUCAAAGAAAGGUGCAAUAGUUGAAACCGGGAUUCCCAAUAUAACAGACAUAGCGCGCGCUAAGACUCACUCUAAUGAACCACCAAAAGAGGUUCGGGACGCCGAAUCUCUAGGUUCUGACGAGAUUGAUAACAAUGAGAUCUCUAUCAAUUACAACAUAUCUGGAACCUGUUGGUGUCGGAUCCCGCACCAGAAGUACGAGACCAACCAAAGAUUGCCACGUAAUCAAGAUAAUGGCCCAUAAAGGAUGAAGCCCAUUGGACCCGUGGGCCGAAGGGACGGUCGAAGUGGUUGUCACCAUCUCGAGAAUCCGAAGUGACUGCACUGAGACACGAGUUCGGUGUAGAAGACAUGGGUAAGUCGGUUCGAGGACGCUUGGGCCGAAAGAGGCGAGGCCCAUGAAGAUCAGAGUCAACUCAAAUUCAAACGUUGAGCAUUAAAGUCGAAGAAUCAAAACGGACACAUUUAAGAAGAAAUAAUUGUACUUAAUUACUCAUUUUAAUGUCGUUUAUCUAUGUAUAAAUAUAGAGGCCAAUGGCCAUGUAAGGGGGAUCUUCCUCUCAAGAGAGAAAUACUAUAGCAAUUUUCGUAUCAAUUUACAAGUUUUUACAUAUUCAUUUUUGUCCCUCAAGAAUAAUCUUUCCCACUUAACAAAAUACUUGAGUGUGUGAAUCCGACAUCCACAUUUUGGCGCCGUCUGUGGGGAAAUCAGGAUUCUUGAGUGGUCAGAUUUCUUCUUUUCUACAUUUCCGAGAUAAGCGACAAUGUCCGGAGGAGACGCCGUUGAGACAUCAUUGGCCGAAACCCUCAAAGCUAUGCAGCAAACCAUGUCGGACAUAUCACAAAAGUUCUCGGAUGUGGAGAAGGCCGUCGAUACGUUGCAAACAUCCCAGGUAUCUCUUAGUCAAAACGUCAAUAAUAUACAAACUCGUGUUCGCUCUUUAAGUGCAGGAAACCCGGUGGGAACCCGAAGAGGGAUAUUCAACUCGCCAAGUUCUGCUACACGAAAUGAAACCAGCGGACAAACAACUCCCGGUGCUACUAAUAAUGUAGCUCAGACGUCGGAAGAAGAGACGCAGCUCGGGGAUGAAGAACAACUUGCAGCUCAGUACGAGCAGGAGAACCUCGACCAGUUCGAGACCAUGAGGAAGGUUAGCCAGGAAUUAAAAGAAAUGAAAUCAAAAUUUCAUCAGGCUACAAGUUCGGAGCCAGACAUCAAUCGAGUCAUUGAAGAAGCUAGGCGAACCCCUUUUAUCCCGCGAAUUGCAAGUUUGAGGAUCAAAGAUUCCCGGAAGCUCAAGUUGGACCCUUACAGCAGAUUGGAGGAUCCAAAAAGCUAUCUCGCAGCUUUUCUGAUUGCUGCUGGAAGAGUCGAAUUGGAUGAAGCUGAUGAGGAUGCAGGUUACUGCAAGCUUUUUUCGGAGAAUCUGUGUGGCCAAGCUCUAAUGUGGUUCACCCAAUUAGAGCCAGGUUCGAUCAGCAAUUUCGACGAACUAUCAGCCGUAUUCUUAAAGCAAUACUCCAUUCUUAUGGAUAAAAGUGUUUCGGAUGCUGAUCUUUGGAAUUUAUCGCAAGGAUCUAGUGAGUCACUUCGAGUUUUCAUCACCAAAUUCAAAGGAGUGCUGUCAAAACUCCCAAGAAUCUCACAGCAAUCAGCUUUAUCUGCCCUACGAAAAGGAUUGCGACAUGAUUCAAGGUUUAAAGAAGACUUAAUACUUCAUAAACCAGACACAAUUCAGGAUGCACUCUUUCGCGCGAACAAUUGGAUGGAGGUAGAGGACGAAAAAGAAAGUUUCGCCAAAAGAAGUAAACAAGAAAAGCCGGCAAUCACCGUCCCUACCAAGAAGUUCGAGCCUAGAGAGAGCAAAGGACCAAGGAAGUUUGGGUCGCAACCCUUCAACAAUUCCGUCGGGAAGCAAUUCCAAGGGAAAGGAAGAUCAAACACUUGGGUCCGCGAUGAAAGUCUAUAUUGCGACAUUCAUAAAGUAACCGGACAUUUAACCAAGGAUUGCAGCGUUCUUAAAAAGCACCUCGCAGAGCUUUGGGCUAGUGGCGAUCUUUCUAAAUUCGAUAUAAAAGAUUUUGUGAAGGAAUACCACGAAGCAAAAGAAAACUCCAAAGAUCAAGAUUCCAAAAGACCAAGGUUAUCCAACGAGGAAGAACCAAGGAGUUCGAAGGGUAAGAUCAAUGUGAUUCUAGGAGGUUCCAGAUUUUGCGGAGAUUCAAUAAGUUCCAUCAAAAAGCAUAGGCGAAACGUCUUACUCAAAGCAAGUUUGAGCGAAGAAAUUGAUUUUCAAGGUGCCCCAAUAUCAUUUAACGAAGAAGAAACGCGGCAUCUCGAAAGACCGCAUGAUGAUGCUCUAGUUAUUACUCUUGAUGUCGCUAACUUCGAAGUAUCAAAGAUCCUUAUAGAUACAGGCAGUUCGGUCGACUUGAUCUUUUUAAGUACUCUAGAAAAAAUGGGAAUCAGCCGAGGAGACAUAGUAGGACCCCCAUCUCCGUUAGUUGCGUUCACAAGCGAGUCAGCCAUGUCUCUCGGAACAAUCAAGCUACCAGUCCUUGCCAAGAAGGUAUCGAAGAUCGUGGACUUCGUUGUCUUUGAUAAGCCCGCAGCUUACAACAUCAUCCUCGGGACUCCCUGGAUUUAUCGGAUGAAAGCAGUCCCCUCUACAUACCAUCAAUGUAUCAAAUUUCCAACAUCAAAUGGGGUGGAAACAAUUCGAGGAGAUCAAGAAGCUUCACGGACGUGUUACUUAGCUAGCCACCGUUUGAAGAUCCAAUAGCAAUUAACGAAGCCCGCGAAAGAAGGACUAAAAACAAAAUUUCCUAGUGGGCAGAAGAAAGAGGAUGUAGUAGUCGAAGUGGUACUGGAAGAAGACAAGCCGGACCGGAAAAUUAGAAUUGGAGCAACUUUGACUGGCCAAAUAAAAGAAGCUUUGAUCGAACUCUUAAGGAAAAACAAAGCAUCAUUUGCAUGGUCAGCAGCGGACAUGCCGGGCAUAAAUCCGAGUAUAAUCUGUCAUGAACUAAACGUAGAUCCAAGCUUCAAACCGGUGAAACAAAAAAGAAGAAAGCUUGGAGUGGAGCGGGCAAAAAUAGUAAACGACGAAGUGGAUAAACUUUUGAAGAUAGGGUCCAUAAGAGAAGUGCAAUAUCCGGAGUGGGUAGCAAACACUGUCGUUGUCAAGAAAAAGAAUGGGAAAGAUAGGGUUUGGAUCGACUUUACAGACCUAAAUAAAGCAUGUCCCAAAGAUAGUUUCCCGCUCCCGCAUAUAGAUCGACUUGUAGAGUCCACCGCUGGAAAUGAGCUGUUAACGUUCAUGGACGCCUUCUCGGGUUAUAAUCAGAUAAUGAUGAACCCCGACGAUCAAGAAAAGACGUCAUUUAUCACAGAUAGAGGUAUCUACUGUUACAAGGUAAUGCCUUUUGGUUUGAAAAAUGCAGGAGCGACUUACCAACGGUUGGUGAACAAAAUGUUUCACAAUCACCUCGGGAAGACUAUGGAAGUCUACAUAGAUGAUAUGUUGGUUAAAUCGUUGAAGAAAGAAGAUCAUGUUAAACAUUUGGAAGAAUGUUUUGAUAUUCUCAAUAAAUAUCAAAUGAAGCUGAACCCGGCGAAGUGCACAUUUGGAGUCCCAUCCGGAGAAUUCCUUGGCUAUAUCGUGACAGAAAGAGGGAUUGAAGCCAAUCCAAAUCAAAUUAACGCCUUUCUAAACAUGCCAUCUCCGAGAAACUUCAAAGAAGUACAACGGUUGACUGGGCGGAUUGCGGCCUUGAAUCGUUUUAUCUCGAGAUCAACAGAUAAGUCGUUGCCUUUCUACCAAAUUCUAAAAGGGAACAAAGGAUUUCUUUGGGGUGAGAAGUGUGAAGAAGCUUUUGGGCAGCUUAAGGCAUACUUAACCACUCCACCUAUACUGUCCAAACCGGAAGUGGAUGAAAAACUCUACUUGUACGUUUCAGUUUCAAAUCACGCGGUUAGUGGAGUCUUGGUUCGGGAAGACCGUGGGGAGCAGAAACCAAUUUACUACGUGAGCAAGUCAAUGACGGAUCCGGAAACCAGAUACACAAUGAUGGAAAAACUUGCACUCGCGGUGGUAACUUCGGCUCGGAAGCUACGUCCAUAUUUUCAGUCCCAUCCGGUUGAAGUAUUAACUAACCAACCACUCAGAACAAUACUUCAUAGUCCAAGUCAAUCCGGACGUUUAGCGAAAUGGGCGGUGGAAUUAAGCGAGUACGACAUAGAGUUCAAAAGCCGGAUCAGUAUGAAGGCUCAGGUCUUAGCAGACUUCCUGACCGAACUACCAAUACCUGGAACGAUAGAUCAACCGGAGAACCAAACUUGGAAAUUACACGUAGAUGGGUCUUCAACAAAGCAAGGAUCCGGAGUGGGAAUUAGGUUGGAAUCUCCAACAUCAGAAAUUCUAGAACAAUCAUUCCGAUUGUUAUUCAAUGCCUCCAACAACGAGGCAGAAUACGAAGCCCUUAUUACCGGACUUCGACUAGCACAAGGAGUUGGAGCUAAGGAAAUAUUGGCUUAUUGCGAUUCGCAAUUAGUAGUUAACCAAUUUAAUGGAGACUAUGAAGCCAAAGAUUCAAGAAUGGAAGCGUACCUCGAAGUGGUGAAGGAUCUAUCUAAAAAUUUCUCGAAAUUCGAGUUAAUCCGCAUACCUCGGGGAGAGAAUACAACUGCAGAUGCACUUGCCGCAUUGGCGUCAACAUCAGAUCCUGAGUUAAAGAGAGUUAUUCCAGUAGAAUGCAUCUCGGAGCGAAGCAUUCAAGACAGCAAGGAAACCCUCGUCGUUACAAGGUCUCGAGCAGCGGCACGCGACCGUGGCGAACCAGAGAUCGAACCACCACCCAACAAACGAAGAAAGUCAAAGGGAUCAAAUACAUCUAACAAAGAACCCGUUGUCUUAGCUGAAGAAAUGAUUCCAGAAACGAUGUUAGAAACCGAGCCAUUACUCGAGGAGAAUAUUCUUGAAACAAAUGAACAUCCCGAACCAGAGCCACGGAUAUUUCACAAAGUUGACCAAAUUCCGGCUAAAGACUGGGGGGCUGACUGGAGGGAGCCAAUAAAGCACUACAUCACGACAGGCGAGCUCCCAAAGAAUAAAUGGCAGGCCAGGAAAAUGAAAGUCGUUAGCGCGAAAUUUUGUCUAUCAAAAGAUGCGUUAUAUAGGCGAGGUGUUAGUGACCCUUACCUAUUAUGCAUUUUUGGGCCCGAAGUCGAAAUCGUCAUGAGCGAAGUGCAUGAAGGAUUAUGUGGAAGUCAUUCAUCAGGAAGAGCCAUGGCUUUUAAAGUUAAAAAAAUGGGGUACUUUUGGCCCACUAUGAUCACAGAUUGUGUUAAGUUCGCCCAAAGAUGCAAGCGCUGCCAACUCCAUGCGCCAUUAAUCCAUCAACCGUCGGAGUUAUUCUCCUCCAUUUCCGCCCCAUACCCGUUUAUGAGGUGGUCAAUGGACAUCAUUGGACCAUUGCACAAAUCAACUCGAGGUGUACAGUACCUUUUAGUCCUUACGGACUACUUUUCGAAAUGGAUUGAAGCUGAAGCGUAUGUUGGUAUCAAGGAUUCGGCGGUGAAGACCUUUAUUUGGAAAAACAUUAUAUGUCGACAUGGAGUUCCGUACGAAAUAGUCACUGAUAACGGACUGCAAUUCAUUUCACACGAGUUUGAUGCCUUUUGUGCGGACUGGGGUAUUAAAGUUAGUUAUUCUACUCCACGAUAUCCGCAAGGAAACGGUCAAGCUGAAGCCGCGAACAAAACAAUAUUAAGCAACCUCAAGAAGCGCCUAAAUCAUCUAAAGGGAGGAUGGUAUGAAGAACUCCAACCCGUCCUGUGGGCCUAUCGUACAACCCCUAGGCGACCUACAGGAGAAACUCCAUUCUCUUUGGUUUAUGGCAUGGAAGCGGUAGUACCAGCUGAACUCAAUGUGCCCGGACUUCGUCGAACAGAAGCACCGUUAAAUGAGGAAGAAAAUUCAGCAAUGCUUAAAGAUUCUCUAGACACCAUAAAUGAAAGGCGUGAUCAAGCUCUAAUUCAGAUCCAGAAUUACCAACAGGCAGCAGCCCGGUAUUACAAUUCAAAGGUUAAAAGUAGGCCGUUCUUCGUGGGAGAUUACGUAUUAAGACGCGUCUUUGACAACAAAAAAGAAGAAGGUGCUGGAAAACUCGGUAUUAAUUGGGAGGGACCUUACAUUAUUACCGAGGUGGUUCGAAAUGGCGUUUAUAGGUUAAAAGACCUAGAAGACAAUCCAGUCAAGCGACCUUGGAAUGUGAUCAACCUAAAGAAAUUUUAUGUUUAAAGCUACAUGCAUUGUUUAUGUACAUGAACUACGAUUCGGCUUGAUCCCGAAAUGGGUACGUAGGCAGCUCGAAAACGAGUUCAGCUAUUAAUAAAAUUUUUGUCUUAUUUCUUUAUUAAAGGAAGAAGGUUCGGCUAUGCGAACAUACAAGAGAUUGGAAAUACAAUCCUCUUCCGAAGUCUCCUCUUUUCCGACAUGAGCUUCCGGUGUUGAAGCUCGAAUGCCUCUAUGAACGCCGUCGCUGUUCCUUGGUCUCUGAUUGAGAGAUCCCUGAUCAAAACACAUGGGGCUCGGAUCUGAGAUCUCGAGAAGCCGCGAAAUGGAGGAGGCUGCCUGCUUGGCUCAUUUGGAACAUCUUCGUUUAUCAUUCCGAUUCUGGUGAAGUCGGGCAUAGAUUCUGAACAGCGAAGAUUGAACUCCAUACCUACUAAAAUGAAAAGAAUAGGAAGGGAAUGAUUCGCGGAGAGAUUUAUGCCCUCGAAUGGAUCCUGCAUUAAAAGACGCAUCUCCAAGAAUAUUUGGAAAGAAAGGAAAGUUGCAAAUAUUUCCAUAAAUAAAAAGGGGCCGAAGCCCAUUACGAGUUUAAAAGAAGAAGUGAAGAAAUUAAAAGAACAUUUAUGGGAGAGGCUCAGGAACAGGCUCCUUCAUCGCCGGUUUAGUCUUCGAAGUGGACGCCUUGUUUUUGGCAUCCACUUCGGAACGAUCCCGAAUGCGUUUCCGGCAGUUGCUGGCCUCCUCCUCCAAGUCCUCUUCCUCUUCACUAUCGGAUGGAACGGCGAAGACUGGGGCGUUCACGGGACCCGGGACUCCUCUAGCACGGAGAUACAUCCGAAGCAUCUUCGGGAUCUCAGCAACGGAAUCGAAGUUCCGCCACUCCCAUUGAAAGGGAUCACUCUCCAAAGCCCGUAUCUUCCUCUCCACCCGAGCAAUGCGAGCCUCGAGUGUUUGCCUUUUGAGGCCCAGCCGCUGCCUCUCUUCACAUAAGCGACGGUGCUUGUCGGCAACCUAGCAUAAAGAUGAGUGAAUAAAAUGAAGCAAAAAGUUUUUGAGUCAAAAACUUUAAAUAUUUACCUUGUCGAUGAAGUCGCAAGCCUCUUUCUUCUCCUUUGAAGGGAAGUGAAAGACGGCGUGAGGAAAGAGAACGCCGGCCGGUUCAAAUCCGUCGCCGGACAAGAAAAGUGGGCUGCCGGGAUCGAUGGGGGCUACUCCUUCGUUUUCCAUUCUUAAAGUAUUUCUCAAGUAAGAUUCUAAAGUCAUGCUUAAAUAAAACUUAGAAGUAUGUAAGUCUUUAUUUAUAAUGAUUUAGGGUUUGUCUUGGAACCAUAAACCCAAUAAUGGUAGUGUGUCCGAGUGGUUUUAACCAUUUUUGGAAAUCGAGGAAAAAAGCACUUUUUGCAUUAAAGACGAGCCGUUUUCCUUACUUAUAAGAAGGGAAAGCGCAACCGUCGCAUUAACUACAAAAGUUUCUAAGGCCCAAGCCCAGUAAGUUUAUCGAGUUGACUAAACCCGAAGUGGGGAACUCGCUUUAAGCCGAGCUCAGUUCUCGCAUACUAAAGAGAAAGGUCUGAUCAGCCUAAAAAUCUCGAAAGCAUUGCCACAAGGCCACAAAAGGUUAAAAAGCGGACUUUGCAAACCCGCAUAUAAUUUUAACCAAACCCCCUUGGGUCACAACCUAGAAAGGUUUAAAAGCCUCCUCAGGCAAAUAUCUUGAAAAAAUAAUAAAGCCUCCUUAGGCCAAAAAUAAGUUCGAAAUUAAGUCUUAAAAUUAAAGGGACAAUCCCCAAUUUAAAGUGGACACAGCCACUACGGAGCAGCAGCCACCUCGGAAUCCGGCUCAACAGUCGAAGAUUCAUUCGCCUCCUUGGCAGCCGCUUGGUCAGAUGAAACUCCUGAUCCACCCUCCGCAGUACAACCAACCUCCGGAGUGACCUCUGGUACCAUUGGAGCUACGGGCGGGACAAUGCCUUCCGUCUCACUUGAACCUGGAAAUAAUAACUCCAGUCAAUCAAAGGUACAAGGUAAGAAAAGGUAAGCCUCAGGAGCCAAGCGUUACCUGCCCAGUCUAAACCCGAUUCACUUAUAGGAGGUGAUUCAGUAAAGAAUUCCUCGAAGUCAAGCGGGUUGAAGGUCGAGGUGGGAAGAGCUGCCAAGCGACUCCGUUUUUCAGAAAGGUUAGUCGACAGCUCGGUCCUUUCUUGCUCCUCGGAGAAAUCUUCUUCAUGGAUUUGGUCCAGCAGAAUCAGGUUGCUUUCGUGCUCCUUGAUGUCUGACUCCAAGUCCGACCUAGCUUUCUCGGUUUGCAUGAAGCGAAUGGCCCCUUGGAUCAAUUCCAUCCCGCGUCCCUUAACCUCCUUUCUGGCCUUCGAUGCCGACCUUGCCAACUCAGAAUCAUGCAACUUGGCUAGCGCCUUGUACUUCGCGUCAAGCUCGAUAAGUUGGUUGUUCAGGGUGUCGGCGGUUGAUUCGGAUUCGUGAAGUCUACCCUGAACACCAGACAGUUCGUCCUGGAGCUUGUAAUUCCGGUCGUAGUAGUCUUGCAGAUCCCCCUUUACCUGCGCCAGCUCGGAUGUUAACCUGUCGACCUUAUCCUCCAGAUCAUGCUUGGAGCCAGCAGAAGAAUUGAGUUCAGCCUCAAGAGCUGAGAAUUUCUUCUUCCACAUAUUAAUCUCUUUCUCCCGUCCAAUGACCAACCCUUCGUAAUGUUCGAUCAUGUCGUUAAGUUCGCUAUGAGCCUGGUAUCAUACAUGAACCCGGGAUGGCGAGUCAGUUCGCAGAAUGGCAAUACAAUAAAAACAAAAAAAAAAGGGGAAGAAAACGGAACUAACCCGAGAUGAAUGAUAAGCGUGAAGCAAAUAGCGUUCACGAAUUGCAGGGCGCCAUUUGUUGAAAUCUGGCAAGAUCGAACCCGAACGGGUCUUGAAGCAUCGGAAGACGCUUCCUUCUGUCUCCAUAGCUGCGAAGAAGGAAGAAUUGUAAAAAUUGGAAUUUUAAUAAAGACAAAAAGUUUAAGCAUGUGUAAAUCACCAAACCUGAAAGCGAUUUGACUUGAGGGACAAGAGCAAGCUUCAGCCUCGAGGAAGCAUCUCGAGAUUCAGAAUCUCCACUUUUAGGGGAUACACUCCGAGCAGUCUUUUCGCUGACGGGCUGGGAAGAAGAAGACAUGUCAACAGGUCGGGGAGGACCCAUUGGUUCAGUAGAAGGGGAGGAUCGAGGUGAACGGUCAGUCCGGGCCCUUGAUUUCUCCCUUCGCGGAGACGAGUCAUCACGGGACGACUUGUCCCUCUUCUUACGAACCAAAUUCUUAAGUGGUUCGUUGCUGAAAUCGUCUCGGGGAGGACGAGGAGAAUCACGACGGGGAGACCGCUCCCUCCGAGGAGAACGCUCGUCGCGGCGCUCGCGACGAGGCGUUAACCUAUAAGCAGCAACGGAUCUGGCUCCCUCGGAGCUGUUGUCAUCAACCAGCAGGUCCUGCUGUAAUCUUUUUUGUCAAUGGCGGUCGCAAGGAACGCCUUGUUUUCAUCACAAGCCUCUGCUAUCGGCUUGGAGAGCUUCUUACGCUGGGCAGCGAGGGCCCGAGCUGACAUUCCUUGAGUUGAGGGAGGAGGCGGAAGACGAUGAAGUAGAUUGGGAGGACUCAUCCUGAGUUUCCGGUUGGCCUCGACAAAUCGGUCGAGGGUAAAAGAAUUCCAAAGGGUUUCCCCUUCAAGGAUUGUUUUGAAGAACUUGACAAAUUCUUCAGUCGGGAGAGUUGAAGCGAUGAAAGCUGCGAAAUGAAACAACGAAUUCGGUCAGUAAAAAAUAAUGAUAAACAAUAAAGGAAUAUACGACCUAGUCUCUACCAGGUUUCGCAGACCACUUCGAUGGGAGUACAUCGGAAAGAUUCCCAAUCGAAGCAGGAGUUUUCUUAAUCAGAAACCAAGGAUGGUGCCAAUAUUCAUCCUUGUUUGGGAGGUGCGAGAUGACGUUCCUAUUGGCAUUUGGAUACGCCGAGAAGUACCCAGUUUUCUUUGAUGAACUCCUUACGCUUAGGAGUUCAUUCAGCUCGGGAACUCCAAUGACAUAGUCAGCCUCCGCCGCAACGGUUAUAAUCCCGAGGAUGGUUCGGAGGAGAUUGGGGGUUAAUUGGGGCAAAGCGAUCUCAAGAGCCGCCAAGAAUCGAACUAGGGCUUCGGGAAGGGGGAAGGUCAAUCCGCAGCCCUUGAAGAAAAUUUCGUAAACACAAAAGUAGCCGGCACGGUGGUUCUCAGGAGAUUCCGUAGGGUCGGCUAUUUGCGCCUCCGCUAUAAUUCCAGGAGGAAUUUGACAAAGCCCCUUCAAUCGCUCAAGGGAUUGAAGAGUACAGGUGGAUUUGUAAUGAGGACCGGCGAUGUCGUUAGGACGAGUGCAUUCGUCAUUACUAGAACGCCUCUCGUCGUAAGACGGAUAUUCGGGUCUUUCCGAAUCAGAAGUCAUCGAAUAAAAAUGAAAAAUUUAAGAUCCGGCGAAGAGAGGUUUUUCGUGAAGAAGAAAAGAGAGAGUUUUUUGAUUAAAGUACAAAAGUAAAAGAAGAGAGUAAUGGUGAAAAGAAGUUACCUCAAGCUAAUGAUGAAACCGCCUCGGAAGUUGUGUGGGAAGUGGGAAGGUUUUUCCCGUUUUAAUAGUAAUUAAUCAAUAUACGGUCAUAAUGAUGACAGAUGUCACUCGGUUAAAAAUGGAUAGUGCCGAAAUUAAAGGAGUGAUGAGAUUUUCGGCGGGAAAUCAGAAAGAUUCUCGAGCGCAAUCUUUGGCCACUUGAGUAUUUAAAGUCCUCCGAAUUGGAAUAGCACUUCGAAGAACUUGGGGGGCUAAUUGUUGGUGUCGGAUCCCGCACCAGAAGUACGAGACCAACCAAAGAUUGCCACGUAAUCAAGAUAAUGGCCCAUAAAGGAUGAAGCCCAUUGGACCCGUGGGCCGAAGGGACGGUCGAAGUGGUUGUCACCAUCUCGAGAAUCCGAAGUGACUGCACUGAGACACGAGUUCGGUGUAGAAGACAUGGGUAAGUCGGUUCGAGGACGCUUGGGCCGAAAGAGGCGAGGCCCAUGAAGAUCAGAGUCAACUCAAAUUCAAACGUUGAGCAUUAAAGUCGAAGAAUCAAAACGGACACAUUUAAGAAGAAAUAAUUGUACUUAAUUACUCAUUUUAAUGUCGUUUAUCUAUGUAUAAAUAUAGAGGCCAAUGGCCAUGUAAGGGGGAUCUUCCUCUCAAGAGAGAAAUACUAUAGCAAUUUUCGUAUCAAUUUACAAGUUUUUACAUAUUCAUUUUUGUCCCUCAAGAAUAAUCUUUCCCACUUAACAAAAUACUUGAGUGUGUGAAUCCGACAUCCACAGAACCCAAUGGAACAGAAAAGAAGUCGACUUAAAUGCACUCUUUGCAUACAAAGUAGCACUUGAUAUUGCGAACACGCAAGAGGAUCUAGAACCCACGUCUAUCAUAGAGUGCACUCAUAGAACAGACUGGCUAAAAUGGAAAGAAGCCAUAAACGUGGAGUUAAAGAGUCUCAAACUCAGGAAUGUGUUUGGUCCGAUCAUCCGGACACCAUUCAAUGUCAAACCAGUGGGCCAUAAAUGGGUCUUUGUGCGUAAAAGAAACGAACUCGGUGAAGUCGUUCGUUAUAAAGCACGGCUUGUAGCACAAGGAUUCUCACAGAGACCCGGAAUCGAUUAUGAGGAGACUUAUUCUCCGGUGGAUGCAACUACUUUUCGAUUCCUCAUAAGUCUGGCCAUAAGAGAAAAUCUAGAUUUGCGGUUAAUGGAUGUUGUCACCGCAUAUCUCUAUGGGCCCCUCGACAAUGAAAUAUACAUGAGAUUACCAGAUGGCAUAGAGCUUAAAGAUAAGCAUGCAUCUCGAGAUCAAUACUGCAUCAGGCUGAACAAAUCCUUGUAUGGACUGAAACAAAGUGGACGUAUGUGGUAUAACCGGUUAAGCGAAUAUCUCAUCAGAGAAGGCUACAAAAACGAUCCCAUCAGUCCAUGCAUUUUCAUCAAGAAAUACUCAAACAAAGGAUUUGUAAUCAUAGCAGUUUACGUGGAUGAUCUAAACAUCCUCGGAACAUCUGGUGAAAUCUCCCAAACAGUCGACUGCUUGAAAGCAGAAUUCGAAAUGAAAGACCUAGGUAAAACUAAAUUCUGUUUGGGUUUACAACUUGAGUACGUCAAAGGAGGAAUCCUUGUGCAUCAAGCGGCUUACAUUGAAAAAGUACUCAAGCGAUUCAAUAUGGACCAGGCCCACCCAUUGAACAGCCCAAUGGUUGUCCGGAGCCUAGGAAUUGACAGUGAUCCAUUUGGUCCCAAGAAGGACGAUGAAGAAAUUCUCGGUCCAGAAAAGCCAUACCUCAGUGCUGUAGGAGCGUUAAUGUACUUGGCUAGUCACACUAGACCAGACAUUUGUUUUGCCGUGAACCUCCUAGCUCGCUUCAGCUCAUGUCCAACUCAGAGGCACUGGAAUGGUAUCAAACACCUCCUAAGAUACCUUCAAGGUACUAAAGACUUAGGACUGUUUUACACUAACCACAACAAGGAUGGACUAGUUAGUUUUGCUGAUGCAGGAUAUCAAUCAGAUCCGCACAAUGCCAAGUCUCAAACUGGUUAUGUGUUCACGCAUGGAGGAACAGCUAUCUCUUGGAGAUCGAUAAAGCAGACAAUCACUACCACUUCAUCAAACCAUGCAGAACUUUUGGCCAUUCACGAAGCCAGCAGAGAAUGUGUUUGGCUACGAUCCAUGACUCAGCACAUUCGAUCAGAUUGUGGUAUGAAAGAAGAUAAGGAGCCCACGGUUAUGUUUGAAGACAACGCGGCUUGCAUUGCUCAACUCAAGGAAGGUUAUAUAUCAAAGGAGAUCGGACGAAGCACAUCCUACCGAAAUUCUUCUCAACCUCGGAUUGGCAUAAGGAUGGUACGAUCAGCGUUCAACAGGUCCGAUCAUGCGAUAACUCCGCCGACCUUUUCACCAAAUCAUUGCCCGCUUCAACACUCCGGAAGCUCAUCCAACAAAUAGGAAUGCGUAGACUUAGAGAUCUACGGUGAUGCUCUAAUCAGGGGGAGUAAUGCGUGUUGUACUCUUUUUCCUUCACCAUGGUUUUUCCCACUGGGUUUUCCUGGUAAGGUUUUAAUGAGGCAACAUUCCCCAGCGUAUUAUCGAGAUCCCGAUUGACCAUCAGGUCCGGUUACUCCGUCCAAGGGGGAGUGUUAUAAUACAUCAUAUUGGACUUAUAACCGGGCCCAAUAAGCCCAUCAGGGUUAUUCAUUAUGUACUCUAAAACCCUAGGUUUAUAUGCCUAUAUAUAUGUAUCAUUAUUCAUGGAAUGGAAUAAGAUAACAAUAAGUUUCACAACAGAAAAUAUUUUAAAUAAUUCUUAUUUUGUAUUUUCUGUUUUUUUUAUUCUUUUAUCUCUUUCUUUAAGCGAUGAAAAAUGUUGGGCUUCAUUUAUCAUUGGGUCUCAUACCGUCGCACAUCUCGCCUGCCUUAGUGAAACGGCCCUGCUUAUAUAUGGCAAUUCCAAACGGGAUAAAAAUGUUUUUCGAUUCCCUUAUUGUUGAUUACAUUUUAAAUUAACGUCAUUUUAUCUAGUUUAUCUUAAGAGUUUUUGAUAUAGGAUGACAUAUGUACAGUGGCGGACCCAGGAAAUAUUUUUAUCCGGGUCAAAAUAUAUAUUUAAAAUAAAUAUAUAUUAAAUAAAAAAUAUACAAAUAUUUCGAUGACAAAAAAAAUAUACAAAUAUUUCAGAAACAUAAAAGAUAAUAAAUAUUGAAAUAAACGAUGAAGUACAAAAUUAAAAAAAAAAGGUAGAAAAAUAGAUGAAAGAAAAGUAAAAUUUAUAGAAGUUCUAUUCUUCUUUUUCAUUUUUAUUAAUACUUUUUGCAGCAAAAGAAAAGUUAGCUAAAAAUUCUUUUCACUUCAUGUUAAUCAGCAUUGUUUUCUCUAAGUAAAACAAUAAUUGCAUCAUAUAUCCACUUUUGCCAAAGCUACUGUAUUUUCAAUAGACAACAAUAUCCUAAACUAUCAAAAAGGUAAAACCAAAUAUAUUUAUGAAUGAUAUUUUUGGUGAAAAUAUUUAUGAAUGAUAUGAAUAAAUGAUUCUUCAUAUUUAAAAUAGAUAGUUGUUAAUUGGUUAUUUGUUAUACUAUUUAAUUGAGAUUUUUUUGUCAUUAGUCUUAACAAAAGUUAUCUCGUAAUUACUCUCGGAUAUAAAUGAAAUUUUCUCAUAUGAGCAUUUCUCUCUCAUAGCAUAUCAUUGGGUCUCAUACCGUCGCACAUCUCGCCUGCCUUAGUGAAACGGCCCUGCUUAUAUAUGGCAAUUCCAAACGGGAUAAAAAUGUUUUUCGAUUCCCUUAUUGUUGAUUACAUUUUAAAUUAACGUCAUUUUAUCUAGUUUAUCUUAAGAGUUUUUGAUAUAGGAUGACAUAUGUACAUAAAUAAUGACUACAAAAACUACAUGUAAAUUUAGUUAAGCAUGCCUAUAUUGUAUGUUAAAUAACAUGAACUAGCAAGAUUACAAUAUACGUCCGCAUAUUGCAUAAAUAACCUGAAUUCAAGAAGCUAAAAUUAGUAUGAAUCUCGUUGUAGGUUUAUUUGUUACGUCCGCACAGAGAAGAGAUUAUUUACUGAGCUUCAUAAAUAUGAAUCUAUAAGACUGUUAAAUUAGUUGACAGUACAAUUGAACAUUCACUUUUUUCUUUGUUAAUAACGUGCAAUAUAUUAAGGAUAUCAAUCAUAUCAUGAUUGAUUUGGUCAACUCGUGAUUACGCACAUCAUGGAGACGAUUAUGUUAAGUUGUAUAUAUUGUCUUUAAUUCUCUUUGUAUACCCUAGCUGCUACUCCUUGUAUAAAUACUCAUUGUCUAUGAACAUAAUAAAUAUCAAUUCUACAAACAUCUUUACAAUAUUCGGAUUUGAAUUCAAGUAGUAGCACAUCGACAACACUAUUAUAAACCACUAAGCUACAAAUCAUCAUUCACAUGUCAUUUUUCUAUAUAAUUCAUUCAUUGUUAUCUAGAGAAAUGUUUUUUUUUUUCCUUUAAAACUUUUUUGUGGCCUUUUCAUAAGAGUGGUACCUAUGAAAAGGAUGAAGACCAUAGCCAUAGCCUUGUGGCCCAUAGGGAACCUCUCUUCAACUAUUUAUUUUUCCUACAUUAAUAAUGCUCAAUGGAAAUGUUCACCUUUUAGAAAAAUCAUCAACUUAUUUUUCAUAGUUAAUAAUGCAAUUAUCACCAUUUAACUAUAUUUAAAAACAGAGACAAAAAGAAAAGUGUAACAAAUAGUUAAUGAGACCUGAGAAAAUAGAUACUAAGUUCUGUGCCCUGACCACUACCUUCAGGGUUGAUCAUAUACAAUGCUUCAGAAUCCUUAGAACCAAUCACUCUAUCGAAUCGAGCUCUCAUGUAAGUCAUUUCUCCUUCUGUCUCUUGAUCAUAUUGGUUCUUACAUGGUAAAACUCCAGCCCCCAUUGAAACACCUCUCAAUGCAUCAAUCACAUACAUCUCCUCCUCACUCAUGUUUUUCCUCCGUAUCGAAUAACCGAUUUUCCGCCCGUUACAGUAGAUCCCCCACACAUACUCUUCCAACACCUUCUUCCUCGAUGUUUUGGUCUCGCUUUCUAAAGCAAUCCUCACAGUCUCCGAGGCCAUCUCCUUCUGAAGCGCCGAAGUCAGCAUCGGGAGCUCGAUGAUGAACAUUGGCAAACAAUGAGGAUCUUCUUGUAUUGCAAGAAAGACUCUUCCUUUGCGAAACCCGAAUAUUGUCCCCGUGGUUGCGUAGUCCUUAAGUAAGGGUCUUCGAUGCCCUCGACUUAACAAGUUCACCAUCUUGCAACCAGAUGAUAGCAUUGGUAUGAGCUUGAACAUUUUGAGCACCCCGCCACCUAUGCUUCCAGAAGUUUUCUUCGAAGGUUUAGAAUCCAUAGAGCUGCCCGUAUGCCUCAAGAGCGAGAGCACGGCCGAGCUAUCCAUAUUGAAGAAGGGGCUAGAUCGGAUCGGCAUAGUUUUUACUUGUUUUUCCUUCUAUUCACCUAUUCUUGUUGUUCUUAUUGUGUGUGUUUUUCGGAUGAAUAUAAGGUUUGGCAUAUAAAGAGAAAACAUACAUAUAAAGAUAUAUGGAGUGGAGGUGGGGGUCUAGUACUAAGUUAGGAAGAUGGUUUGUCAUUUGGUUUGGGAAUCUUUGAAGAAAAAUAAAGAGGAACCAAAUUGGUUUUUGGAGACAUGUGUGAAGAUAAAAAGGAGAAACCACUAUUCCACAUUGUUUCUUUUUCUGGUUUAUGAUUUAGACAAUCAUGUAUAACCAAGCCAUACAUUACGUUUAGUUAUCGAAUGUUUUAAACAUUAAUUUGGGCGUUUGUACAUUAACAUCAAAAUUUUGAUGUCAUUGAAGUUAUGAGGACCUUAAGAACAUUACAUGCUUUUCGAAUUAACUCAUUACAAGUACGAUCUGGGAACCUUUUUCUUUUUGUAGUUUGCAAAUGAUAUAUCAUUUUAUAAGUUAGACUUUCAACUAAUAAAAUAUCUUAAAUUUCAAUACACAUAUACAAAGUUUUUUUUGCAUUGUUACUAGCAAUGCGUCUUAUAUAGUAGUCUUAGAACAAGAGAAUAUUAGAUCCCAACUUAUAAAUGUUACAAGAAUAUUGUGAUUUCCUAUUACUACUUUUUUUUUUGAUAACUUGGACAAGUUUUUUCUUAAGACAUUCACUUGUAACUUAAUUGAUCAAAAUGGGAAUUUACUGAUUACAGUAUUACUUUUUGAUGAGCAAGUUUUCCGCACAAGUAGUUUCAACUAAUCAUUAUACUACCAUUUUCGAGUUUAAAUAUUAAUUUAUAUUUAGCUAAUACAUAUUCUUAAGUGGUUCGUAAUAGUGUUAACGGUACAUUAGUAUCGAGAUUCAAAUCUCCAUAUUGCAUGUUGUUGAAAAGAUCGGUUAUAACUUUCAAGAUAAAGAUAAUGAUACACAUUCAAUGAAAAGAGGGUGAUAACUUUCAACAAAAAGAGUGUAAUAACUUAGCAAAGGAGGUCUACACAGGUCAAGCUAAAGAAAACGAUGGUAACGAGUGAGAGAUGGAUAUGACCAUAUGUUUAUUAUUUUUUCUUAAUAAGGACCAUAUGUCUUAUUUUAAAUUAUAGAAAUUCACACUUUUGUUAAAGAUAUUUGAUAGUGGAAUAGAGCGAGGAGAGACCACACAACCUAAACGUUCAUGGGUGGGGGAUGGGUCAUCAUUAAGAGAACCAAACCUACAUGUGUAUACUAUUGUUAUUUGAGAAAUUUCAUCGAAUUUGCAUCGAUACUUUUGUGAACAAUAAGCACUAGUUUUGACAUAAAGCAUGUUUCCAAAAAUUCUUCUUGUCAUAAAAGUAAAUUUCAUAAUUUAAAUGUUUAGAUCUUCAAUUCUAAAUUAAGAAAAUAGAAAAACUAAUGAGAGACAACAAUAACGUUUUAGACGAUUUUACCUCUCAUUUAACUUUAACCAAGAAUAAUCUGAAUAUGUUUAAUGUGGACGUUUAAUUUAUAAAAAAUGUUUUUUUGAAUGGUUUAAUGUUUAAACUUUAAUAUUUGUUGUUUGCCCAAAAAAAAAAAACUUUAAUAUUUGUUGUUUGAUUGUUGUAACAAAUAUAUAUUUUAUAACAAAUAUUUAAUCCUACAAACAAAUAGAUAGUAGUUGUUAUAAAAUCAACACAACAAAAUAUAUUUAUAUUUUAACAAAAAAUAAUUUCGUAAAUUUGAACUUUUCAAAUGUUCAAAAAUGAAAAAUUCUUUAAUGCCACUCCAAAAAUGGCAAAAUCCGUAAAUGUCACUUAAAAAAUUAGUAAAACUCGUAGUAAUCCCUUUAAAAAUUCACCAAGUUUUGACUCUUAAGUUCUAUAUGACCAACAAACUAUUGUUGAUAUAUGUGACUCUUAAGCAUUAAUCUACUUAAAAGGAAAUCUUAUUCAGCAAAUCAACCUAAAUGUAUAACCCCUAUAUCAUAGAUCAGGCAAACAAAAUUUUAACAAAAUGUAUAACAUCUAACAAAAAAGUUUAGGUUUGAUUCACGAAAAAGAGCACCUUUGACAAAAUUUUAUUUUAUUUUAUUAUUGUUAUGAGAUGUUGAAAAACGAAGGCAAAAUGAAAAAAGGCACGGUGGUUUGGCAAAAGGCAUGUGCCAAUGUCUCUACUAAACUUCAAUAAAGUAAUCACUAAUGAUUGUGUAGAGAGUCAUCUUUACGAAUUCUUUCUAUCUUUCUUUCAAUUUUAUCCAUAAGCUUUAUUUGAUAAUAACGUCAAGUAUGGGCACCAACUUAUCAAAACUCAUCUUUUUUAUUGGGGCCUCACUACCGACGAGGACGACCACAAUUAGACAGUAGUUGCAAAUGAGACACUUGUACUAAUCCAAAUCACUUCAUUGCAUAUUUUUUCUUUUUGAUGUCUCCAUAAAAUUAGUUUUAUCAAGAACUUGAUAGUGUCUAAGAUCACAAAACCAAAAACGAAAGAAAAAAAAACAAAAGAACUAGUAAAUUAGAUUUUCUAAAUAUUGUGAUCAACAUGGAAAAAAUCAUUUAAGGAUAAAAGUUUUAAAAGAACUUAGAGAAUCUAUUGUAAAAAAUACAUUUUAUUGUGCUGAAACCAUAAAACCACCAAUUGAAUCCACAAAAUCAAAUACCAAAUUUUCAGCUUACGAACUUAUUGCGAAUACUUGAAAAUGAAUGCCUUCAAAAGAACGAAUAACCGUGAUUGAUACAAGUGUUUUACGAGUUAGAAACCAAUUGGUGUUAUUGAAUCUAUAAUUCACACAAUAAAUUUGUUAAUGGGGGAAAAUAUUGGCGAGUGGGCUACAUUUGUGUUAUGGGCCUAGCCGACUUAGAACUUACUUGGUCGGCAAGUCUCGUCUAGGAUUUCUAUGUUAAGUUCUUUGUAUAAAUACGUUGUACAACCGUUCAUUGUAAAGCAAGCAAUUCAAUAUCAGAGCAUAGAUCCUAAACUAUACUCUGAGAUCUCUUUUUCGUUUUUCUCUAAAGUUCUAAAUACAAGUUCUUGUUUGGAAUCUCAAGACGUGAUCUUGAAAGAUGACUGGAAGAGAUGUAGCCGAAAGUGGAGGAGAGAAGAAGCCGGAGAAAGUUGUGUCACCAUAUUCAGUGUUUUCAUCCGACAACCCAGGAGCGUUGAUUACGGCGGUGCUGUUGAAAGGUGAUAACUACAAUGAAUGGGCGACGGAGAUGAUGAACGCCUUGCAAGCAAAAAGGAAGAUGGGUUUCAUCGAUGGUUCCUUGAAGAAGCCACCGGAGGGUCACGCAGACUUGGAGUCAUGGCUAAGCGUGAAUUCUAUGAUUGUGGGAUGGCUUCGUACCUCGAUUGAACCACGUGUUAGAUCUACUGUGACGUUCAUCACCGAUGCGCACAAGCUAUGGGAGAAUCUCAAAGAGAGGUUCUCGGUUGGGAAUAAGGUUCGAGUUCACCAACUGAUGUGUAAAUUGGCGUCUUGUCGUCAAGAUGGACAUGCUGUGAUAGAUUAUUACGGAAGGCUGGCCAGGAUAUGGGAAGAGUUGCAGACGUAUCGUCCAGCUCUGGCGUGUUUGUGUGAAGCUGCGGCGGCGUACGAGAAAGAAAGGGAAGAUGAACGUGUUCAUCAGUUUGUGAUGGGUCUCGAUGAAUCGAGAUUUGGUAAUGUGGUUUCGGGUAUUAUUGAAGCAGAUGUGUUGCCCGAUCUUGGUAAAGUGUAUGCCAAAGUGAUUCAAGAAGAAGAUAGACUCAAUUCAGCUAAGACAAGAGAACAACAACAAGAAGCUGUGGGUUUUGCUACCCGACGUGAGACACAAGAAGAAACAGGGGGCUCUGGUUCUCGCCAUGACGGAGGAGGAAACAAACCACGAGAUCGUGCUUGUUUUUAUUGUGGCAGAGAGGGUCAUGAGAAGAGCUCGUGCUGGCAGUUGGUGGGCUAUCCUGAGUGGUUCACGGAACGUGGAGGCAGAGGAGGACGUGGUAUGAGUCGUGGAAGGGGACGUGGCGGAGCUUCUACCAGUUAUGGAGGAGGACGUGGGCAAGUGAAUAUGGCUCACGCAACUAGUCCUUAUGCUUCUACAACACCAGACUUGACUCCGGAGCAGUUGAGGAGAGCUAUUUCACAACUCUUCAAUGACAAAACUGGUGAAUCAUCAGACAAACUAGCUGGUAAGACACAUGGUGAUUUGAUUCUAGACACGGGAGCCUCACACCAUAUGACAGGAAACAUAACACUUCUAGUCAAGAUUCAAGAGACUACAUGUAACACCCGCGUCCCGCGAUCCUAAAGGGGGCCGGUUUGUUUUAGGGAAAACUAGAUCAUGGUCGAGAAAGACAAUGAAAAAAUUAACCCAAGGAAAGAAUGAAAUGUUUAAGUCGUGAAAAGGGUAGAUGACUUAGACUAUUUCGGGAUAAUCUAGUAAUCAUGGAGAAAUGAUCAUGGAAAGAUUAGGAAUGGCGAAGUCAAGGCCGAGAAACGGACCGAAAGACUUAGCCGGAAAGAACGGACAAAGGAGUCCGAGCUAAUCCAAUUAGGUGAGCUGGACCAGCUGGAUGAACUAGCUAGCUCAACUAGGUGAGCUAAACCAGCUGGAGGACUAGCUAGCUCAGCUAGGUGAGCUGACCGACAGCUCAACCGAGCUCAAAGAACUGAUCGGAUACUGACCCAACUGGGUGGUCCGGUCAGCUGACACUCGAGCUGGUAGACUGUGGUAGUUCGGGGAUGAAGAGGUGUAAGGUUGAGCGGUUGUCGACGAACAGUUGCCAUUGGCCAAAGGGUGGAUAAGGCCAAGCGGUUACGAUCAGAAAGGUGCAACCCUUCGAAAGGGUGCAACGAAUGGAUGUGAUCUUUCGGGAAGGAACCCAUUCGCCCCUAUAUAAGGGAGGAUGUCCAAGGGCUUGAGGAUCACAAUUCACACAUAUCACAAUUACAAACACAAUCCGGAAAUAGUCCUAAACACGCCACGAAGUUGUUGGUCGGAAAGGGGGUGUGGCUCGGUGAGUAUCUCCGGAAUCGGAACGGAUUCUCGGAGCCUCGACCGAACUGAUGCGCAUGCUACCUCCCAAUCCAACGGUUCGAUGGAAUGUUUGGAUGGAUUGAUUGGACCGAUCGUCGAAGAGAUGGAUCGGAAUGGAUGGAUCGUUCGUCGGAGAGACGGGACGGAUCGGGUAAGAUGGUCGGGUUGACCGAAUGAUCGGAUCGUGGUAUCGAUCGAUGGAUCGGAUCAAUGGAACAACAAUUCGAUCAAGGAAUUGGAUGGACGGAGAGUUCGACGACUUGAUUGAUGGUUCGGAUCGAUAGCUCGAUUAUGGGAUCGAUGGAUCGUCCGUUCUAUGAAUCAUAUCGUCGAUGGAAGGCCACGAAAAGGAAAUGGAUCGGUAAAUCUAAGAUUGUCAAUAUGGAAGUAUUGACGAAUCCAAAGAUAGACCGAUAGAUGAUAUGGUUAACGGGAAGUUAAUCGGAAAGGCGUAUAAGGGAAAGGUGUUCGAAGAAGCACGAGGAUAAGUGCAACCGAACACACCCAAGGGUCGCCCAUAGAUGCAAUAUCGCGGCCGCCUUUAUGAAUCAAACGUCGCAGCCUUGGUGGAUCCGAUCAGAAAUCGGUAAGACCUAUGGUGACUCGACGGAUGGAAUAAGGCAAUAAAAAGGGCUAAGGGAAGGAUCAAUGGACGGAUUGAAAAGGAAUCGAAUCCGCAUGGGGGCAAGGUAUGUAAACGAAUCUAACUUAUUAGUUAAGCUAGACGUUUAAGAAUUGGCCGUGGAAAUUAGGAUAACGGAAUAUGCAAUCGUUAGACUUAGAAUGGUUAGCGAACAAAUUGCAUGUCUUGACCGAGUAAAGGAUCGAUCUAAGUCUUAGGGACAAGGAAGAUAAAAACCGGUACAAGGGUUGGUUGGAAUUAAACCAAGGGUAGAAAGACUUCCGCUGGGUAAUAAGAAAGCGAUUAUAGAAUUAAGCCUUGUAAAGGCAAUUCUAUGUUAAAUCGCGAAAAAUAUGGAGGUUCGGCCGGGAAUUGGCGCGAAUGUGAACCUUAGGUCGCCGGACGCCGAGACGUCCGGGACGGGGUCUCACACUACACUGUGUCGGAUUGGUUUUGCUGAUGGAAGUACAACAAUGUCGUCAAGGAAAAAGGGCAUGAUGCCUUUGUCAGAUCGUAUUGCUUUAUACGAUGUGUUAUUUGUGCCGGAACUUAAUUGCUCUUUGAUUUCGGUUUCCAAGCUUUUGAAAAGUUCAAAUUGCUUUGCGUUCUUCAUUGAUACUUUGUGUGUUUUACAGGACCGUUUUUCGAAGACUCUGAUUGGUCGAGGGGAAGAACGUGAUGGGGUCUAUUAUUUAACGGAUGUGAAGACUGCUCGGGUUAACAAAGUUGAGGUGAAGACUGAUCAAGUUUUGUGGCAUCGUCGGUUGGGGCAUCCUGCGUUUUCGGUGUUAUCUUCUAUUCCUAAAAUUUCUGAUAUUACUAUUUCCGCUAGUCAAAGUCCUUGUGACACAUGUUUUCGGGUUAAGCAAACAAGCGAGGUUUUUUAUGAUAGUAUUAAUAAAACAGAGGAUUGUUUUUCUUUAAUACAUGUUGAUGUCUGGGGUCCUUAUCGCGUAUCAUCUUCUUAUGGCGCUGUGUAUUUCUUGACAAUUUUGGACGAUUAUUCUCGUGCCGUAUGGGUCUAUUUGAUGCUCGAGAAGUCAGAAGUAAAAACAGUUCUUCAAAAUUUUUGUGCUUACUCGGAAAAAUAGUUUGGUAAGGCGGUGAAAAUGGUGCGUAGCGAUAAUGGAACGGAAUUUAUGUGCUUAACGUCAUUUUUUAAAGAGAAGGGUGUUGUUCAUCAAACGACUUGUGUCGGAACACCACAACAAAAUGGAAGAGUUGAAAGGAAGCAUCAACAUAUUUUAAAUGUAGCUCGCUCAUUAUUGUUUCAAGCGAGUCUACCGGUGAAGUUUUGGGGAGAAGCUAUAUUAACAGCGGCCCAUGUCAUCAAUUUGACGCCAACUAAGUUGCUUAAAGGGAAAAGUCCUAAUGAAGUUUUGUUUGGAGAACGACCAUCGUAUGACCAUUUACGUGUGUUUGGUUCCUUGUGUUACACUCAAAAGCAGCUCCGUGAUAAAAAUAAAUUUGCCGCAAGAAGUAGAAAAUGUGUUUUCUUGGGAUACCCUUUUGGGAAAAAGGGGUGGAGAGUAAUGGAUUUAGAAACAGAGGAGUUUCUGGUUUCAAGAGAUGUCGUGUUUCACGAAGAGGAGUUUCCUUUUGCAAGGUUGAAAAAUUCUGAGUCUUCUCCGUGUGGAAGUGGUAUUGUUGACAACGAUUGGGCACCCGAUAUUAUCGACAGGGGGAGUUUUAACGAAGAUGAAAUUGAAUUAAGUUCAGUUCUCGAAGUUGGUGUUGGAGAUAAUGUGGCAGAAACAGCUGAGGUUGGUAUUGAAGAAUCUCUAGAUAAAUCACCGGAGGAGAUUGAUGAUGCUAUAAUAGAAGUUGGACCCGUGUUGGCACCCCCUCAAGCUGAAGAAAAUUUGGGUGUUGGUAAGAGACAAAAGUUUCCAUCCGUUAGAUUAAAAGAUCAUGUGACGUAUAACUCCGUUAAACAAGCAACUACCCCUCACGUUCCCUCCGAUCUUCUCACAGAGUCUUCUUCGGUCCAAGGUAUUUCUUUAUACCCUCUUACAGAUUAUAUAUCUGAUUCCAAUUUUUCAGUGAAACACAAGGCGUUUUUAGGUGCUGUAAGCGCAGAACACGAGCCUAAAAGUUACAAAGAAGCAAUUCGAGAUAAGAGAUGGACUAAAGCAAUGGGGUCGGAAGUUGGUGCUUUAGAAAAGAACAAGACUUGGAGUAUUGUGGACUUACCACCGGGCAAAGUUGCUCUUGGUAAUAUGUGGGUUUAUAAAAUUAAGUAUCAUGCUGACGGUACUAUCGAGAGAUACAAGGCACGCUUAGUCGUUCUGGGAAAUCAUCAAGUAAAAGGGAAAGAUUUUGAGGAAACUUUUGCUCCGGUAGCUAAAAUGACCACUGUUCGGGGUUUGUUGAGAAUUGUUACCGCACAAAAUUGGGAGGUGCAUCAAAUGGAUGUACACUACGCUUUUCUUCAUGGUGAUCUUCAUGAAGAAGUUUACAUGAAGCUUCCGCAAGGAUUUUCGCAUUCUGAUCCAACAAAGGUGUGUUGUUUACACAAGGCUCUCUACAGCUUGCGUCAAGCACCACGUUGUUGGUUUGAGAAGCUCACUACGGCACUUGUUAAAGCGGGUUUCGUUCAGUCUUAUGCAGACUACUCAUUGUUCUAUUAUUCUCGUGGAGAUGUAGAGAUACGGGUGUUGAUUUAUGUUGAUGAUUUGAUUAUUUGUGGAAAUAAUAACGCAGCCUUGGUCAAAUUCAAGAAAUAUCUCGGAGAGUGCUUUCAUAUGAAGGAUCUCGGUAAGCUUAAAUAUUUUCUUGGAAUUGAAAUUGCUAGAAGUGAAGAAGGUAUAUUGAUGACUCAAAGAAAGUAUGCCUUAGAUAUUGUUGCGGAGACUGGUUUACUUGGCUCUAAACCAGCACAAACUCCAAUGGAACAAAACCAUCGUUUGGCUUUGGAUACGAGUCUUCUUCUCACCGAUCCGACAAGGUAUAGAAGAUUGGUCGGGCGUUUGAUUUAUCUCACUAACACGAGACCUGAUCUUUCUUAUUCAGUUCAUAUCUUGUCCCAAUUUAUGCAAAAGCCUAGAGAAAAUCAUAUGGAGGCAGCCCUAAGAGUGGUGCGUUUUCUAAAAGGAACUGCUGGUCAAGGAAUUUUAUUACGAGCUGAUUCAAACUUGGAGCUUUCAGUGUACUGCGAUGCGGAUUGGGGCACUUGUCCGACAACAAGACGGUCUUUGACAGCGUACGUUGCUCUUCUUGGUGGGUCACCUAUCUCUUGGAAAACGAAGAAGCAAAAUGUAGUAUCAGAUUCUUCCGCUGAAUCAAAAUAUCGGGCAAUGUCUAAAGCAACACGAGAGAUUAAAUGGCUGCGUCAAUUGCUAAGUGAUAUGGGUUUCCCGCCUCCUCAACCGAUACGUUUGUUUUGUGAUAGCAAGGCCGCAAUUCAUAUAGCGGCAAAUCCAGUUUUUCACGAAAGAACGAAGCAUGUCGAAAUAGAUUGUCAUCGAGUUCGUGAUGCUAUUAAAGAUGGAUUGAUCACUACGGUUCAUGUGCCUACAACGGCUCAGUUGGCGGAUGUACUAACAAAGGCGUUGGGCAAGGUUCAGUUUAAUACAUUGAUGUCCAAGUUGGGUGUUCUUAAUAUCCACACACCAACUUGAGGGGGAGUAUUGGCGAAUGGGCUACGUUUGUGUUAUGGGCCUAGCCGACUUAGAACUUACUUGGUCGGCAAGUCUCGUCUAGGGUUUCUAUGUUAAGUUCUUUGUAUAAAUACGUUGUACAGCCGUUCAUUGUAAAGCAAGCAAUUCAAUAUCAAACACUUUCUUUUUCUACAGAAAACAAAUUCAGAAAACUCUCUUUAUUAGAAAUCUCGAUCAAAGACUCUAUUUCAAAAGGAGUUAUAAUCUCUUGUAAAACAAGUUAUGUCUUUUCAAGAACAGAGAAAGAAUUAGGGUUUUUGCAUGAAAAUUGUGGAUCCCUUGAAUAGAAGACAAAACGUUUUAUUUAUACUCGAGAUAUCUUUCAAGAUAAAAUCAAAUUUCCUUAAAUCUAGGGUUUGAAUCUUCAAGUCUUCUUUAUCUUCGGAUUUUGACAUUAGUAAAGGGAAUUUUCUCAUUUUUCCUCUUUUAGAAGGUCGAUAACGACCUUUCCUUCUAUCUGAGGGGGGUCGGCUGACGACCUCCUUGGGCCAAAGGCCCAUUCACAGGUAACCGGAUUUUCUCAGUUUAAUUGAAUUGCUCAACUAAUUCGAAUUCCCCUUGGUUUAGGCCAAUAUUAUGGUGGGUACCAAACUACCAAUUGCCGCAUCAAUAGGUGGGAUGGAAACUAUAUCUCGGCUAACAACAAAAAAGAAUUGAGGUCUCUCACUUGCAAGAUUUCAUUUCUCCAUCUUUCACUUUUUCUUGUUCUUUUUUGUUACAAGGUCCAAAACAAUUAUAACCGAGAAAAAGUUGUGCACGUUGAGUGAUCUGGAUUAUUGGGCCGAUAUGGAUUAUUGGGCCGAGAUAACGCAAAGACAUUGUUGGUCAUUGUAACCAAACAUGCCUGAGAGAGAUAUUUCCUAUUCUCAACAUUAUCAUUGGUCUUUGAUGAAUUCAACAUAUAGAUCAUUCUUGUUAGUUCCCAAAUUUCAUGCUAUAUAGUUUUGUCAAUUCCCAUACUGCAAAAAGUUGGCUCAGAGUUAAAUGUGCCAUUUAUAUAGAGAAGAAAGUGCUACAAAAGUAUCAACAAGAAGGAAACCGAAAAACCUAAAAGAACAGACAUUUCAAUAACAGAGUUAUGUUCAGUUUUCAAUCUUCUCCACCUGAGGACUUUUGCUCAUUUACAUCAUAGCUCAAUAUAUUCCACCUGAGGACUGCCAAAAAGUAUAUCUUAGAAAUUGUGUGGACGACGAAUCCAUCAGAAAUAGCAAAAGGAAACAUAUAUCUUACCUGUACGAUAUUGCGAUCCAGAGGUGAUAUGUUCAAACCUGAACAAGUUAGAUAGCUUAAACGUGAACAAGUUUAUCAUGACACUAUCUAUUCAUUACUUCUAUUAAUAGCAAAUCCUAAAGGCAUUGUUUUUAUCAAGUUCAAAGAAACGAUACCUUUCAGAUUCUUGAGGAGGAUGGACGGUAAGGCUCGUAUAUCCAGGAAGAUUUUUCUGAAGAAUCAGGAGCUAAUAUGCCCUUCAUCCACUCGAAACGAACAAUCAGCUCUUCCAAGUCCAAGACAGCAGCUUCAACAGACUCUGAUUCCAUGAUGUUCAACCGAAGAGCUCCAUCUUUUUUCAACUUCUCUGUGGGUCUCUUCUUUUCUUCCUCUCUAGGUUCAGCUCCACUCUGCUCUUCUUCUUCCAUUGAUUUGGCCUCAUUCACUUGAUCUAUUGUAACAGCACAAGGCAAACAUUCAUAUACCACAUAAACCAAACUAUCAAGAGAAACAGAAGGAGCAAACAGCUUAAACAUUGGGGAAUAUAGCAUUGAUGUAAAAUAAAAAAUCUAACCUUCAUUCAAAUGUUUCAUUAGCUUAGCACAUUGCCUCUUCUCCCCAUCCUACAAGAAAGAUGGAUGGUAAAACAAGAUAAGCGACCAAAAGAGUAAAGCUUAGAGUAUAUAAGGAAUACUUUGCAUCAACUAACAUACCGUUUUGGAUCGCUUACACUUAUUUAAGGUGUAACUCAUAUCUGAUUAACAAGAUUUUAGCCGUGCACAAAGAAACGACAAGACAACUUUAGGGUAUUAAUAAAAGUGAAUCUGCCCUUGACUGAAUUGGUUUUUGUUCAAGCCAUAGACUUCGACUUCAAUCUAGUAAUUGGAGCGGUUGUUAACGUGAGAAAGAAAGAAGGAAUUAAGCAAAAAAUCUCUCUUAGAGAAUUAGGUUAUUUGUUGGAAGUUGUUUUCUCAUUAAGCAAAGAAGACCUUUAUAUAGGCCAAAAUACAUGUUGUUAAAAGGAAAUAUCAAAACCUAAUGUAAAAAGGAAAACUCUCAAAAACAAUCUAAUGCUAAAAAAGGAAAAAACAUCAAUAAGGCAAUAACCCUUGUCACUUAUCAGUUUUAUUUGCAGAAGACAUGAGGCUUAAAUAAGUUGUUUCAUCUAUCUUUUCUCAAAUACUAACCUUAGAAAAAGGUACAGUCCAACCAUCAUCAAGUGACCAUUCCAAUGAUGGUCGCAAAUCCUUAGACAGGGCCUCAUAGAUACUCCCUUCGCCAUGUGGUGGAGCCAACAAUUCAAUCUGCAAAAUAGACCAUAAAGAAACACAAUAAGUUUUUACUACAAAGUUCAAAAGCCUCCAUUUAAUGCCACAAAAUAAAGCUUAAAUGGAACUUAUGGAAGCAAAGAGGAUACGAGCUUUAACACAUAUGAUAUGACCAUAAAGUUGUCGUAUCUCAUCAUCCUUUGUUAAAGUAAGUAAAGAGAAACUAAUGAAUAAAGAAAGGCAUGAUAGCAGAAUGCGAGCAUUUUGAGGACACAAACUUAUCCUCAAACUUCUGUGCGUAAAUUAGUUAUGUUAAAAACAAAGUAACAGUAAAAGUAAUAAAAACACAAGCAGACUCAUCGAGAAACCAUGUGAUCAUGCAAAACUAAGUAUACAAUGAAACAUAGAUUGCAAUAUAACAAGAUAGAGUAGGAGUAGAGCAAAACAAUUUAAAAUCGAUAGCAAGUUUAUAGGUAAUAUAAACCUUUAAAUACCUGUACUGAUCCAUUUUCUUUCACUUCCAGAACCGUCCCAGACCAAUAACAAUAGGCUUCCCACCAAUCAACCAAAUCACCAACCUUCCAAUCAUCAUGAACAACAGCAGCUUCUUCUAGAGCACCACCCUCCUUGUUAAGGACUUCAUUUUCAUGACAUUGUCGUGGAUAGACAGGUCGAAUCAUUAGGUGUUUCUCACUCCCACCUUCGAGUUGUUGAAAUACUUUUGUUGUAUGUAUACCUGAGGCAUGAGGAUAACAAAUUCACAUCUAAACAUUUAACAAUGGUGUAUUGGUACUAAGUAUAUAUUCAGCUUAAGAAUUACUCUCUCCGGGAUAAUCGAGAUACUCCACAUCAUAGAAUAAUGCUCUCCUUUUCUGAGAUAUCUUGAGAAUCUGAUAAACCAUAAGAAAGCAAAACAUUGAGUUUUUUACAUAAAUAUGAUAGUUCUAAAAGUUUUUAGAACACUUAUACACAUUUCAAAGUGUAAUCUUAAUCAUUGCUUCCUUUAGAAUGUAAGCAAAAAAAAAGUACCUUGCAUCGAAACCAAGCACCACGAUAACCCGAUAUAAAAGAUCUUAAUUCUACAGUUUGACCAACUUCAAAUGGUAGAUUGAUUUGAGUCAUUACUGUUUAACUGCAUAUAAUCAGAAUGUAUUAAAAUAAGUCAGAUUAGGAAGAUAAAAAUGCCAAGCAAACAUCUGAGUGUUUUUAGCUUCCCCAUUCACAAGAAAAUAUCUAUUCACUUUAAAUUCACAGAUCAGCUAAAUAUUGACUAACUCACCAAAACUCAAACAAGUAUUUUACACAAGGUUAAGCUUCUGGCUUCUCUAUUUCUAACAGUAGUAAAAUAGAGAAAGGUAGCCUCCAAACAUCACAACUUCAAAACUAUAAAUCGAUGACACAAUCACCAAGUUUAUUACAAGGGGACACAAUCAAGAACCUGUGUCAAAAACCAACACAAAUCUGACCUAAAAUCAAGCAAAAUCGAUACUUUUCCAGAUUUUCCUCAGUCACCAGACAUAAUUGUGGAGAGAUAUCUAAAAAGAAAACCUUAAGAGUAUACUUGUUAAUCACCAAAGUAGUUACACUAAAUCAUCUAAUCAGAUCAAUCUUUUGACAUUGUACAAGAUUAGAGUUUUGCUUUAGUGAUAAUCACAAGUAAAAGAAAAACAACAAACCUUCAAUGGCUUCACAAGGAGUCUUGAAACCCAAAGCAAUGUUCCUUCCCCAGAUUUCUUCGAGCUAAAACACACCAUUAAACCCCAAUCAAAUGAAUCACAGAAUCAGAUUCGCAAAAAGAAAAAGAGAAUCUAUCAAUUAGAGAGAAAUCGAUGCCUACUUGUUGUUGCCUCGCGACUUGCUCUCUUAUGGCUUCAGAGAUUAAAGAAGAAGAGAUCGAAGAAGGAAAAAACAAACCCAACGUUGAAUAUCAAGAUCAGUGAGUCAAGAAACACUCUCCAGAAGAUCUCAGGUCGAUUUUGGAGAUGGAUGGAUAAACCUCUGAUCUUAUUUGUGUUGAAUAAACCUCACGAACUGAAUUUCUUUCCUUUAGUUAUAAUUGUACUUCCUCUUUUUGAUUUUCCCACACGCAAACAAAACGGUAGGGCCCAAUAGCAAACCCAAAAAGUUUUUGCCUGUGGGUUCGGGUGACCGGUUCCUUUUUCAGAUUUCAGGUCUAUUCGGGUAGGAGGACCGAGACCCAUUUGGGUAUUAUAAAAAUUCGGUUCAGAUUCAUAUCGGUUCGAUUAUUUUGAAUAUAUAAUUAUAAUUAAAUAUAACUAUAAUUUUAUUUUGAGUUUUCGGAUAUCUUUUCAGUUUGGAUCGGAUAAUUCAGAUAGAAAAAUUCAUUAUCCGUAUGGAUUUUGUGACUAUUCGGUUCGAUUUCAAAAUCGAAUUUGUCGGAUCAGUUUUUAGAUUUCGGGUUUUAUGCCCGGCCCUGUAUAAACUUUUCUUGUACCGGUGAGGGCUUGAAAAUGCUUUGGUUCAAGUUGAACCGGUUACAUCGGGUUGGUUCAAUUUGAAACCGGUUAAAUCGGGUUAGUUCAAUUUUAACCGGUUUAAAUCGGGUUAGUUCAAUUUGAACCGGUUUCGGAUGGGUCAGUUUGAUAAACACUGAUGCUAAGGAAGAAGAUCCUCUCUUCUACUGCGCCAAGCUCAAACCUUUUAAAGCUUUACUCUUUCAUUUUCACGAAACCAAUUCCAGAGAUCAUUAUCGAUCCUAAACAAUUCAAAAACACAAUGUUCAACACCAACAACAGUGUCUCAAUCUCAGUAUCUGACGACGAAUCCAACGAUUUGAAUCGGAUCCGAGCUCGAACCCGACGAAAGCGGAAGAAAUUGAGUCACAGAACCACCUACGAGCUUCCUCGUCACGUUCUAAGGCUUUUCGUGAGAUACUGGGUCGUAUUAGUUUUUCUUCUCGCAGUUAUGUUGCUUGUUUUCGAAUCAACGAGGAUUGGGAUCAAAUCUAGUGUGUUGAAGAAUCCAGAUUCGAGUGGAAAAGAGAGUCCUAGUAAGAAAAAUGAAGGAAAUUUGAAUCGAUUGGAUCCAACUACGAAGGUUAUUGGUGGUGUUAGACAACGUAAGCUUGAUUUGAUUUGAUUAUGUAUGAAUAAGCCAUGAAAUGUUAAAAAAGAUAGUUUCUUUAAUUUGCUAUUGGCUGGUUUAAACUUGGGUAUUGUUUGGUUUUAUUUGUUCUGUGUUGUUGAAUGAUUAGUUGAUAGUGUAAGUGUGUAUGGAUUGUGGUAGGUUGUUUGAAGCUUUUGCCACCUGAGGAGCUUGAGAAUCUUGAUAUCUUAGAGCGUAAAGAUUCAGGCACUCCGGUUAAGAGAGUUGUGUAUCUAACUGAUGCGGAUGUGUCGAUGGGUGAAAUGAAAGCUGUGCGUGGUAAUGGGACGCGGUUUAAUUUAUUCACGGGGAAUCAGACUUUUGCUCAGAGAGAGAAUAGUUUUCAGGUCAUGAUUUGGUAACUCUACAAAGCUAAGAACUUGAGUUUCCUAUAGUUCUAAGAAGUUUUUGAUGGAUCUUGAACUGAGUGUUGAUUUUAUUGCAUCAGGUAAGGGAAACAGUUUCUUUGCAUUGUGGAUUUUUUAAUGAAAAUGGAGGAUUUAGGAUUUCGGAUAAGGAUAAGAGGUUUAUGCAAACAUGUGAAGUUGUAGUCUCGACAUGUGCGUUUGGUGGUGGUGAUAAUCUUUAUGAACCUCUUGGAAUGUCUAAGGCAUCAAGUCAAAAGGUUGGUCACUCUGUUUAUCCCCUGUCCACUGCUCUUUAACUGUUUCUCUUGCAUAUCGAGUAUGGAUUUUGAUUAAAUGGUUUGUCUUUCUCUGCUGUUUCCAAUCCUGAAUGAGUUUUGUGGAUGCAGGUUUGCUAUGUUGCGUUUUGGGAUGAAGUUACUCUUGCAACACAAGAAGCAGAGGGUCAUAAGAUCGAUGAGAAUGAUCACAUUGGAAAGUGGCGUAUUGUGAUUGUAAAGGAUCUGCCUUUUACAGACCAAAGGCUUAAUGGGAAGAUCCCAAAGGUACUAUUCAUCUACUUCAGAGGCACAUGUUAUUAUCUGCAGUGCACGUAGCAAUUUUAUUCGCUGGGUUUUAACUGGUUCUGAUCAUGCGUUCAUGCGUUCUGAUCAUCCUUUAACUUCUGCUUUUGCGCUUAUUUGCUUAUAUCUCACUUCUGCUUAGAGGCUAAUAACCUAAGUUUGUUUAAGAAUUUGUUUCCAUUACAACCAAACUUCAAACUUCUUUGAUUUUCAUUUUGUGCUGUGUAAAAUGGUAUGUGCUUGAUUUGAAUUAGCUCGCUGUUGUCUUUUUUUCAUACAUCUUUCGAUCUUGUUUAAAUAUGGUUGGAGUCAAAUAUUUGAGUUUCCUUUUGCUUUCAAGCACAUGUAUGUAUGAUAUAAGAUGUUUUCAUAAAGAUUUUAAUGAAUCUGCAUAUUGUCAGAUGUUGGCCCAUCGCCUUUUCCCAGAUGCAAAGUAUUCGAUUUGGGUAGACUCAAAGUCCCAGUUUAGAAGAGACCCACUAGGUGUACUAGAUGCUCUUCUUUGGCGAACAAACUCAGUGCUUGCAAUUUCAGAACAUGGAGCUCGAAGCAGCGUAUACGAUGAGGCAAAAGCUGUCGUGAACAAACACAAAGCUACACCUGAAGAAGUUGAAGUCCAAAUAAAUCAAUACCGACAUGACAAAUUACCCGAAGAUAAAAGAUUCAACGGGAAAAAAGGUAAAUCUCUUUUCAUCAUCGGUGUUGUACCAAAGCUCCUAAACUUUGAGGAUGGAAGUAAUUUUUGGUUGUUUUACUUUCUUAAAGCUUUAUCUGAAGCCUCUGUGAUUGUGAGGGAACACACUCCAUUGACAAAUCUCUUCAUGUGCCUCUGGUUCAAUGAAGUCGUCCGCUUCACUUCGCGUGAUCAAUUGAGUUUCCCAUACGUUCUUUGGCGAUUGAAAGUUCUCAAGAACAUCAACAUGUUCCCUGUGUGUACACGUAAAGAUCUCGUCAAUAGCAUAGGCCAUGUACGCAAGGCUAAACCAUUAGUUAGUCUAUGAAUGUACGUACCCUAACUUUCCAAUUCAUUGGUUUAUUUUAGUAUCGUUUUUGUAUCUAGCGUGCAGACAUAAAAACAGAACUGACAUAUUUUAAGCUGAAACCGAACUAAACCUGAUCAGAAUAAAAAUAACAGCUUGAGGACAAAAGAAGGUAGUGGUUUAGUUAUGUUGUGGAAGAAGUAGUUAUACCAAAAUCACUAAUCUAACUUUAAAACCAAAGAGGUUUGUUGAAAGAACAGUUAGAAACUCCUCUUUGUAUCUCAUAUUCUUCUCCGACCAUGCUAACUAGAAUCAUCUUCCUCAUCGCUGUCGCCACUGCUUUCCUCGUUGUUCUUCUACUCGCUUUAUUCUCACCCGUUCCUGAUUACGACCCGCCGGGAUCAUUCUUCUCCUUCUCCCUCUAUGUUCAACAAACUCACACCCCAUCCUCCUCCUAUUCUUCUCGUCGGUCCAGUCAACACAUAGCCCGGCCCCAUGGCCAAGGAGGAGGAAAAGGAGCAUUGAUUUUCCGGCGUACGCUUACUGAAGGACCCGAGAAUAAUUCACGGAUCGUGGGCAAAGCUGAGGGAUUUAUAAUCCCACAUGAAGACUUUGCUAGCUCGGAUUUUAACGUGAUAUACUUGACGUUGGAGACUCCUGAGUACACGGGGAGUGUUAGCAUUAGGAGUAGAGACAUGGCACAUAAAUUGAAAGAGGUUAUGGAGGUAGUGGGAGGGACAGGAGCUUUCGCCUUUGCCCGUGGAAUCGCUAUGUUUGCUGAGAUUGAUGAUCAUGAGGAAGAAGCUGUAACCACUUACCGUGUUAAGCUUCUACUUAGAUUUCCACAUACUUCUCACGUAGAUCCACCAUGAUGAACACUUUUCUAUUACAAUACAUAUAUUUGUGUAUAAAUAAAGUUAUUUACUGAUUUUUUUUUUUUUUGUUAAAAGGCCUUCUUAAAGUUAUUUACAGAUUCACUACAGAUGUUUAAAGAACUCGAAGCGAGAAUCAGUUUUGCUUUCUUUUUGCCGAUAAUUUAGGGGUGCCCAGUUCUUUUUUUUCUUUUUAUCUUCGACAAUUUUAACUUGAUAAUCCACUCAACAUGCAUGUCAAGAAGAUACCAAUCUUCAUAAUAUCGAAUAAUUUGAAUGGCAAAAAUUUUAAUUCGCAUCUGAGCAAAAAAUUGCUAUAUGAAUAUGAUACCAGUUAUUAACACUACAGGAAAUGUGGGUAUUAAUAGCGGCCGAAAAACGCAAUUAUUCAUCUACCAUAGCGUUUCCUUAAGCGCUCUGACAUCGCCCGUUAUAGAAAGUCGGACACUUUUGAUAGCGGUUUUGCGUUGUACAAUAGUUAAGUAUACAACGAUAGCGUUGUCUUUUGUGCAAUUGUUAAUGUUUAUAAUAGCGUGAUAAAGAUGUUAUUAAAACUCGUUAAUUAGAUUUUACCUAUAGCAAAGAUAGCAUCUGUUUUGUGUUAUUAGUUUGUUUUUAAAUUAUUCAAAAUAAUAAAUAAUUACGAAUUAUAUUUUAAUUUAAAUGUAAUAUUUGUAAAAAAAAAUUAAUUUCGAAUAUUUGUAAAAAAAAAAAAUACCAUUAAAAUGUUUAAUAACCCAUUUCAAUUUUCAUUGUUUACAAAAACCACAAACAUACCUAUCAAUCUACCACUAACAAGCCUUCACAAUCAUCCCUAACAUAAACACUAUCAUCAUCAAAAGCUUCAUCAUCCAAAUCAUCGACAUCCAAAUCAUCAAUUCAGAUUUCUUUCAAUCAUCAAUUGUAGAUGAUUUCCGUUACUUGUCCAUCAAGAGAUCUCUCAACCUUCUUCUUGACAGGACAUCCUGGAUUAGUACACUUGUAAUAGCUUCGAGGAAACUCGCUGCCUUUAACUUGCUUUUGCCCAUAUUUUUGCCAGUUAUAACCAUCAUCAGCUGGUUUGUCAACAUUUAGAGGGUGUUGGGACCUGUGCUCGAUGAUGGUCACAUAUGAGGUUUCUCUUUGAGCUGGUAGUGGAGCCGAGGUCGGGAUCUGAGCUUGACCCGAUGAAAAUGAUUGAACUUGAGAGGAAGGAGGGUACUCUGUUUGUGGUUGCAUAUUGGCAUUGGCUUGAACUGCUUGAGCAGUGACUUGAGCUAGAGCUUGCUGAUGUGUCAUUCCAUAUGAUCCCUGCACAUUGUUACAUUGAUUUCGGGUUAGAACAAGAACCGCAAAAACAAAUCCGAUCCGAGCACACACCAAAAUAGGUAAGACAGAUUCAGAGUCAAGACAAAGUAGAGCCAGAGACACAAAACAUGCUAGUUACCCCAAAGUCAAACAACCUAGAUAACCCUAUCAAAAGAGAAUAUAGUAAAGGCCUGUCUAAAGCAACCAUCUCGACUAAAGAACACACAUUGUUCCCAUAAUCAACCAUAUCAGGUCAUAAGAACAGGAUUUUUCGGUUAUGGCACCAAGAUAUCUUCCUGAGGAUUUAUAUAAAAACCUUGAGCAAGCCCAAAUCUUGAUGAGUAUUUUGAUCCACAAUCUCCUGAAAGUUCCUACCUUUUCAAUACAGUUGAGUUGCAAAGUUCCUUCCUUUAGGAGAAAUCCUCUAAUCUCUAAUAAGCCCUAAUACAAUCCUAAUCUCAUAAUCUCCAAUUUUGACCUAAGAUAAUUCCAGCAAAAUGGUUACAAAAUCUAUAAUUUGUUGGAAUAAACCUAGAUUUGCUAAGAACAACGUGUUAUUUGUUUCCACAGCAGCCAACAAAACAAAAACAAGAAACAUCUCAACAAAGAAAAGACACAAACACACAGUUUCCAUAAAUAGAUUUUUAAACUUUAACCAAACCAAAAAAGAUAAAAAAUUGUUAACCUGAACGGGAGAGAAAAGACCCAAAAAGCUUGGUGAAUCCAUCAACAAGGCCGGACUUAAACCAGGCGGUACGGUGAACAUCGACGGCGAUUGAGAUUGAGAAAUCAUCAAACCGGUUGGUCUGUUUUGCUUGAAUCUCGGGUCAACAUCACCACUAGAGCUAUUAGUCCCUUCACCAAUUCUUUGGUAAUCACUAGCCGUCGCAGCAGCUGCAGUCGCGGGAGAAGUCAUGGCUCCAGCAAGGAGCUGAGAGAAAGACCUAAACUCAUCGGAAUCAGAGAACAUAUUAGAGACCAGAGUCAUCGGACCAGGACUAAAUCCAACGCCACCGUUAAAGAACAUCUCACUAAACGGCCGUGGAGGAAGAGAUAAAGUCGGACGCGACGGAGCUCUGGUAGACUUCGAUGUCGACGGAGCUUCUUCCUUUUCCGACAUCGAUCCAACAAAAAAAUUAAGAUUUCUUUCAAUCAGAUAAUAUAAGUCAGCUCGAUAGAAUUAAUUGUAUACCUUGGCAGCGAGAUCCACGUCUUAUCCAUUUGGUCACGAUGGAGAUGAAUCCGUUCUGAAAUGAUGAACUUUUGGUAAAAUCGAGUUGGGGAAGUUGUGUUCUCUGAAAAUUUGUGUUCUGAAAUGAUAAACCCUAAAAAAUGAACGGCUGGGAUCAAAAUUAGUGAAACGAAUCAACGGUCUAGGUUCAAUAAGCUUGCAAUCUCGGUAGUUACUGCUUAUUGGCUAAGAACAUGAACGGCUCAGAUCAAAUCAGCGAGAGAGAUCAACGGUGUAUGUUUCGCCUAAAGUGUAAUCUCUGUAGUCUUAGCUUAUUGGCUAAGAACAUGAACAGCUCAGAUCAAAUCAGCGAUACAGAUCAAGGGUGUAUAUUAAUCGCGUCAACAAUAAGAAAGGACGGCUCAGAUCAAAGUCGGCGCGAUCUAACGGUGCAGGAUUCGUCCCACAAUGUAGGAGGUGAGUUCUCAUUGGCUAGUAAUGAAAAAAUCAUAAAAUUAUCAUAUAAAAUUUUUUAUUAAUGAAAAAAAUAUAAAUUAUUUCCUUAAAAAUACAAUAUAUGUAUUUCAAUUUUUAGAAUAUUUUUUCUUAUAAGUAUAAAAUUUUAAAAUUAAGAACAAUUAAUAUAGGUUAGUAUUCCAACUAUCUAACUUAUAUGUUCAUAUACACUAAGGCAUAGUUUAGGGUUUAGGGUUUAAACUUUGGAAUUUAGAUUUUUUUACUCAAGUAUUUAUGUUUUAUAGUUAAAACUUUAAUUUAGAGUUUUAAAGAUUUAAUUUAAUUAGGAUUUUAACUUUAAUUUAGAGUUUAAGGUUUAGGGUUUAGGGUUUAGGGUUAAGGGUUAGGAUUUAGGGUUCACAUUUCACAAAAAAAACAUUAAAAACUUUUCACUUCAAUUUUAUUUACAAAUUAUGAACAUAUGAGAUAUUAGAGUAUAAUUGAAAAAUAGUGAAAUGUGUUUCAAGAUUGAACCCUAUACAGAUUGUUAUUAAUUAAUAUUUCUAAGAUUGUUGUUUGAAGAUUUUUGGAAAUAUUAUAUGGAUAUAGAUGAUAAGAGUACAUAUGUGACAGAGAUUUAUACAAUAAAAUUAAAACCAUAAAAAUACAUUAUUGAAACAUAAACUCGUCUUCUGACAUAGAAUUAAGUUUAUAUGUGGUUGAGUUAAAAAGUUGCAGAUCGAGUUAAUAGCCUAAAAACUCUAAGACGAACAAGAUUUUUUCUCGUUUGAUUCACUUUGUCAUGAACCUCCAUCUCUUGCUCAAAGACGUAAUCUAACUCGAGUUCUUGAAACCAUCUAAUGCAAAGCCUAAGCCUUUUUACAUAUUCGAUCAUAUUCUCACAUCUCUCCUGCAAAGAAAAACAAAAAACAACAUCCAAAGGUAAACAGUUCAUAUCCGAAGGAAGUACUCAUUGAAUCAAGAAUCUAAAGCUUCACAAUCUUGAGUAAAGCCACAAGUUCUUCUUUUUUUUUUUUUUUUUUUUUUUUUUUUUUGUAAUUUCCAUGAGACAAUACAAACUUUGAAGCAAGUAUCAUCAAGUUCAAUCUGAAAUCAAGGAAAAGAAGAAGAAUCACCAAGAUUGUUGAAUGUAUUGAGCCUUGAGUCUGUGAUGCAAUGAGAAUUGUUGAAUGUAUCACCCUGUUUCACAAUGAGAAACCAAAAUCAGAGAUUCAAUGCGAUCAGUUCUUACAAUAUUUGCCUGCAUUUAUAACCAAAUAACAUCAGCUCUCUCAAACAAUAUUUAGACACGAGGUUAGAGAUACCUUUAAGGACACUAGCUCUCUCAAACACAUGCCUUGUCCAUAUCACAACAAUACAACCAUAUCUCCACCACCGAGUAUACAAUUUGUGAUAAAGAGUUCAAAGGAUCAAACACUCAAAUAACAAUGACAGCCUACUCACAUCAACACACACGAGAAAGAAAGUAAACAAACAAAGACUAAGAAAAUAAUAGCUUACAAAAUAAACAAGUGGUGAUCUUGAUGAUUUGAAGACUAUCUACAAAAGAAUUAGAAACUUUUAAAAUCGAAAUCCCACAUAUCUAUUAGUUCUUCUAAGUACAAAAUUCAGCUGCAAGAACACUCAAAUAUAUAUAUCAAGAAAUACCGCUUUAGAUGACGAUUGAGAGGGAACGAAACGGAGAUAGAUUGAGAUCGAGAAUGAAAGUAAGAGGAACAUGACUGUGAUUGAGAGAUCGAGACAGAGAUGGAGUAACGAGUCUGAUUGAGAAAUCGGGACAGAGAUGGAGGAUCGAGAGUUGAUAUCGGGAUAGAGAUGGAGGAUCAAGAGUUGCCAAAAGAAAAAUUGAAAUGAGAUAGAGGUGUCGAAUGGGAAAGAGAUAGAGACGUGAACCCUAAUUUUUUACCACAUACCUUUGAGAUAUCCCAAAAAAAUUUUAGUUGGGCGGGCAUCAAUUUAUUUUAUUUUAUUUUCGCGGUUAACAUACCAUAGCAUUCCAAAUUUUGUAUAGAGAGAUGGAUAGCCAAAUUCUUAAGCGGGAACCACAUCACUUUUGCCGCUCAAUAUAUUAUAGCGUUUUAUAUUUCACAAACGCUAUGAAAGAAAGAGGCAAUAAUCAAACAUAGCAUAACCAUCUAAACCGCUAUCUUCAACUGCUAUCAAUACUUGCUUUUCCUGUAGUGUAAGAUUUGAAUCCCAUAUCAAAUAUAUACUUGUAUAUAUAUUAAUGAAUUAAGACAAAAAAUAAAGCCACACACAAUUUAGUUGUUCACUUUCAACGUAAGAGUUACGUCUAUUUUACCUCUUUGCGGAUUUUAUUAUGAUCAACGAUGGGAGGUUGUUUUUCGGUUGUGUGUUUGCGGGUUAUGUUCUAGGAACUUAAAAUCGAGUUAUGGUUAUGGGAAAAGGGUUUGUUUGAUGUUAAAAGAGGUUAAUGAUCUCAUGCUUGAGAAAGGUUUUACAAUUUUUGUUAAGCCAGCUACAACAUCUAUGGGAGAUGAUGUUAAUCAAGAAGGUGUUUAAUACUAACUAAAUCAAUAGUUAGAUAUUAAACACAAGUUACUUAUAUUGAGAAACCGCCGGUCUGAGACACCCGCCUGGCUAGGCAAAGAGAUCCAAACUGGCAGGGACAAGUAUAAACUCGCCUGUCUGGGACACCCGCCUGGCUAAGACCUGCCAGUCUCCUCUAUGUCAUUUUAACCUAAUCUCUUUUAUAUAUAAAGGUUGUACCACCAUUGUAAAGUUUUCAACACAACUUUUAAUCAAUACAUUUCAUACCUUUUCUCUCCAUUUCUAGUCAUGAGUGUCGACACAUUUCCUUCUUAAUCUUCUAUUCUUAUCAUGGUAUCAGAGCCAGGUUGUGAUUCUUGAGUCUUAAUCUUGGUUUCUUUGUUCGAUUCUUAAGCUUCUUCUCUUUCGAUUCUGCUGGUUUCUUCUUUUCCUGAUUCUUCUGGGUAUUUUGCGAUUUGGUUUUUCAUAAAGUUAUCAGCUUGUGAAGGACUCUUGUGACUAAUCUGUGGUAACUCUGGUCUGGGUUUAAAGCUUGGGCAUUUCUAAAUUUCUAGAGCUUUCGUCUUGUAGUGUGUCUGUUUGGGUUUCUAAUCGGCGAAAGGCUACGAAUCUGGUUGGAAGACUUAAACUUUGAAGAUGUCUGUCACGAUUUAUGAUGGAAAGAUGAAUGAUACCUUCAACGACUUGAAGCUUGCGGUCACUCUGAAUGGGAACAACUUUCUGUUAUGGAAGCGGACUACUUUGAACGUGUUAGGAGGAAGGAAACUCACAAAACACAUUGAGUCCACCUAUGAGGAGCUAAAGGCAACUGAUGAAAGUUUAGAUGAGGGUACUUGGAAACAAUAUGAUCUGAAUGUGCUUAGUGCUCUACACUGCUCACUAGAGGCGUCAAUCCUAGAGGGUUAUUCGUAUUGUGAGACGGCUAAGGAGUUGUGGGAUACUCUCACAAGCGUAUUUGGCAACGAGUCUAACUUGACUCGGGUUUAUGGUAUCAAGAAAGCUCUUGGCAAUCUGAGCCAAGAAGAGAGUGAUUUCAACACUCACUUUGGGAAGUACAGAUCUUUGGUUGCUGAGCUAGAGAUGUUAAGACCCUUCACCACUGAUGCAAAGACGCUCAAGGAGCGUAGAGAGCAAGAUCGUGUGUUUGGGCUAUUGUUGUCACUUAACUCAAGCUAUACUGAUGUAAUCCAACAUAUUCUAAGGGAAGACAAGAGUCCAACUCUAGAACAAGUAUGUGCUAAGAUACAAAAGGAGUAUGGUACUCAUGAGUUGUUUGGCACCAAGAGCACAAGUCUCCCUACAGCUAACAAGGUGGGAUUUGCGAAGCAAGGAGACAAGAGGACAUUGGUUUGUGAGCACUGUGAGAAGAAGGGCCACCUCAAGGACAAAUGCUGGAUACUACACCCCCAUUUGAAGCCAGAUAAGUUCAAAAAGGACAAGGCAAAGGCUAACGUGGCAGAAACAAGCGGAGGCUCCGAGAAUGGCAAAAGGGCCAUUGUGAAAUACAGUCAUCAUGAGAAGGCGUUGCAAGCUACACAAGACAAGAGUUCUGCUUCCACUUCUCAAGAGACCAUUGUGAUGAACAAAGCCGAUCUAGAGAGCCUUCUUCAAUCCAUUGCCUCCAAAUUACAUCCCGGCGGUAUCUCUCUCUUUUCUUCUAAUUCUAGUGAUUUAAACUCAUUAGUAUUGGACUCAGGAGCUUCUCAUCAUAUGAUUAGUAAUCCUAAGUUGUUAGAGAACAUUAAACCGGCUUUAGGGAAUGUUAAGGUUGCAAAUGGUCAUAACGUGCCAAUAGAAGGUGUAGGUUGCAUCAGUUUGUUCAAUAAGAAAUCUAGUGCUUUCUAUAUGCCUAAGUUCACUUCAAAUCUUCUUUCUGUUAAGAAAACGAAUAAGGACUUGAACUGUUUAGCUAUUUUUAGUCCUAACGACGUGAAGUUGCAGGAUAUUGAGAGUGGAAAAGUGUUUGGGCAAGGAAGCACCAAGGAUGACUUAUAUGUGUUUCAAGACAUCUCUUUAAAUUCUGUUUCUAAGAAUAAUGUUUCUUCUAUCUUUGCAAAUUUUGUUAAGACAUCGGUUGUAUUGUGGCAUGAGAGACUUGGCCAUCCACAUUCUCGAGCUUUAAGUUUGUUAAUGCCUGGCUUUUCUUAUGAUUGUUCAAACUGUGAAGCAUGCAUUUUGGGUAAACAUUGCAAAGUAGUUUUUCCCAAAUCCAAUACGAUUUAUGAGAAGUGCUUUGACCUAGUGCAUUCCGAUAUUUGGACUUCACCAUGUGCAUCUAGAGAUAAUCAUAAGUAUUUUGUCACAUUCAUAGAUGAGAAAUCUAAGUAUACUUGGGUAACUUUGCUUCCAUCUAAGGAUAGGGUUUAUGAUGCAUUUUUAAACUUUCAAAACUAUGUGACUAAUCACUUUGAUGCCAAGAUUAAAAUCCUAAGAACAGAUAAUGGAGGUGAAUAUACAAGCACCAAGCUAAAAGAACACUUGGAGAAAUGUGGAAUCCUACAUCAAACGAGUUGUCCAUACGAUCCUCAGCAAAAUGGAGUUGCAGAGAGAAAGAAUAGGCAUCUUAUGGAGGUGUCAAGAGCUAUGUUGUUUCAUAAGCAUAUGCCAAAACGGUUUUGGGGAGAUGCGGUUAUGACGGCAUGUUAUCUCAUCAACCGAACACCAACCCGUAUCCUUAAUGAUCAAUCUCGUUUUCAAGUCUUAAAUAAUCAGAAUCCUAACAUUGAUUAUUUAAGAGUAUUUGGAAGUCUUUGUUUUGUGUUUGUCCCAGGUGACUUAAGAAACAAGCUGGAACCCAAGAGUACCAAGUGCGUAUUCAUUGGAUACUCAACAACUCAGAGGGGUUACAAGUGCUUUGAUCCAGUCAACAAUAGAUAUUAUGUAUCUAGGGACGUCAAGUUCAUGGAAGACAAGACUUAUUUUGGAGAAAAGAGUUGGGAAAAUGUGAAAGAUUUGCCUAAUUCGACUUCAGAUAGAGCUAAAAGUCUCCGACAUAUUCUAGAGCAUUUGGGUAAUGUUAGUUCUUCACAAGAAGAUGUGGAAGCUACACCAAAUGUGGAUACCAAUGAAGCUCAAGAAAGUGGUGAUAAUGCAACACAAGAACCUCGGGAUAUCCAACAAGAGAGUGGUAGAGAAGAAGGGGUAAGUGAAGAAGUGGAAGAGAAAGAUCCAUCUAGUGAAGGUGAAAUUAUUGAAUCAUCAAGCGGAGAUGAGACUUAUCAAGCUCCACCAGUAACACGAGAUCCAAUCUACACUCGGGAGAAUCCAAGAAGGGGUACAAGAGAAAGGAAAUCGAAGAAGUGCCACUAUAAUUGCCAAGCCGUGGCUCAUCCAAUUCAAGCGACAUGUUCGAUUGACCUUCUUCCCGAAGAACAUAAGGCUUUUAUCAGUAAACUAGAUUUGGAAUUUGUACCACAAAGCUAUGAAGAAGCUAAGGAAAUAAAGGAAUGGACUAAUGCUGUGGAUGAUGAGGUUCAGGCUAUGGUAAGGAACCAUACAUGGGAUGAAGAAGAACUUCCACCAGGGAAGAAGUGUGUGAGUUCAAAAUGGGUUUCACCAUAAAGUAUAAAAGUGAUGUUGAAAUUGAGAGAUACAAGGCUAGACUAGUGGCAAGAGGGUUUACUCAGACCUAUGGUGAAGACUAUAGAGAGACUUUUGCACCAGUAGCUAAGCAACACACGGUAAAGGUUGUCCUUUCUCUAGCGGUGAAUUUGGAUUGGGAAUUGUGGCAGAUGGAUGUCAAGAACGCUUUUCUUCAGGGGGAGUUAGAAGAAGAAGUGUAUAUGACACCACCUCCGGGCUUAGAGGAUACAGUAGCUCUAGGAAAGGUUUUAAGACUUCGAAAAGCUAUAUAUGGCCUCAAACAAUCCCCAAGAGCUUGGUACCACAAGUUGAGUUCAACCUUGCUUAGAGAAGGCUUCAAAAGGUCACAUUCGGAUCACACUUUGUUCACUAAACAAGAUAAUCAAGGAAUCGUAGUAGUGUUGAUCUAUGUUGAUGACUUGAUUAUCUCGGGCAGUAACAAAGAAGGUAUCCAAGCUAUUAAGUCUUCUUUACACUUGGCUUUUGAUAUUAAAGAUUUGGGUGUUUUGAAGUAUUUCUUAGGGUUUAGGACUAAAUCCUUCCUACUCCGGAAGCUGGAUCUGGAAAAAGCUAUGCAAGCUUCGGGUUUUGGCCCGUCCUUUUGUUGUGUGUGAGAUUGGUACCGGUCAAACUGCUAGCUUUUGGCAGGACAAUUGGACUGGCCUGGGCCCUCUCAUUGAGAUUACUGGACCAACUGGCCCGCAGGUUGUAGGGCUUCCUUUGAACUCUUUGGUUAGGGAUGCCCUUAGAGGGAGAGGCUGGUGGCUCUCAUCUAGUCGUAGCAGAAAUCACAUCAUCACUUUGCUAAAGGACUCUUUGCCUAAUCCUGAAAGUAUGAUUGAUAGUUUGCAUGAUGAUCUAUAUCUUUGGAAACCGGAUCACCAUGCACCAUCAACCAUUUUUUCAACGGCAAACACUUAGAGCGCGCUUAAUCCCAUUGGGGUUCCUGUUACAUGGCACAAGUCGGUGUGGUUUAAAGAUCAUAUUCCUAAGCAUGCUUUCAUCUGUUGGGUUGUGGCUUGGAAUAGGUUGCAUACUAGAGAUAGGCUGAGAAGCUGGGGUCUCUCUAUAUCUCCUUCUUGUGUUCUUUGCAAUUCUUCACUGGAAUCAAGGGACCAUCUGUUUUUUGACUGUGGAUUUAGUGUGCAGGUUUGGAGGUACUUUACUACUAAAGCUAAUCUCAACCCACCAACUCCUUUCAUGGCGUGCCUCUCUUGGGUCAAGUCGGCUUCUCGGGACAAAAAUAUUGCUUUGAUCAUAAAGCUUAUCUUCCAAGCUUCGAUCUAUCUCAUUUGGAAGGAACGCAAUCUAAGGAUUCACACUUCUUCUUCCACUACUCCUAUUGUCACCAUCAGAGCGAUAAAACUCCUUCUGCGUGCUCGCCUGGAUCCUUUGUCUAGGAGGCAGCGGAAUGCCAGCCCGGGUAAUACUUUGCUGUCCUCUUGGUUCAGAUUUUUUAGUUGAGAUUUGCAUCGUUCUGUUUUUUCUACUGCAUCCUUGUGGGCUUCGGCCUUCGGCCUUCUGUGGUCUGUUGGUCUCCUGGGGCCUGCGUGCCUGGCUUUGGGCUUUGCCCUUGUAAUUUGGGGCCUGCGUGCCUUUUUUCGGCUUUUGCCUUGUAUGUUGGGCCUGCGUGCCUUUGUUGGCCUUUUGGCCUUGUAUGUUCCUCUUUGGUUUUUUUAAUGAAAAAAAAAAAAAAAAAAAAAAAAAAAAAAAAAGUAUUUCUUAGGGAUCGAGGUGUGUAGAUCCAAGGAGGGACUGUUUCUCUCACAAAGGAAAUAUGCUCUUGAUCUUCUAAAACUUACAGGGAAGCUUGGAGCUAAACCAGUUGAUACACCAUUGGAGCAAGGUUACAAGGUCAAUCGAAAGGGGGAGAAAGAUGACACUCCUUAUCAUUGCCCAGAACAAUACCGAAGACUCG
rnacentral:lncRNA from 1 species